rnacentral:lncRNA from 1 species
AUAUUUUAAAAUAUAGAUUUAUUCGUUUUACUUCGUAUGUAGUCUAUAGUGAAAUCUCUAAAAAGUCUUAUACUUAGGAACGGAAGGAGUAGGAUAUUUGCACGAGAAAUUAACAGAGCACGCAUGUUCCUGCUAAUUUCCAUGUAGAUUGAAAUGUACCAUCCAAUGCAUCAGUUUAUUUGAUAUCCUGUACUUGAUCGGCAUAGCUACUUAUCAAAAGGAAGUCAGAUAUAUAGCCCAUGUUCUAUUGUUGUUCAAUACCUUGUAAUAUUGACUAUCCAUAUACGAUGGUAUUCUUUUUCUUUUGAAACACAACCAAUGCAGUACUGUUGGUCAACAUUACUUUUAUUUAUAAAUGUUAUAUAUGUUACAUUCCAGGUAGCAAGGGGACUAGCAAGAAGGUUAUGCUAAUAGGUAUGGUCAAACUUUUAUCAUUUUCUCAUAUGUAAUGAAUUAAACAUUAGUAGUUCACUACCAGUGAUUUCUAUGUUGAAAUAGUACCUUGAAAAUCAAUCAUCCACGUAAUCAUUGAAAAUUGAUUCUGGAAUUGAAAAUUGAAAACAAGCAACUCUCAUUUGAGAAAUUUAAACUAUUGAUGGUCUUGGAAAUCAAAUAACUGUAUUACAAGUCCAACUUUAGAAAAGGAAGUAACAUCGAUAUGCUUUAAUCUCAGCUGUAAUAUCAGGAGCUGGAACCUUGCUCUUGACAUGUUUUUAUAUGCUGGUAUGGCGCAAAAAAGGGAAAAGACUAUGGCUUCACCUUUGCAAGAAGACUAGCAGCAACACCGAGAAGAAUUACGAGGCCAUGCUAGUAUCGUACGGAUCCCUAGCUCCAAAAAGAUACACGUAUUCAGAGGUAAUGAAGAUAACGUCUUCUCGCAAUGACCAGCUUGGAAAAGGAGGUUAUGGUGUCGUUUUCAAAGGAAAACUACAUGAUGGCCGUCUGGUUGCGGCCAAAUUCUUGCAUGACUGCAAAGGAAACGGGGACGAGUUUGUUAAUGAAGUUAUGAGCAUUGGAAGGACCUCCCAUGUUAAUGUUGUUAGCUUAUAUGGGUUUUGUUUGGAGGGAUCAAAGCGAGCUCUUAUAUAUGAGUACAUGCCCAAUGGUUCCCUGGAUAAGUACAUUUAUUCAGAGCACCCCAAAGAAAUUUUAGGAUGGGAGAGGCUUUAUGCGAUAGCAAUGGGGAUUUCUCGUGGCCUCGAAUACUUGCACUACAGCUGUAAUACACGUAUCGUCCAUUUUGAUAUCAAGCCCCAAAAUAUCCUUCUAGACAUAGAGUUUAACCCAAAGAUUGCUGAUUUUGGUUUAGCUAAAUUGUGUCAUACAAAGGAGAGCAAGCUUUCAAUGACUGGAGCUAGAGGAACAAUUGGAUUCAUCGCCCCAGAAGUUCACUCUCGAACCUUCGGACUGGUUUCAACAAAGUCAGAUGUUUAUAGUUAUGGAAUGAUGCUGCUGGAGAUGGUCGGAGGCAGGAGAAACGUAAAAUCAAUUGUUGCGAAAUCUAGUGAAAAGUAUUUUCCAGACUGGAUUUAUGACCACUUUGCGCAAGAUGAUGGAUUACAAGCAUGUGAAGUGACAAGGGAAAUUGAGGAGAUUGCGAGAAAGAUGACAUUCAUUGGCUUGUGGUGCAUACAAGUAUUACCUGUGCAUCGCCCAACUAUAACAAAAGUUCUAGAGAUGUUUGAGAGAAGCUUAGAUGAUCUGGACAUGCCACCGAAGCAGAACUUCUGUGAACUACUGUAAGAUAUUUCUCCCAAAUUUCUAUUUUAUUUUAUCUCCUUGUGCAAUUAAUAUUAUGCAAUAACUUGACCUGCACGCAUAUGCCUCGUUCCAGAGAAAGUUCAGCUCACAAUAUGGAUGUAGAGAGUGCAAGUUCUACCAGAUCGGAGAAGACAAGCCUUGCGAAUUCAAAAAUCCUACAACGACGGCCAACUCUUUGAGCAAAUAUAAGCCUUCUGAAUCAAAGAAACCUACAUUGAUUGUCAACGCUUAGAGAAGGUGGCAUGUACUAGAGUGCAUUCAGAAAUUAAACAAGGGCAAUGAAACUUGGCAUUGUAGUAGAACAUUUCCAUGUAUGCAGCAUGAGCAUGACCAAGAGUCAACAACAUCUGCAUGCUAGUAACCUAAUUUACCGACAAGUAAUAAAAUUUGUUCUGGUGACUUUUGUGUUCCAAGUUCCACCUGUUAAAAGGCAUUGGAUCUUAUGCCAGAGGCAGAAAACUAUAUAUAUGAAGACAUUAUUUAUUGCAAAUUUCCCUCAAAACAAGAUAAACGCAAUCUAGGUAGCAAGCAAAAUUUCAGAAAUUGCAACGAUUGUAGGUGUAUAUCCAUCUAAAUAAACUCAAUAAACUCGAUCUGAGCAUUGGAUCUAGACACUGUGACCAUAAAUGCCAAUUCGUAACAAACAAAUUAAUCAUGUACGCUGGAGGCGCAUCGAGCAUACAUACGUGGUCUUCUCCUUGGUAGGUGGUAUCGACAGCGUAAACCCAAUCCCCCUCACGCUGAUCAACGUUGCGCCAUAGUCCUUCUCGUUGCCCAGUAGCAGGCCCAAACAAAUAAGGAAGGGAGGAUUUUGCUUACCGAGAGUAAGAUGGCGGGCCGGGUGUGACCUUGGCAGCAACCAGCAGCCCAUUUCGUUUAUUUUCAUCGUGACCAAGAAUCCAAGAUGCACACUCACCUACCCGCCACGCAUGGUCCUACGAGAAGAUGGAAUCCACCUCCUGCGGGCUGUGCUAAGAUCAAUGUCGAUGGGGCAACCUGUCGUAUGCCUCCGUUUGGAGCGGUGAGUGCGGUAUGUCGCGAUGGACAGAGUAAGUAUCUUGGAUCGUCAGCUAUAGUAUUCCAUGGACUAAAUGACCCCAAAAUCUUGGAGACGUUGGCAAUGCCGCGAGGCCCUUGCCUUGGGCAGGGAUCUACUCCUUCGGAAGAUCGCUAUAGCAUCGGAUUUUCUUCAAGCAAUCAAGGAUAUCAACUCGGGAACGAAUGGCAUUACAGCUCCAAUUUUCAGGGAAAUCAAGGAUGGAAGCAACGAUUUCCAAACCAUCUCUUUCAGUCACGAAGGACGUUUGUCGAAUACAGAAGCUCAUAGUUUAGCUAGACAUGCUAUGCAUCUAGGGGAAGGACGCCAUGUUUGGCUCCUACAACCUUUUGAUACUCUUCUUAUAUCUGUAAACCUUACUAUUGAUCAAUAAAGCAAAGCAGUCUUCCCUCAAAAAAAAAACCUACCGUUGCCAAUCUUUUAGAAAAAAAACUACCGUUGCCAAUCUUUUUUCAAAAAAGAAAAAAAACAGAAACCUACCGUUGUUAAUCUUAUUUUUUCUUUUGAGAACUAAAAAAAACUACCGUUGCCAAUCCUGCAAUGCCAUCACGCAAAGCAUGACCCUGACCAGGACGCGAAAAUAGCUCAGUUUUUAUACGGAAAGUAAAAUCUAUACCUAAUAAUAAAGCGGCUAUUGCUUCCGUCGGAAAACCCACCACGCCAUUUUUAUGAAAAAAAACCUGUAAUUUUUGUUAUUCAACCCGCGCUUCAAUUUCUCAUUAUGGUGGAAUUAACAAUGGACGGGUUGAUUUUUCAACAAAAUAGGAUAGGACUAACUACAUUAGUUUAUUAGCUUAUUAUUUUAAUAAAUCAAAAUAAUUUAAAAAAGAUUAAAAGCGUGUGGUGUUUUUUUUCUCCCGUUGCAAUGCACGGGCUAUUUUGCUACCUAAUAAUAAAGAGGCUAUCGCUUUCGUCGGAAAAUCCACCGAGGUGUUUUUACAAAAAAGCCCUUACUGUUUAUGACAUUAAACUCGUAGUAUAUAUUAAAUGUUUUUUAAAAUACUCAUAUCUUUUAAACCGUAACUCCAAAUUUAACAUAUUAUAUAUGGAAUUUGAUUAGAAAAAUAUGUAGAAUUUAAAUAUGAUAUUAUUUUAUCUGUUAAACGUUUAAUAAAAAUACUAUCUAGGGUGCAAUCUUAAUAAAUAAGUCAUUAUUCGUCUUUCUUUCAUACCAGUACUCAUCCGGGUUGGAGAUGAACACGUCAACAAAAUCAGGAUUAGAGAUGAAACUGAAGGUCAUUUGACUGAUUCUUUGUACGUAUUAAAUCUACAUGCAAGCCGUGUUAAAAUAGAAGACCUGUGAAAUUUUGAACUGCAUUUUUGUAGGAUAAGAUCAUCUUUAUUUGUGUCGUAAAUACAAAUUCUCAGAUUAUAGACAUUUUUUAUAANNNNNNNNNNNNNNNNNNNNNNNNNNNNNNNNNNNNNNNNNNNNNNNNNNNNNNNNNNNNNNNNNNNNNNNNNNNNNNNNNNNNNNNNNNNNNNNNNNNNCAUUUUACUAUGACCGCCCAAGAUAAAAGAAGCAACAACCAAACGAAUGGUGUCCGCUAUCAUGCGAUAGACGAGAAUGGGGAAAAACACAUACUAUGGUUACAUAGAGGAGAUAUGGGAACUUGACUACGGACCUACUUUUAAGGUCCCUUUGUUUCGGUUUAGUUGGGUGAACAUGAAUGGAGAAGGGGUAAAGGUAGACCAGUUGUACGGAAUGACAACCGUUGAUCUCAAGAAUCUUGGUUACAGAGACGAGCCAUUCGUCCUAGCCAAUGAUGUGGCUCAGGUUUUCUACGUGAAUGACAUGUCCUCCAGACCGAAAAAAGAAAACAAACAAAUGAAUGCAUCGGACGAUGAGCCAAAGGGUCACAUAGUUUUUUCAGGGAAAAGAAACAUCGCGGGGAUCGAGGAGAAGACAGACAUGUUAGCAGAUUAUAUUAAGUUUGAUGAAAUUCCCCCCUUCAUAGUGAGAAUUGACCCAAGCAUUCCGUUAAAUAAUGAAGAUGCUCCAUAGUUACAGCCAAAGCGAUCAUAGGCAAGGGAUCGAAAUAUAAAUCUAUGUAAUGUNNNNNNNNNNNNNNNNNNNNNNNNNNNNNNNNNNNNNNNNNNNNNNNNNNNNNNNNNNNNNNNNNNNNNNNNNNNNNNNNNNNNNNNNNNNNNNNNNNNNCUUUAUAUUAUAAGUAAAUAUUUUAGUUGUUCAUGUAUAUCGAAAGAGAUGUUUACGUAUUUUAGAAAAAAUUAAUGUAUUUUAAAACAAACUUCCAUAUGUUUGAAAAAGAAGUGUGCACGUACAUUAGAAAAUGAUAAUUUGUUUUCCCCAAAAUUAAAGAAAAAUGGAUAACUAGAGUUUGGAAAAUAAGGUGGUUAUGCUUUACAAAGAAAACAGAAAUUAAUAUAAAAUAAAUAAAAACCAAAGAACUAAAAUUAAGUAAAAAUACUAAAGGAAGCGAAACAGAAUAGGGGAGAACAUAAUAAUAAAACAAGCACAUCAAAGAAUAAAAUAUGGAAAAACAACCCAAUGAUUGGGUGCCUGAGUGCAUCCGGUAUUUUGGUGGGGCAUCCCUACACUCCCAUUCGGAGGGAAAUUAGCAUUUCCAUGUAUUUCAGGCCUAUGGGGGCAAUGGUCCAACAUGGGUUUCUUGAUUGUAGCAAGAAAAUAAGGUGGUUAUGCUUUACAAAGAAAAUAGAAAUUAAUAUAAAAAUAAAUAAAAACCAAAGAUACUGUUGGAACAUCACUUCCAUGGGCCCAUCCAACAACCUGCAUGCGCGCACAUUUUUUAGGCCUUUUUGUGGUACUGCACACCUCAUGUAGACUUCCUAUACGUACGAAGCAAGCAGGACUGGCAUGGAGCCGGCGUGCAUUUUGUCCCACCUCGGCUGGCUAGGAGAACGAGUAGAGGNNNNNNNNNNNNNNNNNNNNNNNNNNNNNNNNNNNNNNNNNNNNNNNNNNNNNNNNNNNNNNNNNNNNNNNNNNNNNNNNNNNNNNNNNNNNNNNNNNNNAAAUUUAGGAUCCCUAAUGUGUAUAUUCAACUAAACAUUGCCACAAUAUUCUAGAUAAUUCUUAUCCUUAUGGCCCAAACUCUAGGUAAGAUGUUUUUUGCGAAAAAGCUACAGUAGAUUAGUUUUGUAAGGAAACCUGUAGGUACAUUCUUUUGCUUGCAGCUAUUUUCCUUCUCCGAUUUGUCUGUUCAGCUGUGUUGUUUUGCAAUUUCAAAAAAGACAAAAAAACAGAUGUGUUGUAUUACGAUGCCAAUUUUCUGUUGCAUAAGACUGAUCAUGCUUGCGUUGCAAUACUAGAGAGAUGCAGGGACCUAAAAAAAUACUCACGGACUCGCCCGCUCUCAUUGAGCGGCGCAUGAAUUCUUACUUGGAAUGCGGUCAUGUCUAUUGUUCUAUUGACAUUAUGGUGAUUGGCGAUUUUAGGAGUCGUCCAUCCACCCUAAUCCGACGGUGGGAAAAUAGGAGUUACAAGGAGUUACAAAACUAAAUUACGAGAAAUUACAUGUAACGUUAGGGCCGUUACAAAUUUUUUANNNNNNNNNNNNNNNNNNNNNNNNNNNNNNNNNNNNNNNNNNNNNNNNNNNNNNNNNNNNNNNNNNNNNNNNNNNNNNNNNNNNNNNNNNNNNNNNNNNNUUGCCGCACUUCUGGUCCGAGCAGUCUCCCCACCGCUCCUGCCCGGCCACCACGAGCAUCAUCAGUGGCAGCCACCACAGCCCAACGAAGAACGAGGACAAGCAGGCCAUAGCCAUCGUGGAAUGAACCUUGAAAUAUGUGUCAGCAACAAACAGAAGGGAGCAAACUGACUAGGUGUUUAGGCAUGUGCUGUGAGAGAAUAAUCUGGGUAAGAAUGAAUGGCAUAUGCUGGGGCCAACGGUAUUGGCUAUUGGGAACUCCAAUAGUAUCCCAAUUGACGGGGCAAGGAAAGACGAUGAUGGACAAAAUUAUGAGUGGCUGCUCAUGUCUAUAAAAAGAAAAGAAAAAUAGAGUGGCUGCUGAUCAAGAGGGUGCAGGACUUUUCAGAUAUAUCUUGAAUAGUCUAAGUGCCGUGAGCUGCCGGGCAUAUCAUAUAGUCUUUUUGUACUCCCAUUCCUAAAUAUAAAAGCUUUUAGAUAUUCAAAUACAAACUUUCUAGAAGAAUAAUUUAAUAUGCCUUAGGCCAAAACUAUACCGACUUGAUCCGUCAGCAUACAUGGAGAUAUGCCGGUGGUGCACAAAAGUCCAUCGGUAUAUAAAUGUCAUUGGCAUACCUACGUCUAUGCCUACAACAACUGUCGGCAUACAGGUGGACCCGGUGGCCCGGUGAUAGAAAGGCAGGNNNNNNNNNNNNNNNNNNNNNNNNNNNNNNNNNNNNNNNNNNNNNNNNNNNNNNNNNNNNNNNNNNNNNNNNNNNNNNNNNNNNNNNNNNNNNNNNNNNNUCAGUCACGAAGGACGUUUGUCGAAUACAGAAGCUCAUAGUUUAGCUAGACAUGCUAUGCAUCUAGGGGAAGGACGCCAUGUUUGGCUCCUACAACCUUUUGAUACUCUUCUUAUAUCUGUAAACCUUACUAUUGAUCAAUAAAGCAAAGCAGUCUUCCCUCAAAAAAAACCUACCGUUGCCAAUCUUUUAGAAAAAAACUACCGUUGCCAAUCUUUUUUCAAAAAAGAAAAAAACAGAAACCUACCGUUGUUAAUCUUAUUUUUCUUUUGAGAACUAAAAAAACUACCGUUGCCAAUCCUGCAAUGCCAUCACGCAAAGCAUGACCCUGACCAGGACGCGAAAAUAGCUCAGUUUUUAUACGGAAAGUAAAAUCUAUACCUAAUAAUAAAGCGGCUAUUGCUUCCGUCGGAAAACCCACCACGCCAUUUUUAUGAAAAAAACCUGUAAUUUUUGUUAUUCAACCCGCGCUUCAAUUUCUCAUUAUGGUGGAAUUAACAAUGGACGGGUUGAUUUUUCAACAAAAUAGGAUAGGACUAACUACAUUAGUUUAUUAGCUUAUUAUUUUAAUAAAUCAAAAUAAUUUAAAAAAGAUUAAAAGCGUGUGGUGUUUUUUUCUCCCGUUGCAAUGCACGGGCUAUUUUGCUACCUAAUAAUAAAGAGGCUAUCGCUUUCGUCGGAAAAUCCACCGAGGUGUUUUUACAAAAAAGCCCUUACUGUUUAUGACAUUAAACUCGUAGUAUAUAUUAAAUGUUUUUUAAAAUACUCAUAUCUUUUAAACCGUAACUCCAAAUUUAACAUAUUAUAUAUGGAAUUUGAUUAGNNNNNNNNNNNNNNNNNNNNNNNNNNNNNNNNNNNNNNNNNNNNNNNNNNNNNNNNNNNNNNNNNNNNNNNNNNNNNNNNNNNNNNNNNNNNNNNNNNNNAUCAAAUUCCAUAUAUAAUAUGUUAAAUUUGGAGUUACGGUUUAAAAGAUAUGAGUAUUUUAAAAAACAUUUAAUAUAUACUACGAGUUUAAUAUCAUAAACAGUAAUGGCUUUUUUGUAAAAUCAUCUCGGUGGGUUUUCCGACGGAAGCGAUAGCCUCUUUAUUAUUAGGUAAAGAUAGCAAAAAGGCCCAUGCGUUGCAAUGGGAGAAAGAAAUACCACACACUCUUAAUUUAUAAAAAAUGUCUAUAAUCUGAGAAUUUGUAUUUACGACACAAAUAAAGAUGAUCUUAUCCUACAAAAAUGCAGUUCAAAAUUUCACAGGUCUUCUAUUUUAACACGGCUUGCAUGUAGAUUUAAUACGUACAAAGAAUCCGUCAAGUGACCUUCAGUUUCAUCUCUAAUCCUGAUUUUGUUGACGUGUUCAUCUCCAACCCGGAUGAGUACUGGUAUGAAAGAAAGACGAAUAAUGACUUAUUUAUUAAGAUUGCACCCUAGAUAGUAUUUUUAUUAAACGUUUAACAGAUAAAAUAAUAUCAUAUUUAAAUUCUACAUUAAAUACUCAUAUCUUUUAAAUUCUACAUAUAUCAAAUUCCAUAUAUAAUAUGUUAAAUUUGGAGUUACGGUUUAAAAGNNNNNNNNNNNNNNNNNNNNNNNNNNNNNNNNNNNNNNNNNNNNNNNNNNNNNNNNNNNNNNNNNNNNNNNNNNNNNNNNNNNNNNNNNNNNNNNNNNNNCCCUCACGGCCUCCUCCUACCCCGGCGGCCCCUCCCCUCUUCGGCCGGCGAGCCACCCCCUCCACCGCGCCGGCCAGCAGCCCCCCCUCGGCCUCCACCCCGCCGGUAGGGGGCCCCGGCUGCCUCGGCCUCCACCUCGCCGGCCUACCAACCGUCGCCCUCGUCGGCCUUCUCCCGCUCGGUCCGGGAGGGACCGGGCAGGGAGACGUCAUCAUCUCGCCGGAUUCGGCCGGCUCCUCCUCGCCGGCACGCCCGGAAUCACCACCGGAACCGCGCGGCGUCACCGUCGUCACCUUCACCUUCGUGCGAACUCCGGCUUCAUCGGGCCGUCUCGUCACCGUCGGUGAGCCCCUCCUCGGGCUCCUCCCACCAUGUUGAUCUCCUCACCGCCCCGGUUCCGUUCCGGCAAACGGGGCCUCGAUCCGUCAACGGUAGACACCGGUAGGAAGGAUUGAAGUUUGUGUUCUUCUUGGUGGAGUUAGCAGAGAGUUGUUCUUUGUCUGUUAACACAGAGAGAGAGAUGAGUGUUGAGAGAGAAAAGAAAUAAAAACAAAUGAUGUAUUAGAUGCGUAUGUAUGUAUGUAUGUAUGUAUGAGAUGUGAUGUAUGUAUUUGCGUAUAUGGAUAUUUAGAGGAAUACGGUAUUUGCACGGUUAGGUAUCUAAUAAUAAAUAGAUGAGUAAAUAACCUUAGGUCACUUACCGAUGGCGCCAAUGCACCCGCUGUCUAUGACAGGGAGGCCCCAUGCGAGAGUUAAUAUAAAUUAUAAAAAUAAUGUUUUAUUAAAUAAAUAANNNNNNNNNNNNNNNNNNNNNNNNNNNNNNNNNNNNNNNNNNNNNNNNNNNNNNNNNNNNNNNNNNNNNNNNNNNNNNNNNNNNNNNNNNNNNNNNNNNNNNNNNNNNNNNNNNNNNNNNNNNNNNNNNNNNNNNNNNNNNNNNNNNNNNNNNNNNNNNNNNNNNNNNNNNNNNNNNNNNNNNNNNNNNNNNNNNNNNNNNNNNNAAUAAAAACUUGCGCCUAUGACGUUCGGGACCCGCAGGUCAGUUGACCGGUCAAAUGUUGAUGUCAGCAUGACAUCGCGAUGAUGNNNNNNNNNNGUGGGGCCAAUGCACCCGCUGUCUAUGACAGGGAGGCCCCACGCGAGAGUUAAUAUAAAUUAUAAAAAUAAUGUUUUAUUAAAUAAAUAAAUAGAUAUAUUAGUUAAAAUAAUUAAUUAACACAAUUAGAGUACGACACGUGGGUCCCUCGUUGAAUUAAUCUGAUUAAUAAAUAAUUAAUCUUCAUAAAAACUUGUGCCUAUGACGUUCGGGACCCGCAAGUCAGUUGACCGGUCAAAUGUUGAUGUCAGCAUGACAUCGCGAUGAUGUCAUAAUAGGAUUUUACUAAAUCUUUUAAAUCUGUUUUUAAUUCUUAAAUAAUUAAUAAAACUUUGAAAAUUAAUAUUAAAUAAUCCGUAAGUCAGAUCAAAAUAUUUUCAACAUGAAAGUUGAUCAGCAAAACGAGACGAACCCGGAUACACGGUCCGUUCGUCUCUCACGCGUCCCUAGCAUAGCAAACAUGGAACUUUUCCAUCGUUUCCAGNNNNNNNNNNUAAAGUUGAUCAGCAAAAUGAGACGAACCCGGAUACAUGGUCCGUUCGUCUGUCACGCGUCCCUAGCAUAGCAAACAUGGAACUUUUCCAUCGUUUCCAGUAUAACCGGUAGUAGCCCGAGACCCGGAAAAUAUCGUGAGAUAUUCUUCCGACCCGUCUAUGACGGAUGCUGCUGCGUUAGCUCAUGUCUAGCCUGCAUCUUUCCAUGUCAUGCUUUGUGUUGCAUCGGUGCUAUUAUUUAUUGUUUCUUCCCCCUCUUCUUACCGGUAGCCCCCGAGACUGACGCUGCUGUCGGGUACAUCUACGACCCUGCCGAUCAGUCCUUUGCCACAGAGCAGCAAGGCAAGCAAACUCCCCUUGAUCAUUCCUAUAUCGCCUAUGUCUUUCUUCCUACUGCUUGCAUUAGUAUUUUGCUACUGUUGUAGUUAGCUCCUAUAUCUGAUGCAUAGCCUGUUUUUGAUGAACUGCUGCUUUCAGUCCUGUACUUUUAAUAUGCUUAGUAUAGGUGGAGCAGUCAUCCCCUCUGACCCCGUAGUUCAGUUGCCCUGCUUGUUUUCAAACCUCGAUCUCUGAUCGACGAGCCAGACCCGACACAGCACAUUCACCCCCCCCCCUUUGUUGUACGACGCUACAGAGAUACUAUCGGGUACCGAGGGUGACACCUCACUAAGUACUCCUGAUGAUAUCUCUGUAGUAUAGCUAGUCGGUCGUGGUUAUCGAGGGUGAUUCCUCUUUCACCAUUCCCGAUGACGUCUCUGUCAUGCCACCCCGCGAGUGUGGGACCCCCGAGGGUGAUUCCUCUAAGCCCACCUUGACGGGUACAUCGUUCGGGAUCCAACGAGGGUGAUUCCUCGGAUUCCCCCCAAUGUUACAACCACACAGAUACUCGACCAUGUUACUGGGAUCAUUGGUGAUUAGUUGUAAGACGGGUGGAUUCCCGUGAGACUGUGUUGAUGGCAUAAUUAAAAUGCUAAUGGAUUUGGGUAUUUGAUCUGGGUUGGUCGGAGACAUUUUCGCACUAACCGGCUACGCGGGAAGAAUUAUGGGUACUCGACGUCGCGGUAUCAGCCGAAGCUUUUCAUAUGCCAGCAAUGUAGCGGCGCGCGCCCGAGUGGUCCCGAGAUGCAUCACGCUUGUGAUUAAGGGAUGCUAGGACUGACGUCGGCCGCCCACGCCACGUGCAGGAGCGUGAAGGGGAACUGGGCCCACGAACCCUUAUUGCUUAGGAUUUAGACCAGUGGGCUGGCCUCUCUAAUUAGUCUUAGGUGGGGCUGCGACGUGUCGAUAUUCCGAGGCCGGGCAGGACCCAGAAAAGUAUGUCCGGCCAGAGUGUUAUCGAGCGUGACGGGACAUGUGGUGCACCCCUGCAGGGAUGAAAAUUAACUAUUCGGAUAGCCGUGUCCACGGUUACAGGACGACUUGGAGUUGUGCCCCGAUCUUAUACAACUACAAUUGUUACUUAACUGGAAUUAGUUUGCCUCGGGAUUGCUUCCUCGCAGGGAGUCGAGGGAGGAUCUUUAGGCGUGACCUCACUUUAAUAUUGCUGCAACAAUAUGACUAUUAAUGUUUUACUCCUGUUCUACUCUCGUCUAUUGCCGCAAGACCCUGAAGAUGCUAGUCUUCGAUAGGACUAGGCCUUCUCUGUCUAUUUCUCGCAUUGCUGCAGUCAGUCCACAUAUAACCCCCCUUCUUUGAUACUGAUGCAUAAUUAGAAUAGUUCUGAUGUAAGACUUGCGAGUACUUUGGAUGAGUAGUCACGCUGCUUUGCUCCCCCCUUGUCCCCUUGAUCCGUUUGCUGCGACCAGAUGAUGAAGCCCAGGAGAUGGAGGUCCCCGCCGCCGACGACUGCUACCCCGACGGUGCCUACUACUACGUGGAGGCCGCUGAUGAUCAGGAGUAGUUAGGAGGUUCCCAGGAAGGAGGCCUCGCCUCGUUCGAUCGUUGUAUCUUUUGUGCUAGCCUUCUNNNNNNNNNNNNNNNNNNNNNNNNNNNNNNNNNNNNNNNNNNNNNNNNNNNNNNNNNNNNNNNNNNNNNNNNNNNNNNNNNNNNNNNNNNNNNNNNNNNNUCGUGAUGAAUACCCCGGGCUUUUUCCCUCUACCUCUUAAUUCUCGGGACGAGAAUUCUUGUUAGUAGGGGAGAAUUGUGACAUCCUCGACUUUUGCUACAGUAAUUAUUGUAAUUAAGCUACAGUGAUCAAUCGCUAAUGAUGCCACGUCAUCGAAUUCCCAUCUGAGACCCGCGUUGAUUCGAGUCUGUUCGGAUCCAAAAAUUGAAAACAAAAGGAAAGUACUUUAUCGGUUCAUUACAAGUAUUAAAAGAAUAUGUAUAUGAAAGAGAGAAUUAAAAGUAUGUAUAAUAAAUUAUAAAAGAAAGUAUAUUAAAAGAAAGUAUUUAAAAAGAAAAANNNNNNNNNNCAGACCCGCGUUGAUUCGAGUCUGUCCAGAUCCAAAAAUUGAAAACAAAAGGAAAGUACUUUAUCGGUUCAUUACANNNNNNNNNNNNNNNNNNNNNNNNNNNNNNNNNNNNNNNNNNNNNNNNNNNNNNNNNNNNNNNNNNNNNNNNNNNNNNNNNACAAAACAAAACAAAACAACAAAAAAGAAAGAAAGAAAAACAACCCCGGCCCAACUGGGCCAAAUGGCCCAGCCGGCCUCCCCAACCCCUCCCAAACCCUAGCGAGGGCCACCCCCACGCCAGUUCCCUCGCCCCCCUCACGCUAUUCCCAGCGCCGCCGCCCUCCCCACACUCCCUCUCGGCCCCACCCCACCCACCGACAGCGCCUCCCUCCCCUCUCGCACUACCCACGAGAGCCCUCAUCCCCACGAGAGAACCCCACCUCCCGUGACUCUCUCCCACGAACCCUNNNNNNNNNNNNNNNNNNNNNNNNNNNNNNNNNNNNNNNNNNNNNNNNNNNNNNNNNNNNNNNNNNNNNNNNNNNNNNNNNNNNNNNNNNNNNNNNNNNNAAGGUUCGAAGUUGGCAUGGUAUCAUCAUUUCACCCACAUAGCAUGUUCGAGAAAGUUGAGAGGGUUACGACAAAAACUGGAUGCACUUCGUGUACAAAACGGAGAAUCUAUUUGGAAGUAUCAGGGUUUCAUACGGAAACUCGUCUGUUACAAAGGGAUUUCAUUUUUUAAAACUUUUUUGAACUCCGUAGUUUUUCUGUGUUCCAAUUGCACCAUUCAAAGCCACAUCAUCAAUUUACAACCCUUUCAGACUUCAUUUGUUGAUUUUCAUGCAUUUACUCAUUAUUUUGAGCUAUAAGACGAUGAAAUUGAAAAGCAUUUGAAAUGAACUCUGAAAAGGUUCCAAGUUGNNNNNNNNNNGUUUUUUGAACUUAUUUGAACUCCAUAGUUUUUCUGUGUUCAAAAUGUACCAUUCAAAGCCACAUGAUCAAUUUACAACCCUUUCUGACUUCAUUGGUUAUUUUUCAUGCAUUUACUGAUUAUUUUGAGCUAUAAGACCAUGAAAUUGAAAAACAUUUGAAAUGAACUCUGAAAAGGUUCCAAGUUGGCAGUGGUGACAAUUUAACACAACACAUGAUAUCCAUUACACCUAGGGCAUAACAUUACAUUUGUUCAAGUUCACAACAGUGCACAAAUGAUAGAAUUACAUCUAGGACACAACACAGUAGCAGAAACAUAACACAAAUGGUAGGAACACAACACACAAAUGAUAGAAUUACAUUUGUUCUUGGCGUAAACCGGGGCUAAAGCCCCCCUUCUAAAUCGGUUCAAGGCAUGAACCGAUACCAAUGGAUGUGGGCCAGGAGCGGGGCCCAUUGGUCCCGGUUCGUGCCUAGAACCGGGACAAAUGAGUCCACACGAACCGGGACCAAUACCCACGAGGCCCCGGCCGGCCCCUGGGCUAAUGAACCGGGACUGCUGCCCCCAUGGGUCCCGGUUCGUGAAGAACCGGGACUAAUGGGUUGGCCAGGCCCGAACCAAAGCCCUAUUUUCUACUAGUGAUCCACCUAAACAUGCCAAAUAAGAUAUGUGGCUGUAGGUAUCCAAGAGUACUAUAAGGGAAAGCUAGAAUCUCACACAAACGAGUUAAACAUAGAAAGUUACAAGGCUGCAAACUUGCCCAAAAAUAUCAGAUUUCAGGGACUUAGUGAAAAUUCCAGAUUCUCACUUUCUGUUUAUGCUCUGAAGCAUUUUGACACCAGUCAAAACAAUAUCUACAGGAAUCCAAAUGGAAUGAAAAUUUACAGGGAGCUAGACAAACAUAUCAGCUUCAACUUUACAGUUGAAAGCUAAGGCUAAAUCACAACACAUUUACCUGCACAACCUCAUCUACACGAGAAGAAAAUAUAAACAGAUUCUCAGACUUAGUGAAAAUCUGAUUUUCACUAAUCUGAAAUUUCAGGCACAUGCCUACUUUGAUUGGGCACAACUUGCACAUAUGGAUUCCUAAACAUGAAAUCAAACCAACAUGUGGUAGAGGGGGUCACCCUCUACUACCACAACCAAGAACCAAACACAUGGGCACACCACAACUCAUGGAACCAAGCUCUAAACAUAGAACAAAAUGAAAUAUGUCAUCUCCAGAAAAAUAUUCCAAUGGCAAAACUAAUCUCACCAAUGGAUUCCUGGGAUGAUUCUACCCCAAAAACAUAUAUAAAACAUAUGCACUUUCUUGAAACAAGUGAGCACAAACUAGGAAGGAAAAACUACUUAGAAUCCUAUAUAGUGAAUAGUGUUGGGGAACGUCGCAUGGGAAACAAAAAAUUUCCUACGCGCACGAAGACCUAUCAUGGUGAUGUCCAUCUACGAGAGGGGAUGAGUGAUCUACGUACCCUUGUANNNNNNNNNNNNNNNNNNNNNNNNNNNNNNNNNNNNNNNNNNNNNNNNNNNNNNNNNNNNNNNNNNNNNNNNNNNNNNNNNNNNNNNNNNNNNNNNNNNNGGAUCCAAUAACCUUGUUCUGUGACAACACUGGUGCCAUUGCUCUGGCAAAGGAACCAAGGUUUCACAAGAAGACCAGACACAUCAAACGACGCUUCAACCUCAUCCGCGACUACGUCGAGGAGGAGGACGUAAAUAUAUGCAAGGUGCACACGGAUCUGAAUGUAGCAAACCCGCUGACUAAACCUCUUCCACGGCCAAAACAUGAUCGACACCAGAACUGUAUGGGUGUUAGAUUUAUUACAAUGUAAUUCACAUGGUGAUGUGAGGGCUAGAUUAUUGACUCUAGUGCAAGUGGGAGACUGUUGGAAUUAUGCCCUAGAGGCAAUAAUAAAUGUAUAGUUAUUAUUAUAAUUCCUGUAUCAAGAUAAUAGUUUAUUAUCCAUGCUAUAAUUGUAUUGAAUGAAGACUCAUUUACAUGUGUGGAUACAUAGACAAAACACCGUCCCUAGCAUGCCUCUAGUUGGCUAGCCAGUUGAUCAAUGAUAGUCAGUGUCUUCUGAUUAUGAACAAGGUGUUGUUGCUUGAUAACUGGAUCACGUCAUUGGGAGAAUCACGUGAUGGACUAGACCCAAGCUAAUAGACGUAGCAUGUUGAUCGUUUCAUUUUGUUGCUACUGUUUUCUGCGUGUCAAGUAUUUAUUCCUAUGACCAUGAGAUCAUAUAACUCACUGACACUGGAGGAAUGCUUUGUGUGUAUCAAAUGUCGCAACGUAACUGGGUGACUAUAAAGAUGCUCUACAGGUAUCUCCGAAGGUGUUAGUUGAGUUAGUAUGGAUCAAGACUGGGAUUUGUCACUCCGUGUGACGGAGAGGUAUCUCGGGGCCCACUCGGUAAUACAACAUCACACAUAAGCCUUGCAAGCAAUGUAACUUAGUGUAAGUUGCGGGAUCUUGUAUUACGGAACGAGUAAAGAGACUUGCCGGUAAACGAGAUUGAAAUAGGUAUGCGGAUACUAACGAUCGAAUCUCGAGCAAGUAACAUACCGAAGGACAAAGGGAAUGACAUACGGGAUUAUACGAAUCCUUGGCACUGAGGUUCAAACGAUAAGAUCUUCGUAGAAUAUGUAGGAUCCAAUAUGGGCAUCCAGGUCCCGCUAUUGGAUAUUGACCGAGGAGUCUCUCGGGUCAUGUCUACAUAGUUCUCGAACCCACAGGGUCUGCACACUUAAGGUUCGACGUUGUUUUAUGCGUAUUUGAGUUAUAUGGUUGGUUACAAAAUGUUGUUCGGAGUCCCGGAUGAGAUCACGGACGUCACGAGGGUUUCUGAAAUGGUCCGGAAACGAAGAUUGAUAUAUAGGAUGACCUCAUUUGAUUACCGCAAGGUUUUCGGAGUUACCGGGAAUGUACCGGGAAUGACGAAUGGGUUCCGGGAGUUCACCGGGGGGGCAACCUACCCCGGGGAAGCCCAUAAGCUUUGGGGAGACACACCAGCCCUUAGUGGGCUGGUGGGACAUCCCCAAGGGAGCCUAUGCGCCAAGAAAAGGAAUCAAAGGAAAAAAGAAAAAAAAAGAGGGAGGAAGUGGGAAGGGAGGGGGACUCCUCCCACCAAACCAAGUCCAACUCGGUUUGGGGGGGGGGAGUCCUCCCCCCCCUUGGCUCGGCCGACCCCUUGAGGGUCCCUUGGACCCCAAGGCAAGGUCCCCCUCCCUCCUCCUAUAUAUAUGGAGCUUUUAGGGCAGAUUUGAGACGACUUUCUCACGGCUGCCCGACCACAUACCUCCAUAGUUUUUCCUCUAGAUCGCGUUUCUGCGGAGCUCGAGCGGAGCCCUGCUGAGACAAGGUCACCACCAACCUCCGGAGUGCCGUCACGCUGCCGGAGAACUCUUCUACCUCUCCGUCUCUCUUGCUGGAUCAAGAAGGCCGAGAUCAUCGUCGAGCUGUAUGUGUGCUGAACGCGGAGGUGCCGUCCGUUCGGUACUAGAUCGUGGGACUAAUCGCGGGAUUGUUCGCGGGGCGGAUCAAGGGACGUGAGGACGUUCCACUACAUCAACCGCGUUCUCUAACGCUUCUGCUGUACGAUCUACAAGGGUACGUAGAUCACUCAUUCCCUCUCGUAGAUGGACAUCACCAUGAUAGGUCUUCGUGCGCGUAGGAAAUUUUUUGUUUCCCAUGCGACGUUACUCAACUCCGGUCCGUGUAAAGAACCGGGACUAAAGGGCCUGCCCCUGAGGGCUCUCCGAGGCGCCCACGUGGAGCACCUUUAGUCCCGGCUUGGAACAGGGCCGGGACUAAAGGUUAGGCCUUUAGUCCCGCCCCUUUAGUCCCGGUUGGUGAACCGGGACUAAAGCCCCUUACGGGCCGGGGCUAUAGGCCCUGUCCCCACUAGUGGGUAUUGAAACUAGAAUAAAGAGAUGCAUGAAUCUAGCUAGUAGUUACUUACAUCUAUUUGUUUAAACGUAAGCUCUAACUUGCAAUCACCCCGAGCCUUGCCGGUGAACCGUUCAAGCCCUGCCAAGAAAAGGAAAUGAAUAUCAAGAAAUGAACGAGAAGUUGCCGAUAUAGUGUCAUAAUGAUUGAAAUUACCUCUCGAGGAAUUCCUGCAUGUUCGCCCAUUCAGCGAGGGGUGUGCGUUUCGGGUCCAUGACUUUUACUAGUCCGUCGUCAGGUACAAUAAUUAACAGAAUAAAGUGGAACCUGCGCACUCAUAUAGAGUCAAUUACACACUUAUAAUAAUAUCGAGUAAGCGAAAAUACAAUGCGUGUAGUAAGACUCACUUGAAGUUGUAAGGAAAUAGUAUUUCCCUUUUGGUACUGCAAAACCUUAACCCUUGUACCAAGUUAUUCUCUGUCUCGCGGGGAUUCGUUGCGAGACUUUAGUGAUGAAUGUAAUAUGGGUCAAUAAACCCAAUGUCAUAGAUUUGUCCUCUUUUGCAUUGUAGAAUCUUUAUUCUGCAAAAUUAAUAUAGUGAUGAGCAAGAUUAUACAUGCAAGAACGAGCUGAGUAAGACUUAAUGACAUAAAUUAAUAAUACUUACAAACAAUAGGCUGUGAUGAUAGGUUUGUCAAUGGUGUCUUGAUUAUAUACUAAAAUAAUUCGUCGAAUUCAAUCAUUAGCACGUCUCGUCUAGUCCCGAAAUGCUCGUCUUCAUAUCCAACGUAGAUCCAAUUUUGUUGUUCUUUACAUGCUUGCAUGUACCAGUCAUGCAAUCUUUGUAUUUUGGUUGGUAGCUCGUUGACUAACUCAGGUUUGACAAGAGGUGACCCGUACCGGUACACGUAUGUUAGGUCAGCGAAUUCCCGCAAAUGGUUUAAGUACUCAUCAAUAGACAUGCCUUGAGCCUUGGCCGCUUCUUCGUAUAUUGCAACAAACUCCGGAUCGAUACCAGUUGUUUCAUCAUUCCUCUGCUCGACCGCAGCUCCGCUCGAGCACACCUUUGUAUCGGAAUACACUUUGAGCCGGGGGCACGAUUAGUUUUUCUGUUGUCCGAGCUGGGCAACUGAUUUCCCGCUGGACAUACUACUCUUCAACUGUUGCUUUUUUGCCUGAGCCGACUUCAGAAUAGAGCGUUCAUAGUCAGCUCGCAACGGUGGCGGGGGAUCUGCAAGGUUUUUCAGCAUUUUCAUGCACGCGACGUGAUCUUCUGGGGUGUCUGGGAACUCUGGCUCUUUCGGCUUCUUCUUGUUAGCCACUCCAGCCUUCCACUGUUGAUGUUGGGCGUCUACCCUCUUAAUAUUGUCCUCUCCAGUAUAGUCCCAAGAUCUCUUCUCCAUAUCCUUAUGAGGUACUUUUGGGAGGGGCGACAACUUACGUUUCAGUGAUCGGAACCCCUUUCUGUCGCCACUAUUAGCGGUGGUACGUUUCCGCUUUUUGCUCUGAUCUUCAGUGGAUGGAGACGGCUGACGGGGCGGUGGAGAUGGAUGAUGCGGCGGUGGAGAUGGCUGCGCGGGAGAAAGUGAGGCGGUGGAGACGGCUGAUGCGGCGGUGGAGACGGAUGCGCUGGAGACUGGUGAGGUGGAGACGGCUGCGCUGGAGACUGGUGAGGCGGCGAAGACGAUGGUUGCGCUGGAGACUGGUGAGGUGAACGCGUAGAAGGAUUGCUGCUAUGAGGAUUCGGUGGCCUUGGCGUCCAAUUUGGAAGCAAGAUGUCCUUCUUUGGCCAUACAACGGUUUGUUUCUUGACUUCUCCAAGUUGAGUCAAAUUCCUAUCUUCACCUACCGGGUGGUCGAGCUUCAGCUCCUCAUAAUCUUUCAACACUUCAUCCACCGCGACGACAGCGUACCCUUCUGGAACCGGAGAGCAAUGCCAAGUUGGAUUAUGUCCAAUUGGUAUGGCCAUGCCGACCGCCACCGUCAACCAUAAGUUAGCAACUUUCACCUUCAGCUCACAAGGUGUGCUCUCUGUGAUAUCAUCCACUGGGUAGCGACGAGGAGGAUCCGUCGACAGUGCAUCAUCACCAUCAUCCUGGAGCUGCGUGGAAGCGACACUUCUUUUCCGAUUUGAUAUAGCUUCUAUCAUGAGCCGCUGAGAUUGGACGCUACCUUGUUGUCUGUCGAUUUGAUCCGGCUGCAGCCGCUUUACUGCUUCUUCUAGAUUAUGCAGCCGGUCUGCCUCAGCCGCUUUAUCACGUUCCUCGUUUUCCUUUCUCCUCUGAUGGCUUCUAUCGGGAAAUCUCUUCCUUUCCUCGGAAAAAGCAAGUAUCCACGGUGGGGAGCAUGGUAAGCCUUGUGCUCGCCUUCUGUGUUCCUUAUUCCCAAGGGCGCUUGUGAGCUCGUCGUUCUCUCUAUCGGGACCGAACCGUCCCUCUUCAACAUGGUGUACGACACGUCUAAUGUCCUCGAUGGGUAGGGGAUUAUCUUUGUGUUUUUGGUCAUAUAUUGCCUUCCCUUCUUUGUCCAACAAUCCCUCAUGCCCGUAAAACCAGUUUCUUCCCCGUUCGAGCCAUCUUAAGGUCUCCGGAGUGAUAUUUUUUUUCCACAAAUGAUACCUCAAGUGCUUCCCACUUAGCCAUCUUACCGCCGUAGUCACCAGGCCCCAUAAUAUGGUGAUACUUCUUCUUACCUGCAUUCAUCCUAUUUGUUGCAGACUUUUCCAAGGCGUCCACCGAUUUCUUGUACGCCACAAAUUCGGCGCAGUAGUCUUUUAUCUUUUCAUAGCCGUGAUCGAAAUCUGGAGUCUUAUCUUUCAAGAUAAAAUCCUGGUGCAAUAAGUAUGGAGUUUAAAUAAGUUCAAAAAAAAUGAAAUCCCUUUGUAAUAGACGAGUUUCCGUAUGAAACCCUSAUACUUCGAAAGAGAUUGUCCGUUUUGUACACGAAGUGCAUCCAGUUUUUGCCGUAACCCUCUCAACUUUCUCGCACAUGCUAUGUGGGUGAAAUGAUGAUACCAUGCCAACUUGGAACCUUUUCAGAGUUCAUUUCAAAUGCUUUUCAAUUUCAUGGUCUUAUAGCUCAAAAUAAUGAGUAAAUGCAUGAAAAAUAACAAAUGAAGUCAGAAAGGAUUGUAAAUUGAUGAUGUGGCUUUGAAUGGUGCAUUUUGAACACAAAAAAACUAUGGAGUUCAAAUAAGUUCAAAAAAAUGAAAUCCCUUUGUAAUAGACGAGUUUCCGUAUGAAACCCUCAUACUUCGAAAGAGAUUGUCCGUUUUGUACACGAAGUGCAUCCAGUUUUUGCCGUAACCCUCUCAACUUUCUCGCACAUGCUAUGUGGGUGAAAUGAUGAUACCAUGCCAACUUGGAACCUUUUCGGAGUUCAUUUCAAAUCCUUUUCAAUUUCAUGGUCUUAUAGCUCAAAAUAAUCAGUAAAUGCAUGAAAAAUAACAAAUGAAGUCAGAAUGGGUUGUAAAUUGAUGAUGUGGCUUUGAAUGGUGCAUUUUGAACAUAAAAAAAACUUUCGAGUUCAAAUAAGUUCAAAAAAAUGAAAUCUCUUUGUAACAGACGAGUUUCCGUAUGAAACGUUGAUACUUCCAAAGAGAUCGUCCGUUUUGUACACGAAGUGCAUCCAGUUUUUGCCGUAACCCCCUCAACUUUCUAGCACAUGCUAUGUGGGUGAAAUGAUGAUACCAUGCCAACAUGGAACAUUUUCUGAGUUCAUUUCAAAUGCUUUUCAAUUUCAUGGUCUUAUAGGUCAAAAUAAUCAGUAAAUGCAUGAAAAAUAACAAAUGAAGUCAGAAAGGGUUGUAAAUUGAUGAUGUGGCUUUGAAUGAUGCAUUUUGAACACAGAAAAACUAUGAAGUUCAAAUAAGUUCAAAAAAUGAAACCCCUUUGUAACACACGAGUUUCCGUAUGAAACCCUGAUACAUCCAAAGAGAUUGUCCGUUUUGUACACGAAGUGCAUCCAGUUUUUGCCUCUAGUAUUAUUGAAACUAAAAUUAUAUAGAAUUUUGUUACAAACUUUAAUAGGAAAAAGAAUUAUCAUAAAAGAAACCAAACAAGAAAUUAGAAUUUUGUUCAAAACAUUAAAAGCAAAAAGAAUUAUCAUAAAAGAAAAUAAAUAAGUAAUUAGAAUUUUAUUACAAACUUUAAUAGCAAAAAGAAUUAUCGUAAAAGAAAAUAAAUAAGUAAUUACAAAAAAAGAGCAAAAAACAGGGAAAAAAAUAAAAAAAAAGUAGCCACCUACAGGGCCACCACGGCCUGCAUACGACUAGAAACCCAUUACUAGGGCCAAGAUGCACGCCCGCGGUAGGCCCAAUAGGCCCACAAGCACAGAGAGUGAUUUUAGGCCCGUAAGACUGCAGUAGAGAGGAGCUCGAAGUGGUUGGUUCGGUAGGGCUUAUAAACCACUCCGAGCCCCUAUCGGCUAACGAAGUGGGACUAAACAUAGCACCGCACCGCGCAAGGCCUUUGGUCCCGGUUGGUGGCACCAACCGGGACUAAAGGGAGGCAUUGGUACCGGUUUGUGCCACCAACCGAUACCAAUGCAUCUGCUUCCCGCCCUUUGGGCUGCUGAAAAGAGACCUUUGGUCCCGGUUUAUGCCACCAACCGGUACCAAUGCCUCUGCUUCCCGCCCUUUGGGCUGCUGAAAAGAGACCUUUGGUCCCGAUUGGUGCCACCAACCGGGACUAAAGGUGGGGCUAUAUAAGCGUUAGUUUAGAAAUUUUGAUCACUCCCCCUCUCUCCAUUCGACCCCGACGCCGCUAGGCUGCCCGUCUCGUCGUCGACGUCGUCGUCGUCGCCCCGCGCCGUCCCGCGCCGCCCGCCCCGACGCCAUCCCGCGCCGCCCCGACGCCGCCCUGCACCGCCCUGCCCCGCGCCACACCUCGCCAUCGCCGUCGCCGUCGCCGUGAGCAAAGAUUUUUUUUUUCAAAAAUAAGGUCAACCGAGAUAGGUCCGGUGCUCUUUGUAUGUUAACUCAAGUAGCAGAUCAAUCUUCAGAGUAGAUGUAGGUCAACACAGGUUUACUUUAUGGUCCGUGCAUGGUAUAUAUUUAGGCUGCUCAAUGUUUAUGGUUGAUAUAUUAAAUAAAUUGACUACAAUUUGAGAUUUAGUUUAAAAUUUAUGCUUCUGGCUAGAUUAUCUUUCUCUAUUAUUGUGUCUCAAGGUACUUCAAUACUUAUCCUGCAAAAAAUUACUUAAAUACUUUAUUUAUGGAUAUAUUUUUUAUUUUUUUACAAACGCUAUUUUAAAAUAUAGCACGUUAUUAGCGCGCUAUAACUUGUGUAGCAUUUGGAGAAGGGCCUCGCUAUAUUUUGUAGCACGCUAUUUUUUUCACUCAUAUACAUGCAAAGAUCCAAUAUAUCAAAUUUUUAUGAUUUUUUCUGUUGUAAUUUUGUUCAUAGAGUUUUAAUGAUUUUUUUGUUCACAGUAUUUUCUUUGUCAAUUUAUGUAUAUGUUCAUAUUGUGUAUGUAUAGGAAAAUUAUGCAUGAUCAAAGUCAUUUAUGAAUAUGUUCAUAUUUAGAAUAGAGGAAAAAGGAAAAAAUAAGAAGAGAAAGUGUUUAACAUAAUUAGUUAGAAAAAUAAUAAAACUAUAGUUAAACUAGUUUAUUUUUAGUAAGUACUACUUUAUUUUAUUUAUAGUAAGUGCUUUAUAUAUAGUUGAACUAGCUAGUUGAUUUAAUAAACUACUUUAUUUUACUAUAUAUAGAAGUAGUUUGUUUUUAGUAAGUACUACUUUAUUUAUUUAUAGUAAGUGCUUAGUAGUUGAACUAGUUGAUUUAAUUAAUAAAACUACUUUAUUUAACUAUAUAUAGAAGUAGUUCCCGCAUCGACGUCAACUUGUUGUUAUAUAUAAUCGUGACACACUUUAUUUAACUAUGUAUGAUGAUGAUUAAUUAGUAGGACUUGUUGUUAUAUAUGAUGAUGCAUGAUGCGAGCAUGAAGAGUUAUUAUAUAUAGAUGUUCAAUUCUUUCGAUAUAUAUAGUAUUUCACGAUUAUAUUGUUGUUUACACACAUUUACCACAUUAAAACAGGAAAUGUCUGACGAUGGAUAUUGGGAGUAUGAAUAUUGCGGCGACACUCGGGGUAUGUGCGACAUACCUCACCUGCGAGACGAUAGGUUCUUCAGCAUGAAGCUUGACGAGAACGGAGAUAUGUACCUCCCUUGCCAUGCAAGAAGAUAUGUGUUGGAGAGGCUCGGUUUCGAAGACCACGAGAGAAUUGAGACGAGGAGCGCUAAGCUGAGGACUAUACAUGGUCACACAUUUGUUAUCCAAGUAUUUAAUUCAGUUUUUCAAACAGAAUUUGGGUGCCCAGAGUGGGAAGAUCUUUGCAAGGCAUAUGGAUUUCAGAAGGGAAUGGAAAUCACCUUCGAUCUUCGUCCUGAAGAUAAUAUGCCAGACAACAUCGACAUUUGGGUGGUUGUCGAUGAUAUGCUUCCUGUUUUACGUCCAUGUGAGUUUCUCAACUAUAUUUGUCAAGUUAUUUGUAUUUAUAUUUAUAAAUAGUUGGUGUAGUCAACCUGUUUUGCUCUCGCAAUUUACAUGUCAUGUGGUGUUCAUCGUCUAUUAAAACUUUGGCCACACGUUGCAGGUUCCUAGCUAUUGGGCCAUAAUUAUAAUUAUAUCAUGUUACAUGUUGUACAAACAACAACAACCCAAAUUGUCCUUUGAAUGAUCGUAGCACAUGUGGUUGUUUUGAAUGGUUUAUAUAAUGCCCACAUCUUGCGGACAAUUACAAAAUUUCUAAGUAUUUUUGAAACAUUAAAUUAUUACAAAAUUUGGAUGGUUGUCGAUGAUAUGCUUCCUGUUUUACCUCCAUGUGAAGUAAUUUGCAUUUAUAUUUAGAAAUAGUUGGUGUUCAUCUAUAUACUAAAUUUGUUAAAUUAUAAUUUACAGCUUAUUUCGUUCACGUAUGGAUCACAUCUAACUUGGAAGGAGAAGGAUGAUCUUCUCCACUUUCUUGUUGCUGGUGUUCUGGCUUCUAGGGAUACCUUCCCGUAUCAUUUUGGAAUUGGCCAAAAUUAUGCAUUUUACAUGCCACUAGUGCAUAGGUUGAGUCCAGAUACAUUCGCCGAAAUGUCUUGGUAAGAGUUUCCUAAUUAAGUACGCUCCACUAUUGCAUAAAUGGUGUUGAUUACAUUGCUAACUAGAUUAUUAUUAUGUUCUUCAACAGCAACUGCCACAUGAUGUAGUGCCUCCGUUAAUGGACCCAGAAGGUCAAAUGAGAAUUAGAAGCCCGCUGAGAGCUGAGUUCUAUGCUCCAUACUUGAUUAACUUCAAAUCAAGAUCAAAAAGACUCCAAAUUGAAGCAUGGAGAGAAAUAAAGAAGGUUCGCAAGCCACAAGCUGGAGACCGUUGGAUCUCUGUGAUUCAUCAUGGAGCCAUAGGUCUUAUUCUGUUUUAUGACAUUAUAUCUAAGAGCGAGGACUAGGUCUUAUGAGAGACAAGUUAUUCUAGUUUAUAUUAUUACUUGACAUGAUCGAUUAAUUAGGAUGCAUGAUGCAUAUGAUGACUAUAUAUAUUAUGAUGUUUCUCUGUUUUAUUUUAUGUGUAUCAUAUGAUAACUUGGUAUAUGAUUAAGUUGAUGAUGAGUUGCUAGAUGAUCGAUUAGAAUACUAUUGCCAUUCGACGAAAAUGAUAUGAAAUGAUAUAGUGUAAAAAAGAUGCAUAUAUGUGCAUGUAACUCGUGUCUACAUUUUGGAAACAUGUUCGACAUAUAAGAGAGGACACUUUUCUCUAUUAGCUAGCUAAUAACAACCUAAAUUAAUCCCUAAACCAGCCCCUUUAAAAAAACCUCAGCUCCAGCCAGGUGCUAACGCGUGGAUGCCUUUUGGUCCCGGUUGGUGUCAUCAACCAGGACUAAAGGCCCCCCUGCCUGGCCUGGCCGCAGCGGUCACGUGGAGGCCCACCUGUCCCGGUUCGUGUAAGAACCGGGACUAAAGGCAAAGGGCAUUAGUAACGACAUUUUUGUCCUGGUUCCAAAACCGGGACAGAAGACCCUUAUGAACCGGGAAAAAAGGCCCUUUUUCUACUAGUGGAUGUAGGUGCUUUGCAUGUAGCUCACAAAGUGCUAUGAUGCAGUUUGUGGCAGAUUGUGUAGAUUUGGCAUUUUGAUGAUUGUGAGUGCUUAGUUGAUGAUGUGGUGUUCUUCCUUGCUCCACCCCAUCCAUGUUGGAUUGUUUUAUGUCUUGGCUACCUAGAUAUACUAGAGUUGAGCCAUUGGAGUGUGUUGUGAUGAAUUUGACACGUAGGGCUUCAUAUCUUGUUUCGUUGAUUCCCGUUGAUCCGUAGCUCCGAUUGUAAUGUUCUUUAUAUGGUUUUGCAUCGCUUUCUCGAGACGCAUCUGAUCAUGUCAUUCUCAUGCAUGUCAAUAUAGCUUAGAUUGCAUUUCUGUCCAGGAACAUGUAUUUACUUCUCAUGCUUGUGCUAGUGAUAGAAAUAGUGAUGCAUGCUCAUAUUCAUCUCAUGCAUCAUGUGCUUGUUGCAUCUUGAGGUGCUAUUGUUCAUUGGAUGUUAUUCUUAUGUUGGGUAGCACCGGUAUCGGAGAACGAGUACGUGGAUUCGAGAGAGUACGUGCAGGACGAUCAAGAACCGUUCCAAGCUGAGGAUAUCACACGCAAGAUGAUAUGACAUUGAUUCCAUCUCUAGACUUGUUAUGCUAGAUUACGUUUACUUUGUCAUAUGCUCGCUGCCUACCAAUGAAAUACAUUGCCUCCUGAUAAGCCAUGAAACCAAACACUUAUCCCUUCCUAGCAAAUCUUGAAUGGCUAAGUAGGCUUGCUUAGCUACUAAUGUUAGCGUUGCUAGUUGCAGGUGUUUGUCUCAUGUGAUAACAUGAGUUUGAUAUCAUUAUGUUAAAUCUGAUAUUUAAUUAAUGCAUCUAUAUACUUGGUAAAUAACGAAAGGCCUAGCCUUUUGCCGGGUGUUUUGUUCUGUUAUUGCCGCCAUAGUUACCGGCUAUCGGUGUUUGAUUCCAUAUUGAUCGCUCCUAACACGUUCGGGGUUGUUAUGGGGACCCCCUCGAUAAAUCUCGUAGUGUUAAGACUUGUCUGGCAGGACCCAAAAUUGGUUUUAAUUUGCUAAUCACUUAAUAAUAAUCUGCAUAGGGAAUAGCUACCCCGAGGAAUUUAGUCAACAACCCAUGCCAGUGCUCCUCAUGAGUGUUGGUCCACCCACCUAGCAGUCGGCAAGACCACCCCAAGGAAACUUGAGGUUUGGUCCUUGUCCACUAUGCAUAGACGGUGUUGUCCUGAGACUGAGAUACGCGGCUCUUAUCAGGAUCGUCGACACACCGGGAGGUCCUGCUAGUCUUGUCUUACCAUAGCGAUAUAUCUUGCGUAUAGGAAUCCCGGUGAAGCUUUGGUUCUCCCCAGAGUUGAGGUUUUCCUCUAAGGAAUCCGACGAGAUCAUGAGAUUCGUGGUAGAGGAUUACUUUGCGACCCGUGUACGUUUGUGAUGGACUAGUUGGAGCAUCCUUGUAUGGUUUAAUCUUUCGGAAGCCGUGCCCGCGGUUAUGUGACAACUUGGAAUAUUUUGUUAACAUCCGGUAAUAGAUAACUUAAACAUAAGGUAAUAAAAUUGCCAACUGAGUGCGUAACUGUGACUGUCCCCUUCGAAGAUCUCUCUUCGAUCAGGAACACGGUGGGGUUAUGAUUGACGUAGGUAGGUGUUCAGGAUCACUUAGUGAUCAAGUAUCCUCGACCGCUAGACUAGACCAACUUCAUAUAUGUUCUACGUAAGUUAGCCACCAUAUCAAGCUUAGGAUGCUGCAACCUAAACUACUCCACCUAUCCAACCUAAUAACUUGACUAGUUCUGGCACCGAGGUCAUAGAUUGCCGAGUCCCCGUGGCUCACAGAUUCCUUCACAACACCAACAGGUUUAGGUACCCCCGAGACAGGUGAUCCUGACAGCACGCAGCUGGCGUGGCAGUACGACGAGGAGAACGACCGCCUGUACGUGAACUAUCCAGAAGAUUGAGGCGUGGUCGUGAUCGUGGGCCAGCAGGCAGGGUAGCAUAGUCAUUUCCCAUGUUUUGUAGUCCGUAGCGGAACUACCUUGAUUGUAUGCGUGAUGUACUCUGAUAUAUUAAUGAGAUGACAGUGGAAUCCCUUAUUGUCAUUCCUCUUUUAUUUAAGUAUGUGCUAUGUUACCAUGUUUGUGAAACGCUUAGAUGCGCUUCUUUCCAAUUUGGGGCCUCGAUCCCCAGAUCGGAAAGGACCGCAUCUUAGUCGUUAUACACGCGAGGGGGAAAGAACAAAGGGAGAUCCUCACCUCUUGUAUCCGAGGAUGGUGCCGCGGACGUAGAGCCGCACGCGCUGGCCGGUGGCACUCCUCUGUCCCGGCCGUGCGUGGACCAAUCUGUCAUCUCCUUCUUGGUGAGGGCCAACAGGCGGCGACGGCAGCAGACAGUCCAAGCGACGGCGAGACGAGUCCAUGGAGCGGCGAGGCAAGUCCAGCUGGCCGCGAUGGAGAAGGAGCUCCAUCUCCAUGGAGGCGGCCCGUCGCAUGGAGGUUCCCCCCUCCUGCCAUCGUUAUCAUGCCGUCCACAACCAUGGCGACCUGCCAAAAGGGAACACAAGAGAAGGUGAGAUGGGGAGGAGAUAUUGCGCGAAGAAGGAGGGCAGGGGCUUACCGGUGCCAGAUCCGUCCACCUCUGGCCUCGCCAUCGCCGGAUGUGGCAGAUCCCGACUAAGCUAGGGUGGCGGCCGAAACCCUAGCCAUGGAUGAGUGUUGCGGGCGAGCACUGGAGGGCGCGGGAGAUGCAUCUAACGGGAGGGGAGUAAAGAGCGGCGCGACGAGAGCCCGGGGAGUAAAGAGCUGCGCGCCGGCGAGAACCACCUCAAUUCACCGGAAUCGAGUGGCAGAGGAGGCGGCGGUGGAGGAGUCGCGUGGGGGGAGAGAGACACACAGAGAGGUCGCGGGGGAGAAGGGGGAUCUCUCUUUUAUUCCCAUUCCAAUUAUUCCAAGAGAGGUGAAUAAGAGACGUGAGAUCGGUAAGACGUGGACGGCUCAGAUUGGCUACAAGGGGUGAUACGUGGGAAGAGUUUUCUGCAUCCUGAUUGGUUCAAGAUUUAACAUGUACAUAGACAGAUGCAUACCAAGUUUGUUUAUUCACAUUUCCUCUUAAAAGAAAAAAAUCGUCAUGCACAUGUACAUGACGGCAAGCAGAUAUUGAUUUUAGGAAAGGAUAUUCAGGUGUAGCAUACGACCUCUGAAACCUUUUUCGAUUCGAACGUAUCUCGUAGUACUGCGGAUUCAUGUGUCACUAGAAAACCAAUCUACAUGUCUUUAACUAUUUAUCAUAGGGAGGAUAGGUGGGUGAGAGACGUUGGAUACGUAUCACGUGAACGGCUCAGAUGGCCUGUAGUGGUGUGAUCUGAGGGAGAGGGAUUCUGCGUUUUGAUUGGUUAGAGAAAGGUGCUAUCUAAAAUAAUUUCUAAGUGCUAAAAAUAGAAGGAGUUUGUGAAACAUGUACCAAAAAUAUUUUCCCAAACGACAUCAUUAAAUGUUUCACUCAAGAAUACCUCAUUUAAUGGACGAUAACUAACUUAUUCAAUUUUGAUCUUGAAAGCUAUUUUUGCCUGUUAAACAGUUUUCUGAGGAAUCAGAAGGAAAUCAGAUGGAACCGGAAGGAAAUCAGAUGGAAUCGGAAGGAAAUCGGUCAAACAAUUUUGCACAAGGGUGCAUCUUGGAAUGGCAAACAGUGUUGCUAAAGGGAGUUUUCAUUUUUUUGAACGUAAAAUUCAUUUUCCAUUUGUAGCCUUGUCGAGACCUAUACAAGACAUGUAGGCAAAAUUGUUGAGUUUUCUGCCCAAUCACCUCUAUUUAAGCCUAUGACCUUCUUACUUUUGUCAUGAAGGACCUAUAAUGCGGGCAUAAAUAGAGAUACACAUGCCAGUGACCACUUUGGGCAAUGGGGUUAUGACCUUCUUGAUAGAGAUGGUCAAAAAUUUCUACGGUUUGGACCCUCUUAGACACCUCAUGACCUUUUUAUAGAUUUUAGUCAUAGAUCUACGACCAAUAAAGCCGCCAUCAUUGUUUUUUGUCAUAAACGAGGUUAUUUCUUGUAGUGACCAUUCUACCCUUUUGAUCAAAAAAUAAAUCAUUAACUCAUUUUCUAGAUCUGACGGUAAAAAAAAUCAGAGGUGGAGUUACACCAACUUACAACUCGUAACUCGCCAAUCACCGUAAAAAAGCUAUGUUCUUUCCUUGUGCUUAUUUGGCUUUGGCUAUUACACUUCUCAUGCAUGUAUUUUCGAGUGAAGGAAUCUUUUUGUUUAUGCUAGCGAGGAAGACCGGCCAAUUGACUGAAGCACUUCUUUGAAGAUGUAGGAGAACAGAUAUAGUACUACCUUCUUUUCGGUUUAUAGGGCUCAUCUAAAAAAUUUCAGAUUUUCAUUAUAUUAGGCUCAUUUGAGUCUAAUUGAGUUAAAGUGCUUUGAGUCCCAUACCAUAUUUAAUUCAUAGAGUUUAGAGAAAAGAGAUGAGUGGCUAUGCAUGCAUCGUUUUUUAAAUCCAUCAUGCAAGUCCAAUGAGAAAGAAGAUGCUACAUUUAUUGCCUUGGAAAUUGAAUAUGUGAGAAAUAUUUCAUUGGCUAGUUAAAACUAGUCCCAUCCAUUCACAAUUCACCUUGGUUGAUGAGAUUUCAGAUUUGAGCCCUAUAAACCGGAAAUGAGGGAGUACCUUUUUUGAACACUGAAAACCCUUUUUUUCUUUGACUUUUAACCUCACCAUGUACCAAUCGAUGCACUCAUCAUGUUUAAAGCAAAGCGCGUAUGGUUCCCAACUAGAAAAGGUAUGGAGAAAAUGAUGUAUGGCUCAUAAUUUCUUCCCAGGCCUUUCCCUUGCCCCGUCAAAUGGUGUAGUGGGCUACGCGUCGACGACAACUGGUACUGGACUCCACUCACUACACACUACCCCAAUCAUUCAUUCUUAACAACAAUACAUAUUCUCCCUGAAUACUAUCUCCCCACAGCCUAUGAUAAGCUUAUCUCCGAUUGAGAUACCUCCUUCGUUUAGUUGCUGAAACAAAUUCCAAACCUUGUAUGUUGGGAUGCCUCCUAGCUGCUGGUUUUUGAUCUUGGUCUCGGCGUGGUGGUUGCGACUGAUGCUCAUGGCAGCAGCUGAGGAAGAACAAGUGGACGGCUGCUUCGGCUCGGCGAAGAGAUGCGGCAACAUAACCAUCUCUCGCCCAUUCUGGCUCGCUAACAUGGAGGCAGAAAGAUCAUGUGGUAACUCCGACUUCGAGGUGACUUGCUUCAACGGCACUACUCCAGCUCUCCGGAGCACCGUACCCUCCGGUCCCGGCUUCGCAAUCAUCGACAUCUCCUACAAGGAACGCACCAUGCGUGUCGUCGAUCUAGGAAAGCUGGAAUUGUUGCACGCCUACAACAGCUGCCAAGUCCCAUUCUGGAACACCUCCAUCAAAAUCGGCCUCCCGUUCAGGAUCGACCCAGGCAACCAGAACAUCAUCUUGUACUACUGCACGGAAGAGGCCGGAGCAGCGGCCGCCCGUCGGGACCGGGCGCUGGUCGAGUUGAGAUGCAGCGACGAGAGAAACACAUUUGUUGGAGUCGGUGGGCGCUACGAUGGUUCAGAAAAGUACGAGGGGUACUCUCUCAAGGGGUGUAUCUCUGCCUUCCUGCCCGUUCUAGGGGUAUAUGGCAAGGUGAACGCAAGCGACUACGUUCGACUAGGGGUAUAUGACAUCAACGAUGGCUUCCUCUUGACGUGGGAGUGGGACAGCACGCCUGGUAAUUGUAAUCUACUCUACUUCUUAGCUUUAGAAACUUAUCGUCUUUCUCUCUUCCCCAUAUAUACCCCUUCUCUUUGCAAGUGUUGAAGUAAUUAUCCAAGGUAAUAGCACAACCACGACGAAUUGCUCCAUACUGGUAGUGGUAGGUACUACUCAUGAUUUGCAUUUUCAUAUCAAGAAACUUUAAGUGCUUCUUAAAAGUAAAAUGACACGAACGUACCAUAACCCUGCUGUCUGCAAGCCACACUCAUUCCACCUCAUUGGUCAAGACUUGUCGGUUGCGUUCUGCUGAACGCAAUAUGUUCUGUUUUGAGAAAAAUAAAAUUACGAAAUUACAAUCAGCUGCGCUGUAGCUGUUUGAGCAUGUGUCGUUAUAUGACAUUGCCUGCUAAAAUUACGAAAUAGCCCGCUAUAGCAGGCUAUAGCCUAGCUAUAGCUGAUUUGGAGGACCACUGUUAUUUGUCAUAACCCGCUAUUUAAAACACUCAUCACUCAGCUAGUCAAUUCUUUAAGACUCUGGCUGUCUACCACGGUCCCACCUCCAUAGUGUUUCCUUUGCAUACAUCGUUCGCGCAAUUCAACCCCAAACUUUCAAAGUUACAGAUGUCCCCAACCAGCUUGUUGCUCUUGUGUGUGCAUCUCUCUCCUCCGUCGCACCCAUUAAACCAAUCUCAGGGUCCGUUAACUGACAAGGAUGGCGUGAGGUUACGACAGCUAUAGCCUAUACCCGCCAUGCACAUGAUAAGAAUCCAGUGGGGCAGGAAAUAUUCAGUCUUCUUCACAUCAAUCCCCGGUUUCACAAGCCCAUCCCGAAUUCAUUAUGGUCCCGCUCCUCUUGAUCUUCGCUUCCUUUCUUCCCUUGUCGCCGCCGUCCCAAGCAGCAUGCUCGCCCAAGACAUGCGGCAACCUGACCGUGGCCUAUCCGUUCUGCCUGGAGGAUAAUGGUCAGCCGCCGUGCGGAUCCCCGUCCUUCCCGCUCAACGGUAAUGGUGGCCAAGCGUUCCUCGCUCACUCCUUCCUCGACCGUAAAAAUCAAAUUUCGGCCGAAUUUCGGCCAUCUCGGGGGCAAGAAAUAUCUAUGGGCCGAAAAGAAUGAUUUUUGAUUGAAUUUGACAAAUUUUGAUUAAAUUUCAGUCAAAUAAUGGUCAAAUUUUUGUCAAAUUUCAACCGAAAUUCGGCCAUCUCGGCCUGGGGCGAGAAUAACUACAAAACGAAAAUCAAAAUACUGGUCCCAGGUCGUUCGAGUCUUUGCCGACAACCCAUCUUUCGUCGCCGUGGAGCACAAUCUUCCGCUCGAUAAAUUAAGGUUGUUUACCCCGGUGGUUCAACAUUUCUAGCGGCCUCGGGCUGGGGAGGGUCGCACACCAUGAGCAACAAGAAUAGGGAGCUGCUCGUCCUAUACAACUGCACAGAGCAGCAACUGCAGGCGCCGCCGCCUGGAUUCCUCCGUAUGCCUUGAAGUAAUGACUCCUUCAACCUUGUUGGGGAGUAUGGCAGCAACCAUGAACUGAGCGGAUUUCCUUUGGCGUGCAGUCUCGCCGUGGUGCCGACUCUUGCUAUUGUGAAUCGCAACAACUACCUCACCAGCAUGAGACAAGGGUGUCUUCUCCAGUGGACGGUGGCGUUAAGCGAUUGCUCCAUGUGCAUGGAAAGCGGCGGCCUGCGCACGCAUGGCAAUGACGGCACGCGGUUUUCAUGCAGUUGCCACCCCGAUAACUGCGGUGAGUUCAGGAACUCAACUCUGAACAUUGAAUUCCCUAAGUCAAUUCACACAAAAUCACGAUAUAUCAUAUAAUCCGUCUGUACUACCCCAACUACAAGUAUUUCGGUACAAAGGAAAUAUAUGCUUGUGGAGCUCCAUCUAUCGUUAACCCCAUCAUUUACCCGCUAAUUAAAGUCUGAAUUGAACCCAAGAACUCGGACCAGUUGUUUGCUCGCAGCCAGCCGAAACCGUGCCGAGGCUCAGGCUCUGCCACGCUCGUCUUUCUAAUUUUCCCACGCUCGUCUUUCUAAUUUAUAUGUUUGGCCAGAUCCAUUGAAUUUCCACGCAUAGCAUAUGAGACUAGCCUUUCAAGUUUCUUUGGGUCAAAUGUUCUGUUUCGAGUCAAGUCAAAUAUAUCACAAUUGAAGAGUCGCUGUUUACUUACGUGCAUGCCCAAUUGCUGCUUCACUAGUAAUUGUCUGGGUCCUCCCGACCAACUUUCUCCUUUGAAGAGUACUCCCAUUACUCUACUUCAUCGAUAAAUAACCUUUAGAAUCGGUGUCACUUGCCUGAAGCAUCAGCUGCUUGCAUUAUAAAUUUCACAAGUUGAUGCCCUUGGUAACAGUUGUUUGCAUUCUACAAACUUCGAUAAUGUACUUUCAAGUGGCUCUGCAUAGUGUGCUCAUUUUCUAACCAACCACACAUACUCCCUCCGUUCCUAAAUAUAAGUCCUUUUAAAGAUUCCACUAAGGGACUACAUACGGAGCAAAAUGAGUAAAUUUAUACUCUAAUGUAUGUCUAUAUAUAUCCAUAUGUAGUUUUCUAGUGGAAACUCUAAAAGACUUAUAUUUAGGAACGGAGGGAUUAGUUAGUUGUAUGUUACUUCUUGGCAUUUUACAGGUUCCAUUUCGCCGGAGCGACCGAAGGGGACACAAAAGUGGCUCUAUUACAGGAUUUAUUGCACCGGAGUCCUCGUGGUACCACAAAAAAAAUGUGGGCAGCAGUUAUAUCAAUUUUGCGGGACAGGGUUUUAGCGGAUCUACUGGAGUUGUUCUUAGACAAAAUAAUUCAAGAGAAUUUGUCCUACAUUUGUGUCACCUUUUGUGGCUCGCAGCAAAACCAAUUGAUGUCGUUGGCUUCUUCUUGCUAGUGGUAUAAUCUUCACACCAUGCUUGUCUAGUUCCCGCUUCUCUCAUCCAUGAGUUUUCUGUUUCGUGUGUUUUGUGCUUGUUCAUUGCCCGGGUUCUUUUUACAAAAGUUAAACUUUUUUAAUAUAAUAAUUUGUUCGUAAUAUAUGAUGAACAUAUUUUAAAUGCAAAUUGACAAUUUUUGUAACAUAUGUCAAGACUCAAGACCUGUCCGUGGUGUUCUGCUGAACCAGUGAAUUCUUUCUGACUCUGCCUGUCUCCCACCUCUGUCUAUUUUUCUUGUGAUGAAAAUUCAUCGCCCACACAAAUGAUGGCCAGAUCUAUCUCCAAUAGUUCCUAUGUUCACGAAGUCUAAACAUAGCAACAUAUUCAAUGGUGGAAAUACCAAAACAGUGGAACACUCCACCAACUAAGGGCUCCUUUAUUCAAAGGAAUUGCAUAGAAUUUUUGAAGGAUUUGGACCUUUAGGAUUUUUUUCCUUUCAUGCUCGUUUGAUUCAUAGGAUUGAAAUCCUUAUGAUAUCUUUCAUAGGAUCCAUUUGUACUACAUUUUGAAGGAAAAUUUUCAUCCACUCAAACUUUUUUAUAGAUUUUCUUUGUUUUUCCUGCGCUAUCAAACAUUCACUCGUAUUCUGUAGGUACUAUAGGCAACGAAAAAAAAUAGCGCGCUACAAAAUAUAGCGAGGCCCUUCUUUCAAAUGCUACACAAGUUAUAGCAUGCUAAUAGUGUGCUAUAUUUCAAAAUAACAUUUGAAAAAAAAGACAAAUAAGCCUAGGAAUAUAGUAUUCAACAACUAAUUUUUUUAUCAAGUGCAAUAUAUGCAUAAAGGCCAAAUCUAAACUUUAGUCAAUUUACUUAACAUAUCAUCUUCAAACAUGGAAGACCGACUCUACAUCUACCCGCUGGGUUGUAGCCUCGUUUUUCCUAUUCUUUUUGAAUACUUUCAUCAUGUGUACGCUAUAACGCUACACGCUACAACGCUAUAGCGUCAUGUAGCGCGCUAAUUACACGAAUAGCACCGUAGCGGCUAAAUUUGCUAAAAUAUACCUUUUGCUUUCCUAAUAUGCCGUUAUAGCGCNNNNNNNNNNNNNNNNNNNNNNNNNNNNNNNNNNNNNNNNNNNNNNNNNNNNNNNNNNNNNNNNNNNNNNNNNNNNNNNNNNNNNNNNNNNNNNNNNNNNGUUGGCAUGGUAUUAUCAUUUCACCCAGAUAGCAUGUGCGAGAAAGUUGACGAGGUUUACCGGAAAAACUUCGGAGUGUCGACGUUACGUGUAACAAAMSGGACGAAUCUAYUUGGAAGUAUCAGGGUUUCAUACGGAAACUCGUCUGUUACAAAGGGAUUUCAGUUUUUUKKAACUUAUUUGUAGCGUUCAUUAGUUUUUCUGUGUUAAAAUUGCACCAUUCAAAGCCACAUCAUCAUUUUACAACCCUUUGUGACUUCAUUUGUUAUUUUUCAUGCAUUUACUGAUUAUUUUGAGCUAUAAGACCAUGAAAUUGAAAAACAUUUGAAAUGAACUCUGAAAAGGUUCCAAGUUGGCAGUGGUGACAAUUUAACACAACACAUGAUAUCCAUUACACCUAGGGCAUAACAUUACAUUUGUUCAAGUUCACAACAGUGCACAAAUGAUAGAAUUACAUCUAGGACACAACACAGUAGCAGAAACAUAACACAAAUGGUAGGAACACAACACACAAAUGAUAGAAUUACAUUUGUUCUUGGCGUAAACCGGGGCUAAAGCCCCCCUUCUAAAUCGGUUCAAGGCAUGAACCGAUACCAAUGGAUGUGGGCCAGGAGCGGGGCCCAUUGGUCCCGGUUCGUGCCUAGAACCGGGACAAAUGAGUCCACACGAACCGGGACCAAUACCCACGAGGCCCCGGCCGGCCCCUGGGCUAAUGAACCGGGACUGCUGCCCCCAUGGGUCCCGGUUCGUGAAGAACCGGGACUAAUGGGUUGGCCAGGCCCGAACCAAAGCCCUAUUUUCUACUAGUGAUCCACCUAAACAUGCCAAAUAAGAUAUGUGGCUGUAGGUAUCCAAGAGUACUAUAAGGGAAAGCUAGAAUCUCACACAAACGAGUUAAACAUAGAAAGUUACAAGGCUGCAAACUUGCCCAAAAAUAUCAGAUUUCAGGGACUUAGUGAAAAUUCCAGAUUCUCACUUUCUGUUUAUGCUCUGAAGCAUUUUGACACCAGUCAAAACAAUAUCUACAGGAAUCCAAAUGGAAUGAAAAUUUACAGGGAGCUAGACAAACAUAUCAGCUUCAACUUUACAGUUGAAAGCUAAGGCUAAAUCACAACACAUUUACCUGCACAACCUCAUCUACACGAGAAGAAAAUAUAAACAGAUUCUCAGACUUAGUGAAAAUCUGAUUUUCACUAAUCUGAAAUUUCAGGCACAUGCCUACUUUGAUUGGGCACAACUUGCACAUAUGGAUUCCUAAACAUGAAAUCAAACCAACAUGUGGUAGAGGGGGUCACCCUCUACUACCACAACCAAGAACCAAACACAUGGGCACACCACAACUCAUGGAACCAAGCUCUAAACAUAGAACAAAAUGAAAUAUGUCAUCUCCAGAAAAAUAUUCCAAUGGCAAAACUAAUCUCACCAAUGGAUUCCUGGGAUGAUUCUACCCCAAAAACAUAUAUAAAACAUAUGCACUUUCUUGAAACAAGUGAGCACAAACUAGGAAGGAAAAACUACUUAGAAUCCUAUAUAGUGAAUAGUGUUGGGGAACGUCGCAUGGGAAACAAAAAAUUUCCUACGCGCACGAAGACCUAUCAUGGUGAUGUCCAUCUACGAGAGGGGAUGAGUGAUCUACGUACCCUUGUAGAUCGUACAGCAGAAGCGAUUAGAGAUCGCGGUUGAUGUAGUGGAACGUCCUCACGUCCCUCGAUCCGCCCCGCGAACAAUCCCGCGAUCAGUCCCACGAUCUAUUACCGAGCGGACGGCACCUCCGCGUUCAGCACACGUACAGCUCGACGAUGAUCUCGGCCUUCUUGAUCCAGCAAGAGAGACGGAGAGGUAGAAGAGUUCUCCGGCAGCGUGACGGCGCUCCGGAGGUUGGUGAUGAUCUUGUCUCAGCAGGGCUCCGCCCGAGCUCCGCAGAAACACGAUCUAGAGGAAAAACUAUGGAGGUAUGUGGUCGGGCAGCCGUGAGAAAGUCGUCUCAAAUCUGCCCUAAAAGCCCCAUAUAUAUAGGAGGAGGGAGGGGGACCUUGCCUUGGGGUCCAAGGGAACCCCAAGGGGUCGGCCGAGCCAGGGGGGAGGACUCUCCCCCUUUUUUUUUUUCUUCCUUUGAUUUUUCUUCCUUGGCGCAUAGGAUUUGGUGGGCUGUCCCACCAGCCCACUAAGGGCUGGUGUGACCCCUACAAAUACCUAUGGGCUUCCCCGGAGUGGGUUGCCCCCCUCCGGUGAACUCCCGGAACCCAUUCGUCAUUCCCGGUACAUUCCCGGUAACUCCGAAAAACCUUCCGGUAAUCAAAUGAGGUCAUCCUAUAUAUCAAUCUUCAUUUCCGGACCAUUCCGGAAACCCUCGUGACGUCCGUGAUCUCAUCCAGGACUCUGAACAACAUUCGGUAACCAACCAUAUAACUCAAAUACGCAUAAAACAACGUCGAACCUUAAGUGUGUAGACCCUGCGGGUUCGAGAACUAUGUAGACAUGACCCGAGAGACUCCUCGGUCAAUAUCCAACAGCGGGACCUGGAUGCCCAUAUUGGAUCCUACAUAUUCUACGAAGAUCUUAAUCAUUUGAACCUCAGUGCCAAGGAUUCGUAUAAUCCCGUAUGUCAUUCCCUUUGUCCUUUGGUAUGUUACUUGCCCGAGAUUCGAUCGUCAGUAUCCGCAUACCUAUUUUAAUCUCGUUUACCAGCAAGUCUCUUUACUCGUUCCGUAAUACAAGAUCCCGUAACUUACACUAAGUUACAUUGCUUGCAAGGCUUGUGUGUGAUGUUGUAUUACCGAGUGGGCCCCGAGAUACCUCUCCGUCACACGGAGUGACAAAUCCCAGUCUUGAUCCAUACUAACUCAACUAACACCUUCGGAGAUACCUGUAGAGCAUCUUUAUAGUCACCCAGUUACGUUGCGACGUUUGAUACACACAAAGCAUUCCUCCGGUGUCAGUGAGUUAUAUGAUCUCAUGGUCAUAGGAAUAAAUACUUGACACGCAGAAAACAGUAGCAACAAAAUGACACGAUCAACAUGCUACGUCUAUUAGUUUGGGUCUAAUCCAUCACGUGAUUCUCCCAAUGACGUGAUCCAGUUAUCAAGCAACAACACCUUGUUCAUAAUCAGAAGACACUGACUAUCAUCGAUCAACUGGCUAGCCAACUAGAGGCAUGCUAGGGACGGUGUUUUGUCUAUGUAUCCACACAUGUAAAUGAGUCUUCAUUCAAUACAAUUAUAGCAUGGAUAAUAAACUAUUAUCUUGAUACAGGAAUUAUAAUAAUAACUAUACAUUUAUUAUUGCCUCUAGGGCAUAAUUCCAACAGUCUCCCACUUGCACUAGAGUCAAUAAUCUAGCCCUCACAUCACCAUGUGAAUUACAUUGUAAUAAAUCUAACACCCAUACAGUUCUGGUGUCGAUCAUGUUUUGGCCAUGGAAGAGGCUUAGUCAGCGGGUCUGCUACAUUCAGAUCCGUGUGUACUUUGCAUAUAUUUACGUUCUCCUCCUCGACGUAGUCGCAGAUGAGGUUGAAGCGUCGUUUUGAUGUGUCUGGUCUUCUUGUGAAACCUUGGUUCCUUUGCUAAGGCAAUGGCACCAGUGUUGUCACAGAACAAGGUUAUUGGAUCCAGUGCACUUGGCACCACUCCAAGAUCCGUCAUGAACUGCUUCAUCCAGACACCCUCCUUAGCCGCCUCCGAGGCAGCCAUGUAUUCCGCUUCACAUGUAGAAUCUGCUACGACGCUUUGCUUGGAACUGCACCAGCUUACUGCACCCCCAUUAAGAAUAAAUACGUAUCCGGUUUGCGACUUAGAGUCGUCCGGAUCUGUGUCAAAGCUUGCAUCGACGUAACCUUUUACGGCGAGCUCUUCGUCACCUCCAUACACGAGAAACAUCUCCUUAGUCCUUUUCAGGUACUUUAGGAUAUUCUUGACCGCUGUCCAGUGAUCCACUCCUGGAUUACUCUGGAACCUGCCUGCCAUACUUAUGGCCAGGCUAACAUCCGGUCUAGUGCACAGCAUCGCAUACAUGAUAGAGCCUAUGGCUGAAGCAUAGGGGAUGGAGCGCAUAUGCUCUCUAUCUUCAUCAGUUGCUGGGCACUGAGUCUUACUCAAUCUCGUACCUUGUAACACUGGCAAGAACCCUUUCUUGGACUGUUCCAUUUUGAACCUCUUCAAAACUUUAUCAAGGUAUGUGCUUUGUGAAUGUCCUAUCAGGCGUUUUGAUCUAUCCCUAUAGAUCUUAAUGCCUAGAAUGUAAGCAGCUUCUCCUAGGUCCUUCAUAGAGAAACUUUUAUUCAAGUAACCUUUUAUGCUCUCCAAAAGCUCUAUGUUGUUUCCAAUCAGUAAUAUGUCAUCCACAUAUAAUAUUAGGAACGCCACAGAGCUCCCACUCACUUUCUUGUAAAUACAAGAUUCUCCAACCACUUGUAUAAACCCAAAUGCUUUGAUCACCUCAUCAAAGCGUUUGUUCCAAUUCCGAGAUGCUUGCACCAGUCCAUAAAUGGAUCGCUGGAGCUUGCACAUUUUGUCAGCAUUUUUAGGAUCGACAAAACCUUCGGGUUGCAUCAUAUACAACUCUUCCUUAAGGAAACCGUUAAGGAACGCCGUUUUGACAUCCAUCUGCCAAAUUUCAUAAUCGAAAAAUGCAGCUAUUGCUAACAUGAUUCUGACGGACUUAAGCAUCGCUACGGGAGAGAAAGUCUCAUCGUAGUCAAUUCCUGGAACUUGUGAAAAACCCUUUGCCACAAGUCGAGCUUUAUAAACGGUCACAUUACCGUCAGCGUCCGUCUUCUUCUUAAAAAUCCAUUUGUUCUGAAUAGCCUUGCGGCCCUCAGGUAGUAUCUCCAAAGUCCAUACUUUGUUCUCAUACAUGGAUCCUAUCUCGGAUUUCAUGGCUUCUAGCCAUUUGUUGGAAUCUGGGCCCACCAUUGCUUCUUCAUAAUUUGCAGGUUCAUUGUUGUCUAACAACAUGAUUGUCAAGACGGGAUUACCGUACCACUCUGGAGCAGCGCGUGAUCUCGUCGACCUGCGUGGUUCAACAGAAACUUGAACUGGAGUUUCAUGAUCAUCAUCAUUAACUUCCUCCUCAACCAGUGUCGCAAUCACAGGGGUUUCCCCUUGCCCUGCGCCACCAUCCAGAGGGAUGAGAGGUUCGACAACCUCGUCAAGUUCUAUCUUCCUCCCACUCAAUUCUCUCGAGAGAAACUCCUUCUCGAGAAAAGUUCCGUUCUUAGCAACAAACACUUUGCCCUCGGAUUUGAGAUAGAAGGUGUACCCAACUGUCUCUUUUGGGUAGCCUAUGAAGACGCACUUUUCCGCUUUGGGUUCCAGCUUUUCAGGCUGAAGCUUUUUGACAUAAGCAUCACAUCCCCAAACUUUAAGAAACGACAACUUUGGCCUUUUGCCAUACCACAGUUCGUAUGGUGUCGUCUCAACGGAUUUCGAUGGUGCCCUAUUUAACGUGAAUGCAGUUGUUUCUAAUGCAUAACCCCAAAACGAUAACGGCAAAUCAGUAAGAGACAUCAUAGAUCGCACCAUUUCUAAUAAAGUACGAUUACGACGUUCGGACACACCAUUACGCUGUGGUGUUCCAGGCGGUGUUAACUGCGAAACAAUUCCACAUUGUCUUAAGUGAGUACCAAACUCGAAACUCAGAUAUUCACCCCCCCCCCAGAUCAGACCGUAGGAACUUGAUCUUCUUGUUACGAUGAUUUUCUACUUCACUCUGAAAUUGCUUGAACUUUUCAAAUGUUUCAGACUUGUGUUUCAUUAGGUAGACAUAACCAUAUCUACUCAAAUCGUCAGUGAAGGUGAGAAAAUAACGAUAUCCGCCGCGUGCCUCCACGCUCAUCGGACCACACACAUCGGUAUGUAUGAUUUCCAACAAGUCACUUGCACGCUCCAUUGUUCCGGAGAACGGAGUUUUAGUCAUCUUGCCCAUGAGGCAUGGUUCGCACGUGUCAAGUGAAUCAAAGUCAAGUGACUCCAAAAGUCCAUCAGCAUGGAGUUUCUUCAUGCGCUUUACAUCAAUAUGACCCAAGCGGCAGUGCCACAAAAAUAUGGCACUAUCAUUGUUUACUCUAACUCUUUUGGUCUCAAUGUUAUGUAUAUGCGUAUCGCUAUCGAGAUUCAAUAUGAACAAUCCUCUCACAUUCGGUGCAUGACCAUAAAAGAUGUUACUCAUAGAAAUAGAACAACCAUUAUUCUCAGACUUAAAAGAGUAACCGUCUCGCAAUAAACAAGAUCCAGAUAUAAUGUUCAUGCUCAACGCAGGCACUAAAUAACAAUGAUUUAAGUUCAUCACUAAUCCCGAUGGUAGUUGAAGUGACACGGUGCCGACGGCGAUUGCAUCAACCUUGGAACCGUUUCCUACGCGCAUCGUCACUUCGUCUUUCGCCAGCCUCCGUCUAUUCCGCAGUUCCUGCUUCGAGUUGCAAAUGUGAGCAACAGAACCGGUAUCGAAUACCCAGGCACUACUACGAGAGCUGGUUAAGUACACAUCAAUAACAUGUAUAUCAAAUAUACCUGAUUUUUCUUUGCCCGCCUUCUUAUCUGCUAGAUACUUGGGGCAAUUGCGCUUCCAGUGACCCAUACCCUUGCAAUAGAAGCACUCCGUUUCAGGCUUAGGUCCAGCCUUGGGUUUCUUCGGCGGAUUGGCAACGGGCUUGCCGCUCUUCUUCGAAUUGCCCUUCUUGCCUUUGCCGUUUCUCUUGAAACUAGUGCUCUUGCUCACCAUCAACACUUGAUGUUCUUUACGGAGUUCAGACUCUGCGACUUUUAGCAUCGCAAACAACUUGCCGGGAGACUUGUUCAUCCCUUGCAUGUUGUAGUUCAACACAAAGCUUUUAUAGCUUGGCGGCAGUGAUUGGAGGAUUCUGUCAGUGAUAGCUUCUUGCGGGAGUUCAAUCCCCAGUUCAGCUAGACGGUUUGAGUACCCAGACAUUUUGAGCACAUGUUCACUGACAGACGAGUUUUCCUCCAUCUUGCAAGCAUAGAAUUUAUCGGAGGUCUCAUACCUCUCGAUCCGGGCGUUCUUCUGAAAGAUGAACUUCAACUCCUGGAACAUCUCAAAUGCUCCAUGACGCUCAAAGCGACGUUGAAGUCCCGGUUCUAAGCCAUACAAGACUGCACAUUGAACUAUUGAGUAGUCCUCCUUACGCGCUAACCAAGCGUUCUUAACAUCCUGAUCAGCCGUAGCGGGUGGUUCAUCUCCUAGCGCAGCAUUAAGGACAUAAUCCUUCUUUCCAGCUUGUAAGAUUAGCUUAAGAUUACGAGCCCAGUCUACAAAGUUGCUUCCAUCAUCUUUCAACUUAGCUUUCUCUAGGAACGUAUUAAAAUUGAGGAUGACACUUGCGUGAGCCAUGAUCUACAACACAAAUAUAUUCAAAGUGGACUUAGACUAUGUUCAAGAUAAUUAGAGUUCAACUUAAUCAAAUUACAUGCUAAACUCCCACUCAAAAAGUACAUCUCUCUAGUCAUUUGAGUGGUUCAUGAUCCACCUACACUAUCCCAAGUCCGAUCAUCACGUGAGUCGGGAGUAGUUUCAGUGGUAAGCAUCCCUAUGCUAAUCAUAUCAUCUAUAUGAUUCAUGAUCGACCUUUCGGUCUCAUGUGUUCCGAGGCCAUGUCCGCACAUGCUAGGCUCGUCAAGCUUAACCCGAGUGUUCCGCGUGCGCAACUGUUUUGCACCCGUUGUAUGUGAACGUUGAGUCUAUCACACCCGAUCAUCACGUGGUGUCUCGAAACGACGAACUGUAGCAACGGUGCACAGUCGGGGAGAACACAAUUUCGUCUUGAAAUUUUAGUGAGAGAUCACCUCAUAAUGCUACCGUCGUUCUAAGCAAAAUAAGGUGCAUAAAAGGAUUAACAUCACAUGCAAUUCAUAAGUGACAUGAUAUGGCCAUCAUCACGUGCUUCUUGAUCUCCAUCACCAAAGCACCGGCACGAUCUUCUUGUCACCGGCGCCACACCAUGAUCUCCAUCAUCAUGAUCUUCAUCAACGUGUCGCCAUCGGGGUUGUCGUGCUACUUAUGCUAUCACUACUAAAGCUACAUCCUAGCAAAAUAGUAAACGCAUCUGCAAGCACAUAUGUUAGUAUAAAGACAACCCUAUGGCUCCUGCCGGUUGCCGUACCAUCGACGUGCAAGUCGAUAUUUCUAUUACAACAUGAUCAUCUCAUACAUCCAAUAUAUCACAUCACAUCAUUGGCCAUAUCACAUCACAAUCAUACCCUGCAAAAACAAGUUAGACGUCCUCUAAUUUUGUUGUUGCAUGUUUUACGUGGUGACCAAGGGUAUCUAGUAGGAUCGCAUCUUACUUACGCAAACACCACAACGGAGAUAUAUGAGUUGCUAUUUAACCUCAUCCAAGGACCUCCUCGGUCAAAUCCGAUUCAACUAAAGUUGGAGAAACCGUCACUUGCCAGUCAUCUUUGAGCAAAGGGGGUUACUCGUAACGAUGAAACCAGUCUCUCGUAAGCGUACGAGUAAUGUCGGUCCAAGCCGCUUCAAUCCAACAAUACCGCGGAAUCAAGAAAAGACUAAGGAGGGCAGCAAAACGCACAUCACCGCCCACAAAACCUUUUGUGUUCUACUCGAGAAGACAUCUACGCAUGAACCUAGCUCUGAUACCACUGUUGGGGAACGUCGCAUGGGAAACAAAAAAUUUCCUACGCGCACGAAGACCUAUCAUGGUGAUGUCCAUCUACGAGAGGGGAUGAGUGAUCUACGUACCCUUGUAGAUCGUACAGCAGAAGCGAUUAGAGAUCGCGGUUGAUGUAGUGGAACGUCCUCACGUCCCUCGAUCCGCCCCGCGAACAAUCCCGCGAUCAGUCCCACGAUCUAGUACCGAACGGACGGCACCUCCGCGUUCAGCACACGUGCAGCUCGACGAUGAUCUCGGCCUUCUUGAUCCAGCAAGAGAGACGGAGAGGUAGAAGAGUUCUCCGGCAGCGUGACGGCGCUCCGGAGGUUGGUGAUGAUCUUGUCUCAGCAGGGCUCCGCCCGAGCUCCGCAGAAACACGAUCUAGAGGAAAAACUAUGGAGGUAUGUGGUCGGGCAGCCGUGAGAAAGUCGUCUCAAAUCUGCCCUAAAAGCCCCAUAUAUAUAGGAGGAGGGAGGGGGACCUUGCCUUGGGGUCCAAGGGAACCCCAAGGGGUCGGCCGAGCCAGGGGGGAGGACUCUCCCCCCUUUUUUUUUUUCUUCCUUUGAUUUUUCUUCCUUGGCGCAUAGGAUUUGGUGGGCUGUCCCACCAGCCCACUAAGGGCUGGUGUGACCCCUACAAAUACCUAUGGGCUUCCCCGGAGUGGGUUGCCCCCCUCCGGUGAACUCCCGGAACCCAUUCGUCAUUCCCGGUACAUUCCCGGUAACUCCGAAAAACCUUCCGGUAAUCAAAUGAGGUCAUCCUAUAUAUCAAUCUUCGUUUCCGGACCAUUCCGGAGCUCCUCGCGACGUCCGUGAUCUCAUCCAGGACUCCGAACAACAUUCGGUAACCAACCAUAUAACUCAAAUACGCAUAAAACAACGUCGAACCUUAAGUGUGCAGACCCUGCGGGUUCGAGAACUAUGUAGACAUGACCCGAGUGACUCCUCGGUCAAUAUCCAAUAGCGGGACCUGGAUGCCCAUAUUGGAUCCUACAUAUUCUACGAAGAUCUUUAUCGUUUGAACCUCAGUGCCAAGGAUUCGUAUAAUCCCGUAUGUCAUUCCCUUUGUCCUUCGGUAUGUUACUUGCCCGAGAUUCGAUCGUCAGUAUCCGCAUACCUAUUUUAAUCUCGUUUACCAGCAAGUCUCUUUACUCGUUCCGUAAUACAAGAUCCCGUAACUUACACUAAGUUACAUUGCUUGCAAGGCUUGUGUGUGAUGUUGUAUUACCGAGUGGGCCCCGAGAUACCUCUCCGUCACACGGAGUGACAAAUCCCAGUCUUGAUCCAUACUAACUCAACUAACACCUUCGGAGAUACCUGUAGAGCAUCUUUAUAGUCACCCAGUUACGUUGCGACGUUUGAUACACACAAAGCAUUCCUCCGGUGUCAGUGAGUUAUAUGAUCUCAUGGUCAUAGGAAUAAAUACUUGACACGCAGAAAACAGUAGCAACAAAAUGACACGAUCAACAUGCUACGUCUAUUAGUUUGGGUCUAAUCCAUCACGUGAUUCUCCCAAUGACGUGAUCCAGUUAUCAAGCAACAACACCUUGUUCAUAAUCAGAAGACACUGACUAUCAUCGAUCAACUGGCUAGCCAACUAGAGGCAUGCUAGGGACGGUGUUUUGUCUAUGUAUCCACACAUGUAAAUGAGUCUUCAUUCAAUACAAUUAUAGCAUGGAUAAUAAACUAUUAUCUUGAUACAGGAAUUAUAAUAAUAACUAUACAUUUAUUAUUGCCUCUAGGGCAUAAUUCCAACAAAUAGUGCGACAUCACAUGUGCAAAAUCACUAGAGCUAACCUACAGAAGCUCUUGCACAUGAACACAACAUCAAGGGGGGGGGGUACAUGAGGGGUAGGCCUCAUGCCUAUGUGCCUUGACACAUCACCACACCAUCACAAGCAACAAGCACAUCAUAAAGGGAACAGCUACACAUGUUAUAGAGGACACACACACUCACAUAAGCACUACAAGGGGUCAACACCUUAGUGCCAUGACAUCCACAAGGUGCAUCCCCACACAUGAAUCUACACAAGCAUGCAUACAACACCCCCUACACAUGCUAAUCAUAGCAUGCACCACUAGUGCAACACACACACACACACAAAAUCUGUUGCCGAUGCCAUCAAGACUUGGUAAGUCACACAUAACUUCACACUUUCUGCGCUGAAAAGAAGCAGUUUUCAAAUGUCUCUCAUUUUAGAACUGUAGUGACAGUUACUGAAAAAUGGGGUCGAAUAGUACGUCACACCUCUUAUGCUGAAAUUACAACAAGAGUAUCUGAUAAAUGAAAACUAAUUUGAUCCUAAAUCUUAAUUUCAAAUAUUUACCUUUUGACCAUUUGAACUAUCCAAGAUGUCAUGUUUCUGAACUUAGCUAGCCAAGUGCGUUGAAGUGGAGCUCUGACCUGACUGGAACUCUGAAUAUGGCUGGAUGAAUGCCAAACCCGAGAAAUCUUAUAUUGCCCUAGCCUCACCAUCUAACUUAUCAAGAUACAUAUUGUCGUCAUGGUCACAUAAUUGUCCGGUGACAUAUAAACCUUUAUGUGUACUUUGUCUAUCUAUAUUUGAGAAUGAAUCCACUUUCUAAACAAGAGUGCUUUGAAGUAUUUAUUCUAGCAGCUAUCUGUAAGACAUGAGCAAGGAUCUAACUUAUUUACAUAUUUCUUUCCUCCGUCAUGCGAGCUGCAGGGUGAGCCUGAGCCUCCACGAACUUGACGUGAUCGGGGUUCGGCACUCUUACACGCUUGCCAACGCAGUGGCCGUCGAGCCGGUGGUCAUCGGCCGUCGAGCCGGUUAUGGUCGUCGAGGUCAACUUUACCUUCUAACUGUAUCUACUUUUCGCCAGUGCCAACCGUUGUUUUUAAAUACCUUUCAUCUUUGUAAUCAUCCAUUUAGGCUGCAGGACUGCUACUUCUUUGUUCAUAUAAGCUUAUCCGUGCAUAUGAUGCUCCUGUGGUCCUGUCUUUACUUACCUGAUGUAAUUUAUGAAUGUGCACAGCCACCAAUGCAUUUUUACUGCUCUAACUUAUUUUUUAAAGAUGAUACUGUCACUUCUCUUGGAUUGCUCUGCUUUCUAGAGUUCAGUAAGUUGCAUAAGUUUAGCAAUAGUUGCAUGAACAGGUGUUGCCCACAGGACAAAAAACAAUUGAAAAGAACACCACAUAGUGAACGCCUCAGCAAACAACAAGAAGAUUGGUGCACUCAGUCACACAAAGGAGGCGCGCCCUGGGCGCCCCCCAGCCACUAGUGCUUAUAGAAAUGUGGCAGUAGAGGAAAAUAAACAAAUAUUUUCUUUAUUUGCCUACAUAUGCUUAAUUAUGUGAUCCAGUUCCCGUUCCAUGUAGAAUAGUCAUUUGAUGGGUUAUAGAAACCUAUUAGGCCAUGAGUAUAUGUUUAGUUGUUCUCUCAUGUUGGUUAGGAACAACUUUCAGUGAAUUAUAAUAAAAUCAAUAAAUAAUUAUGUAGUUGUAGUAGGUGAGCCAUGGUGCAUAGAUUUGAGUUGAUAACUAACAAUAACCUGCUAACUAAUCUUAAAGUUAUCUCUGAAGCUUCUGUUUCCCAUAUGUUAGAGUUCCUGAGUUCAGUCCACCCAAAAGAAGUUUGCCACUACACAAUAAUUUUUUAGCUCUCUGUUCUGCAUAUAUUAUUUUUAUUUUAAAUAUUUGUAUCCAUUGAUAUCAACUUUAAAAGGAAAUUUAUAUGUGUGUACCAGGCAACGAACACAACAAUGGCACUACUGUAUGUGGAAUAAGAAUGCAUAUGUGUAGAUUACAUUCAGAAGGUUGAGUGGUUGUUGUUCGCGUACCUAGGGCUCAAAUAACUAUCCCCCAAAGUGUCGUCUUAUUUUCUGUCAUAAGUGUUUCCAGCCUGCUACACACCCCAGGCCGAAACCACAAACUACAAGAUGGAUGAUCUCACAACAAUGGCACUACUGUAUUUGAAAUAAGAAUGCAUAUGUGUACAUUACAUUCAGAAGGUUGAGUGGUUGUUGUUCGCGUACCUAGGGUUCAAAGAACUAUCCCCAAAGUGUCGUCUUAUUUUCUGUCGUAAGUGUUUCCAGCCUGCUACACACCCCAGGCCGAAACCACAAACUACAAGAUGGAUAACCACGUGUAAAGUGUGCAUCAUGCUUUUUCAUUGCACAAUAUUUUUAUGUUUUCUUCCUUCCUUCUGUGCUAGAAUUAUUUUUGUUCUACUAAGCGAGGCAUGUAUUUAGUCUGUAAUUUUUAACACUUAAAUUACGUGGCUAUAUAUUUUAUUCCUGUUAACUCAGUAUUUUUAGGGUCUGUCAACUCCAUUUGUUUACUGUGUGGCCUAAAAAUUUAUAGGUAUCGUCAGCGUGUUGUAAUAUAUCUUGGUCUAUACUUAGGUAUAUAUUUUUAUGUUGGUGUACUGAUAUACGAAGGCAAAAAUGUAACCACUUAAGAAUGAAGGUUAAAAAGAAAAAGAAAAUUGGUGGAGACGGCUCUAUUAAAACUACCAGCUUGCAAAUUCUAAUAGUGGCUUCAAGUAUUGUAUGAAUUUUCUAAAAUAGCUACUGCACGGAUUGACUACUAUUAGUUUUAAUUUAUUUAUUACUUGUACAUUAUAAUAUUUGAUUAUUUUAUAUGCUUUCUUAUGUUUGAUUAUUUGAAUUACAAGGAUGAUCUGAAGCACCCAGAAGAAGUAGAGGACAUGACAGGAGGAGGGAACAAGAAGCUUAGUUUAUCAUUGAUGUUAUGUGUUGAAGUAUGUUGAUGUGUGAUUAUGCAUUUGUUGGGCCUUGAACCUUUAUGUGUAGAGGAUUCGAUGGAUGAUGUAAUUGUAAUUCAUGUGAUGUGCUACUGAAAUGAAAUAUAAACAACUAAUUUGCAAUCUUGUACUUGUUUUUCAAUGGGUCUAUGUUGAGAUAUACAUGCUUUUGGCAAAAUAAUGCAUCAGCCUAAACAAUUUAGAUAUUUUAAUAAUAAAAUAGUAUUGAUGGAGGCCCAUGUAGAAUAGGUUAUUGAAUUGGGCAGUGAAAUUUAUGAUGAUUCCAUUUGGUCACUAGCAAUGCCAUGUCAGCACCGCCACGUCAGAUCCUACGUGGCUCACACAAAUGGGUAAUGACCAAACCAAAAUUUUGAUCAAUAGAGAUUCACGACCAAAAUUUUAGAAAGGUCAAGUUUGUUCAUUUUUUACGGCCAACUGUUGAGCUUGUAAAUUUGGUCAAAAAAAGUCAAUAAACAACAACAAUGACGAAUCAAUGAUCAAUAUAGAGAGUCAUAAAUGAUCUUAUUUCUUGUAGUGGGUAAACAUGUUUCAAACAGUUCCACAGGAGAGAUAGGAUAGCAUGUCCCCCACGCAGACAUAGCCGCCGCCGCCGCCCUUUGCGCCGUUCCGAUCAAGAGAUGACGCCGCCGACGCGAGGACAUAGGGCGACGACCCCGCCGCCGGCGCGAUUUACAAUUUCUAGUUCAGUUGAUGCUACGAGCAGAUCAGUAAAGACCAUACAUGAGACCAACAUGAAAGAGCAGUACGUGCUGUAACGAAGCUUCCCUAUUUUUUUAUUUUUUUUGUGCUCACACACAACUAGCCAUCUCGAACCCAUGAAUCAAUAUUAGCAGCCUAGCGCCCAAUUAAGAAUUGAUAGUUUGCCCAGUAAAUGAUGACGCACAAUUGAUCAGACAUAAGUAAUCUACAGACCCAAUCGGCGGCGUGGAGAAAUCGGCCGAUCGUGAUGCAGCUACCAGAUGACGGCCAUAGGAGUCGGUCCCCUGACGCGUGAUUGCUCGGGGCUCUCAGAUGAACCACGGACAUGCAGUGAUGGAUGGCGACCUUCGACCGGCUGUCCCCGUAUCAAGCCCUAGUGUGUGUGUGCGCUGUGGGGAAUUUUCCAAUGUAAUGACGGAUCUACCCUUGGAAAAACUAACUGGUCCCAUAAAAAAUUUGUAACGGCCCUAACGUUACAUGUAAUUUCUCGUAAUUUUAGUUUUGUAACUCCUUGUAACUCCUAUUUUCCCACCGUCGGAUUAGGGUGGAUGGACGACUCCUAAAAUCGCCAAUCACCAUAAUGUCAAUAGAACAAUAGACAUGACCGCAUUCCAAGUAAGAAUUCAUGCGCCGCUCAAUGAGAGCGGGCGAGUCCGUGAGUAUUUUUUUUAGGUCCCUGCAUCUCUCUAGUAUUGCAACGCAAGCAUGAUCAGUCUUAUGCAACAGAAAAUUGGCAUCGUAAUACAACACAUCUGUUUUUUUUUGUCUUUUUUGAAAUUGCAAAACAACACAGCUGAACAGACAAAUCGGAGAAGGAAAAUAGCUGCAAGCAAAAGAAUGUACCUACAGGUUUCCUUACAAAACUAAUCUACUGUAGCUUUUUCGCAAAAAACAUCUUACCUAGAGUUUGGGCCAUAAGGAUAAGAAUUAUCUAGAAUAUUGUGGCAAUGUUUAGUUGAAUAUACACAUUAGGGAUCCUAAAUUUCAAGUAGUUCUACUAGCCUGGAUGACGUUUUAUUAAAUUAGGACGAAAUCACUAAUCUUGAAACCACGUUAGUUUUCUUUUUGCAACACUAAAUAUGUCAAACACAUGUUUUUUUUAAUUUGUAUCAAAGACAGUAAUCUGAAAAGGCUCUGCUUAUCACCCAUGUGAAUUGGUGAUCGGGUGACAGUGUUAUUAGAACCAUGAUGUUGCCAAGUCAAGACAUUGUUGAUCGUUGUUUUAUAUAUAAUGCGGGGAGAAAGACUUUUUCGGUAUAGAUAAUGAGCAGUGCAAAUUUUGGUCUCAUAUGACCUUGCUAUGUGUUGGUGUGUUAUUGUGUGUGUGUGCAUUCAUAUUCACUAUGUGCAUCCUAGCUAUGUAGAGCCGAGUAUGUGCUCAUUGUGUUUGUAUCGUGUAGACACAUAUUUUAUUGCUUUACAUAAUUAUUUUUGAAAAACACAACCUUUUUAUUGAAUGCUAUUGUGCGUGUCACUCUCAUAUCUCUCUCCCUCUUCCUCUCUCUCAACAUCGCACUGACGACAAUGGAGCAUUUUUAUUGUCUAUCUUUCAUUAUUAUAUGGUUCAAUUUUGUUGGUCACAUUAUAUGUGGUCUCCAAAUCAUCUAUGGCAGCAUUAUGUGUAUUAGUGGUCCGGCCGCCAAUUAGACGUGUUUUACUUUGCAACAAACACUAAAGUGAGAAAAAUGCAAGACAAAAUUGUUUCAAAGUUUUAGCAUGUGUUAUUUGAACUUUGAACCUUUCUCUUUUUGGGUGAAAAAAACUCUCCUUUGAUCACUAUGACUAAUUCUAUUUCAAUGCUAAUUCAACAUGAUGCUAUGUUAUCAAUAAGUUGCAUUAACUGAUGAGUAAAAUACAUUAGAGAUCCUAAAAGUAGUUCAAGUCGGUCAAAUAGGUCCUAAAAGUUUGAUAUCGUUCACCGCAGGUCCUAAAUAUAUGCAAAUCAUUCAUCACGGGUCCUGAAAAUAUUUCAAGUGUGACAAAUAUGUCAUAAAAAUUGCUGGUUAAAUACAUAUAUAGGACCGGUGAUGAACAUUUUUAAACUUUUAGGACCUACUUAACACACUUGAAAUACUUUUAGGAUCUUUAGUGUAUUUUACUCUUAACUGAGUGCACUUGACGUCUGCACAUCGUAUGGACUGAAGUAAAACAGUAAGGUUUGUGAGUUUACCAAUACCAGUCGGGCGGCCCCAAGUCAGGACGAAGCCAUCGUUGAUGAGCCGCUCGUAGUCGCUCGCGUUCGCCUCGGUCGACGAUGAGCUCGGCACCGGCACUAUAGCAGCGAUGCAGCCUUGUACAGCAUAGGCACCGUAGCCGAUUGUCCCAUCGUAAUGCCCUGCCGCGCGGACGUACACCUCGCUCUUGUUACCGCACAUCAUCCCCGUCUGCAGCAGCUCCGUCUCACGACGUGCAGCAGCCGCAGCUGAUGUGGCCUCCGUGCAACUGUAGAAGAUGAGGUUCAGAUCGGCACGGCGAGUUUUGUAGAGGUGUUCCAGAUCAAUAUGCAGUUGUUGGGCAGUAAUUCCAGCUUGCCCACAUCAACAACAUGCAAGCUGCGUUGCGCUUGUAAUUGAUAUCAAUAACUGCAAAACCGAAGCCGGAGGGCAUAGAGCUUCGUAAAACCGGAGUGUGUUGCUCUUAGAGCAAGUGACCUCGAAAUCUGAGGAACCACAUGCUUGUUCCGCCUCGUUAUCCCUGAGCCAGAAUGGGUCGGAGAUUGUCAUGUUGCCCCAUCUCUUGGCCGAGACUGAGCAGCCAUCGCCUUGCUGCUCCUCAGCCAGAGCGAGCAUCAGUGGCAGCCACCAAACCCAGACGAAGACUAAGAACCAGUAGCUUGGAGGCAUCGGAGAAUAAGACUUAAAUUUAGUUGCAGCACCAAGCGGAAGGGCAAACUAAAAAGUUGAGCAUGGAUGGUGGGGAGAUUCAAGCAAGAGAUGAUACUGUGGCUAAGAAUGAAAGGUAUUAAUUACGUAUAUGGGGCAAUGGAGUCCUUGGCAGUCCUCGCACGUCCAUGCAUAUGUGCAAGGGAAGACUUGCCACAACAUUAUGAGUGGCUGCAGAUCAAGUUACCAAUUCCCUCGGAUAAUGCUCACUUCCCAGAGGUCUUAGUCUCACAUGCCGUGAGCUAUCUGGCAAGUGCAUACUUCCACAGUUCCUCCAACCGAUUGAGAGGGAGAUCAUUUCACAUGCCACUGAAGUAGACUGCCGAGCCAGAACGGGUACCCGACGUACUAACGUCCCCGCAUGCCCUGGGUGCGCAGGUCGCCAUGGCUGACGCCACCGUCGUCGCAUGGUGCAGUAGCACGAAUACGCACACUAGUAGAAAAUGAGUCUUUCGACCGAAGCCGAAAAAACCACUAGCCCCGGUUCAAACUAAAACCCGUUCAGUUUGUCAGGGCAUUGGUCCCGGUUCGGUUCAUCUUAUUAGUUCCGGUACGGGAUAAAAACCGAGACUAAAGAUGUAGCGACUGCCACGUGGCGUGCCACGGAGCAAUAGUUUUGGUUUUUGGCCAGAAUCGGAACUAAAUGAUAGGUUAUUAGUCCGGGUUUUAGACAAAAACCGGGACUAAAGUACUGCCUAUAUAUACCCUCGCCCGUGCCAUCCUCUCCUCUGUUUUUUGACCGUUGAGGUGUGCAUGCCAUGCUCUUGUCAUCCUUCUAGUUCAUGCACAUGAGGUGUUUGAUGAAAUGUUCGAGCCAAACUACUUAAGCUUUCUCCUCUCCAAUCUCAACCUCCAAUCUCAACCUUCAAUCUUCAUUUUCCUCAAUAUUUGUCUAGGAUUGGCCGUGCAUCAACUACAGAAGUGUUCUAAAAAGUUAGUUACUUCAUCCUUUCAUCUCUUACUGCUAGUUUAGCUCAUUUCAAAUGCUCUAAAAGUAGAAUGGUUUGUGGGUUUUAGUGUAGAAGUGUAUGUGAGGGUUAUUUUGUUUUAGAUGCAAAAUUUGAGCUCAAAUUAACUUCUUAGAGUCUGCACAUGUGUAGGAUGUCGUCCCGUGCCCGUCCUCACCGCUGUCGAUCGCCCGCGCCGAUCUCGUCGCGAGCACCACCGUGGUGAGCAUCUUGUUCUUGUCAUCUUUUUAAAAUAAAAAAAUCUUACUUGUAUGAUUUAGAUAGAUACUUGUAUAAAUUACUUACUUUCAUUAUUUUUUGUUAUUAUAUAAUGCGAUGGUUUUGGUAUCCGCCUUCGUCGGCCGUCGUCCUGACUAUGAUUCGGAUGUGGUAUAUAUUAUGUUUUAUAACUAUUUGUUUUAUUUAGUGUUUAUGACAAUUAUGACGACCAACGUGAUAUAUAUUUUUUAAUCUAGGAGGUAUGUGAACCGGAAAUUCCAACCCACAUAGAAAUUCUGAUCGAGAAGUUAAAUUUAGUUGAAAAAGAAAAUAAUUACUUGAAGAAAAAAAAAAUAAUUGAGGAGAAGAAUAUGGAAUAGGAGUUGCAUGUUGCCGAUGUCGUCGAUGAUCGCAAGAUGAAGAUGGAUGCAAUGCGCUUGAAGAUGGAUGAAAUGCGCUUGAAGAUUCGGAAUAUUACAAAAUAUGCCAUUGAUAAAGAGGCUUGGUAUCAUAAUGCUGUUGGGUCAAUUGUUACCUUAGUUGUGAUUUUGACCGCAUUUGUUGUUGCGUUUAAAUGUUUUACAUAGUUGUAUGUUGUUUUAUGAAAAAAAUUUAUGUAUUUAUUUUUGCAAUAAUAACAUUUGAUCACUACUGUGCUUUGGUUUUAAUGUGAUGAUAAACUUGUAAUAAUUUGGUCAUUUCUCUAUUCAUGAUAUUCUGCAAUGGUUUUUUAUAUAUUUAAUUUUAUAAUACAGAUAAACCACCAAUGGAUAUACGGUGACUAAUUAAUGCCCGAGUCACACUUAAGUUCACACAAAAUGGUAUCAUCGGCCGAGGUUAGUAAGCUUAUCCUUUUCAUCUGUAAUUGAUACAAAAAUAUUACAUGUGUUAAUGUACGGUGGUCAUUUCACUAUUCAUGUAUGAUGCCAGAUCGAUGCACGGAAGCGAUGGAUGUAUGACGAACGACGCGGUUCCGAAUUUAUUGCAGGCCUGCAUAAAUUUAUUGAUGUGGCUGAGGCAAACAAAAUGGAUAAUUUUAUGCCUUGUCCAUGUGUUGGCUGUCGAAACGUGAAGGAGUACUCUAGCUCGAAAAACAUUCAUCUGCACUUGCUUCAGAGAGGUUUCAUGCCCACAUAUUAUUAUUGGACCAUGCACGGAGAAAGAGGGGCUAGGAUGAAAGACAAUAAAGAAGAAGAUGUUGAUGACAACUAUCUUAUAUUCACUAAAGAAUACAGUGAUACUAUAAUGGAAGACAAUGAAGAAGAAGAAGGUGAAGAACAACCGACAUCAGAUGAGCCCGCUGAUGGUCUUGGUCGGGUCAUUUCUGAUGCAAUGAGAGAAUGCGAUACAUAAAAGGAGAAGUUGAAAUUGGACACCAUGCUAAAGGAUCAUAAAAGUUGUUGUACCCAAAUUGCGAAGAUGGAUCACAAAGCUCGGUACCACACUGGAACUGUUGAAAUGGAAGGCAGAAACUGGUUUAUCUGACAAGGGAUUUGAGAAGUUACUGAAAAUAUUAAAGCCGAAGCUUCCAAAGGAUAACGAAUAUCCCAAGACUACGUACGAAGCAAAGAAGGCUAUCUGCCCUCUUGGACUAGAUGUGCAGAAGAUACAUGCAUGCCUUAAUGACUGCAUCCUAUACCGCGGUGAGAAGUACGAGAAUAUGGACAAAUGCCCGGUAUGCACUGCAUGUCGGUACAAGAUCAGACAGGAUGACCCUGAUGAUGUUGAGGGCGAUGACGAGCCCCUAGGAAGAAGGUUCCUGCAAAGGUUAUGUGGUAUGCUCCUGUAAUACCACGGUUGAAACGUAUGUUCAGAAACAAUGAGCAUGCCAAGUUGAUGCGAUGGCACUAAGACGAGCGUAAGAAAGACGAGAAAAAGUUGAGACACCUUGCAGAUGGGUCGUAAUGGAGGAAAAUCGAGAGGGAGUGGCCGGACUUUGCAGAUGACCCAAGGAACUUAUGGCUUGGUCUAAGUACAGACGGCAUGAAUCCUUUUGGGGAGCAGAGCUGCAGUUACAACACCUGGUCCGUGACUCUAUGUAUUUACAACCUUCCUCCUUGGUUGUGCAUGAAGCGGAAGUUCAUUAUGAUGCCAGUGCUCAUCCAAGGAUCGAAGCAACCCGGCAACAACAUUGAUGUGUACCUAAGGCCAUUAGUUGAUGAACUUUUGCAGUUGUGGGCCAAACCAGGUGUACGUGUGUGGGAUGAGCACAAACAGCGGAAAUUUGACCUACAAGCAUUGUUGUUCGUAACCAUCAAUGAUUGGCCCGCUCUUAGUAACAUUUCAGGGCUGUCAAACAAGGGAUACAAUGCAUGCACGCACUGUUUUGAUAAGACUAAAGGUACAUAUUUGAAAAAAUCCAAGAAAGUUGUCUACCUGGGGUGUCGUCAAUUUCUUUCGACCAAUCAUCCCAUAAGAAAGAAAGGCAAGCAUUUCAACGGUGAGGAAGAUCACCGGAAGAAGCCUAACCUCCCUACUGGUGAUGAGUUAUUCGUUAUGGUCCAGGAUUUGGAUCAAAUAGUAAUCUUUGGAAAGGAUCCUAGCGAUCAAUCUGUUCCGAAAGACGACGUUACCGUACACGUUCCCAUUUGGAAAAAUAAAUCUUUAUUUUGGGCGUGUAUGGGAAGACAAAAGAUACAACAGAAACACGGGAGGAGUAGCAACGUAUGAAAGACCGAUACGACAAGAAGACUGAUAAAGUGCGUCAAUACUUAAGCAGCUACACUCUUACCAAAGCAUAGAAGGAAAUCUUUUCUGAAUGCCUGAGCAGUAUGAAGGUCCCCGCUGGCUUCUCGUCUAAUAUAAAGGAAAUAAUAAAUAUGGCAGAGAAAAAAAUUCCAGAACCUGAAGUCUCAUGAUUGCCACGUGAUUAUGAUGCAGUUGCUUCCGGUUGCAUUGAGGGGGCUUCUACCGGAAAAUGUUCGAUUACCCAUUGUGAAGCUAUGUGCAUUCCUCAAUGCGAUAUCUCAGAAGGUAAUCGAUCGGUAACGUCUGGACAGGCUAAAGAAGGAUGUGGUCCAAUGUCUUGUCAGUUUUGAGUUGGUGUUCCUCCCGUCCUUCUUCAAUAUUAUGACGCAACUCCUGGUUCACCUAGUCGACGAGAUUUCCAUUCUAGGUCCUAUAUUUCUACACAAUAUGUUCCCCUUCGAGAGGUUCAUGGGAGUCUUAAAGAAAUAUGUUCAUAACCGUGCUAGGCCAGAAGGAAGCAUCUCCAAGGGCUAUGGAACAGAGGAGGUCAUUGGGUUCUGUGUAGACUUUCUUCCUGACCUUAAGCCGAUUGGUGUUCCUGAAUCGCGGUAGGAGGGGAGACUGAGUAAAAAAGGCACACUAGGAAAGAAAGCAGUGAUAUGUACGGACGGGCAUUCUUUCACUGAAGCACACUACACAGUUCUAAAAAGUUCCACCUUCGUGGCUUCAUAUAUCGAGGAGCACAAGAAUUUUAUACGCUCCGAGUUCCCGGGGAAGGCUAUCUCCUGGAUUGAAGAAAAACACAUGGAUACUUUCGGCAGUUGGAGAUCAACUCUACUUGUUGGCCGCUCACCUUCUUCGACUGUAUUACAUUUCUAGGGGUACGAGAUAAACGGGAAUACAUUUUACAUGACCGCCCAAGAUAAAAAGAGCAACAACCAAAACGAUGGUGUCCGCUAUCAUGCGAUAGACGAGAAUGGGGAAAAACACAUACUAUGGUUACAUAGAGGAGAUAUGGGAACUUGACUACGGACCUACUUUUAAGGUCCCUUUGUUUCGGUUUAGUUGGGUGAACAUGAAUGGAGAAGGGGUAAAGGUAGACCAGUUGUACGGAAUGACAACCGUUGAUCUCAAGAAUCUUGGUUACAGAGACGAGCCAUUCGUCCUAGCCAAUGAUGUGGCUCAGGUUUUCUACGUGAAUGACAUGUCCUCCAGACCGAAAAAAAGAAAAAACAAACAAAUGAAUGCAUCGGACGAUGAGCCAAAGGGUCACAUAGUUUUUUCAGGGAAAAGAAACAUCGCGGGGAUCGAGGAGAAGACAGACAUGUUAGCAGAUUAUAUUAAGUUUGAUGAAAUUCCCCCCUUCAUAGUGAGAAUUGACCCAAGCAUUCCGUUAAAUAAUGAAGAUGCUCCAUAGUUACAGCCAAAGCGAUCAUAGGCAAGGGAUCGAAAUAUAAAUCUAUGUAAUGUGUUAAACUUUAUGUGAUGUGUACUAAUAUAUUAAACUUUAUGUAAUGUGUACUAAUGAUACUUUGAAAGAAUUUGUUGAAAAUUUGUGAUGUGCCUUUGAAUGAUGCAUUUUUAACACACAAAAAGUAUGGAGUUCAAAUAAGUUCAAAAUAAUGAAAUCCCUUUGUAACAGAUGAGUUCUCAUUCGAAACUCUGAUACUUCGAAAGAGAUUGUACGUUUUAUAAUGUUUUUCAAUUUCAGGAUCAAUCAGCUAAAAACAAAUAAGUAAAUGCAUGAAAAAUAUCAAAUGAAGUCAGAAAUUGUUGAAAAUGUGUGAUGUGCCUUUGAAUGGUGCAUUUUGAACACACAAAAAGUAUAGAGUUCAAAUAAGUUCAAAAAAAUGAAAUUCCUUUGUAACACAUGAGUUUUCGUUCGAAACCCUGAUGCUUCGAAAGAGAUUAUUCGUUUUGUACACAAAGUGCAUCCAGUUUUUGUCGUAACCCUCUUCAAUUUUUAAUUAAACAAUAACUAAAAAGAAUCAACUAAAAAUUAACUAAAAAGAAUGAACUUAAAUUAUUAAAGUGUUCUAUUUCUUAAAAAGAAUGAAGUAAAACAUUAACUAAAAAGAAACAAAAAAAUAUCAACUCAAAAGAAUUGUCAGAAAGUUUUUAAAAAAAAUAUUAAAUAGAAAACUAAAAUAAAAAAAUCUUUAAUCGCAAAGAAUUAAAAUAUAAACUGGAAUAAAAAUUAUGGAAGUAAAAGAAAUGCCGCCUAUUGGGCCAUCACGGCGUGCAUAGGACUAAAAACCUACCCGACAGGUGGGCCAGGAUGCAGGCCCUUGGGCCCAAUAGGCCCAACAGGCAACGAGAGGAGAUUUAGGCCCAUAGGCAUGCAAUAGAGAGAAGCUGAACUGGCGUGGGAGUGCUUAUAAAGCACUGCUAGCGUUCUUCGCUCGGCGAGGUGGGACUAAAGAUUCCCUUCGUCGCACCGGAGCCAGCCCAGGCCUUUAGUCCCGGGUCGGGGCUCCAACCGGGACUAAAGACCCCCUUUAGUCCAGGGUGGAGCCACGAUCCGGACUAAAGGCCCUCGCUUCCCGCCUCUCCUCCUGUCGAAAAAGGGUCUUUAGUCCCAGGUCGUGGCUUCACCCAGGACUAAAUGGUGUCUUUAGUCCCGGUUCGAGCCCCGACCCGGGACUAAAGCUCCGCCUAUAUGAGCGGGAGUUGGAAAUUUCCAACCAAAAUCGCCGGUUCUUUCUUUCUUCCUCCUCUCGCUCGGACGAACUACUCGACGCCGCCAGGCUGCGCUCCAUCGCCGUCACCCUACCGUCCUCCUCGCCGUCGUCGUUGCCCUGUCGUCCUCCUCGCCGUCGCCGUUGCCCUACUGUACGCCCUCCUCGCCAUCGCCGUCGCCCUACCACUCCUCGCCGUCGCCGUCGUCGCCCUGCCGUUCUCCUCGAUCCAACACCCCUGCAACCGGUGAGCCUCUCUCCUCUCCUCUCUCGAUCGAUCAUCGACAUCCAUGGUUAAAAUAGAUGCCUAAUUAGUAUGUUUUGUAGAUUAUUGCUUAAUUUUGCUAUUAGGGUUAGGUAGUGAUCUAAUUAGGCAGUGAUUUUGCUAUUAGUAUGUUUUAUAGAUGCUUAAUUAGUACGUUUUAUAGAUUUUGCUUAUUUUUAUGUUAUGUAAAUUUGUGUUAUUAGGGUUAGGUAGUUAAUGUUAAUUAAUAGGUUAUUGUUAUAUAAAUGCUUAAGUGAUAUUUGUAGUGAUUUAAGUGAUAUUUAUAAAUUGUAUAAUAUUUGUGGAUUGUAGAUUGUAUAUGUUUAAGUGAUUUUUUAGGUGUAGGUUAAGCUAGAGAAAAUAUCAUUGUUAGUAUUAAUAAUGGAUUUAACAAGACUUCCACAUUAUGUAUGUACACAAGUUGAUUCAAUUUUUUUUGGUCUCAUCUAUGUAACCUAGCUAGCUAGAUUCUAUAUGUCACGUUGUUGUCUGUUAAAAUAUUAAAGAAACCCAUGGCUUCAUCAUUACCUGGUAGUAACAGACGCAUGACGCUAUCAAACUCUCAAAAAUUGUUUUGAAACGGAGUUCUUGAUAGAAUAAUUCACUUUUUGGUACGAAGUUCAGCAAAGUCCUUCCAAAUAGCGAUAUUCGGAUGGCUCUUUUGAACUGCGUACCAAAAAGCUAAUUAUCCUAUUCGGGAUUCCGUUACAAAACAACUUUGUAAAGCUUCAUAGCAUCAUGCGCCUAUUACUACUAGGUAAUGAUGAAGUCAUGAUUUUCUUGAAUCCUUUGACAAUAGACAAUGUGACAUAUAGAAGGGUAGAUGAGAUCAGGAAAAAUAUGGAUCAUUUUCUACACAUCCAGAAUGUCGCCAUUUUGUUAAAUCCCUUAAAGGUUAAGAGAACCCGUUAGACAUAUUUUAGAGUUUAGAUUCACUCAUUUUGCUUCGUAUGUAGUUUUCUGAUAAAUCUUUAAAAGGUCUUAUAUUUUGGAAUGGAGGGAGUACAAGUUUAGAAAAGUUUAUUAAAUAGUAGGACAUACGAUGCCCGGCCCGCAUCCUCGUCGUCGACUCGGUGGAGACCACCUGCUUGAUAGGUGCCAGCAUGUGUGGGACUGGGCUCCGUCGGGCUGGCACUGGGAGGAGUUACCUUCCGGGGCGCGUAGCUUGGUGAGAAAUCGGGCUCCCGUCGUCGACCCGAAGCUUCUUUGAUGGCGGUCGCGGGGGCCACUUUCGGUGCCUAGGUUGCCAGUCCCCGAGGAGGACGUACGUCGCCGUGUCAGGGAGGAGGACGAGCACGUCCGUAGCUAUAUGGAGGCGUUGGAUGACAGGUUCUUCAGUACCUGGCAGGUUCUUCAGGGAUCUCACCCAAGCUAUGAUCCGAUGAUGGUCCCUGCUCUUUGGGUGUCCAUCGCCCGCGCCUCAGUACAACGAUGGCUGUUUCUUGGUUGAUCAGUUAUUUAUGUAUUCCAGAUUAUAUAUUCGAUAAUAUUAAAUGGAUCAUUCGAUGAUGUAUUAAUUAAGUGGAUUAUUCGAUGUAUAUAAGCGGGAGUUUUAUUUGUUAGUUAAUUUAGUUUUUUAUGUUUAGUUAAUUUGUAGAUACUAUGGAUCCAAUACACGGCAGAGACGAAUAUCACGAAGACAUGAUGCAUGGUGUCAUCCGCGGGGAUGAUAUUUUAGUUCGCGAUGUCGAUGUCACCAAUCAGUUUCUGAACGAGUCCGGCGAGGGAGAUGAGUCUCUCAAAACACGAGGUAGAAGCUCCGGUGAGGUAGACGCCCACGCCUCGGGCGAGGGAGGAAUCGGCGGCUCCAAUGAGGAAGAAGUCGACAAGGGAGGAGCCGACCGCUCCGGCGAGGUGCAUAUAUAUAUUAAUGAAUUAAUCCUCUGCCGUCUAUACACAUAUAUUAACGCUCUUUCUUUUAGCCCUCUUGAUCGAGCAAAACUUCAGUACGGACGAAACGAGACCCAACCAAGAAGCUGGAUGACGGUGAGAGAUACACGAUCGAAACAGUCUCAAAUGUCGGGCAACCAAUUGGUCCCAUAGAUGUAAAGCCGAAAUUUAUGAAGGCAUGCGGAGUUUUUGUUAGGGACCACAUCCCUAUCACCACUCGAGAAUGGAUUAAGCCAAACGAGGAAGGAGUUUCAUAUGUUGUCACAGCAGCCAAAGAAAACCUUUGGAGAAAUCUCAUGCUUCGUUUCACCCUACCGGUGCCAGAGGUGGAUCCAGAUGAGGAGGAGCCAAAUGAGGAGGAAAUGAAGAGGCCAAAAGAGGCCCUAGAGAAAAAGUCAAGGAGUGGGCUCUUAAGAAGAUGGCCGAUCUAUUCAGGGGCUGCAAAAAAAGAUUGCACCAGGAUUUUAUCUUGAAAGAUAAGACUCCAGAUUUCGAUCACGGCUAUGAAAAGAUAAAAGACUAGUGCGCCGAAUUUGUGGCGUACAAGAAAUCGGUGGACUCCUUGAAAAAGUCUGCAACAAAUAGGAUGAAUGCAGGUAAUAAGAAGUAUCACCAUAUUAUGGGGCCUGGUGACUACGGCAGUAAGAUGGCUAAGUGGGAAGCACUUGAGGUAUCAUUUGUGGAAAAAAAAUAUCACUCCAGAGCCCUUAAGAUGGCUCGAACGGGGAAGAAACUGGUUUUACGGGCAUGAGGGAUUGUUGGACAAAGAAGGGAAGGCAAUAUAUGACCAAAAACACAAAGAUAAUCCCCUACCCAUCGAGGACAUUAGACGUGUCGUACACCAUGUUGAAGAGGGACGGUUCGUUCCCGAUAGAGAGAACGACGAGCUCACAAGCGCCCUUGGGAAUAAGGAACACAGAAGGCGAGCACAAGGCUUACCAGGCUCCCCACCGUGGAUACUUGCUUUUUCCGAGGAAAGGAAGAGAUUUCCCAAUAGAAGCCAUCAGAGGAGAAAGGAAAAUGAGGAACGUGAUAAAGCGGCUGAGGCAGACCGGCUGCAUAAUCUAGAAGAAGCAGUAAAGCGGCUGCAGCCGGAUCAAAUCGACAGACAACAAGGUAGCGUCCAAUCUCAGCGGCUCAUGAUAGAAGCUAUAUCAAAUCGGAAAAGAAGUGUCGCUUCCACGCAGCUCCAGGAUGAUGGUGAUGAUGCAUUGUCGACGGAUCCUCCUCGUCGCUACCCAGUGGAUGAUAUCACAGAGAGCACACCUUGUGAGCUGAAGGUGAAAGUUGCUAACUUAAGGUUGACGGUGGCGGUCGGCAUGGCCAUACCAAUUGGACAUAAUCCAACUUGGCAUUGCUCUCCGGUUCCAGAAGGGUACGCUGUCGUCGCGGUGGAUGAAGUGUUGAAAGAUUAUGAGGAGCUGAAGCUCGACCACCCUGCAGGUGAAGAUAGGAAUUUGACUCAACUUGGAGAAGUCAAGAAACAAACCAUUGUAUGGCCAAAGAAGGACAUCUUGCUUCCAAAUUGGACGCCAAGGCCACCGAAUCCUCAUAGCAGCAAUCCUUCUACGCGUUCACCUCACCAGUCUCCAGCGCAACCGUCGUCUUCGCCGCCUCACCAGUCUCCAGCGCAUCCGUCUCCACCGCCGCAUCAGCCGUCUCCACUGCCUCACUUUCUCCAGCGCAGCCGUCUCCACCGCCGCAUCAGCCAUCUCCACCGCCCCGUCAGCCGUCUCCAUCCACUGAAGAUCAGAGCAAAAAGCGGAAACGUACCACCGCUAAUAGUGGCGACAGAAAGGGGUUCCGAUCACUGAAACGUAAGUUGUCCCCCCUCCCAAAAGUACCUCAUAAGGAUAUGGAGAAGAGAUCUUGGGACUAUACUGGAGAGGACAAUAUUAAGAGGGUAGACGCCCAACAUCAACAGUGGAAGGCUGGAGUGGCUAACAAGAAGAAGCCGAAAGAGCCAGAGUUCCCGGACACCCCAGAAGAUCACCUCGCGUGCGUGAAAAUGCUGAAAAACCUUGCAGAUCCCCCGCCACCGUUGCCAGCUGACUAUGAACGCUCUAUUCUCAAGUCGGCUCAGGCAAAAAAGCAACAGUUGAAGAGUAGUAUGUCCAGCGGGAAAUCAGUUGCCCAGCUCGGACAACAGAAAAACUAAUCGUGCCCCCGGCUCAAAGUGUAUUCCGAUACAAAGGUGUGCUCGAGCGAAGCUGCGGUCGAGCAGAGGAAUGAUGAAACAACUGGUAUCGAUCCGGAGUUUGUUGCAAUAUACGAAGAAGCGGCCAAGGCUCAAGGCAUGUCUAUUGAUGAGUACUUAAACCAUUUGCGGGAAUUCGCUGACCUAGCAUACGUGUACCGGUACGGGUCACCUCUUGUCAAACCUGAGUUAGUCAACGAGCUACCAACCAAAAUGCAAAGAUUGCAUGACUGGUACAUGCAAGCAUGUAAAGAACAGCAAAAUUGGAUCUACGUUGCAUAUGAAGACGAGCAUUUCGGGACUAGACGAGACGUGCUAAUGAAUGAAUUCGACGAAUUAUUUUAGUAUAUAAUCAAGACACCCUUGACAAACCUAUCAUCACUGCCUAUUGUUUGUAAGUAUUAUUAAUUUAUGUCAUUAAGUCUUACUCAGCUCAUUCUUGCAUGUAUAAUCUUGCUCAUCACUAUAUUAAUUUUGCAGAAUAAAGAUUCUACAAUGCAAAAGAGGACAAAUCUAUGACAUUGGGUUUAUUGACCCAUAUUACAUUCAUCACUAAAGUCUCACAACGAAUCCCCGCGAGACAGAGAAUAACUUGGUACAAGGGUUAAGGUUUUGCAGUACCAAAAGGGAAAUACUAUUUCCUUACAACUUCAAGUGAGUCUUACUACACGCAUUGUAUUUUCGCUUACUCGAUAUUAUUAUAAGUGUGUAAUUGACUCGUUAUGCGUGCGCAGGUUCCACUUUAUUCUGUUAAUUAUUGUACCUGACGACGGACUAGUAAAAGUCAUGGACCCGAAACGCACACCCCUCGCUGAAUGGGGGAACAUGCAGGAAUGCCUCGAGAGGUAAUUUCAAUCAUUAUGACACUAUAUCGGCAACUUCUCGUUCAUUUCUUGAUAUUCAUUUCCUUUUCUUGGCAGGGCUUGAACGGUUCACCGGCAAGGCUCGGGGCGAUUGCAAGUCAGAGCUUACAUUUAAACAAAUAGAUGUAAGUAACUACUAGCUAGAUUCGCGCAUCACUUUAUUCUAGUUUCAAUACUCACUAGUGGGGACAGGGCCUAUAGCCCCGGGCCGUAAGGGGCUUUAGUCCCGGUUCACCAACCGGGACUAAAGGGGCGGGACUAAAGGCCUAACCUUUAGUCCCGGCCCUGUUCCAAGCCGGGACUAAAGGUGCUCCACGUGGGCGCCUCGGAGCGCCCUCAGGGGCAGGCCCUUUAGUCCCGGUUCUUUACACGGACUGGGACUAAAGAGUUUCUGAUUUUGUUUAUUUUUGGGUUUUAGGGUUUUAGGGUUUAGGUGUUCGGGAGAUUAACGUGAUGCCUCCUUUGGUGUUCGGGAAUUUGUUUUCAUAUAAUUCUAAAUAGAAAUAAUUAUGCAUAUAUAUAAGAUUAACUUAUCUUACAAGCGAGCAUAUAUAUACAAUUAUAUGGAGAUCUGAAUUAUCGGGACUAGAGCCCGUCUAUUCGAUUACAUGGACGAACAUCAGUAAUGGCCCCUAGCUACACUAAAUCGUCCUUUGUCAUCUAUAGCUUCCGUCCUGAGAAAGGUCGCAAGCUCCUCUGCAACAGCAAUCGCGCGUUGCUCUGGUAGGACCUUCUCCCUCAUGGCCGUGUACUAUAUAAGAAGAGGAGAUGAAUAUGAAUAUCAAUCAUGAUAACAAAGAAUGACGGGUAAAAAUAGAGGUGUGAAUGUUCAUUGCUUACGUCGAAUCUGUGAUCCUUGUGCUCAGAGGUAAACGUGCGAAUGGUCUCGCAAACAUAGUAUCCGCAUAGAUGUGUCCCCCGUGGCUGCUGGUCGGACUUUACGAGAAUAGAAUAUAUAUAACCAAAAUAAUAAUCUAGCAUCAUAAAUGUAUUGAAAAUAGAAGUAUAUCAUACUACUACUUACCUGAGCCACGCACUUGAACCGCUUCCAAACCCUGCCCGACAAGGAUAAUGAUUUGCUAAGUUUUUCAUUAAUUGAUAUAUCAGAAAAUCAUUGAAAGAGACCGAUAGAGCGCAAGAAUGAUUGAAAUUACCCUUGGAGCAUGUCCUGCAGGCUUUGGAACUGUUCCAAGGGUCUCGAUAAUGGGUCGAAGGCAUCAACUCUUCCCUUAUCAAUUUGAAUGUCCAACAGAAUCCAAUGGAAGCUGCACAUGUAUAUAUAUAUAUAUAUGUGUGUCUGUCUGUCAGUAACUUAUCAAUUACACUUAUAAGUGAAUGGACACAACAGAGUAAAGACCCUCACCUGAAGUUGUAUGGAAACAGUACGUGGUCACAGAAAUUUUGAUCUGUUAGAAACCUUAGAAGGUUUUCCUCCGUCUCCUUGGGUUUAUCAGUUAGCGUCGCUAUAUGUAUUUUAUCUAGGUCAAUAAACCCAAUAUUUAGGAUGUUCCUACUUUUACAAUCCAGAAUCUUCAUUCUGCAUAAUAGAGUACAAGUUAUAUAUAGACAAUGAAUUGAAAUAACUAAACAAGUUAUAUGUAGACAACGAAUUGAAAAACUUACAGACAAUAGCAACUCAUAAGCGAUUUGUCGAGGGCGUCGGGAUUGUACAUCUGGAAGAGUUCAUCAAAGUCGACAUGGAUUUCUUCGGGGCGGCCGUAGUACUCCCGUGGGACACUCACCACGAUCAUCGUUCUCCCAUUCUUUGAUUCACUUAAGUACCAUGUAUGCAAGUAACACAUAUUUGUUGGGAGAUCAUCUUUGCUGACCAAAGGCGCUCCCAUGACAAACUGUGGCUUAGGGGCUACCAUAGCCUUGGGUAACCUGUCGUGUUGGGAAGCGAGAAUGUCUUCAACCGGGUGUGACGCCCUCGGCUUAAUCGUACGCUAAACAUACACACAAAUGCGUACGAUCAAACCCAAGGACUCACGGGAAGAUAUCACAACACAACACUAGACACAAAUAAAAUAACAUCAGCUUCAUAUUACAAGCCAGGGGCCUCGAGGGCUAGAAUACGAAAGCUCGAUAAACACACGAGUCAGCGGAAGCAACAAAUAUCUGAGUACAGACAUAAAACAUGGGGUGCCUUAGAGAAGGCUAGCACAAAAGAUACAACGAUCGAACGAGGCGAGGCCUCCUGCCUGGGAACCUCCUAACUACUCCUGAUCAUCAGCGGACCCACGUAGAAGUAGGCACCGUUGGGGUAGCAGUCGUCGACGGCGGGGACCUCCAUCUCCUGGGCUUCAUCAUCUGGUCGCAGCAAACGGAUCAAGGGGACAAGGGGGGAGCAAAGCAGCGGUGAGUACUCAUCCAAAGUACUCACAAGUCUUACAUCAGAACUAUUCUAAUUAUGCAUCAGUAUCAAACAAGGGGGGUUAUAUGUGGACUGACUGCAGCAAUGCGAGAAAUAGAGAGAGAAGGCCUAGUCCUAUCGAAGACUAGCAUCUUCAGGGUCUGGCAGCAAUAGACGAGAGUAGAACAGGAGUAAAACAUUAAUAGUCAUAUUGUUGCAGCAAUAUUAAAGUGAGGUCACGCCUAAAGAUCCUCCCUCGACUCCCUGCGAGGAAGCAAUCCCGAGGCAAACUAAUUCCAGUUAAGUAACAAUUGUAGUUGUAUAAGAUCGGGGCACAACUCCAAGUCGUCCUGUAACCGUGGACACGGCUAUCCGAAUAGUUAAUUUUCAUCCCUGCAGGGGUGCACCACAUGUCCCGUCACGCUCGAUAACACUCUGGCCGGACAUACUUUUCUGGGUCCUGCCCGGCCUCGGAAUAUCGACACGUCGCAGCCCCACCUAAGACUAAUCAGAGAGGCCAGCCCACCGGUCUAAAUCCUAAGCACAAAGGGUUCGUGGGCCCAGUUCCCCUUCACGCUCCUGCACGUGGCGUGGGCGGCCGACGUCAGUCCUAGCAUCCCUUAAUCACAAGCGUGAUGCAUCUCGGGACCACUCGGGCGCGCGCCGCUACAUUGCUGGCAUAUGAAAAGCUUCGGCUGAUACCGCGACGUCGAGUACCCAUAAUUCUUCCCGCGUAGCCGGUUAGUGCGAAAAUGUCUCCGACCAACCCAGAUCAAAUACCCAAAUCCAUUAGCAUUUUAAUUAGGCCAUCAACACAGUCUCACGGGAAUCCACCCGUCUUACAACUAAUCACCAAUGAUCCCAGUAACAUGGUCGAGUAUCUGUGUGGUUGUAACAUUGGGGGGAAUCCGAGGAAUCACCCUCGUUGGAUCCCGAACGAUGUACCCGUCAAGGUGGGCUUAGAGGAAUCACCCUCGGGGGUCCCACACUCGCGGGGUGGCACGACAGAGACGUCAUCGGGAAUGGUGAAAGAGGAAUCACCCUCGAUAACCACGACCGACUAGCUAUACUACAGAGAUAUCAUCAGGAGUACUUAGUGAGGUGUCACCCUCGGUACCCGAUAGUAUCUCUGUAGCGUCGUACAACAAAGGGGGGGGGGUGAAUGUGCUGUGUCGGGUCUGGCUCGUCGAUCAGAGAUCAAGGUUUGAAAACAAGCGGGGCAACUGAACUACGGGGUCAGAGGGGAUGACUGCUCCACCUAUACUAAGCAUAUUAAAAGUACAGGACUGAAAGCAGCAGUUCAUCAAAAACAGGCUAUGCAUCAGAUAUAGGAGCUAACUACAACAGUAGCAAAAUACUAAUGCAAGCAGUAGGAAGAAAGACAUAGGCGAUAUAGGAAUGAUCAAGGGGAGUUUGCUUGCCUUGCUGCUCUGUGGCAAAGGACUGAUCGGCAGGGUCGUAGAUGUACCCGACAGCAGCGUCAGUCUCGGGGGCUACCGGUAAGAAGAGGGGGAAGAAACAAUAAAUAAUAGCACCGAUGCAACACAAAGCAUGACAUGGAAAGAUGCAGGCUAGACAUGAGCUAACGCAGCAGCAUCCGUCAUAGACGGGUCGGAAGAAUAUCUCACGAUAUUUUCCGGGUCUCGGGCUACUACCGGUUAUACUGGAAACGAUGGAAAAGUUCCAUGUUUGCUAUGCUAGGGACGCGUGACAGACGAACGGACCAUGUAUCCGGGUUCGUCUCAUUUUGCUGAUCAACUUUAAUGUUGAAAAUAUUUUGAUCUGACUUACGGAUUAUUUAAUAUUAAUUUUCAAAGUUUUAUUAAUUAUUUAAGAAUUAAAAACAGAUUUAAAAGAUUUAGUAAAAUCCUAUUAUGACAUCAUCGCGAUGUCAUGCUGACAUCAACAUUUGACCGGUCAACUGACUUGCGGGUCCCGAACGUCAUAGGCACAAGUUUUUAUGAAGAUUAAUUAUUUAUUAAUCAGAUUAAUUCAACGAGGGACCCACGUGUCGUACUCUAAUUGUGUUAAUUAAUUAUUUUAACUAAUAUAUCUAUUUAUUUAUUUAAUAAAACAUUAUUUUUAUAAUUUAUAUUAACUCUCGCGUGGGGCCUCCCUGUCAUAGACAGCGGGUGCAUUGGCCCCACCGGUAAGUGACCUAAGGUUAUUUACUCAUCUAUUUAUUAUUAGAUACCUAACCGUGCAAAUACCGUAUUCCUCUAAAUAUCCAUAUACGCAAAUACAUACAUCACAUCUCAUACAUACAUACAUACAUACAUACGCAUCUAAUACAUCAUUUGUUUUUAUUUCUUUUCUCUCUCAACACUCAUCUCUCUCUCUGUGUUAACAGACAGAGAACAACUCUCUGCUAACUCCACCUAGAAGAACACAAACUUCAAUCCUUCCUACCGGUGUCUACCGUUGACGGAUCGAGGCCCCGUUUGCCGGAACGGAACCGGGGCGGUGAGGAGAUCGACAUGGUGGGAGGAGCCCCAGGAGGGGCUCACCGACGGUGACGAGACGGCCCGAUGAAGCCGGAGUUCGCACGAAGGUGAAGGUGACGACGGUGACGCCGCGCGGUUCCGGUGGUGAUUCCGGGCGUGCCGGCGAGGAGGAGCCGGCCGAAUCCGGCGAGAUGAUGACGUCUCCCUGCCCGGUCCCUCCCGGACCGAGCGGGAGAAGGCCGACGAGGGCGACGGUUGGUAGGCCGGCGAGGUGGAGGCCGAGGCAGCCGGGGCCCCCUACCGGCGGGGUGGAGGCCGAGGGGGGGCUGCUGGCCGGCGCGGUGGAGGGGGUGGCUCGCCGGCCGAAGAGGGGAGGGGCCGCCGGGGUAGGAGGAGGCCGUGAGGGGGGGGGGGGGGGUCGCCGGGGUAGGAUAGGGCUGCCGGCGGGAGGAGGAGGCGGUGGAUCUGGCGUGGGGGAGAGGGGCGACGGGAGGGGAGGGUCGUGGGGGAGAGGGUUCGUGGGAGAGAGUCAUGGGAGGUGGGGUUCUCUCGUGGGGAUGAGGGCUCGUCGUGGGCAGUGCGAGAGGGGAGGGAGGCGCUGUCGGUGGGUGAUGUGGGGCCGAGAGGGAGCGUGGGGAGGGUGGCGGCACUGGGAAUAGCGUGAGGGGGGGGGCGAGGGAACUGGCGUGGGGGUGGCCCUCGCUAGGGUUUGGGAGGGGUUGGGGAGGCCGGCUCGGCCAUUUGGCCCAGUUGGGCCGUGGUUGUUUUUUUUGUUGUUUUGUUUUGUUUUGCCUUUUCCCUUUUCUUUUUAUUAUUUCUUUCUUUCUAAUUUCUUUUCACUAACUGAUUUUUUCUUUUUAAAUACUUUCUUUUAAUAUACUUUCUUUUAUAAUUUAUUAUACAUACUUUUAAUUCUCUCUUUCAUAUACAUAUUCUUUUAAUACUUGUAAUGAACCGAUAAAGUACUUUCCUUUUGUUUUCAAUUUUUGGAUCUGGACAGACUCGAAUCAACGCGGGUCUGAGAUGGGAAUUCGAUGACGUGGCAUCAUUAGCGAUUGAUCACUGUAGCUUAAUUACAAUAAUUACUGUAGCAAAAGUCGAGGAUGUCACAAUUCUCCCCUACUAACAAGAAUUCUCGUCCCGAGAAUUAAGAGGUAGAGGGAAAAAGCCCGGGGUAUUCAUCACGAAGAUGAUCCUCGCGUUCCCAAGUGGCUUCAUCUUCAGAGUGAUUUGACCACUGCACCUUAAGGAACUUGGUGACCUUGCGACGAGUCUUACGUUCAGCUUGGUCGAGAAUGCGGACCGGAUGCUCUUUAUAAGAGAGGUCUUGUUGUAGUUCAAGCAUAUCGUGAUCCACUGCUCGAAUAGGGUCCUUGAAGCAGCGACGGAGCUGAGAAACAUGGAAGACAUCGUGAACCUGAGAAAGGUUCGCCGGCAGUUCCAAUUGAUAAGCCACUCUUCCACGCCUUUCGAGAACAGUGAAAGGACCAAUAUAACGAGGAGCUAACUUGCCCUUGAUUCCGAAACGGUGUGCACCUCUCAUUGGUGUGACAGGAAGAUAAGCCUUUUCGCCAGGUUGAUAGACCAUAUCUUGAUGAUGACGGUCAUACUGACUCUUCUGACGAGACUGAGCAGCCUUCAGAUUCUCAUGAAUAAUGCGGACUUGAUCUUCGGCAUGUUGAAUAAUAUCCGGACCGAAGAGUGACCGUUCCCCAGUUUCUGACCAAUUUAGAGGAGUCCGACACCUUCGCCCAUAUAAUACUUCGAAAGGGGCCAUCUUCAGACUAGCUUGAUAGCUAUUGUUGUAAGAGAACUCGGCAUACGGGAGAGAUUCCUCCCAUUUCUUACCGAAAGAAAUGACACAAGAUCGAAGCAUGUCCUCGAGAAUUUGGUUGACUCAUUCAACUUGUCCCUGGGAUUGAGGAUGAAAUGCAGUGCUGAAGGACAGAUGAGUCCCCAUAGCCUUCUGAAAACUUUCCCAAAAUUUUGAAGUGAACAAGCUGCCACGGUCCGAACUGAUUACCAACGGAAUACCGUGAAGUGAAACAACUCUUGACAUAUAAAGAUCUGCUAGUUGACUAGCAUUAAUCGUUUCUUUGACGGCCAGGAAAUGUGCAACUUUGGACAGUCGAUCAAUGACGACAAGAAUAGCAUCAUUACCCUUCUGAGAUCUGGGAAAACCAGUGACAAAGUCCAUUUCAACAUGGUCCCAUUUCCACUCGGGAAUAGAGAUAGGCUGCAGAGUUCCAGCAGGCUUUUGGUGUUCUGCUUUGAUACGCCGGCAUAUAUCACAUUCUGCCACAUAGCGUGCAAUGUCUUGUUUCAUAUUGGGCCACCAGAAUCUUUGCCGGAUGUCUUGGUACAUCUUGGUACUACCCGGGUGAAUAGACAAUGGUGUGUCAUGAGCUUCUUCCAUCACCUUCCCAGUCAUCCUGAGAUUUUCCUUCUUAUUUGGGACGAAUAGGCGACCCUUGAAAUACAAGGCGCCACCUUCAUCAAUAGUGAAAAAGGAGGGUUUACCCUUUGCAAUAUAGCUCUUAAUCCUGUCGACAUCAUCGUCAAAGUUUUGUAUAUUCUUUAUGGAGCUCACAAGAUCUGGUUCAACCACUAGGUUACUGAGGGAACCCUGAUUAACAACACGGAGGUUCAUCUUUUGAUACUCUUCAGGAGGCGGAACAAGGUAACCCUGAGGAACAAUGUGGAGGAUCAGCUUACGGAAUUCCUCUUGCAAACGAUCGUGAACCUGAUGAACCUGGAGGUGGUUGCAGUAUGACUUGCGACUUAAGGCAUCAGCCAUUACAUUAGCCUUGCCAGGGGUAUAUGAUAUACUACAGUCAAAAUCUGCUAUACGCUCCAUCCAUCUUUGUUGACGCAGGUUCAGCUCCGGUUGAGUGAAGAAGUACUUCAGAAUUUGAUGGUCGGUGUAGAUUUCACAGCGAUUACCGACAAGGUAUUGUCGCCAUUCCUUCAAUGCAUGAAUGACUGCGGCAAGCUCGAGAUCAUGAACUAGGUAGUUCUCUUCAUGAGCACGCAGUUGACGUGAAGCAUAAGCGAUCACCUUGCGAUCCUGCAUUAGGACACAACCUAUUCCUUGACGAGAAGCAUCACAGUAUAUGACGAAAUCCCUUUUCGUAUCUGGAGGAGCAAGUACUGGAGCGGACGUCAGUUUGUCCUUGAGCGCUUGGAAACUUUCCUGACAUUUAUCAGUCCAUUCAUACUUAACACCUUUGUGAAGCAGGUUGGUUAAGGGCUUCGCAAUCUUGGAGAAGUUCUCGACGAAUCGACGGCAAUAGCUGGCGAGUCCGAGAAAACUUCUGACUUGCUUGACAUUCUUCGGGGGAGUCCAGUCAAGAAUAGCUUGAAUUCGUUCGGGGUUGACCGCAAUACCAUCCUUGGAAAUCACAUGACCAAGGUAAGUCACUUCGUCUAGCCAGAACUCACAUUUGGAAUACUUCGCAUAGAGUUUAUGCUCCCGAAGCUUAUCCAGUACAAGACGAAGAUGUUCAACAUGCUCUUCUUUGUUCUUAGAAAACACCAGAAUAUCAUCCAGAUAUACCACGACAAAUUUGUCGAGGUAGUCCAUGAAUAUAUAAUUCAUCAAUCUAGAGAAGGUUGCUGGUGCAUUGGUUAAGCCGAAGGACAUGACGGUGUACUCGUAUGAUCCAUAUCGAGUAACAAAGGCGGUCUUUGGAAUAUCCUCCUUGCGAACACGGAUCUGGUGGUAUCCCAAUCUCAAGUCGAGUUUAGAGAAAACGGUGGAACCAGCAAGUUGAUCAUACAAAUCAUUUAUCCGAGGGAGAGGAUAUUUGUUUUGAAUAGUGGCCUGGUUGAUAGGACGAUAGUCUUGAACCAAUCGAUUUGUCCCAUCCUUCUUCUUAACAAAGAGAGAAGGUGCUCCCCAAGCAGAGGAACUCGGACGGAUGAAACCCAGACGGAGCGAGUUGUCAAUUUCUUGCUUAAGUUCAAGGAGUUCAUGUGGUGGCAUUUUAUAAGGACGCUUGGCAAUAGGAGUGGUACCGGGUACCAAGUCAAUGACAAACUCGACAGCUCGAGCAGGGGGAAUCCCCGGAAGUUCUUCUCGAAAAACAUCUUGGAAUUCUCGGACCACUGGUAUGUUUUCAAUCCCUUCAAGAGGCAACGCAUUUAAUGCAUUCAAAGCAUACAGCCGUGCCUCAGCAUUACGGACGAGAUGCGCAUGGUAGCUUAUUACUUCAUCUGAAGGGUGUAGGAGGUGGACGGUCUUGGUGGCACAAACGAUCGAUGCCGUAUGAGCUUUCAACCAGUCCAUCCCCAAUAUGAGAUCAAUGUUGGAUGACUUUAGUAGGAUGGGGUUGGCAAGGAAUUCUAAUCCUUCAAUUUCAACUGGAACAUGCGGGCAAACCACAGAGGUUCGGCAUUCGCCCCCAGGGGUGUUUACCACUAUCGGGAUGUUCAUCUCUUCGCUCCUAAUGUCAUGCAUGUAUGCAAAAUUUUCCGACAUAAAGGAAUGCGAUGCUCCUGUAUCAAACAAUACAGAAGCAGGUACUGAGUUACCGACAAGUGUACCCAUCACGGUAGCAGGCUGGUCUUGAGCUUGACCCAUAUCAAUGUUGUUGGCCUGACCACGAACAUAAGCAGGCUUAGUGUUGAAGUUGCCGUUCUGGUUGUUGCCACGGCCAGUUGCGGGAAGUGCCAGCUGAUUCGGAUUCUGCCUGCAGUCUCUAGCACGGUGACCUGGACGGCCACACUUGAAGCACAACCCGUCCUCAGGGCGGGAAGGAGGAACUCGAGGCGGUGGAGCUGGAAGCCUCGGCUGCCUAGGUGGUGGAGGAGGCAGGCGAGGUGCAGCAUAGGACAACCUUGGAGUAGGAGCAGGUGCAUGGUACAUGUUGUUGGGAAUCCAGAUCUUCUGCUUCUGUGCAGAUGAGCCCGAAGAUGAGCCCAUGUCACGGUUGCGCUUGCUGCUAUCUUUGUAUUCCUGCAGACCAGUCUCAACCUGAAUAGCCUUGUUCACGAGGGUGGCGAAAUCAGCAUAGUCCUGAACGAGGAGUGUCAGCUUGAUAUCAGGGUGGAGGCCUUCACGGAACUUCUCCUACCUGCGUGCAUCAGUCGCAAUGUCUUCUUCAGCAUAGCGAGAUAAUUCCAGAAAUUCCCGCUGAUAAGCAUCCACAGUCUUGUUGCCCUGGACCAAGUUGCGGAACUCACGCUUCUUCCGGUCCAUGAUUCCCUGGGGAAUGUAUCGAGCACGGAAAGCAGCCUUGAACUGUGCCCAAGUGAUGAUAGUUCCAUCGGGCUGAGAGCGCCUGUGGCUGUCCCACCAUUGAGCAGCGGGACCCUUCAGAAAGUAGGCGGCAAAGUUGACAUAGCUCGCCAGGGGCACAUUGGCAGACUCCAGCUCAUAAGAAAUGUCACGGAGCCAGUCAUCAGCAUCUAGAGGCUGAGUUGAGCUACGGUAGAUCGCAGGGUUGAGACGGCAGAAGUCUUGCAGUGUCACGCCUUGUGGUUGGUUCAUGUUCGGCCUUUGGAACUGAUCCAUGAGCCCUUGCAUAAACUCGCGGUUCAGCUCAAACUGUUGGAUCAUCCCCGCCAUAUACUCAGGAGGCGGGGGUGGUGCAUCGUUGGUAGGGCCACGCGGGCGGCCAACUGGUCUAACCAUCCUGUUAAAUAUUUAGCAGGGGUAGUUUAGCUUAAAGUAAUUGCAAAGGCAUCGCACGCAUUCAUGGAGUAAUCAAGCAUAAUGAAAGGGAAAUGCGAUAGAUACUCCAUAGUAGUUGAGGUCGACAUACAGACCCAUACAUAAGUUCGAUUACAGACUAACGAUUAAAAACUCGAAAUUUGGCGAUAGCCCGGACGCAUUUGACGAUACCCUGGACUCACUAGGCGGCGCGCAGGCACGCGGUGGAAGAGUACCACAACGAGAUGUAGCGAUAAGGCUACAUCAACGUCGGAGAGGACGAUCGAAUCCUGGUAGCUGGCGGUGAUAGAAGGUAGGGACAGGACCCUGUGUCCCGUUGUGACUCUGGUGAGGGUACCGCAUCCAGUCGAGCAGCUGAGGUCCAAGUGCAGGGGUUCUACCCCCAACAUCAGUCCACUCGAGAGCUGAUGGUAGCUCUGUCCUGCUCGGCUCGCGGAUGCGCAUAGGUGGAACCCUCGGACAGUGUGAUGGCUGUAGGUCUGUCAACGCGUCGUAAAGACGAGUGCGCGUAGCAUACAACUCCACAGUUAGAGCUCGAAAAGCACGAUCCAUUGCCUCAGUGUACUGCACCAGAACCCGCGCGUCGUAGCGACGCGUCACGUAGGGGGCGCAGACAGCGACGUAGGAACGGUCGCUGCGCUCCCGAGCAUCAGAUGCGUAGGCAGUGAGAUCAGACCCAGUCUCAUCCCCAGCAGGAGCAUGAGGGAUGUAUCUGAAAGGGCUCUCCUCCAGGUGAGGGUACGCUCCACGGAGACGGGUGAUGGCGAUGUAGGCCGCAUCAUGGACGGCCAUCUCGACCGACACUCCAAUACCACAGAACACGUGGCGCUCGAGGGUCUCGCCGCCCCUCUGGUCGAAGAUGCGAACCUCAGCCUGGUACUGGUACUGGUUGUACUCGCGGAAAUCCUCGAACAUAGUGUACUCGGGGUACCAGCGAUAUCCCAGCCUAGUCAGGAGAUCGACCAAAAUGGCCGGGAACCCAGUCGUCUCAGUGGCCCGCGUCAGGCGUACGUGCUGUCUUGCGGGACGCAUCUGAAAAUAAGAUUGACGGAUGUCAAUGACAGUGUGUGUAAUACAUAUUCAGGAGAAAAAGAGUAGAUAGUCCAGCGCUCCGGAUUGAUGUGAUUCGAGAACCUAAUGUUAGAGUUAGUAAAAUCUUUGACCCGAAAGAGAAGAGAAGGUAGAGCCCAGAGUAUAGGAAAGGAGUAAAAGAUACUAAUACCACCCAAUUGAGAUGUGGGCCCGUAAGCCACAACAUCAGUGUUAGUAAGUUUUUCAAACACUAGACUCAACUUCGGCCAAGGAGUUGGAAAGGGGGCUACCUACAGGCAGUUGGCUCUGAUACCAACUUGUGACGCCCUCGGCUUAAUCGUACGCUAAACAUACACACAAAUGCGUACGAUAAAACCCAAGGACUCACGGGAAGAUAUCACAACACAACACUAGACACAAAUAAAAUAACAUCAGCUUCAUAUUACAAGCCAGGGGCCUCGAGGGCUAGAAUACGAAAGUUCGAUAAACACACGAGUCAGUGGAAGCAACAAAUAUCUGAGUACAGACAUAAAACAUGGGGUGCCUUAGAGAAGGCUAGCACAAAAGAUACAACGAUCGAACGAGGCGAGGCCUCCUUCCUGGGAACCUCCUAACUACUCCUGAUCAUCAGCGGCCUCCACGUAGUAGUAGGCACCGUCGGGGUAGCAGUCGUCGGCGGCGGGGACCUCCAUCUCCUGGGCUUCAUCAUCUGGUCGCAGCAAACGGAUCAAGGGGACAAGGGGGGAGCAAAGCAGCGUGACUACUCAUCCAAAGUACUCGCAAGUCUUACAUCAGAACUAUUCUAAUUAUGCAUCAGUAUCAAAGAAGGGGGGUUAUAUGUGGACUGACUGCAGCAAUGCGAGAAAUAGACAGAGAAGGCCUAGUCCUAUCGAAGACUAGCAUCUUCAGGGUCUUGCGGCAAUAGACGAGAGUAGAACAGGAGUAAAACAUUAAUAGUCAUAUUGUUGCAGCAAUAUUAAAGUGAGGUCACGCCUAAAGAUCCUCCCUCGACUCCCUGCGAGGAAGCAAUCCCGAGGCAAACUAAUUCCAGUUAAGUAACAAUUGUAGUUGUAUAAGAUCGGGGCACAACUCCAAGUCGUCCUGUAACCGUGGACACGGCUAUCCGAAUAGUUAAUUUUCAUCCCUGCAGGGGUGCACCACAUGUCCCGUCACGCUCGAUAACACUCUGGCCGGACAUACUUUUCUGGGUCCUGCCCGGCCUCGGAAUAUCGACACGUCGCAGCCCCACCUAAGACUAAUUAGAGAGGCCAGCCCACUGGUCUAAAUCCUAAGCAAUAAGGGUUCGUGGGCCCAGUUCCCCUUCACGCUCCUGCACGUGGCGUGGGCGGCCGACGUCAGUCCUAGCAUCCCUUAAUCACAAGCGUGAUGCAUCUCGGGACCACUCGGGCGCGCGCCGCUACAUUGCUGGCAUAUGAAAAGCUUCGGCUGAUACCGCGACGUCGAGUACCCAUAAUUCUUCCCGCGUAGCCGGUUAGUGCGAAAAGGUCUCCGACCAACCCAGAUCAAAUACCCAAAUCCAUUAGCAUUUUAAUUAUGCCAUCAACACAGUCUCACGGGAAUCCACCCGUCUUACAACUAAUCACCAAUGAUCCCAGUAACAUGGUCGAGUAUCUGUGUGGUUGUAACAUUGGGGGGAAUCCGAGGAAUCACCCUCGUUGGAUCCCGAACGAUGUACCCGUCAAGGUGGGCUUAGAGGAAUCACCCUCGGGGGUCCCACACUCGCGGGGUGGCAUGACAGAGACGUCAUCGGGAAUGGUGAAAGAGGAAUCACCCUCGAUAACCACGACCGACUAGCUAUACUACAGAGAUAUCAUCAGGAGUACUUAGUGAGGUGUCACCCUCGGUACCCGAUAGUAUCUCUGUAGCGUCGUACAACAAAGGGGGGGGGGGUGAAUGUGCUGUGUCGGGUCUGGCUCGUCGAUCAGAGAUCGAGGUUUGAAAACAAGCAGGGCAACUGAACUACGGGGUCAGAGGGGAUGACUGCUCCACCUAUACUAAGCAUAUUAAAAGUACAGGACUGAAAGCAGCAGUUCAUCAAAAACAGGCUAUGCAUCAGAUAUAGGAGCUAACUACAACAGUAGCAAAAUACUAAUGCAAGCAGUAGGAAGAAAGACAUAGGCGAUAUAGGAAUGAUCAAGGGGAGUUUGCUUGCCUUGCUGCUCUGCGGCAAAGGACUGAUCGGCAGGGUCGUAGAUGUACCCGGCAACAGCGUCAGUCUCGGGGGCUACCGGUAAGAAGAGGGGGAAGAAACAAUAAAUAAUAGCACCGAUGCAACACAAAGCAUGACAUGGAAAGAUGCAGGCUAGACAUGAGCUAACGCAGCAACAUCCGUCAUAGACGGGUUGGAAGAAUAUCUCACGAUAUUUUCCGGGUCUCGGGCUACUACCGGUUAUACUGGAAACGAUGGAAAAGUUCCAUGUUUGCUAUGCUAGGGACGCGUGAGAGACGAACGGACCGUGUAUCCGGGUUCGUCUCGUUUUGCUGAUCAACUUUCAUGUUGAAAAUAUUUUGAUCUGACUUACGGAUUAUUUAAUAUUAAUUUUCAAAGUUUUAUUAAUUAUUUAAGAAUUAAAAACAGAUUUAAAAGAUUUAGUAAAAUCCUAUUAUGACAUCAUCGCGAUGUCAUGCUGACAUCAACAUUUGACCGGUCAACUGACCUGCGGGUCCCGAACGUCAUAGGCGCAAGUUUUUAUUAAGAUUAAUUAUUUAUUAAUCAGAUUAAUUCAACGAGGGACCCACGUGUCAUACUCUAAUUAUGUUAAUUAAUUAUUUUAACUAAUAUAUCUAUUUAUUUAUUUAAUAAAACAUUAUUUUUAUAAUUUAUAUUAACUCUCGCAUGGGGCCUCCCUGUCAUAGACAGCGGGUGCAUUGGCGCCAUCGGUAAGUGACCUAAGGUUAUUUACUCAUCUAUUUAUUAUUAGAUACCUAACCGUGCAAAUACCGUAUUCCUCUAAAUAUCCAUAUACGCAAAUACAUACAUCACAUCUCAUACAUACAUACAUACAUACGCAUCUAAUACAUCAUUUGUUUUUAUUUCUUUUCUCUCUCAACACUCAUCUCUCUCUCUGUGUUAACAGACAAAGAACAACUCUCUGCUAACUCCACCAAGAAGAACACAAACUUCAAUCCUUCCUACCGGUGUCUACCGUUGACGGAUCGAGGCCCCGUUUGCCGGAACGGAACCGGGGCGGUGAGGAGAUCAACAUGGUGGGAGGAGCCCGAGGAGGGGCUCACCGACGGUGACGAGACGGCCCGAUGAAGCCGGAGUUCGCACGAAGGUGAAGGUGACGACGGUGACGCGGCGCGGUUCCGGUGGUGAUGCCGGGCGUGCCGGCGAGGAGGAGCCGGCCGGAUCCGGCGAGAUGAUGACGUCUCCCUGCCUGGUCCCUCCCGGACCGAGCGGGAGAAGGCCGAUGAGGGCGGCGGUUGGUAGGCCGGCGAGGUGGAGGCCGAGGCAGCCGGGGCCCCCUGCCGGCGGGGUGGAGGCCGAGGGGGGGCUGCUGGCCGGCGCCGUGGAGGGGGUGGCUCGCCGGCCGGAGAGGGGAGGGGCCGCCGGGGGAGGAGGAGGCCGUGUAGGGGGGGGCGCCGGGGUAGGAGGAGGCCGUGAGGGGGGGGGUCGCCGGGGUAGGAUAGGCCGCCGGCGGGAGGAGGAGGCGGUGGAGAGGAGGUGGAUCUGGCGUGGGGGAGAGGGGCGACGGGAGGGGAGGGUCGUGGGGGAGAGGGUUCGUGGGAGAGAGUCACGGGAGGUGGGGUUCUCUCGUGGGGAUGAGGGCUCUCGUGGGUAGUGCGAGAGGGGAGGGAGGCGCUGUCGGUGGGUGGGGUGGGGCCGAGAGGGAGUGUGGGGAGGGCGGCGGCGCUGGGAAUAGCGUGAGGGGGGCGAGGGAACUGGCGUGGGGGUGGCCCUCGCUAGGGUUUGGGAGGGGUUGGGGAGGCCGGCUGGGCCAUUUGGCCCAGUUGGGCCGGGGUUGUUUUUCUUUCUUUCUUUUUUGUUGUUUUGUUUUGUUUUGUCUUUUCCCUUUUCUUUUUAUUAUUUCUUUCUUUCUAAUUUCUUUUCACUAACUGAUUUUUCUUUUUAAAUACUUUCUUUUAAUAUACUUUCUUUUAUAAUUUAUUAUACAUACUUUUAAUUCUCUCUUUCAUAUACAUAUUCUUUUAAUACUUGUAAUGAACCGAUAAAGUACUUUCCUUUUGUUUUCAAUUUUUGGAUCCGAACAGACUCGAAUCAACGCGGGUCUCAGAUGGGAAUUCGAUGACGUGGCAUCAUUAGCGAUUGAUCACUGUAGCUUAAUUACAAUAAUUACUGUAGCAAAAGUCGAGGAUGUCACACCGGGAUACCCCAUUCAUCCGCCCACUUCUUUGCUAAUUCCAAAUCUUGCCCCUGCACCGGAGGGGGGACAUUCUCGGGUAACACCCUGAGGGGUGGGAUCGACUGUUUGGCCUGUUGUCCAAGCUGAGGAACGUCUGAAUUUUUCUUGCUUGUAGUUGAACUUGAUUUGCUCCCACUUGCACUUGCACGUGAUCUGCUCUUUUUCACUUCCUUCUGCAAUGUGCGUGUAUAGUCAUCAGGCUUAUGGUGUAAGUCAUACUGUGAUGGAAGGUUCGUGAAGUAUUUUGCAAAUGCUAUUUGCUUCUCGGUGUAUUCCGGGCGGGGCUCGGGUUUCUUCUUUUUCAUCUGCGCAUCAUGAUGUUCCUUUGCUAUCCUGGCGUUUUCUUCGGGGGUACGAUCAUAAGGUCUGAUAGGAAUAUUAGCAUGAGGUACCUUUGGGAGGGGCGACAGUUUGCGCUUUGGGGGGCUCCGUCGCUUCGAAAUCGUCGGCAGAGCGUUCUUGCUAGCACGCUUCCGCUUAGUAUCCGGAGCGGGCGGCGGCGGAGACGGACGACCCAAGUCCGGCGGCGGUGAUCGAGAUGGACUCAUGUUGUGCUGGCCGACGUCAUGUGGAGGGCUUGGAGGUGAUGGAGGUGUAGGUGACCUACGACGACUCGGAGGCGGUGUUGUCCUUGGGGCCGAGCCUGGAAGCUUGAUGUAGUUAUUGUCCCAUAGGAUGACUCCACCCAGUACUUCUCCGAGUGUCCUCUCAUCUUCGGGUCCAGCUAUGUCGAGCUCCAUAUCAUGAAACCCCGCCAUGAUUUCAUCCACCCCGACUUUAGCAAAGCCAGCUGGAAUCUCACGGCCAUGCCAGCGUGCAUCAGGGCCAGAAGGUAAAGCUUGUCCGACGGCCACCUUCAUGGAUAUGUUCUUGAAUUUCUGAUGGAGUUCACAUGAUGUUGACUCCUUGAUUCCAUCCGCGGGGUAGCCGGGACCGCCCUCUAUUAUUCGUCGUGCAUCGUCGGGCGGGGCCUCAGAUUCAGCCACGCUGCUUUUCCGCUUAGAUGUGGCGCCGGUAAUAUCAAGUGCAGGAUCUUCCUGGCGCGCUACUCCUCUAAGCUCAUCAAUCUGCUUCUGUUGCUCGUUAAUCCUGGCAAGCAACUGGUUGAACUUGUCAUUCUCCUCAUCGUGCUGCCGCUUCUUUGCUCUCGCUCGGCUUCUGUAAGUGUCUUGGUCUCUGGCAAACCCAAGCCACCACGGGUAAGAAGGACCGAAGCCUCGCGUUCGUCCUCCAUGUUCGUCAUUGCCCAGGACCAGUGUGAGCAAAUCUUUCUCUCUAUCUGAAGUGAACUUUCUUUUUCCCUCCUUAAUUUCUUUCACUAUCUUUUUCCAAUUCUCCCUGGGUAUCCUAAGACCGUCACUUCAGAUGAGGUCCCCUGUUUCUUUGUCGUACGAACCACCAUGCGCAAGGAACCAAUUUCUUGCUCUCAAUUCCCACUCAUCACGGAGUGGUUCAGGUACGAUGCCUUUAGCUAGCAGAUCUUGCUCUUUCUUAUCCCACUUUGGGAUGGCAGUCUCAUAGCCCCCUGGCCCCAGCUUGUGGUGAUAUUUCUUCUUCUCGGCAUUUAUCUUGUUCUUUUCUGAUAAUGCAUGGGCAUCUUCUGACUCCUUGUACUCUUGAAAUGCCUUCCAGUGAUUCGCCUGCUUGGCUAGAUACCCCUCGAAUACUGGCACUUUCUUUGUCUUCAGAUAGUUUUCCAUAGCUUCUUCUUCCAGCUACGGAACAGUUCGGCCAUCUUCUUUAGAGUCCACUGCUUGACUUUGGCCCUCAGUUUGUCUGCGGCAUCUUCAUUCUCACAUUCUGGCAGGUUGAAAUGUGACAUGAGAUCAUUCCAAAGAUUAUCUUUGUACCUUUCGGCGACAUAGUCACUAUCGGCUGCCCCUUUGCGCUUGUUCCACUCCCGAACGCUGAUCGGGACGUGAUCCCUAACGAGAACUCCGCAUUGCUUCUUGAAUGUGUCAGCAACAUUCUUAGGAAGCUUGGGUUCACCCGUAGGCAAUAUCACCUCAAAGGUGUAAUACGUCCAUGCAUCCAAUUUUCUAGUCGGGCCUCGUUUCGUAGCUUUGCUCGAUGUGGAGGCCUAAGAGGGAGAAACAUUCGUCAAAUGAAUGUAUAUGUAUACAAUAUAGAGCUAUCUCCAAUAUUUUUCACAUAUUACAAGUGAUUGUCGAACUUCAUAUGUAUACCUCGCCGGACUUUAUUAUUUCUUCACCGGCUUCUCCACCGGCUUCUCCAUCAGUGGAGCUAUCACCUUCUCCGUCAUUGGACCUAUCUCCUGCCCCAUCGGCUUCAUCUUCGUGUCGGUCGACCUGCAUUCCAUAUACGGAGGGGUUUAGAUAUGACGACGGAGAUUCAGGUGGUUCAACGUCGGGGCCGUCUUUGAUUAUAUCUUCGAGAAGUUCUUCCUCUUCGAGGUUCCUGAUAUGUGGAUCCAUAGUUCUGCAAAAAACAGACAUUUUAUUAACUAAUAAACUAACAAACUAUAUAAGAGGGGUUGGAAACUUCGAAGUGUCGUUUUAUAUAGGAGGACCUUUAGUCCCGGGUCUUGGCUAGAACCUAAACUCUAAAAUAUGUCUAACGGAUUCUCUUAACCUUUAAGGAUUUAACAAAAUGGCGACAUUCUAGAUGUGUAGAAAAUGAUCCUAUUUUUCCUGAUCUCAUCUACCCUUCUAUAUGUCACAUUGUCUAGUGUCAAAGGACUUUGUUGAACUUUGUACCAAAAACGAAUUAUUCUAUCAGGAACUCUGUUCCAAAACAACUUUAGUCCCGGGUCGUGGCUCCACCCGGGACUCCUAGAUUUCUACAUAGUAUUCAAAGUAGGAGUAUUUUUCCAAUUUGAGCAUUCAAUAAGCAAAACCAAAUCGUAAAAUAAAGUAGUAUUCAAAUUAGCAUGCAUUCAAUUAUAAGCAAAUACAUCAUCUCUUUUGUCCGUACAUCGUUGAAUAUUAUCACUAAUACUCCUCGAAUACUAUCAUACAUAUAGCAUCAGUGAUACAUCUAGAACCGCAGCGCCCGACGGGUAUCGUCGCGGGCGGUGGACACCCAGAGAGAAGGAACCAUCACAUGAUCAUAGCUCCAGUGAGAUCCCUGAAGAACCUGCGAGGUAUGCUCGAACCUGCCCUCCAACGCAACCAUGUAGCGACGGACGUGCUCAUCCUCCCCGCUGACACGGUGAUGUACCACCUCCGCGGUGUCCGGAUGCCUCGGCACCGUCACUGGCCCACGCGACCGCCACCAAACAAGGAUCGGGUCAACAAUGGGCUGGCUCCUCACCAACCUACGCCCCCCGGAAGGUAGCACCUCCCAAUACCAACCGGGCAGAGCCCAGUCCCGGACAGGGCCCCUCUGAUCAAGCACGUGUCCUCCGCCGAGUCGACAACGAGGAUGCGGGAUAGGCAUCGUAAAAUGAACUAAAAAAUAAACUAGUUCUAUUAAUUUUCUUGCUAAAGAUAAACUAUUAACACUUAAGCAUAUACAAUAGCAAAAUUAAACUAUUAAGACUUAAGCAUAUACAAUAGCAAAAUUAAGCAAUAAUCUAAGAAACACUAUUAACACUUAAGCAUAUACACUAUACAAUAGCAAAAUUAAAUGAAAAAAAAAAUAUUUCUUCUUCUUGUAACCCUAACCUAAUUUUUCCUCUUCUUCUAUUUCUCCUCUUCUUCUACUUCUUCUUCUACUUAUACUUCUCCUCUUCUUCUACUACUUCUCCUCUUCUCUUUUCUACUUUUCUUCCCUUUUUCUUCCUUUCUUCUCCUUUUUCUUCCUUUCUUCCCUUUUUCUUCCUUUCUUCUCCUUUUUCUUCCUUUCUUCCCUUUUUCUUCUUUUCUUCUCCUUUUUCUUCUUUUCUUCUCCUUUUUUUCUUUUCUUCUCCUUCCCUUUUUCUUCUUUUCUUCUCCUUUUUCUUCUUUUCUUCUACUUUUUCUUCCUUUUUUCUCCUUUUUCUUCCUUUCUUCUCCUUUUUCUUCCUUUCUUCUCCUUUUUCUUCCUUUCUUCUCUUUUUUCUUCUCUUUUUUCUCCUUUUUCUUCCUUUCUUCCCUUUUUCUUCUCUUCUUCUCCUUUUUCUUCUUUUCUUCUCCUUUUUCUUAUUUUCUUCUCCUUUUUCUUCUAUUCUUCUACUGGCCGGAGUGUUGGGGAGGAGGGGGCGGGGGGCUUACCGGCCGGAGGUGUCGACGGCGCGCGGCGAGGAGGACGGCGGCGCGUGGCGAGGAGGACGGCGGCGCGUGGCGAGGAGGCGCGGCGAGGAGGACGGCAGGCAGCCUGACGGCGUCGUCGAGGUCGUCGGUGUGCCGCGCCGGGCAGGAGAACGAGAGGAAGAAGAAGAGAAACGAACGAUUUGGGUUGGAAUUUUUCUAACUCCCGCUUAUAUUGGUGGAUCUCACUAGUGGAGAAAGGGGUAUUAGAACCGGUUGGUAAGGGCCUUUGGACCCGGAUACACAUCCGGUGCUACGUAUCCGGGACUAAAGGCCCCCCACUUUAGCACCGGUCUCUUACAAACCGGUGCUAAAGGCCUCCAUGUGGGCGCCGAAAAGUGCGCGCAGGCGGAGGACCUUUAGGACCGGUUGGUAACACCAACCGGUCCUGAUGCCUAUUUUUAUUUUCUUUUUUUUCCUUUUCUUUUCAGGGUUUCCGAUUCCGUAUUUCGGUGUUUCCGUGUUCCGUAUUUUCAGGGUUUUCGUUUACGUGUUUCCGGUUCCGUAUUCCCGUUUACGUCUUUCCGAUUCCGUGUUUCCGAUUCCGUGUGUCCGUGUUCCGUUUUUUACGAACACGUAAUCGGAAACACGUAUCCGGAAACACCGAUUCCGUGUUUGCGGUUAAGUGUUUCUCCGAUUCCGUGUUUGCGGUUAAAUGUUGAUGCACCAAAUAAAAGUACAUAUAUACAUGUAACAGGAAGUACUGGACCGAUUAUCAUUACAUAAUUUGAAGUUCGUUUCCUAUAUAUAGCUCUAUACUUGCAUAGAGAAGGGAGCUGGCUAUUGGUUCAUAGGAUGGAAAAAUUCUCCGCCUUCAUCUAUGACUUGCGUGAGGAGAAAUCCUGCCAAUUCCUCUGCAACUGCCUUGCAACGUUGGAUUGGUCUUAGCAUCGCCCGCUUUCGUUGCAGCUUUAAAAGAAGUAGAUGAAAACAAUUAAGUUAUGAACAAAACUAACAUAAUUGAUGGCAACAUAAAUAAAGUUAUGAAGAUCCGGUUACGUACCUCUAGAUUUCUGGAAGUAUGGGAUUUCUCAUUGAUAAUCCUGUGAAUGUACUCGCAAACGUAGUAUCCACAAUAAUCAGUGCCCUGUGGUUGUUGCGGGACGCCCUAUAUACGAGAACAUAAUUCAGUCAAAUUAAUAAUAAUCAAGAGAAUGGUAAUGGUAUUGAAACCAGGGUACGUAGUACUACUUACUUUGUUAAUCUGAAAGUGGAGCUUGUCUGCCCAUGUACCGGGUUCUUCCUUGAUGAACAUUUGCCAAACCCUGGCCGACAAAGAAAAAUGAAUACAAGAGUUAAUUAUUACUUACUUGAUAUCAGGAAAUGAACGAAAAAGAGGCCGAUGAACGAAAGAGGCCGAUAUAUAUAUACCUUUGAAGCAUCUGACGCGCGCUCUUCCAUUUGUCAGCGUCCCAGGUUAACGGGUCCCAGACUUCAACCACUCCUUGAUCGAUUCUAAUGAUGAACAAUAUGAAGUGGGACCUGCGCACGUGUACACACACAGUCAUGCAUACUCAUCAAUUACACUUAACAUCAGGUAAGCAAAAUGGAAUGUGUACAAGACAGUAACACUCACUUGAAUGCGUAGGGCCAAAGUAUUUCUUUUUUGGUACUUUGUCGCUUCAAAAACCUUAGCAAAUCAUCCGGUGUAUCCUUGUUGAACUUUUCUAUUGUCUCUUGAUGAAACGAAUACGGGUCAAUGAACCCAAAGUCCCAGAUUCCUGCCAGCCUGCAUUCACGAAUCUUCAUUCUGCAUAGUAGCGUACAAAAAGAAUGUCUCGUGAGUUAUAAUUAUACGGGCAAUGAACGCGAGCUUAACUAAAUAAUUAAAUUACACAAAUAAAUCACUUACAAACAGUAGCAGCUGACGAUAGCUUUGUCGAGGACACGUUGAUUGUACAUCUGGAAAAAAUCAUCGAACCCAAUCUCCACACCAUACUCUCUGAAGUAGUGUUGAUCCUGAACUGCCGCCAUGAUACAGUCUCUCUUUUGCCUUGCGGCCUCCAAGUACCAACCAUGUAAAUUCCAUAGUUGGGUUGUUAGAGCACUAGGAUUUUCGACCAGAGGCUGCUCGGGGUUAUAUUUAUAUACCACCUCAGCAAUAGCGUAACCUACGUCGCCCAUGCGUGGACCGGACACUGAAGCCUGGUCAGAUAACACCUUGAGCGGGGCAAUUGACUGUGCUUCUUGUUGUCUGAGCUGGGGAACUUGUUUCCCGCAUUUCGUCUGCUCCGCCUGCUUCAUCUGCUCCGCCUGCUUCAUCUGUGUGGUGUGCAUCUUUUCAAUGAACCGUUCAUAGUCUGAAAGGGGCGGCGGUGGCGGCGGUUCAGGAUAAUAUAAGUUGUCGAUGGUGCGCUCAAUUUUCCACUUUGGUACGUUCUUCAGAGUUUCCUUCCAAAUGUCUGGAGGGGGCUUCAGGGGAAACCGUGCGAACCAUGCUUUGUUUUUGGCUUUCACGGCCUCGUCUAGUUCCUCCGGAGUCAUCAGGCCUGGUAAAUUCGGGGGAGUCUUGACUUUAUUGGGUUUCCUUUCUCUCUUCUUGGGAGGACUCCCGUUUCUUCUGAACUGCAGCUUCCGCUUUGCCGUACCCGUAGUGCGCGCAUCCGUCGGCUCACUGGAGUGCACGGGCGAUGGACACUCGGCCUCGGGCUCCCUAUCUUCGUUGUGGGGUGGACUUGGAGGUGCGUUGGGGGGUGGACUUGGAGGUGCGUUGGGGGGUGGACUUGGAGGUCGUGCAUUCUCUGUACGAAAGUGAAAAAACUAUUAAAAAUAGGCUUACAUGUGGUGCAACAUUCAGUAAUUGUUGGAGGUGGUGCAUAAUUGUACCUGGAGGAGUCGGUGGCCUUGGCGCCGCGUUAGGAAACACGAUGUGUUUCUUCUUCCACAAGAUGAUACCAAGCUCCAUUUCUCCCAGUGUCUUCUCACCUUCACCUCCAGGAAUAUCAAGCUCAAUUGACUAGCAUCCCGGCGUAAUUGUUGACAACCCGACACGAGCAUGGAAUGCUGGAAUCUGAUCACCAUGGUAGGUUGCUCCAGGUUGAUUCGGUAAAGCAUAGCCUGACGCCACCAUGAAGGAUAUGUUCCCCAUUGGCAUAUGUAUCUCACAGUUUGUCUUCUCCGUGACAUCAUCCACGGGGUAGUGAGGCACCGACGGUUCGACUGCAGGACCAUCUUCUAGCUGCAGCUGCGUGGAACCCAUGCUGCUUCUAUGCUGAGAUGGGACGGCAUCUGCUACAGGAUCGUCUUCUAAUUGCUGCCUAUCAGCGUCAGGUGCAGGAUCUUCUUCCUCCUCUUCAGUGUCAGGUACAGGGUGUCCCCCUUUCUUCAAGAGAAACGACACCUUUUCUUCUAAUGUCGCUAUCCGUUCCAGCGCCUUCCUCUUGCUUCUACCACGGCUUCUGUAAGUGCCAAGGUCCGCCGGAAACCCUUGGUUCCACGGGGUAGUGGCUCCAAAGCCUCGUGUUCGUCCCCACUUUUCGGGGUUCCCGAGUGCCUUCGUCAACUCGUCGUUCUCUCUAUCGGGAACAAAAGUUCCUUUUCGAACAGCUUCUAUUGCCUUCUCUAGAUCUGAUACGACUUGUCUUAUUUUUUCCGACCAUGGUCCCUCCGCAACAAUCAUCCCAGUCUCAGCGUCCAACGUUGCCCCAUGCGCGAACAACCAGAACUUGGACCUAUCGGGCCAGUCAUGUGUCUGUGGAAUGAUAUUUCUUUUCAGAAGCGCAUCUUCAUAGCGUCGCCACCUAGGCAGGGCAGUCAUGUAGCCACCUGACCCCAAAAUAUGGUGAUAUUUCUUCUUCUUCGCAUUCUCCGUAUUUGUCGCUGAUCGGGAUGUAAAGACACCCGAUUUCUUGUACGCCUUAAAAUCAGGCCAAGCGUCUCUUAUCUUCACUAGGUGCCCAGUGAAAACUGGAUCUUCGUCCUUAUAUUUCUUCCACAAGUCUUUCUUCCACCUCUGGAAUUGUGUGGCCAUCUUCUUCAAAGCCCACUCCUCGACUUUCAUCUUCUUAUCUUCCGCUACGCUGAAAUUUAGCCAGACCGUGUCGCAAAGCACUCUUUUCAAUCUGUCAUCGACAUAAGUAGCUCCAACGUUGGCGCCGGUCUUCGGCUUAUUCCAUUCUAUUAAGUUGAUCGGGACCAGGUCUCUUACAACAACUCCGCACUGAUUUACAAAUUUGCGAUAAGUUUCUGGGGGUUCCAGUGGUUUGCCAUCAGCAGCAACUUUAUCGAUCGAGUACCUUGCAGUAUCUUUCAACCUUGCAGCCGGGCCUCGUUUCGACUUUGUCUCAGUACUUGCGCUAGGUGUUCCGGAGGGCACCUAAACGGGAAAAUAAUGAUUCGUUAGUAAGUGCAAUACAAAUUAAUUGUUGCGUCAACAGUGACUUGAGAUAUACAUUGCCACAGUUUGCUCCGGAGGGCACUUCUUCAUCUACUACAUCUUCUAUAUUGUCAGCUCCGUCACCGGAGUCGUUCAAAAAUUGAUUGCUAAACGCAUGCCCACCGUUGUCAUCAUGAUAUAUAGCCGUUGCAUCUUCAAAAAUCAUCUGGCACAUGUAUCUUUCCUUCGCCGCCUCACCCAUUUCCGCGAGCUGAUCGGCGUGCUGAUCAUGUGGUUCUUGGGGAUCCAUAGCUCAACACCUACUAGUAACAAGAAUUUAACUUAGCAAAAUUAUUUACGGAAAAGUUUUACGGAACCGGAAAGUUUACGGAAAAGUUUUACGGAAUCGUCGGAGUCGUAAUCAUCGCAAAGUUUACGGAAUCGUCGGAAAGUUUUACGGAAUCGUCGGAAACUUUCCCCGCAGUUAUGGAAUUAAUCGUCGGAAUCGUAGGAAAGUUUUACAGAAUUGUAAUCGUCGGAAAGUUUUACGGAAUCGUCAGAAUCGUCGGAAACUUUCCCCGCAGUUAUGGAAUCGUCGGAAUCGUAGGAAAGUUUUACGGAAUUGUAAUCGUCGGAAAGUUUUACGAAAUCGUCGGAAUCGUCGGUUUAGGGUUUUACGGAAUCGUCGGUUCAGGGUAAACUAUGAAUCGUCGGAAUUGUCGGUUUAGGGUUUUACGGAAUCGUCGGAAUCGUCGGUUUAGGGUAAACUAUGAAUCGUCGGAAUCGUCGGAAUCGUCGAUUUAGGGUUUUACGGAAUCGUCGGUUUAGGGUAAACUAUGAAUCGUCGGAAUCGUCGGAAUCGUCGGUUUAGGGUUUUACGGAAUCGUCGGUUUAGGGUAAACUAUGAAUCGUCAGAAUCGUCGGAAUCGUCGGAAUCGUCGGUUUAGGGUUUUACGGAAUCGUCGGAAUAUGAUGAAGGCGGCUUCACGUAACUUUUUUUAUAGGAUGUCCUUACGUGAAUAUACGAAAAUAUGGAUAUACGAAAAUAUGGACGAUAUACCUUUGACGACGGCGCGGCGAAGAGGCGGCGAGGAGGCGACGUUGCGGCGAGGAGGCGGCGCGAGGAUCGGCGAGGAGGUGGGGCGAGGAGGCCGCGCGCGAGGCGGCGGCCGACGCGGCGAGGAGGCGACGGCGCGGCGAGGAGGCGGCGAGGAUCGUCGGCCGGCAAGGCGGCGCGAGGAGGCCGCGGCGCGAGGAGGCCCCGGCGCGCGAGGAGGCGGCGGCGGCGCGAGGAGGCGGCGGCGGCUCGAGGAGGCGGCGGUGCGGCGAGGAGGCGACGGCGCGGCGAGGCGGCGAGGAGAGAUCGAGGCGGCGAGGAGGCGAGAGAAGGAGAGAAGGCACGCGCGGGAAUGCGAGAAGUUGGCGACCCCGGAGAGGUAUAGGGCCUUUAGCACCGGUCUUUGUUAGCAACCGGUGCUAAAGACCCUUUAGCACCGGUUGCUAACAAAGACCGGUUCUAAAGGGUCCAAAUUCGGGCGCGAACAGAACCCACCUUUAGGACCGGUUGUUGUUACAGACCGGUCCUAAAGGUCACCUUUAGGACCGGUUGUUGUUACAGACCGGUCCUAAAGGUUUUUUUCCUUUUCUUUUUCCUUUUUUCUGUUUCCUGUUUUCUUUUUUUUUAGUUUCCUUUUUCUUUUCCUGUUUCUUCUUUUAUUUUCUUUUUCUUUUUCUGUUUCCUGUUUUCUUUUAUUUUGUUUCCUUUUCUUUUCCUAUUUCUUUUUUUAUUUUUCUUUUUCCUUUUUCUGUUUUCUGUUUUCUUUUUCUUUUUGUUUCCUUUUUCUUUUUUCUGUUUCUUCUUUUAUUUUAUUUUUUUGUUUUCCUUUUCUGUUUUUUUUACAUUUAUUUACAAAUUGUCAAAAUGUCAUUUUUACACUUAAAAAAUAAAAAAUGAUAUUUAUCAAAAUGAUCAAAUUUAGUGGAAACUGGUCAAAUUUAGUGGAAACUGGUUUAAUACAUUAUUACACAUCACCAACAACACCCCCUAUCUAUUUUUCUUCUUGCCUUUAUUCUGAUUGCGCCGUAACCAUGGACUAUCUUCAUCAUUUAACGGGAUGCUUGGAUCAUCUUUGACUUUGAAGGGAGGAAUUUCAUCAAAUUUAUUGUAAUCUUCUGACAUGUCUGUCUUGUCCUCGACUCCCACGAUGUUUCUUUUCCCUGAAAGAACUAUGUGGCGCCUUGGCUCAUCGUCUGAUGUAUUCGCUUCCUUAUCUUUUCUUUUUCUCGGUCUGCUAGACAUGUCCUUCACAUAGAAAACCUGAGCCACAUCAUUGGCUAGGACGAAUUGAUCAUUGCCGUACCCAAGAUUCUUCUGAUCCACUGUUGUCAUUCCGUACUUCGGGUCUACCUUCACGCCUGACAGGUUGAACCAUUUGCACAAGAACAAAGGGACCUUAAAGGAAGGUCCGUAGUCAAGUUCCCAUAUCUGCUCUAUGUAACCAUAGUAUGUGACUCUUUGGCCGUUGUCGUCUUUUGCAUCAAACCGGACGCCACUGUUUUGGUUGGUGCUCUUUUUAUCUUGGUCUGCUGUGUAAAAUGUGUUACCAUUUAUCUCGUACCCUUUAAAGGUCAAUACAGUCGAAGAUGGUUGCUUGGCCAACAAGUAUAGCUCAUCUUCAACAAUGUUGUCAUUAAUGAGACGUCUUUGCAACCAACCGCCGAAAGUCUUCGCGUGUUCUUUAGCAAUAAAAUCUUUAGGUUGCUCCGGGUAUUCCGAGCGUAAAAUAUCCUUGUGUUCCUGGAUAUAUGGAGUCGCCAAGCUGGAAUUAACUAGAACUGUGUAGUGUGCUUGAGUGAAAGAUUGCUCGUCCAUACAUGUUGUUGAUUUCUUUCCUAGCGUGCCUUUUCCAUGCAGUCUCCCCUCAUGGCGCGACUGAGGAACACCGAUCGCGUUCAGGUCAGGAAUAAAGUCAACACAAAACUCAAUGACCUCCUCUGUUCCAUAGCCCUUGACCAUGCUUCCUUCUGGCCUAGCACGGUUAUUAACAUAAUUCUUCAAGACUCCCAUGAACCUCUCAAAGGGGAACAUAUUGUGUAAGAAUACAGGACCGAGAACGGAAAUCUCUUGGACUAGGUGAACUAUGAGGUGCGUCAUAAUAUUGAAGAAGGUUGGUGGGAACACCAACUCGAAGCUGACAAGACAUUGGACCACGUCCUUCUGUAAACUUGGUAGAGUUGCUGGAUCGAUUGCCUUCUGAGAAAUUGCGUUGAGGAAUGCACAUAGCUUCACAAUGGGUACUCGCACGUUUUCUGGCAGAAGCCCCCUCAAUGCAAUCGGAAGUAACUGGGUCAUGAUCACGUGGCAGUCAUGAGACUUUAGGUUUUGGAACUUUUUCUCUUCCAGGUUUAGUAUUCCUUUCAUGUUCGACGAGUAGCCAGACGGGACCUUGAUACUGCUCAGGACUUGGAAAAAGAUCUCCUUCUCUUCCUUGGUAAGAGCGUAGCUGGCAAGACCUUUGAAAUUCUCUCGAUUCAUCAGGUCGUCUCGUUCGUGCAUACGUUUGUGGUGCAGCCGUGCUUUUGGUGUAUCUCUCGACUUCUUCCCAUGCACGCCCAAUAAGUUUAGUAGGUUCACGCAAAUAUUUUUCGUCACGUGCAUCACGUCGAUCGCAGAGCGAACCUCUAGGAAUUUCCAAUAGGGUAGUUCCCAGAAUAUAGAUUUCUUCUUCCACAUGGCUACGUGGUUGUCGGCGUCAUUCGGAACAGAUUGUGCGCCAGGACCCUUACCAAAGAUUACUUUUAUAUCUUUGACCAUGUCAUAUAUAUCAGUACCUUUAGGGAGGGUUGGCUUCCUCCGUGUAUCUGCCUCGCCUUUGAAAUGCUUUCCUUUCUUUCUUACGGGAUGCCUGUCUCGAAGAAAUCGACGAUGCCCCGGGUACACAUUCUUGCCUAUAUGUAUACUUUCAGUCUCGCCUAAACAGUGUGUGCAUGCGCUGUAUCCCUUGUUUGACUGUCCUGAGAUGUUACUAAGAGCGGGCCAAUCAUUGAUGGUUACAAACAGCAACCCUCGUAGGUCAAAUUCCUCCUGUUUGUACUCGUCCCACACACGUACACCUUCGUCAGCCCAUAACUCUAAAAGUUCAUCAACCAGUGGCCUCAGGUACACAUCAAUGUUGUUGCCGGGUUGCGACGGGCCUGGGAUAAGCACUGGCAUCAUAAUGAACUUACGCUUCAUGCAUAACCAAGGAGGAAGGUUAUAGAUACAUAGAGUCACGGGCCAGGUGCUAUGACUGCUACUCUGCUCCCCAAACGGAUUCAGGCCAUCUGUACUUAGACCAAACCUUAAGUUUCUUGGGUCACGUGCAAAGUCCUCGUACUUAUCGUCGAUGUUUCUCCACUGCGACCCAUCAGCGGGUUGUCUCAGCAUAUCGUCUUCCUUACGGUCUUCUUUGUGCCAUCGCAGCAACUUGGCAUGCUCUUUGUUUCGGAACAAACGUUUCAACUGUGGUAUUAUAGGAGCAUGCCACAUCACCUUGGCAGGAACCCUCUUCCUGGGGCGGUCGUCGCCAUCAACAUCACCAGGGUCAUCUCGCCUGAUCUUAUACCGAAAUGCACCGCAUACCGGGCAGGCAUUUAAAUUCUCGUGCUGACCGCGGUAGAGGAUGCAGUCAUUGAUGCAUGCAUGUAUCUUAUGCACUUCCAAUCCUAGAGGGCAGACAACCUUCUUUGCUUCGUACGUACUGCAGGGCAGCACGUUAUCUCUUGGAAGCAUCUUCUUCAUUAUUUUCAGCAGCUUUUCAAAUCCCUUGUCAGAUAUUCCAUUCUCUGCCUUCCAUUGCAGCAAUUCCAGGGUGGUGCCCAGCUUUUUCUGGCCAUCUUCGCAAUUUGGGUACAACAAUUUUUUGUGAUCUUCUAACAUGCGCUCCAAUUUCAACCUCUCGUUUUCACUUCCGCAGUUUAUCUGUUCUUCACGAAUGACCUGACGAAGAUCAUCAUCAGACUCAUCAACAAUGUCCUCAAGUUCAGGCUCGUCUUCCCCCAUUUCAGUAUCACCGUGUUCACCGAACAUAGGAUAGUUAUCAUUAUCCUCUUCUUCUUCAUUGUCUUCCAUUACAACCCCUCUUUCUCCGUGCUUGGUCCGACAAAAAUAACUGGGCAUGAAGCCUUCUUGCAACAGGUGGGUGUGUAUGGUUCUUGAGUUAGGGAAAUUCCUCUUAUUCUGGCAUUUUUUACAUGGACAAAAAAUAAAUCCAUUCUGCCUGUUUUUCUCAGCCACAUUGAGAAAACUAUGCAUGCCAUUAAGGAAUUCGGGACGACGUCGAUCACUGUACAUCCAUUGCCGGUUCAUCUGCAUUAUAUAAAUUUAUCAAAAACCAUUAUGCUAAAUCAUCAUGACUAAAUUAAUUAAUUAAUACAAAAAGUUGAUCACACGUUAAAACCAAAGUAGCGUAGUGACCAUACAUAUAUAGUUCUCAUAAAAACACACACUGAAACCAACCAUAAAAACUCUCUCUAAUUAAUGCAUUUAAAAACAACAACAAAUGUGAUCAAAAUCGCAACAAAGGUAACAAUUGACCCGACGGCAUAAUGAUACCAAGCCUCUUUACUAAUUGCAUAUUUUCUAAUCUUUCUAAUCUUCAGACGCAUUGCGUCCAUCUCGCUCUUGUGACCAUCGACGACACCGGCAAGAACCUUUUCCAAGGUCAUCUUCUCUCUUUCAGUUUUUUCCAACCUUUCUUCAGUUUUUUUCAAUCUUUCUUUCAGGGCAACAUUUUCUUGUUCAACUAAGUGUAACUUCUCACCAAUAGGGUCGAUUGGCAUUUCCGGUUCCACUACCUCCUAGAUAAAAAUAUCUAUGUCAAGUUGGUCGGCGUAAUUAAUUGUCAUAUAAUCAGGAAAUGAAAAUAUGUAGUUAUAAAAGAUAAUAUACCACAUCCGAAUCAUAGACUGGACGAGGGCCAACGGGGACGGAUAUCAAAACCAUGACGCUAUACAUAUAAAAAAAAUCUUACACAAUAAGAAAAUUAUAUACAAGUAAAUAUGUGAAUCAUACAAAUCAAAAUUUGUUUUGGUAAAUAAAAACAAUAGGCUUACCAAGGUUGUGUCGGUGACGGGGCGAUCGACGGCGGUGAGGAAGGGGACAAGGCGCGCGACACUAAAAAAAACCACAAAUCAUAAUUUAAUUUGAGCUCAAAUUGCAUAUGUAUACAUAACAAAUGAUGAACUCUCUCUAGCUUAGGCAUUUCAUCAAACACCUAGCUAGCACAACAAAAAUGAAAUGAGCAAGAAAACGAGCAAAACUUGCAAUGCCGGAAGAGGGAAUGUUGAUGCUAACCGUAGGACCGAUGGGUGCCAACAAUCUUGACGAAUGGUGGAGAAAAAUGGGGAUGGAUUAGAGCUCCCAAGAGGAAGGAGAGAGCAAAAAUGGAGUUGAGCUCGAGCUAGAAAAAAUGGGUGGAAUAUAGGGUGCUCAGGGAGGAAGGAGAGGAGGGCUUUAGGACCGGUUUGUGUCAAAAACCGGUUCUAAAGGGUCUGACAGCGGGGCCCUGCAGUUGCUGCAAAAAUGAGAAAACCUUUAGAACCGGUUUGUGAUACAAACCGGUUCUAAAGGGUCUGUCCACUGGCCCCCCCUCCCUGCAGCAAACGGUCCAAAAACCUUUAGGACCGGUUUGUGUUACAAACCNNNNNNNNNNNNNNNNNNNNNNNNNNNNNNNNNNNNNNNNNNNNNNNNNNNNNNNNNNNNNNNNNNNNNNNNNNNNNNNNNNNNNNNNNNNNNNNNNNNNNNNNNNNNNNNNNNNNNNNNNNNNNNNNNNNNNNNNNNNNNNNNNNNNNNNNNNNNNNNNNNNNNNNNNNNNNNNNNNNNNNNNNNNNNNNNNNNNNNNNNNNNNNNNNNNNNNNNNNNNNNNNNNNNNNNNNNNNNNNNNNNNNNNNNNNNNNNNNNNNNNNNNNNNNNNNNNNNNNNNNNNNNNNNNNNNNNNNNNNNNNNNNNNNNNNNNNNNNNNNNNNNNNNNNNNNNNNNNNNNNNNNNNNNNNNNNNNNNNNNNNNNNNNNNNNNNNNNNNNNNNNNNNNNNNNNNNNNNNNNNNNNNNNNNNNNNNNNNNNNNNNNNNNNNNNNNNNNNNNNNNNNNNNNNNNNNNNNNNNNNNNNNNNNNNNNNNNNNNNNNNNNNNNNNNNNNNNNNNNNNNNNNNNNNNNNNNNNNNNNNNNNNNNNNNNNNNNNNNNNNNNNNNNNNNNNNNNNNNNNNNNNNNNNNNNNNNNNNNNNNNNNNNNNNNNNNNNNNNNNNNNNNNNNNNNNNNNNNNNNNNNNNNNNNNNNNNNNNNNNNNNNNNNNNNNNNNNNNNNNNNNNNNNNNNNNNNNNNNNNNNNNNNNNNNNNNNNNNNNNNNNNNNNNNNNNNNNNNNNNNNNNNNNNNNNNNNNNNNNNNNNNNNNNNNNNNNNNNNNNNNNNNNNNNNNNNNNNNNNNNNNNNNNNNNNNNNNNNNNNNNNNNNNNNNNNNNNNNNNNNNNNNNNNNNNNNNNNNNNNNNNNNNNNNNNNNNNNNNNNNNNNNNNNNNNNNNNNNNNNNNNNNNNNNNNNNNNNNNNNNNNNNNNNNNNNNNNNNNNNNNNNNNNNNNNNNNNNNNNNNNNNNNNNNNNNNNNNNNNNNNNNNNNNNNNNNNNNNNNNNNNNNNNNNNNNNNNNNNNNNNNNNNNNNNNNNNNNNNNNNNNNCAGGCGGCAGGCGAGGGGCUUUAGUCCCGGGUCUUUGCUCCACCCGGGACUAAAGCCCCUCCUCGGCUGCACGAUAAGUUUAGUCCCACCUCGCCCAGCGAGGGGAACUAACACUUGUUUAUAAGCCCCGUCACACCUACUACAUCGAGCUCCUCUCUAAAGCAGGCUUAUGGGCCUAAACUGACUGUAAAUUUAAAAAUUGAAACUAUAUUUGAAAUUGUGGAGAAACUUAAACCUGAAUUCAAAGUGAGCUCACUUUGAAUUUAGGUUUAAGUUUCUUUACAAAUUAUCAUAUAGUUUCAAUUUUUUUCUAUUUUCAAAAUUAACUAUUUGGUUAUUUUCAAUUAAAAACUAUGUUUAUUAAAAUUCUUUUUGCAUAUUUGAGAAUUUGACAAAACUAUGAUAAUGAAAAGUGUUUGAAAUUGAAUAAAUAAUUCAAAACUAUUUUCUAUUUUCAAAAGUAAUUAUUUUGACUAUCCAAACUAUUAACUAUUUUGUUAUUUUCAAUUAAAAACUAUGUUUAUUAAAAUUCUUUUUGCAUAUUUGAGAAUAUGACAAAACUAUGAUAAUGAAAAGUGUUUGAAAUUGCAUAAAUAAUUCAAAACUAUUUUCUAUUUUCAAAAGUAAUUAUUUUGACUAUCCAAACUAUUAACUAUUUUGUUAUUUUCAAUUAAAAACUAUGUUUAUUAAAAUUCUUUUUGCAUAUUUGAGAAUUUGACAAAACUAUGAUAAUGAAAAGUGUUUGAAAUUGAAUAAAUAAUGCAAAACUAUUUUCUAUUUUCAAAAGUAAUUAUUUUGACUAUCCAAACUAUUAACUAUUUUGGUAUUUUCAAUUGAAAAGUGUUUGAAAUAGAAAAGCACUACAAAUGAACUCUGAAAAUGUUGAAAGUUGGCAUGCUAUCAUCAUUUCACCCACAUAGCAUGUGUUAAAAAGUUGAGAGGGCUACGACAAAAACUGGAUGCACUUCGUGUACAAAACGGACAAUCUCUCUCGAAGUAUCAGGGUGUCGUACGAGAACUCAUCUCUUACAAAGGGAUUUCAUAUUUUUGAACUUAUUUGAACUCCAUACUUUUUGUGUGUUCAAAAUGCACCAUUCAAAGGCACAUCACAAAAUUUCAACAAUUUCUCACUUCCUUUGGUAUUCUUCGUGCACUUACUUAUUUUUUUUUGAGCUAGUUGACCCUAAAAUUGAAAAGCACUACAAAUGAACUCUGAAAAUGUUGAAAGUUGGCAUGCUAUCAUCAUUUCACCCACAUAGCAUGUGUUAAAAAGUUGAGAGGGCUACGACAAAAACUGGAUGCACUUCGUGUACAAAACGGACAAUCUCUCUCGAAGUAUCAACGGUUUCGAACGAGAACUCAUCUCUUACAAAGGGAUUUCAUUUUUUGAACUUAUUUGAACUCCAUACUUUUUGUGUGUUGAAAAUGCACCAUUCAAAGGCACAUCACNNNNNNNNNNNNNNNNNNNNNNNNNNNNNNNNNNNNNNNNNNNNNNNNNNNNNNNNNNNNNNNNNNNNNNNNNNNNNNNNNNNNNNNNNNNNNNNNNNNNUUAUGCAUUCAAUAUGCACCAUACUAUAACAUGUUAAAAUCUACAGAAAGUACUAACUAAAAAUAAUAAAAAACAACAAUUAAAUGACUAAAACAACUAUAUAAGCAAAACAAUAUUAUUUUAGUUAAAAUCCAAAUUUAGGUUAUUCUAAAAAUAACCAAAUAAAUCUUACUGUGAUAACAAUCUAACAGAUGACUAGGAGAAAAAAGAAUUAAAUUAAAAACUAUUUGUAAACUCAAGUUAUUCACAAUUUGGGUUUGAAGCAAAUUGGAACAAAUUCAAAUUUAAACCAUUCAAAUUUUAAAACUAAUUGCACAAACAGAAACUAGACAAAAUUUUGAAUCUAAUGCAAAAAGAAUCACUCAAAAAGAAUUAAAUAUCCUAAAAGAUAUAAGCAAUUUAAAACAGAAACUACAAACAGAAAUAAAAUUUAAAAACAGGAAAAAAUAAAAAUACAAAAACCCCUUUAGUCCCGGUUCGUGUCUUGAACCGGGACUAAAGGUCUACCCUUUAGUCCCGGUUCAAGACACGAACCAGGACUAAAGCCUCCAAACCCUUUAGUCCCGGUUCGAGACACGAACCGGGACUAAAGGUCCCUUUUGAACCGGGACUAAUGCCCGACCGGCGCCCUUGCCGUUCGAACCGGGACUAAUGCUAACAUUAAUCCCGGUUCGUAAUGGAACCGAGACUAAUGUGUAAAUUGAGCUGGGACGGAAGUCCCUUUUUCUACUAGUGGAGGGUCCCGGAUCUGCGCUUGGCUGGGCCGGAGGUGGCCGGAGGAGGGAGAUCAGCCGCCGGCAGCGUCGGUCCUACACGAGCGCGAGCUGCGCGGAGGGUGCGGGGCUUCGCCGGUUCGCUACCGGCACGUAGACUUUGGUUAGUGGUGUACCGGCAGUCCAAAUAAGACUAUACUGUAGGUGGGGUUGGGGGAAAUUAGCCGAUGCUGAGGAGUGGGUGGUGUUUGCCCGCGAGGGAGUACGUCACGACGCGACCGGGAAGUAUGUCGGCCACGCUCUGAAAGGCUGCGCCGCCGUCGUGGUGCCGGUGCCGGGCUCGUCAGCCAGGGUGAACGCAAGUGACUACGAGCAGCUCUUCAGCGAUGGGCUCCUCUUGACAUGGGAUAAUCCCCCGCUUCAUCCUUCUAUCCUUCCACGUAAGUUCACUCGUCAAAUCACCACUUCUAAAUUUCAGAUUAUUUGAACAUCUGACUAGCUCCCGAUAAAAAGACAAAUUUGAAGUCUUUGCUUUUUACUAUUCAUAUACUGUUCUAACCCAAUUUAUUUUUUUGCUGAGAAUUACUCAUAUGUCCAAAUGAUUUAAAUUUUAAAAUUCACCUCGUGUAUCAAAUUAUCUAUCAAACAAAGAAUAUUAGAUUUUUUUUUUGAUUUUUUGUAUUUUCUAUUGACCAGGUGCAAAUGAGCCUGGGCUUAGAAAUGAAUAUUAAGCUGAAAUGCCWAWUCUUAAAUGUGAAACACUGAUAGAUAAAUUUUGUACCAUGGCAUUGCUGCGUUGAGAUCACACAGGAGCAAUGCUACACAUACGUAGGAGCUGUUUGAUUUUAGGCCUAGCAUUGACACACUUUACCACACUUUUUUGCCAAGCUUACCUAAUGUUAGUUUAAUAAAAUGAGAGUCAUAAGUUGGCAAGACUAAAANNNNNNNNNNNNNNNNNNNNNNNNNNNNNNNNNNNNNNNNNNNNNNNNNNNNNNNNNNNNNNNNNNNNNNNNNNNNNNNNNNNNNNNNNNNNNNNNNNNNGAUACCAUGCCAACUUGGAACCUUUUCAGAGUUCAUUUCAAAUGCUUUUCAAUUUCAUGGUCUUAUAGCUCAAAAUAAUGAGUAAAUGCAUGAAAAAUAACAAAUGAAGUCAGAAAGGGUUGUAAAUUGAUGAUGUGGCUUUGAAUGGUGCAAUUGGAACACAGAAAAACUACGGAGUUCAAAAAAGUUUUAAAAAAUGAAAUCCCUUUGUAACAGACGAGUUUCCGUAUGAAACCCUGAUACUUCGAAAAAGAUUGUCCGUUUUGUACACGAAGUGCAUCCAGUUUUUGUCGUAACCCUCUCAACUUUCUCGAACAUGCUAUGUGGGUGAAAUGAUGAUACCAUGCCAACUUCGAACCUUUUCAGAGUUCAUUUCAAAUGCUUUUCAAUUUCAUGGUCUUAUAGCUCAAAAUAAUCAGUAAAUGCAUGAAAAAUAACCAAUGAAGUCAGAAAGGGUUGUAAAUUGAUCAUGUGGCUUUGAAUGGUACAUUUUGAACACAGAAAAACUAUGGAGUUCAAAUAAGUUCAAAAAACUGAAAUCCCUUUGUAACAGACGAGUUUCCGUAUGAAACCCUGAUACUUCCAAAUAGAUUCUCCGUUUUGUACACGAAGUGCAUCCAGUUUUUGUCGUAACCCUCUCAACUUUCUNNNNNNNNNNNNNNNNNNNNNNNNNNNNNNNNNNNNNNNNNNNNNNNNNNNNNNNNNNNNNNNNNNNNNNNNNNNNNNNNNNNNNNNNNNNNNNNNNNNNGUUUUGCUCUAUUUUGGCCAGUUUUGUAUGCUAUUACUCACUGAUUUUGGGUCCCGCUACGAUCCGAACGUUUUUGGAGCCCCGGGGUUCAAUUACGUGGAACUCGUCAAAACUCGAAGUUUGGCCUAUUUCGGACAGUUUUGUAUGCUAUUACUCACUGAUUUUGGGUCCCAUUGUGAUCCGAACGUUUCGGGAAGGCGGGGUCCGGUUAAGGGGAAAUCAUGAAAACACGCAGUUUUGGCCUACUCCGGCGAGUUUUGUAAGACAUUACUCACUGAUUUUGAGUCCCGUUGUGAUCCGAACGUUUCGGCAACCCCGGGGUCCGGUUACGGGGAACUCGUCAAAACUUACAGUUUUGGCCUAUUCCGGCCAGUUUUAUAUGCUAUUAGUCACUAAUUUUGGGUCCCGAUGCCAUCCGAACGUUUCNNNNNNNNNNGGAAACCCGGGGUCCGGUUAAGGGGAAAUCAUAAAAACUCACAGUUUUGGCCUAUACCGGCCAGUUUUGUAUGAUAUUACUCACUCAUUUUGGUUCCCGCUGUGAUCCAAACGUUUCGGGAACCCCGCGGUCUGGUUACGGGGAACUCGUCAAAACUCGCAGUUUUGCUCUAUUUUGCCCAGUUUUGUAUGCUAUUACUCACUGGUUUUGGGUCCCGCUACGAUCCGAACGUUUCGGGAACCGCGAGGUCCAAUUACGUGGAACUCAUGAAAACUCGCAGUUUUGGCCUAUUCCGGCGAGUUUUGUAUGUUAUUAGUCACUGAUUUUUGGUCCCGUUGUGAUCUGAACGUUUCGGGAACCCCGAGGUUCAGUUACGGGGAACUUAUCAAAAUUCACAGUUUUGGCCUGUUGUGGCCAGUUUGGUAUGCUACUGACUGAUUUUGGGUCCCGCUGUGAUACGAAUGUUUAGGGAACCCGGGGUCCGGUUACAUGAAACUCGUCAAAACACGUAGUUUUGGCCUAUUCUGGCGAGUUUUGUAAGCUAUUACUCACCGAUUUUGGUUCCCGCUGUGAUCCGAACAAUUUGGGAACCUCGGGGUCCGGUUACGGGGAACUCGUCAAAACUGACAGUUUUGGUCUAUUCUUGCCACUUUUGUAUGCCAUUACUCACUGAUUUUGUCCCGCUGCGAUCCGAAUGUUUCGGCAACCCCGGGGUCCGGUUACGGGGAACUCGUCAAAACUCACAUUUUUGACCUAUUCCGGCCAGAUUUGUAUGCUAUUAGUCACUAAUUUUGGGUCCCGAUGCCAUCCGAACGUUUCGUGAAUUUCGGGGUCCGGUUAAGGGGAAAUCAUGAAAACUCGCAGUUUUGGCCUAUUCCGGCCAGUUUUGUAAGCUAUUAGUCAGUGAUUUUGGGUCCCGUUGUGAUCCAAACAUUUCGGGAACCCCGAGGUUCGGUUACGGGGAACUCAUCAAAAUUCACAGUUUUGGUCUGUUGUGGCCAGUUUGGUAUGGUAUUACUCACUGAUUUUGGUUCCCACUGCGAUACGAAUGUUUCGGGAACCCGGGGUCCGGUUACGUGAAACUCGUCAAAACACGUAGUUUUGGCCUAUUCUGGCAAGUUUUGUAAGCUAUUACUCACUGAUUUUGGUUCCCGCUGUGAUCCGAACGAUUUGGGAACCCCAGGGUCCGGUUACGGGGAACUCGUCAAAACCCACAAAUUUGGUCUAUUCUUGCCACUUUUGUAUGCUAUUACUCACUGCUUUUGGGUCCCGUUUCGAUCCGAACGUUUCGGCAACCUCGGGAUCUGGUUACGGGGAACUCGUCAAAACUCAAAGUUUUGACCUAUUCCGGCCAGAUUUGUAUGCUAUUAGUCACUGAUUUUGGGUCCGGAUGACAUCCGAACGUUUCGGGAAUUCCGGGGUCCGGUUAAGGGGAAAUCAUGAAAACUCGCAGUUUUGGCCUAUUCGGACAGUUUUGUAUGAUAUUACUCACUGAUUUUGGUUCCCGCUGCGAUCCAAACGUUUCGGGAACCCUGGGGUCUGGUUACGGGGAACUCACCAAAACUCGCGGUUUUGCUCUAUUUUGGCCAGUUUUGUAUGCUAUUACUCACUGAUUUUNNNNNNNNNNNNNNNNNNNNNNNNNNNNNNNNNNNNNNNNNNNNNNNNNNNNNNNNNNNNNNNNNNNNNNNNNNNNNNNNNNNNNNNNNNNNNNNNNNNNGUAGAUGGACAUCACCAUGAUAGGUCUUCGUGCGCGUAGGAAAUUUUUUGUUUCCCAUGCGACGUUCCCCAACACUAUUCACUAUAUAGGAUUCUAAGUAGUUUUUCCUUCCUAGUUUGUGCUCACUUGUUUCAAGAAAGUGCAUAUGUUUUAUAUAUGUUUUUGGGGUAGAAUCAUCCCAGGAAUCCAUUGGUGAGAUUAGUUUUGCCAUUGGAAUAUUUUUCUGGAGAUGACAUAUUUCAUUUUGUUCUAUGUUUAGAGCUUGGUUCCAUGAGUUGUGGUGUGCCCAUGUGUUUGGUUCUUGGUUGUGGUAGUAGAGGGUGACCCCCUCUACCACAUGUUGGUUUGAUUUCAUGUUUAGGAAUCCAUAUGUGCAAGUUGUGCCCAAUCAAAGUAGGCAUGUGCCUGAAAUUUCAGAUUAGUGAAAAUCAGAUUUUCACUAAGUCUGAGAAUCUGUUUAUAUUUUCUUCUCGUGUAGAUGAGGUUGUGCAGGUAAAUGUGUUGUGAUUUAGCCUUAGCUUUCAACUGUAAAGUUGAAGCUGAUAUGUUUGUCUAGCUCCCUGUAAAUUUUCAUUCCAUUUGGAUUCCUGUAGAUAUUGUUUUGACUGGUGUCAAAAUGCUUCAGAGCAUAAACAGAAAGUGAGAAUCUGGAAUUUUCACUAAGUCCCUGAAAUCUGAUAUUUUUGGGCAAGUUUGCAGCCUUGUAACUUUCUAUGUUUAACUCGUUUGUGUGAGAUUCUAGCUUUCCCUUAUAGUACUCUUGGAUACCUACAGCCACAUAUCUUAUUUGGCAUGUUUAGGUGGAUCACUAGUAGAAAAUAGGGCUUUGGUUCGGGCCUGGCCAACCCAUUAGUCCCGGUUCUUCACGAACCGGGACCCAUGGGGGCAGCAGUCCCGGUUCAUUAGCCCAGGGGCCGGCCGGGGCCUCGUGGGUAUUGGUCCCGGUUCGUGUGGACUCAUUUGUCCCGGUUCUAGGCACGAACCGGGACCAAUGGGCCCCGCUCCUGGCCCACAUCCAUUGGUAUCGGUUCAUGCCUUGAACCGAUUUAGAAGGGGGGCUUUAGCCCCGGUUUACGCCAAGAACAAAUGUAAUUCUAUCAUUUGUGUGUUGUGUUCCUACCAUUUGUGUUAUGUUUCUGCUACUGUGUUGUGUCCUAGAUGUAAUUCUAUCAUUUGUGCACUGUUGUGAACUUGAACAAAUGUAAUGUUAUGCCCUAGGUGUAAUGGAUAUCAUGUGUUGUGUUAAAUUGUCNNNNNNNNNNNNNNNNNNNNNNNNNNNNNNNNNNNNNNNNNNNNNNNNNNNNNNNNNNNNNNNNNNNNNNNNNNNNNNNNNNNNNNNNNNNNNNNNNNNNUUUGAACUGCAUUUUUGUAGGAUAAGAUCAUCUUUAUUUGUGUCGUAAAUACAAAUUCUCAGAUUAUAGACAUUUUUUAUAAAUUAAGAGUGUGUGGUAUUUCUUUCUCCCAUUGCAACGCAUGGGCCUUUUUGCUAUCUUUACCUAAUAAUAAAGAGGCUAUCGCUUCCGUCGGAAAACCCACCGAGAUGAUUUUACAAAAAAGCCAUUACUGUUUAUGAUAUUAAACUCGUAGUAUAUAUUAAAUGUUUUUUAAAAUACUCAUAUCUUUUAAACCGUAACUCCAAAUUUAACAUAUUAUAUAUGGAAUUUGAUAUAUGUAGAAUUUAAAAGAUAUGAGUAUUUAAUGUAGAAUUUAAAUAUGAUAUUAUUUUAUCUGUUAAACGUUUAAUAAAAAUACUAUCUAGGGUGCAAUCUUAAUAAAUAAGUCAUUAUUCGUCUUUCUUUCAUACCAGUACUCAUCCGGGUUGGAGAUGAACACGUCAACAAAAUCAGGAUUAGAGAUGAAACUGAAGGUCACUUGACGGAUUCUUUGUACGUAUUAAAUCUACAUGCAAGCCGUGUUAAAAUAGAAGACCUGUGAAAUUUUGAACUGCAUUUUNNNNNNNNNNNNNNNNNNNNNNNNNNNNNNNNNNNNNNNNNNNNNNNNNNNNNNNNNNNNNNNNNNNNNNNNNNNNNNNNNNNNNNNNNNNNNNNNNNNNCCUCGCGGGAGCGCUUGCGGUUAGCCCGAGUAGGGGGGUCCAGAGCCUCCUGCUCAGGAGCCCCCAGAGCUCCUGGCAGCGUCAAGCCGCCAACACCGCCAAGGGAAGACCCAACAGCCUUCUUCUUCUUCGACUUCUUCUUCUUUCUCGGGGCCGGGGCUGGUAGCGGAGCAUCAGGCGGGGCCUCUAGGGACAUGUGCCUAGACGGCCCGUCAUCCCGGCGCCAGUCCGUGUUUGGUAACGUAGCAUAAAUUCAAAAAAAUUCCUACGCAUAUUCAGAUCUUCCUACGGAGAGACCAGCAACGAGAGGGGUGAGUGCAUCUUCAUACCUUUGAAGAUUGGUAAGCGGAAGCGUUGCUAGAACGCGGUUGAUGGAGUCGUACUCGCGACGAUUCAGAUCGCGGUGUGAUUCCGAUCUAGUGCCGAACCACGGCACCUCAGCGUUCAACACACGUGCAGCCCGGUGACGUCUCCUGCACCUUGAUCCAGCAAGGAGGAGGGAGAGGUUGGGGAAGAUGUCUGGCAGCACGACGGCGUGGUGUCAAUGGAGAGACGAGGUCUCCCGGCAGGGCUUCGCCAAGCACUGGCAGAGAGGAGGAGAAAGAAGAGCAGGGCUGCGUCGAGGGAGAGAUAAAACUGUGUCUCAAGCCCAAAAGUUCCCACUAUAUAUAGGAGGAGGGGAGGGGGUGCACCACCCCUAGGGUUCCCACCCUAGGUCGUGAGGCAGCCCAGAUGGGAGAGGGGGGCGGCGGCCAGGGCAGGGAAAGGGGGCACCCUAGGUGGGCCUUGGGCCUCCCCUGUGCCUAGGGUUUCCCCUUCCUCCCUCUCUGGUGAGCAUGGGCUGGGUGUGGGGGGCGCACCAGCCCACCUAGGGGCUGGUUCCCUCCCGCACUUGGCCCAUGUAGCCCUCCGGGGCUUGUGGCCCCUCCCGGUGGGCCUCCGGAACCCUUCUCGUGGUCUCGGCACUUUGCUGGUGGUGCCUGAAACAUUUUCGGUGUCCAAACUCAUCCAUCCUAUAUAUCAAUCUUUACCUCCGGACCAUUCCGGAGCUCCUCGUGACAUCCGGGAUAUCAUCCGGGACUCCGAACAUCCUGCGGUAAGCUCAUAUAACAAUUCCCUAUAACCCUAGCGUCAUCGAACCUUAAGUGUGUAGACCCUACGGGUUCGGGAGACAGGUAGACAUGACCGAGACACCUCUCUGGCCAAUAACCAUCAACGGGGUCUGGAUACCCAUGGUGUCUCCCACUUGCGCCACGAUGAUCUCAUCGGAUGAACCACGAUGUCAAGGAUUCAAUCAAUCCCGUAUACAAUUCAUUUUGUCUGUCGGUAUAGAACUUGCCCGAGGUUCGAUCGUCCGUAUACAUGUACCUUGUUCAAUCUCGUUACCGGUAAGUCUCUUUACUCGUUCCGUAGCACGUCAUCGUGUGACUAACUCCUUUAGUCACAUUGAGCUCAUGAUGAUGUUCUAUCGAGUGGGCCCAGAGAUACCUCUCCGUCACACGGAGUGACAAAUCCCGAUCACGAUUCGUGUACCAACCCAACAGACACUUUCAGAGGUACCUGUAGUGCACAUUUAUAGUCACCCAGUUAAGUUGUGAUGUUUGAUACACCCAAAGCACUCCUACGGUAUACGGGAGUUGCACAAUCUCACGGUCAAAGGAAAAAGACACUUGACAUUAGAAAAACAUUAGCAUACGAAUAAUACGAUCUAGUGCUACGCUUAGGAUUGGGUCUUGUCCAUCACAUCANNNNNNNNNNNNNNNNNNNNNNNNNNNNNNNNNNNNNNNNNNNNNNNNNNNNNNNNNNNNNNNNNNNNNNNNNNNNNNNNNNNNNNNNNNNNNNNNNNNNGGAUCCCUCGCCGGGUCACGAGGAGGUGGCGGACGGCGAAGGGAGGUCCCGGAGUAGUACUCCGGGGACUUCCUCGGCCGGGCAGACCCACCGCGCCCGAAACGGGACGAGGCAGCGCCCCCAUCCGGGGCACGGUCGCGGGCAGCGGCUACCGCCUCCGUCUCAGCCGGGAGGCCUCGCUUAGGUCGGGCCUGGCCAUCUCCAAGGAGUGUCGUCAUGAGAGCUUCCGCGUAGGAGAGCCUGGGCGAGGGCGGAGCCGACCGGCAGGGGACCGAAGGGCCGGCCUUCGACCUUGGCAGCACCAGGGAGCCGGACCUAGAGUCCGCGCCGGCCGGACGGGAGGGAGGCGGACCAGGGGAAGGACGAGGGGCGGCCGAGGGAGGCUGUAGGGGGAGGCUGGAGGGGGAGGGAACGCCGGCACCGCGCACGGGAGCCAGAGACGGCGCGCAGGAGCUCGGGCGCGAGUCGGAGGAGCGGGGUGGCGGCGCAGGUACUCGGUCGGGGGGGGGGGGNNNNNNNNNNNNNNNNNNNNNNNNNNNNNNNNNNNNNNNNNNNNNNNNNNNNNNNNNNNNNNNNNNNNNNNNNNNNNNNNNNNNNNNNNNNNNNNNNNNNGCCGGCGUUCCCUCCCCCUCCAGCCUCCCCCUACAGCCUCCCUCGGCCGCCCCUCGUCCUUCCCCUGGUCCGCCUCCCUCCCGUCCGGCCGGCGCGGACUCUAGGUCCGGCUCCCUGGUGCUGCCAAGGUCGAAGGCCGGCCCUUCGGUCCCCUGCCGGUCGGCUCCGCCCUCGCCCAGGCUCUCCUACGCGGAAGCUCUCAUGACGACACUCCUUGGAGAUGGCCAGGCCCGACCUAAGCGAGGCCUCCCGGCUGAGACGGAGGCGGUAGCCGCUGCCCGCGACCGUGCCCCGGAUGGGGGCGCUGCCUCGUCCCGUUUCGGGCGCGGUGGGUCUGCCCGGCCGAGGAAGUCCCCGGAGUACUACUCCGGGACCUCCCUUCGCCGUCCGCCACCUCCUCGUGACCCGGCGAGGGAUCCCCGCCUGCCGUUGCCGGGUUCGCCGAGGGACCGUCGCCGCCUGGAGGCCGCCUGCCGUUGCCGGGUUCGCCGAGGGACCGUCGCCGCCUGGAGGCCGCCCGCCCGGCCGACCUGGACCGUGAAGCGGCUCUGCGUGCGGAGUUGGUUGCCCGUCCCACUCCGGCAUCUCAGCCGCGUGAUGAGCCAGCGCCCCGCGAUCCCCCGGCUCGGGCCCUCGCUCACCGCCCCGCGGCGCCAUCCUGGCGGCGUGAUCGUCAGGAUCACCGCCGGGGGGAGCGUAAGGUGGGCCGCCGAUGCGGCGCGGUGACGAUGGCCGCCGUGCUGACUAGCGCUCUUCUCGCGCGGAGGGUGCGGACUGUUUUGGAAAUAUGCCCUAGAGGCAAUAAUAAAAUGGUUAUUAUCAUAUUUCCUUGUUCAUGAUAAUCGUUUAUUGUUCAUGCUAUAAUUGUAUUAACAGGAAAAAGUAAUACAUGUGUGAAUAAAUAGAUCACAAUGUGUCCCUAGCAAGACUCUAGUUGGCUAGCUCGUUAGUCAAUAGAUGAUCAUGGUUUCCUGGUCAUGGGCAUUAGAUGUCAUUGAUAAUGUGAUCACAUCAUUGGGAGAAUGAUGUGAUGGACAAGACCCAAUCCUAAGCGUAGCACUAGAUCGUAUUGUUCGUAUGCUAAAGCUUUUCUAAUGUCAAGAGUCUUUUCCUUCGACCGUGAGAUUGUUCAACUCCCGGAUACCGUAGGAGUGCUUUGGGUGUAUCAAACGUCACAACGUAACUGGGUGACUAUAAAGGUGCACUACAGGUACCUCUGAAAGUGUCUGUUGGGUUGGUACGAAUCGAGAUCGGGAUUUGUCACUCCGUCUGACGGAGAGGUAUCUCUGGACCCACUCGGUAGAACAUCAUCAUGAGCUCAAUGUGACUAAAGGAGUUAGUCACACGAUGACGUGCUACGGAACGAGUAAAGAGACUUACCGGUAACGAGAUUGAACAAGGUACAUGUAUACGGACGAUCGAACCUCGGGCAAGUUCUAUACCGACAGACAAAAUGAAUUGUAUACGGGAUUGAUUGAAUCCUUGACAUCGUGGUUCAUCCGAUGAGAUCAUCGUGGCGCAAGUGGGAGACACCAUGGGUAUCCAGACCCCGUUGAUGGUUAUUGGCCAGAGAGGUGUCUCGGUCAUGUCUACCUGUCUCCCGAACCCGUAGGGUCUACACACUUAAGGUUCGAUGACGCUAGGGUUAUAGGGAAUUGUUAUAUGAGCUUACCGCAGGAUGUUCGGAGUCCCGGAUGAUAUCCCGGAUGUCACGAGGAGCUCCGGAAUGGUCCGGAGGUAAAGAUUGAUAUAUAGGAUGGAUGAGUUUGGACACCGAAAAUGUUUCAGGCACCACCAGCAAAGUGCCGAGACCACGAGAAGGGUUCCGGAGGCCCACCGGGAGGGGCCACAAGCCCCGGAGGGCUACAUGGGCCAAGUGCGGGAGGGAACCAGCCCCUAGGUGGGCUGGUGCGCCCCCCACACCCAGCCCAUGCUCACCAGAGAGGGAGGAAGGGGAAACCCUAGGCACAGGGGAGGCCCAAGGCCCACCUAGGGUGCCCCCUUUCCCUGCCCUGGCCGCCGCCCCCCUCUCCCAUCUGGGCUGCCUCACGACCUAGGGUGGGAACCCUAGGGGUGGUGCACCCCCUCCCCUCCUCCUAUAUAUAGUGGGAACUUUUGGGCUUGAGACACAGUUUUAUCUCUCCCUCGACGCAGCCCUGCUCUUCUUUCUCCUCCUCUCUGCCAGUGCUUGGCGAAGCCCUGCCGGGAGACCUCGUCUCUCCAUUGACACCACGCCGUCGUGCUGCCAGACAUCUUCCCCAACCUCUCCCUCCUCCUUGCUGGAUCAAGGUGCAGGAGACGUCACCGGGCUGCACGUGUGUUGAACGCUGAGGUGCCGUGGUUCGGCACUAGAUCGGAAUCACACCGCGAUCUGAAUCGUCGCGAGUACGACUCCAUCAACCGCGUUCUAGCAACGCUUCCGCUUACCAAUCUUCAAAGGUAUGAAGAUGCACUCACCCCUCUCGUUGCUGGUCUCUCCGUAGGAAGAUCUGAAUAUGCGUAGGAAUUUUUUUGAAUUUAUGCUACGUUACCAAACACGGACUGGCGCCGGGAUGACGGGCCGUCUAGGCACAUGUCCCUAGAGGCCCCGCCUGAUGCUCCGCUACCAGCCCCGGCCCCGAGAAAGAAGAAGAAGUCGAAGAAGAAGAAGGCUGUUGGGUCUUCCCUUGGCGGUGUUGGCGGCUUGACGCUGCCAGGAGCUCUGGGGGCUCCUGAGCAGGAGGCUCUGGACCCCCCUACUCGGGCUAACCGCAAGCGCUCCCGCGAGGNNNNNNNNNNNNNNNNNNNNNNNNNNNNNNNNNNNNNNNNNNNNNNNNNNNNNNNNNNNNNNNNNNNNNNNNNNNNNNNNNNNNNNNNNNNNNNNNNNNNGAUCCGAACGUUUCGGGAAGGCGGGGUCCGGUUAAGGGGAAAUCAUGAAAACACGCAGUUUUGGCCUACUCCGGCGAGUUUUGUAAGACAUUACUCACUGAUUUUGAGUCCCGUUGUGAUCCGAACGUUUCGGCAACCCCGGGGUCCGGUUACGGGGAACUCGUCAAAACUUACAGUUUUGGCCUAUUCCGGCCAGUUUUAUAUGCUAUUAGUCACUAAUUUUGGGUCCCGAUGCCAUCCGAACGUUUCGGGAAACCCGGGGUCCGGUUAAGGGGAAAUCAUAAAAACUCACAGUUUUGGCCUAUACCGGCCAGUUUUGUAUGAUAUUACUCACUCAUUUUGGUUCCCGCUGUGAUCCAAACGUUUCGGGAACCCCGCGGUCUGGUUACGGGGAACUCGUCAAAACUCGCAGUUUUGCUCUAUUUUGCCCAGUUUUGUAUGCUAUUACUCACUGGUUUUGGGUCCCGCUACGAUCCGAACGUUUCGGGAACCGCGAGGUCCAAUUACGUGGAACUCAUGAAAACUCGCAGUUUUGGCCUAUUCCGGCGAGUUUUGUAUGUUAUUAGUCACUGAUUUUUGGUCCCGUUGUGAUCUGAACGUUUCGGGAACCCCGAGGUUCAGUUACGGGGAACUUAUCAAAAUUCACAGUUUUGGCCUGUUGUGGCCAGUUUGGUAUGCUACUGACUGAUUUUGGGUCCCGCUGUGAUACGAAUGUUUAGGGAACCCGGGGUCCGGUUACAUGAAACUCGUCAAAACACGUAGUUUUGGCCUAUUCUGGCGAGUUUUGUAAGCUAUUACUCACCGAUUUUGGUUCCCGCUGUGAUCCGAACAAUUUGGGAACCUCGGGGUCCGGUUACGGGGAACUCGUCAAAACUGACAGUUUUGGUCUAUUCUUGCCACUUUUGUAUGCCAUUACUCACUGAUUUUGUCCCGCUGCGAUCCGAAUGUUUCGGCAACCCCGGGGUCCGGUUACGGGGAACUCGUCAAAACUCACAUUUUUGACCUAUUCCGGCCAGAUUUGUAUGCUAUUAGUCACUAAUUUUGGGUCCCGAUGCCAUCCGAACGUUUCGUGAAUUUCGGGGUCCGGUUAAGGGGAAAUCAUGAAAACUCGCAGUUUUGGCCUAUUCCGGCCAGUUUUGUAAGCUAUUAGUCAGUGAUUUUGGGUCCCGUUGUGAUCCAAACAUUUCGGGAACCCCGAGGUUCGGUUACGGGGAACUCAUCAAAAUUCACAGUUUUGGUCUGUUGUGGCCAGUUUGGUAUGGUAUUACUCACUGAUUUUGGUUCCCACUGCGAUACGAAUGUUUCGGGAACCCGGGGUCCGGUUACGUGAAACUCGUCAAAACACGUAGUUUUGGCCUAUUCUGGCAAGUUUUGUAAGCUAUUACUCACUGAUUUUGGUUCCCGCUGUGAUCCGAACGAUUUGGGAACCCCAGGGUCCGGUUACGGGGAACUCGUCAAAACCCACAAAUUUGGUCUAUUCUUGCCACUUUUGUAUGCUAUUACUCACUGCUUUUGGGUCCCGUUUCGAUCCGAACGUUUCGGCAACCUCGGGAUCUGGUUACGGGGAACUCGUCAAAACUCAAAGUUUUGACCUAUUCCGGCCAGAUUUGUAUGCUAUUAGUCACUGAUUUUGGGUCCGGAUGACAUCCGAACGUUUCGGGAAUUCCGGGGUCCGGUUAAGGGGAAAUCAUGAAAACUCGCAGUUUUGGUCUAUUCCGGACAGUUUUGUAUGAUAUUACUCACUGAUUUUGGUUCCCGCUGUGAUCCAAACGUUUCGGGAACCCCGGGGCCUGGUUACGGGGAACUCACCAAAACUCGCAGUUUUGCUCUAUUUUGGCCAGUUUUGUAUGCUAUUACUCACUGAUUUUGGGUCCCGCUACGAUCCGAACGUUUUUGGAGCCCCGGGGUUCAAUUACGUGGAACUCGUCAAAACUCGAAGUUUGGCCUAUUCCGGCCAGUUUUGUAUGCUAUUAGUCACUGAUUUUGGAUCCCGUUGUGAUCUGAACGUUUCGGGAAGGCGGGGUCCGGUUAAGGGGAAAUCAUGAAAACACGCAGUUUUGGCCUACUCCGGCGAGUUUUGUAAGCCAUUACUCACUGAUUUUGGUUCCUCUGCGAUCCAAACAUUUUGGGAACCCCGGGGUCCGAUUACGGGGAACUCGUCAAAACUCGCAUUUUUGGUCUAUUCUUGCCACUUUUGUAUGCUAUUACUCACUCAUUAUGGGUCCCGUUGCGAUCCGAAUAUUUCGGCAACUCCGGGGUCCGGUUACAGGGAACUCGUCGAAACUCACAGUUUUGGCCUAUUUCUGCCACUUUUGUAUGCUAUUAGUCCCUGAUUUUGGGUCCCGACGUUUCGAGAACCCCGGGGUCUGGUUAAGGGGAAAUCAUGAAAACACGCAGUUUUGGCUAUUCCGACAAGUUUUGUAAGCCAUUACUCACUCAUUUUGGUUCCUGCUGCGAUCCAAAUAUUGUGGGAACCCCAAGGUCCGGUUACGGGGAACUCGUCAAAACACGCAGUUUUGGUCUAUUCUUGCCACUUUUGUAUGCUAUUACUCACUUAUUUUGGGUCCCGCUGCGACCCGAACGUUUCGGCACCCCGGGGUCCGGUUAUGGGGAACUCGUCAAAACUCAUAGUUUUGGCCUAUUCCGGCCAGUUUUGUAUGCUAUUAGUCACUGAUUUUGGGUCCCGAUGUCGUCCGAACGUUUCGGGAACCCCGUGGUCCGGUUAAGGGGAAAUCAUGAAAACUCACAGUUUUNNNNNNNNNNNNNNNNNNNNNNNNNNNNNNNNNNNNNNNNNNNNNNNNNNNNNNNNNNNNNNNNNNNNNNNNNNNNNNNNNNNNNNNNNNNNNNNNNNNNAAGCUUAGGAUCCCAAUGUGCUGGAAAACUAKUUUUUUUCGUUGACUAUAGGACAUGCCAUCCUAUUCCUGCAUUUUUGUUAUUCCUUCGUUUUGAGAAUCCUGUGAAUCAAAAUAGGCCCUAUGGGUUCAGAUAUUUGGAUGUUGACUCUCUCUAGUGGGUAUGGAUAAGUAAAUGCGUCCACAGAACCACUCAAAGUAGUUGGCUAAUAUCACUCAUAUUAUCUUCUUCCUCAUCUUUGUCCUUCCAUAUUAUGUGUCGAGUUUGCGUCAUCCUUCCCCGUUACCAAAUAAGUCUCCUCAAUUCAGACUGCUGAUAUGUAUCCAUUCUCACUGCUCUACAUCCUUGUCUCAUUGUUCCUCUUCCAUCAACAUGCACAUGCCGUGUGCGAGCCUGUGGCGUGCGGCAACUUCACAAUCAAGUACCCGUUCUGGCUCGGCGCGCCCAGCCGCCCCCCGUCGGAGCCCUCCUGCGGCCACCCGGCCUUCCAGCUCUGGUGCAUCAACGGCAACACCACAGCUUCCAUUAGUGGCUCCCCCAUCCAUGUCCACAGCAUCGACUACACCGCCCGGUCCUUCGUCGUCUACCACAUCAGAGUCGCCACGGGCACCGACGGUGUGUGCCGCGCCGACUUCAACGUUUCGUCCAGCCUAACCCUCAGCCAGUUCAAGAUCAGCCCCAGCAACCAGGCCCUGUGCUUCCUAUCCAACUGCAGAGGGACGGAGCCGCGCGGGCGGCAAUCCCAUCGUCGCGUACCUCGGCGGGAGCUACGACCGGGACAUCCCUCCGGCGAUCAACGCCGGGAACUGCACGUACAAUUACCAGCCGGUGCUCGGGGCGGAGGCGGCGGUGUCCACGGCGGCCAACUACACCCGGCUGCUGAAGGCCGGGUUCCUGCUGGACUGGGCGGGCACGGGCGACUGCCCCGCCUGCGUCGAGACCGGCGGGCAGUGCCGGUACAGCAACACCACAUCAACGUUCGCGUGCCUCUGCGCCGACGGGAAGCUGCACGGCCCGACAUGCGCCGGUGAGUUGGCUCGCCCACGCCGCCACUUGCUUGCCUCUACUCUACUGUACACCAGUCAGCGCGUGCCGACGCGGACGGCCAUAUCGUCACAUUUGUUUGAUUAGUCUCAUCUUCCUCCUUGGUUCGUUGCCUUUAGUCGAUUGUCGUUGCGGUAGCUAGCUAGUGCCGUCCCGAUCCUCUCCGUAGGUAGUGCCCCAUGGAGAUUUCACCUUUGGCUUUUCUUCUUGGCCCGGCUAACCGGCUAAGCACGUCGUUGGUGGUGGUGGUAUCAUAUGCAAAAAUUAGUCAUCAUAGUCCAACCCUACGACAAACCAAAAGUGGUGCGCCCGAUCAGAGACGUGUGUGAGUUUUUUUUUUUWAAGAUCCAGUUGCUGGCUGACAUAUAUUUAGAUAGCAGGAAGCAAGGCGGGAAUACAAAAGGGUGGGGUUGAUCAAAAGAUCAAAAAGGACAUAACAGGAAGAAAACCUCGGAAAAAAACUGGUGAAAACAAGGUAGCCUGGCACAGACGCCGUACUCCUCACGUAAUUUCCCCAAACGGGUGCUUUAGGAAAACUGCUCCUGCUUGCCUCCAAGACUGGAGAGUUGUUGAGAUGGAGGUCGAUAUGCUUGCUGCUCUUGUUGUUUUGUUUCCGAAAGUGCACUCAUUCCUUUUUUUCCAGAUUUCUGACAGAACGAGCACGAUCAUUGUCUUGGUUCCUUUUUUGUACUCUGGUCUUGCCUUGCUUAUCAUCUUGGUGAUGAUCUCUCUGGCUGUUUUGUUGUGGGCCCAAAUUAUUGGGCUUAGUGAGGCGCAUCCUAUGCGAGAUGUCGUCUCCCCCCAUACUGUUGUUGCGACGUUGCAUUUCCAGAAAAGAGGAUCUGCUGAUUCUAAAUUUCUGAGGCAUAGCUGACAGAAAUAGCUGUUUUGCCAGCCCCUUCUUUGCAAUCUGUCGUUGCACCAGAGCCUAUUUUUUGUCAGCAGCCAUAUGAAUAUCUUGAGCCUUUGCGGUGCCCAAGUUUUUCAUGUAAAGUUGCUGAUUUCCGACGUUGUUCUUCCUAGGAAUUGGGCUUUGUAUGCUGAGUUGGCAGUGUAAAUCCCCGAGGCCUCAUGUCUCCAUUUGAUUUGAUCGCUUGCUUGCUCUAUCAGAGACGUGUGUGAUUGGUAACGCUUCGUUUGCUUGUUCUGCAUUAGUGUUUUUGGUCCACAAGACGGUCUUGAAUUAAAAAAUGUUCAACACAAAAAUUGUUCGCCUCGUCGAAAAGGUUAAAUUUGCUUUUGGGCUCAUCAUCAUCCGAGGUCUUUCGCGACCUGUGAGAUCCAAAAAUCAAACUGCUCUCUUGGACUUACCUAAAUCCGAGUUCGGUUAAUUCUAAAAAGAUUAGGACGAGAUUUAGACUCAUUUCUUUUGUACGGAAAGUCCAGCCGCCUCGUAAAUAGAUGAAAGGUAACGGCCGAUUGAACAACACAUAUUCGACAAACCAAUAUAUCAUGUUUAAUGUUUACUUUUACCUUUCCCUUUUCCUUCUUUUUUCUCGUUCUUCGUUCGUUCUUCGUUAGAAGGACAGCGAUCCACAGUGCCUUAGGAGCGGUCAGGCCGACAUAAGGUAGCCCAUAGCCGCCGUGCAUCUUGACGGGAUCACACCCGGGUGUGUGAGGUUUCGAUUCAUCAAAAGCACCCGUCAGAUUGCUUGCAUACCGCGUUUCAGGACGGAUCUCAUUCAACAUGAGUUGCGGUGCAUCAUGCCCGCGUUAAGGAUAUUUAUGUGCGAACACUUAACAUGUUUUAACGAAUUGGUAGGUUUACCUUUUCUCUAUUUGCAUACCGUUUACCGGUUUACGUGUGUAGUGUGCGACCACCUACGAAGCACCGAUACUUCAGAAAUUUGUGUAUCGCCGUUCAGUACUUCGCCGAUACUCCGAUACUUCAGAUACGCCUUCGAUACUCGUAUUUCCGAAGUAUCGUCAUUUUCAAUUUAAAACGAAAUGGCGAUACGCGUAUCCUCAAAGUAUUAUCGCCGUUGUGUAUUACCCAUGCCUUGAUGUAUCGUUGAUCUGUUCAUAUAGUUAGUGCAUGUAGACUGUACUACUGUAGUAGUUGAUAAAAGUGCUUGUUAAGGAUGUUGCUUGUGCAAUUCAUUAUUUGGCCCACUCGUGUAAUCCAAAGUUGCUCUUUAUAUAUGUUUGUCAUUUGACAAUCUUAAGUUUUUAANUUUUAAAAAAAACUAUUAAUUUUAUAUUAUCAUGUUAAUAGAUAUUACAGCCUAAAUUAUAUUGUGAUAGUCUAUGACCGAUUGGUCGUAUUAUUCAUUGAUGAUAAUGAGAUUUUWAAAAUGWAAAAACAAUAAGGUAUGUAAGUAAUUAGGCAACCAGUGGAUCAGUAUUUUAUUAUCAUCUCAUACAUUUAUUAUGUUACUUUUUAUUGCAUGUUGUUUUAUCAUUAUUUAUAUAUGCUUGCCGUAUCGCCGAAUUGCUGUUUUUAGAAAUUGCCGUAUCCCGUAUCGCCGUACCCGUAUCGACGUAUCAGUGUUGCCGUAUCGGUGCUUCAUAGGCGACCACUGUUACCAGUCAAGCACCCAACGACUUGGCACCGAUCGGCACGACUUUCCCGGACUCGCAUCCUGGCCGGUCCGGUCGCAUCACUGCUCGAUCACGACGGGGCAUGGUGGAGUUCUCGUGUGUGGACGCCUUGUAGUCGAACUUUUCGGCACACCACUCACACAUUGCCCCCUCCCCCCUCCUCAUAUCACAUAUCCCCUCGCUCGUACCAUGACCAUGAAUGAAUAUCACAGUUCGUCCUCGGGAUUUGGUGCCAACAAAUAUUCUACAAACAUCAUUUGGUCGUCGUCCUCGGCGGGAGUCAUCAUCCUCCCUCACCUAUGGUCCUCCCACGGCUGGGGUCUUGCCUUCUCCUCCUCUUGGCCGCCACAGCUUCUCCGAUACUGUCCGCGGAAGCAGACGUCGGCGGCUGCACGCCCAGGAAAUGCGGCAACCUGACCGUCUUCACCCCGUUCGGCCUCGUCUCGUCCGUGUGCGCCCAGCUCGGGUUCCAGGUCCACUGCACCGACGACGUCCCCUACCUCGGGUACUACGAGCGCGACGUUGGGCUGCAGAUCCUGGAUAUCUUCUACGACAACGGCUCCCUGCUCGUCUCCGACGUCCACAAGCUCGGCGACUUCGACCUCUCCGGCGGCGGAAGCCGUUGCCAUGUCCCCACGGCCAACACGGCAACGAGAGUUGGGCAUCCGUUCUCCAUCAGCCCACUCAACCAGAACCUCGUCUUCUACAACUGCACCAAGGCGCCGACGAAGGGGGCGGCGGGGCUGGUGGAGACGGCGUGCCGGAACAACACGUUUGUCCGUGCGGGAGGGCGGUACAACGAGUCCGGCGGGAUCGGCGGCGGCUACGGUUUGGAGGGCUGCACCGCCACCGCCGUGCCGGUGCUUGGGGCGACUGGGAAGGUGAAUGCCAGCCACUAUCAGCAGCUCAUCAGCGAUGGCUUCGUCCUCACAUGGCAGCCGCCGACUGCUGCCGGUAGCGGUGAGUUCAGUCGUUGAAUUGAUCGUUUUCUAUCCAGUUCCUGUGAAACAAUCUGGCCUCAGCUUUCUUAUCCAUGGGCCAUGUGCAAAAUUAAUGGCGGGUUGGCAAGCCGUAGCCGUCGCCGUCGCCGUCGCCGUCCCAAGCCGCUGGACAACACGAUUAUAUUACUAAUAAUAAAUAGAGCGGAAAUUAAUAAAUAGUAGCGCGUUGACUAUUGACCAGUCAAGAUCAGUCAAGCCCCAAGGCCAGGCUGGCCAUAGCAAACACGAUGAUUUGACAAAUAAUUAAAAAGAGAGAGGAUUAGAAUAACAUAGGUAGAUACCGUAACAUGUUAAAUGUUAUGCUACUAUGUGUCAUGGAUGUCAAUAAAUGACAUUACCUAUGAUACUAGUUUAUGUUAUUAUGCACUACGAAGGUAGUAUAUCAUACAAUAGUAACAUAUGCAUGAUACUAUUAUAUGUUACUCUCCACUAUGAGCAGCCUUAGCAUAUGUACCCCAUCCUAUAAUGUCCCGAUCCGUAAAAUAAUUAUAGUAGCAUCUGUAUCGCAUCUUAUAAUGUUUCGAUCUUGUAAAAUAACUAUUAAAAUACGGAUCCACGCAAAAAAAAUUGCCCGAUUAAAUCCCACAAACGCGUUGGACCCGUAAAUAUUUUUGCGUGGUACGGUAAAAAACUUUUUCCAAUCUGCAAAAAUACAGUUUUCGCAUCCACUUUUAUGGUACUUUGUAUCGAGAAAAAACAGUUGACGGGAGGCCAACUGCCAUGAAAAUUUCCGCGUCGCCGCGCGCAGCCCCGAACCUCGCCGAUCGCCCUCCUAUCCGUCACCGACUGUUGCUCUUGGAUGGAUUGGCAACCUGAGAUAACUAGCUCGUGGAUGAAUUGGCAACCGGAGCUAGCUAGCUAGCAAGCUCCUGGAUGGAUUCGACGACCGGAGCUAGCCAGCUACCGCGACGGUCGCUUCGUGUGAGCCGUCCUUGACGUCGGUGUCACUGUAUUUGACCGCUUCGUGCAUUAUUCGUCCGCUUUUAGGAGCAAAUUUAGUUAAGCAUGGACACAGAUGAGAGGAAGAAUAAGAUGUGAGGGAAAAACAUAAACGAAAAUUUGAUUUAGAGUUUAAAUUUAAGGAGUCUGUUCGACUGCAGUUCAAAUGGAUCCUUAAAAUGCGUUUUUUCCAAACUGAAAACCGUGUUUGCAGUUUUGCGUUUUAAGGGGUUGCUAGACAUGCUUUCAACGGCCCUCGCCCGCUCUUCAGUCAGCCGCUCCGCUCCCCAUCCCCGGCCCAAUCCAAUCCAUGCCACGGCUCCAACCCCACCUCCUCGUGCUCCUGCUCCCCGUUUCCGUUCUCCGGCUGCCGUCGUCGGCGGGCGCCGCGUGCUCGCCCAAGAAAUGCGGCGACCUGAACAUCACCUACCCGUUCUGGCUGGCGGAGGGCAGACUAUUGUGGGCACGCGUUUGAGCGCUCGAUUUCAGAAAAAUAUUGCGUUGGAUCAAAAAAUUAUUUAGGAUGGAUCACAACGAGGACGAAAACGAUAUCUUCAUGCUGAGUACCAAGGACAAGAGUACCUCAUCGUCGAAGGGCAAGAGCUCUCCGUCGACGAUGGACAAGAGCUCUAUAUUGAUAGAGGAUGACGAUGAUGCCUCCAUGUAGUUUAGGCGUGCCUUUUAAUUCAGAUGCAUUUUGUAUUAUUUGUUUGUAAUCUCAAGUUGUUGGGCCAUUAUGUUCCAUCCAAGCACGACGUUGGAUGCAUUUGUUGGUAGUAUAAGUGUUAUCCUGCUAAAAACCAACUCAGCAUAGAAAUAGAACAUGAAUAUGUCUCAUACAUAAAAUAGACAUAUAUCUAAUACACAAUUAGAUAGUCAUAUCUCUAAUGAUAGAUAGAAGCCUCACUGACGAUGUGUGCCUUGGGGCUUUGCGGGUGUGCAAGGCGUACUCCAGCCAAACCUGUGGGGGCCUAAUGUUACGAAGAGGAAUCUCGGACCCGCCCUGGUCGUUUUGUGCAUCCUGUGUGGGCCAUGAUGAAGGAGUCAAAAACAUGUCUAGCCACAUGUUUUGCUGCGAUAGUGGUUCUUCUUGUUCACUCAUGCACCCGGAUCCGGACGCCGACGCCUCCUGCUAUGCAUAGGAUCCUGUAAGAUGGACUAUACCAGUUGGAUGUGGUUGAAACAUGAAACCCGCUGUGGAACUUUGAUGUUGUGGUGGUGGCUGAAACACGAAGCUCGACGAGGAAGCAUGGUGUUGUGGGUGCUGCCACGCCGAAUGGCCAGCCUGGUCAGGAGGGGGUGGAUGGGGCGUCGGUUGCUGUUUUAGGCGUGGACGCAGCUGCUGUCGAUGCACAGAGGGACGCGUCGGCUGCUGCGUGUGGUGCUGAACAACGUCCGAAGUGCGGGUGCACGUGAUAGCUCUAUAGACAUCUCGUAUCUUCUAUUCCAUGCGCGUGAACUAUGGCUGGAGCUGAGACCUUGGUACCCAAAGAGGUCCACUCGACAAUUAUAAUUCAUAGUUCAUCACGUGAGUAUAAAGACUAUAUGCCAAGUCAGCCUGUAAUUGUCAUGAUGAUUAAUAAGUACGGAUGACAAGUAUGUAACAAAAGAUGUAUUAGGUAAAUAUAAUAAAUAUUACUAUAUACUGCCUAGAGCCAGAAGUAUCAUAGGACGGGUACGUAUUCGAUGUAACGGGGUCCAGUAUCUCAUCUGCAUUAGAGUGUUGAACAAUGCGUAAUCGUUUCCUUCUCGUGUACUGAUCCAAAUAGGCAUUGUAUCCAGCGAGAUCAAAUCCGACUUGAUCUUGCCAAAGACGUUCGGUGACAGUAUCCUAGUCUGUACCGUACUGCUCAAGCCUCUGUAGCCACGGAGCAUGUGUCCUGCUCGUUCCCUUCCUUGUUAUCAUGUAAUUGAGGUGGGUGUUUAACAAUUAAUCGGUGUUUCACAAUAGAUAAUAGUGAAAGACAAUGUAAUAUUCAGUAAGUAUAUAAUACUUGUGGACUACUCCUUGUAGCUAGUUCUCUGUAGGGGUGGAUUCUCCAGCUGUUGAAGACCAAAUUGCCUCAUAACCCGUUGUUGCGCCAUCUCCUCAACGAAGACAUCAAAGAUAAUCUUCGAUUUCUUCAUCCAGUAAUCCCAAUCUCUCGUGCAUAGCUCAAAAAUACCACUGGGAUAUCUGACAGUUAUGGCUUCUAGCAUGUACGGUUGCCAGAUAACUCCAGUGUACGUAUCGAACUCCUCAUUUAGUGCAGUGUAGGCAUGUCGAUGUUUUCAACGUCAAACAUGUUGCCCAUAGAAAAACCCUGGUCGACAUCUAUGUUUGGUCGACCAAUAGAGAACCUCUCCGAGGAACACAACUAUAAAAACAGAGGGCAUCCAAGAAGGGCCAACUUGGCCAUGGAAAGCUGGCAACCCUUGCACAUACAUCGGUGUGUAGCUGCUAACACCGCCGAACCCAACUCCUCGGUGUGAUCUGAUUCGACAUCUCACAGCUAGCGAUCUCCGGUGCAAUGGGGAUGUAGCGCGGACUAACACUGGUGACAUGGUUCUUUGUUAACAUCACCUUCCCGAGAAGCCACAUUAGGUACGCCUCGAGGCUAUGAGUAAUCUGUGUUGCAUUCAAAGGGACUUGUGGAUACCCCGGAAAUUUCUGGAUGUGUAAUCAUGUAAAUAGAAAGUAUUAGUUAAUAACUUGAAGUGUGUGAAAUGAAAGAUAUGCGACUUAGGAACUAACACCGAAAUGUUGUAACCAGUCAUAGUUUGGUCCGUGAGGCUAUGACGCUAGAGCCGGAGCCUGAUCAUAUAUAUCCAAGAAAUGUGUUGCAAAGAUUGUUUCCACUCUGGCGGGUCCUCCAACGGUCCUAUGGCAGGUCCUGCCAAUGAUAGUCCGAGCAACAUUGAGACAUCUUCCAGAGUAAGAGCCAUCUCACCCCAGCGGAAGUGGAACGUGUGGGUCUCACGCCUCCAUCGAUCCACUAAGCAAGUAAGCAAAGAAGAGUCAAUGCUGAGGUGCAUCGAUGUCUCAGUGGCCUCAACUAGACGUGCAAAAGGUAAAAGCCCGACACAUUUGAGCCUGCAUAUCCACCAACAUAAAAUUUCAGUUACUGUGUCCCUUUAAGACACCUCUUCAAGUUUACCAUACAAAUAAAACAUUUAUCUGUCAACCCAAUCUGGAUGUAUACUCCAUUCCACCUUAGCAGUGCGAGUGACAAGUUGUACGAGCUUCUCCUCACUUAAUAGCGCAGCAUGAUGCUUACUAUCAAUGUCCGUCUUAAGUAGAAACAUUCCCUCCAUUGCUAUAGUAACGAAAUAUAGUGCCACAUACCAUACAAAUGACAAGACAGUGCCACACUUAGUACAAACUAAAAGACAGUGCCACACUUAGUACAAAUAACAAGACAGUGCCAUACUUAAUACAAACUUAAAACAUAGUACACUUAGUACAAAUAAUAAGAUAAUGGCAUAAUUAAGACAAACUUAAACUCUUCCUACCCCUCUUGCUCUCCCUCUUACUCCUCUUCUCUUCCCCGGCCGCCUCGUCCACACCUAGUGUCCCUUGAAGUGACGAAAGUGGGACAAUCAGGGUCCUUAUGCUCAAAUCCAUUACAUAGAAUACAUUACAUGGUGCGCCUGCCGUCUUAAGAUUCAUCCAUGUCAUUCCAGAUGCGCUGACACUGCCGUCUACUUCUACUUGUACGCAUAUUCUCAUGCUGUGGAAUAUAUCGCCUUUCAGCAGGGUCAACAAUGUUGAAGUUACCCAUUGAUCGAAAACCCAUCAACUCACCUGUGCAGGUAUUGACGACGAACUCUUUCAAAAUGUACGGAGAGACGAAUGAGAUUGUGUCAAGGCCUAGCUGUCUACAAGCAGCAAGUACAUGCGAGCAAUGUAGGUGAAGCAACUUCAGUUUGUUGCAUGUGCACUCGCACGUUGGCCUCACUUCAUUUCCAAUUUUCACCUCAUGCAUCCUCACCUCAUUUGCACAUCCAAAUUUGUUGUUAGCUAAGGGGACCUCGAACCUUCGCUCUAGAUUUCCGAUGGCGAUAACAAUGUGCGACUGGGCUUUAUUCAUCUUUUCAUCCAUGUACUUCAUAACCCUUUCACAAUUACGUGUGUUCGGAUUGUUAGUGAUAUGAAGCUCAACCCUUUGACAUCUUUCUCUGAAAUACUUCACUUUGCCAUAGAAAAUACCCUCCACGAUCGCUGUAAGUGGCAAAACCCUGUUUCCUCUGAGGACAAAGUUAUAUGUUUCUGCGACAUUGGUAGUCAUGACACCGUACCUUGCUCCAUGUGUGUCAUGCAACAUAGACCACCUCUCCAAAGGCUCAUGCUCUAUCCACUAAUCAAAGGUUUUAAUCGUCCUCGCAAGCCUUCUCCUUGUACCAGGAGAGUCAAAACCUGGCAAGUCACAAAGCCCAACCGGCUCUUCCUCCAUGGGAGUUGAUCCUGUUGCUAGCUAUGCACCUACUGCUUCAAUAUGUGCCCUCACAGCUGCAUCUCUUGCAGCUCUCCUGUCCCUAACAUGUCACUCUGUGCAAACAUUAAUUCUAUUACGUAUCAGCUCGUACUUCCAUUGUUGGUUCUGCUUGCAGAGUUUCUUGAAUAGAUUCAUGAGGUUCUUAUUUCUGAACUGCGAGAAGAAAUUUGCCCCAAGAAGGCGCAUGCACCAACGACUCUGCAUGCCCUGCCCUGGAUCGCCGCUAUGGACGGGGGCAGUCUGUGCCGGCGUCUCCUCGUCGCUAUCGGAGAGGACGAUGACGCUGCGCUCUUCGCGACCGCGGCGCCAUGCGGCGAUAACCUCUAGAGUGUGACGAUGGCGCUCCAUCUCCUCCCGGACUUAGUCGUCGUGCGACCACUUCAGGCAGGUAUCGAGGUCGGCGACCAUCUCGUUGUGUUGUUGCUUGAUGACCAGCAGCUUCACCAACUCCUUCUUUGGCCUGACGAGGCGAAGGUGGCUACAGGGAUGUGAAGGUUGGCGGCGUCCCUCAUUUAUAACGAGGUUGCCGCCACGGCUACGACGGUGCUCCGACGUCUCUUUGGGAUCGUUCUUCACGGUGGCGAGCGGCGUCAUCAUGUCGGAGGAGUGGCAGAAGGACGAGGAGAAGGACCCCGCCAUUCACCUCGGCAGCCACGAGCUCCCGCUCCGGCGCAAGAACGACGGCGUCGGGUACUCCAGCAGCGGCUCGUUGCCGCCCUCGAUGUUUUCGAGGACGACGUGGAGCGUGCGCCCGGGGACGCCCCACCUCCGACGGCAACCGUCGGAGUUGUGCCGAUCCCUUUGGAACCGGAGCUCCGUUGGUCGAGGUGAGCUGGUCGGCGUGAUGGCGCUGGAAGUAUGCUGUCUAGGGAGGGAGGUUGUCGGCGGUGUACGUUUCUUCCUACCACACAUGCUCUAGCAAGGACGCCCGGAUGCACGCGAUCUCACCGCGGCGUUCCGCGACUGAUGGCGGAGAGGGCACGGGGACGCCUUCGGCUCUCAGCAUCUAGGCCCCCUGGACGUGCAUGUUUGGUGGCCUCGGGUUGUUGGCCUCUUGGGGGGCGUGCGCCUCCCUCGCGCGCAACGAACGGCGGACGCAGCCAUUGGCAGCCGCUCCGUCGCCGAGGAAUCUGUCCGCCAUGGAUUCGAGGAAGUUUUUCGACGGUGAAGGCAAGAGAUAUGGGAGAAGAGGAUGGAUGGGCGAGUGUGCGGCGAGCGGCGGCUACGCACGACUUUUGUAGCGGGGAAGGGGCGAGAGCGGUAUGCACGCGUGGCAAAAAAAGGUCGGGACGCGCGGCGGCUUGCCAUUACUGCGCCACUAGACCUUGGAAUCCGACGCAUUGAAUCGGCGCGGGUGCCAAGGAGAUGAGGAGGACGAAGGUUCUCGACGAUGCUCAGUCUCGCUGACUCUGCGGGUCCACGCGGGAGGAAUUUGGCGCGGUUUGUUUUCGCGUCAAAUUUCUUUCCCGCGGAGCCCCAGGCGCGGCAUGUUAUCUGUCGGUGCAGCGGCUUUGAGUUGUUUUUCAAAAAACCAAGAGCUUAAGUAAUUCCUCAAUUUAGUGUAGGGUGUUCAGAAAAAGCUGCUGAAGGGAAGGUGGGCGAACCCAUACGAGUGAAAACCUUACUUUAUUAGCCAUCAAUGCGAUUUCUGGCACUUUUCGAUACCUCCGAAGGAUACACUUUAAAGCCAUGCAAGAUGCGCCUUACAAUGCCCCUGACGCAUUGGGUUUGCCUGGAUCAGCCGGCAUCAAUUUUGAUCUAAACCAAAGAAAAAUGAAGUCCUAAGGACACGGAUGAACCAGUUUUUUAAGUGCGGGCCAAAAAAAAGAUGUGUGGACCCUGUUGGGGAGCGGGUGCCCGCUCGUCGGCCAGGGCGAAUGCGAGCAACUAUGAGGAGUUCUUCAACGAUGGCUUCCUCUUGGCAUGGAAUCCCCCGCCUCAUCCCUAUCUCCUUCCACGUAAGCUCACUUGCCAAAUCAUCCUUUAAAUAAAGUUCGUAGGUGGGCAAGAACAAGCAAUCCAUGAAUUUGGGGGCAGAAUUUAUAAAAAAUAAUAUGUUUUUUUAUAAAAUAUUUUAUGAAUUUUAAAAUACCAUGAAAUUUUAAAAAUGUCCGCACUUCAAAACUCUCUUGACAUUUUUGGAAAACACAAAUUUUAAAAAUGGUCAUUAUUAUCGAAACAUCAUGGAUUUUGCAAAAUAUUUUAUGAAUUUUAAAAUACCAUGAAAUUGUAAAAAUGUUCGCACUUCAAAACUCUCUUGAUAUUUUUGGAAAACACAAAUUUUAAAAAUGGUCAUUAUUAUCUAAACAUCAUGGAUUUUGUAAAAUAUUUUAUGAAUUUUAAAAUACCAUGAAAUUUUAAAAAUGUUCGAACUUCAAAUCUCUCUUGAUAUAUUUGGAAAACACAAAUUUUAAAAAUGGUCAUUAUUAUCUAAACAUCAUGGAUUUUGUAAAAUAUUUAUGAAUUUUAAAAUACCAUGAAAUUUUAAAAAUGUUCGAACUUCAAAUCUCUCUUGAUAUAUUUGGAAAACACAAAUUUGAAAAAUGGUCAUUAUUAUCUAAACAUCAUGGAUUUUGUAAAAUGCGUAUUGUUUUUAAAUUUUUUAUGAUUAAAAAUGUUCAUAUAAUAUAAAUUAAAAAAUAAAUCAAGAGAAUGAAAAAAAGGAAGGAAAGAUCGGAAGAAACCUGAUUGAACCUUUUGGGUCGAUCACAAAACUAUGUCUUAUCAGUUCCAUUGAAUAGAUGAAAUUGGGGGCAGAAGCUCCUUAAUUCUUCCCAAAUGCAUGCGCGUACCUGCUAAUUACUACACUAUGGAUACAAAAAUGCCUGACUAUUGUAAUCAUACCCCGGGUCUAGUUGUGUAGCAUAAGCAAACACUCUUCAGUUUUUUCACCAAUGUGGCUCAUGCUGCUGGUAAAUACUACCCCCGUUCCUAAAUAUAAGACACUUUAAAGAUUUCACUAUAAACUACAUAUGGAUGUAUAUAGACAUAUUUUAAAAUAUAGAUUUAUUCGUUUUACUUCGUAUGUAGUCUAUAGUGAAAUCUCUAAAAAGUCUUAUACUUAGGAACGGAAGGAGUAGGAUAUUUGCACGAGAAAUUAACAGAGCACGCAUGUUCCUGCUAAUUUCCAUGUAGAUUGAAAUGUACCAUCCAAUGCAUCAGUUUAUUUGAUAUCCUGUACUUGAUCGGCAUAGCUACUUAUCAAAAGGAAGUCAGAUAUAUAGCCCAUGUUCUAUUGUUGUUCAAUACCUUGUAAUAUUGACUAUCCAUAUACGAUGGUAUUCUUUUUCUUUUGAAACACAACCAAUGCAGUACUGUUGGUCAACAUUACUUUUAUUUAUAAAUGUUAUAUAUGUUACAUUCCAGGUAGCAAGGGGACUAGCAAGAAGGUUAUGCUAAUAGGUAUGGUCAAACUUUUAUCAUUUUCUCAUAUGUAAUGAAUUAAACAUUAGUAGUUCACUACCAGUGAUUUCUAUGUUGAAAUAGUACCUUGAAAAUCAAUCAUCCACGUAAUCAUUGAAAAUUGAUUCUGGAAUUGAAAAUUGAAAACAAGCAACUCUCAUUUGAGAAAUUUAAACUAUUGAUGGUCUUGGAAAUCAAAUAACUGUAUUACAAGUCCAACUUUAGAAAAGGAAGUAACAUCGAUAUGCUUUAAUCUCAGCUGUAAUAUCAGGAGCUGGAACCUUGCUCUUGACAUGUUUUUAUAUGCUGGUAUGGCGCAAAAAACGGGAAAAGACUAUGGCUUCACCUUUGCAAGAAGACUAGCAGCAACACCGAGAAGAAUUACGAGGCCAUGCUAGUAUCGUACGGAUCCCUAGCUCCAAAAAGAUACACGUAUUCAGAGGUAAUGAAGAUAACGUCUUCUCGCAAUGACCAGCUUGGAAAAGGAGGUUAUGGUGUCGUUUUCAAAGGAAAACUACAUGAUGGCCGUCUGGUUGCGGCCAAAUUCUUGCAUGACUGCAAAGGAAACGGGGACGAGUUUGUUAAUGAAGUUAUGAGCAUUGGAAGGACCUCCCAUGUUAAUGUUGUUAGCUUAUAUGGGUUUUGUUUGGAGGGAUCAAAGCGAGCUCUUAUAUAUGAGUACAUGCCCAAUGGUUCCCUGGAUAAGUACAUUUAUUCAGAGCACCCCAAAGAAAUUUUAGGAUGGGAGAGGCUUUAUGCGAUAGCAAUGGGGAUUUCUCGUGGCCUCGAAUACUUGCACUACAGCUGUAAUACACGUAUCGUCCAUUUUGAUAUCAAGCCCCAAAAUAUCCUUCUAGACAUAGAGUUUAACCCAAAGAUUGCUGAUUUUGGUUUAGCUAAAUUGUGUCAUACAAAGGAGAGCAAGCUUUCAAUGACUGGAGCUAGAGGAACAAUUGGAUUCAUCGCCCCAGAAGUUCACUCUCGAACCUUCGGACUGGUUUCAACAAAGUCAGAUGUUUAUAGUUAUGGAAUGAUGCUGCUGGAGAUGGUCGGAGGCAGGAGAAACGUAAAAUCAAUUGUUGCGAAAUCUAGUGAAAAGUAUUUUCCAGACUGGAUUUAUGACCACUUUGCGCAAGAUGAUGGAUUACAAGCAUGUGAAGUGACAAGGGAAAUUGAGGAGAUUGCGAGAAAGAUGACAUUCAUUGGCUUGUGGUGCAUACAAGUAUUACCUGUGCAUCGCCCAACUAUAACAAAAGUUCUAGAGAUGUUUGAGAGAAGCUUAGAUGAUCUGGACAUGCCACCGAAGCAGAACUUCUGUGAACUACUGUAAGAUAUUUCUCCCAAAUUUCUAUUUUAUUUUAUCUCCUUGUGCAAUUAAUAUUAUGCAAUAACUUGACCUGCACGCAUAUGCCUCGUUCCAGAGAAAGUUCAGCUCACAAUAUGGAUGUAGAGAGUGCAAGUUCUACCAGAUCGGAGAAGACAAGCCUUGCGAAUUCAAAAAUCCUACAACGACGGCCAACUCUUUGAGCAAAUAUAAGCCUUCUGAAUCAAAGAAACCUACAUUGAUUGUCAACGCUUAGAGAAGGUGGCAUGUACUAGAGUGCAUUCAGAAAUUAAACAAGGGCAAUGAAACUUGGCAUUGUAGUAGAACAUUUCCAUGUAUGCAGCAUGAGCAUGACCAAGAGUCAACAACAUCUGCAUGCUAGUAACCUAAUUUACCGACAAGUAAUAAAAUUUGUUCUGGUGACUUUUGUGUUCCAAGUUCCACCUGUUAAAAGGCAUUGGAUCUUAUGCCAGAGGCAGAAAACUAUAUAUAUGAAGACAUUAUUUAUUGCAAAUUUCCCUCAAAACAAGAUAAACGCAAUCUAGGUAGCAAGCAAAAUUUCAGAAAUUGCAACGAUUGUAGGUGUAUAUCCAUCUAAAUAAACUCAAUAAACUCGAUCUGAGCAUUGGAUCUAGACACUGUGACCAUAAAUGCCAAUUCGUAACAAACAAAUUAAUCAUGUACGCUGGAGGCGCAUCGAGCAUACAUACGUGGUCUUCUCCUUGGUAGGUGGUAUCGACAGCGUAAACCCAAUCCCCCUCACGCUGAUCAACGUUGCGCCAUAGUCCUUCUCGUUGCCCAGUAGCAGGCCCAAACAAAUAAGGAAGGGAGGAUUUUGCUUACCGAGAGUAAGAUGGCGGGCCGGGUGUGACCUUGGCAGCAACCAGCAGCCCAUUUCGUUUAUUUUCAUCGUGACCAAGAAUCCAAGAUGCACACUCACCUACCCGCCACGCAUGGUCCUACGAGAAGAUGGAAUCCACCUCCUGCGGGCUGUGCUAAGAUCAAUGUCGAUGGGGCAACCUGUCGUAUGCCUCCGUUUGGAGCGGUGAGUGCGGUAUGUCGCGAUGGACAGAGUAAGUAUCUUGGAUCGUCAGCUAUAGUAUUCCAUGGACUAAAUGACCCCAAAAUCUUGGAGACGUUGGCAAUGCCGCGAGGCCCUUGCCUUGGGCAGGGAUCUACUCCUUCGGAAGAUCGCUAUAGCAUCGGAUUUUCUUCAAGCAAUCAAGGAUAUCAACUCGGGAACGAAUGGCAUUACAGCUCCAAUUUUCAGGGAAAUCAAGGAUGGAAGCAACGAUUUCCAAACCAUCUCUUUCAGUCACGAAGGACGUUUGUCGAAUACAGAAGCUCAUAGUUUAGCUAGACAUGCUAUGCAUCUAGGGGAAGGACGCCAUGUUUGGCUCCUACAACCUUUUGAUACUCUUCUUAUAUCUGUAAACCUUACUAUUGAUCAAUAAAGCAAAGCAGUCUUACCCUCUAAAAAAAAAACCUACCGUUGCCAAUCUUUUAGAAAAAAAACUACCGUUGCCAAUCUUUUUUCAAAAAAGUAAAAAAAACAGAAACCUACCGUUGUUAAUCUUAUUUUUUCUUUUGAGAACUAAAAAAAACUACCGUUGCCAAUCCUGCAAUGCCAUCACGCAAAGCAUGACCCUGACCAGGACGCGAAAAUAGCUCAGUUUUUAUACGGAAAGUAAAAUCUAUACCUAAUAAUAAAGCGGCUAUUGCUUCCGUCGGAAAACCCACCACGCCAUUUUUAUGAAAAAAAACCUGUAAUUUUUGUUAUUCAACCCGCGCUUCAAUUUCUCAUUAUGGUGGAAUUAACAAUGGACGGGUUGAUUUUUCAACAAAAUAGGAUAGGACUAACUACAUUAGUUUAUUAGCUUAUUAUUUUAAUAAAUCAAAAUAAUUUAAAAAAGAUUAAAAGCGUGUGGUGUUUUUUUUCUCCCGUUGCAAUGCACGGGCUAUUUUGCUACCUAAUAAUAAAGAGGCUAUCGCUUUCGUCGGAAAAUCCACCGAGGUGUUUUUACAAAAAAGCCCUUACUGUUUAUGACAUUAAACUCGUAGUAUAUAUUAAAUGUUUUUUAAAAUACUCAUAUCUUUUAAACCGUAACUCCAAAUUUAACAUAUUAUAUAUGGAAUUUGAUAUAUGUAGAAUAUUAAAAGAUAUGAGUAUUUAAUGUAGAAUUUAAAUAUGAUAUUAUUUUAUCUGUUAAACGUUUAAUAAAAAUACUAUCUAGGGUGCAAUCUUAAUAAAUAAGUCAUUAUUCGUCUUUCUUUCAUACCGGUACUCAUCCGGGUUGGAGAUGAACACGUCAACAAAAUCAGGAUUAGAGAUGAAACUGAAGGUCACUUGACGGAUUCUUUGUACGUAUUAAAUCUACAUGCAAGCCGUGUUAAAAUAGAAGACCUGUGAAAUUUUGAACUGCAUUUUGAAAUUUUGAACUGCAUUUUUGUAGGAUAAGAUCAUCUUUAUUUGUGUCGUAACUACAAAUUCUCAGAUUAUAGACCAUUUUUUAUAAAUUAAGAGCGUGUGGUAUUUUUUCUCCCGUUGCAACGCACGGGCCCUUUUGCUAGUAUAAGUACAAGAAAGAAAGUGGAGACGUGACACCAUCUGAGUGUAAGAAGUACUAGUCCUUAUUAUGACAGCAGAUCUUGUGAAAACAUUCGAAAAAAAUGUAAAAUUAUUAUGUUCGAAGACUCUUGAGAGGAAUAUUGUUGGAAGAUUAGACUUUUUCUCAAUGAAAAAGCUAACGUCCCGUCGAGUGGACAUUAGAGACUCAUCUACACGACCCGACGAUCGCUGGACCCGCUUCUUCCGUGCGAGAAAGCGCUAGAUACAUUUUUUCCACUCUCGUGCGUGAAAAAUAAAAAAAGAGGCUACCGGCUAAGCUAAGACUCUAAUAUAGUUUUUUCUUUGAAAUUAGACUACUUUUAUAUCUUAUUAAAUGAGUGGAAAAUAAAAACAACAAUCCCUAUUUUGAUGAUUGGACAAAACCAUCUAAUCCAAAUAUCAAUGCAAAUAUCAGUGGGUAAAUUUUGGUGCAAAUAUCAGUGCAUCGUACGCCCCGUAGACCUUAAACUUAGGUACAAACACCAUGUCAACUUCUACCCAAUGAUAAAAGUUAUUGAAGACGCAUCAAUGAUAACUUUCAUAUAAAUAGCAUGGUAAUAUACACACUACGGGCUAGAGAACUUAGUCACAAACGCCGUCAAAAUUUUAACCUACGGGAAAAAGAUUGUUGAAAAUAUAACCGCAGCAAAUUUUGUGCAAAUAUCAAUUCAUUACACACACGUGACUUACGUGAAAAAAACGUUGAUAAAGACAUAUCCGCGAUACCUUCUAUGUUAAUAGCAUGGUGAUAUACGCAUCAAAAAUCUAAGAGCUAACACACAAACAUCAAGAUAACUUUUUGAUAGGAGAAAAAGAUCUUGGAAACAAAUCUUGAUGCCAGCAGUUUUCACACUUGUAGUUUUAUAGCCCAAAAAUCAUGCUAAAGUUGAGAAUUGAAUUCAAUACUUCAAUAUUGAAAUUUUAAUACACUAGCCAACCCAUUCACUAGUUGGCUGAGAAUUAAAAUUUUAAAUAAAAUACCACUAUUUUGACCAUCCGAGCUGAAAAAGUUGUUGAUAUACCCCGGGUAACUUCUGUGCAAAUAAGAUGAUAACUUACGUACAACUAACCUGAUAACUUACAUAUAAAUACAUUGCCAACUUUUCACCUUAGACGAAAUGUUCUAGAAAUAUCUCCUAAUAAUCUAGUGCAAAUAGCAUGGUAAUUUAUAUUACACCAGACAUCGAAUAACUUACAUACAACACACUGAUAACUUUUUUCCAAUGGAAAAACGUUACUCAAACAUGCCCCUAUAACCUUUGUGUAAAUAGCAUGGUCAUUUAUGCAUCGAAGACCUCAUAACUUACAACCACCAUGGUAACUUUGACUUCGAGGAAAAAACAUUGAAACAUAACUCCUUCGAUAAUUUUCAUGUAAAUUUAUGACACUUUUAUACAUCACAGACCUAAGGCGAACUCCACCGCGCGACCCCAAACGGACGUCCGUUUUGCUCGGAUUCUGUCCGUUUGGGUAGGGCGAUGGGGUCAUGUCCGGGCCUGUCCUGUGAUGCGGUGGCCGUGAUCCCAGCGCGUGGUCGCAUCCUUUUGCCCCAUCCUGUCCGCCAGGGCCUAAAAUGCCCAUAUUUUCGUAUCAAAACAAGUUUGCACAUUAACCCAAUUGAAAUUGUCUAUAAAUAAAAUAGUUUUACAACCAAAUCAAAAUUGUCUUGAAUGAACAUAAAAUGAACCAAUACAUCUGUUGGUUGCCAAUAUGUUCCCACAUGUGCUCAACCAAGUCAUUUUGAAGAUUCAAAUGAGUGUGCCAAUCACGCAUCGCACGAUGGAACUGGACAAAUUGUUGAUACUUGACCGGUUCUUGGUGCAGGGGCUCAACAUUUUCACCUUGAUAAUCAAAUCCUUGGUCGAAGAUACUGUCAUCACGCUCGUCCUCGACGAUCAUGUUGUGCAUGAUCACACAAGCAGUCAUCACCUCCUAAAGCUUCCUUUCAUCCCAUAACAGUGCAGGGUUUCAGAUGAUACCCCAUCGGGAUUGAAGCAGACCAAAAGCACGUUCCACAUCCUUUCUAGCACUCUCUUGCAUUCGGGCAAAUUUCUUUCUCUUCUCAUCUUGGGGAUCCGAGAUUGUCUUCACAAAAGUUGACCACUGAGGAUAUAUACCAUCAGCUAGAUAGCAUCCCUUGUUGUAUUGGUGGCCGUUGAUCUCAAAGUUGACAGGGGGGAGUGGCCUUCUGCAAGCCUUGCGAAGACUGAAGAACGCUGCAGCACGUUGAUAUCAUUGUGGGAACCUGCCAUGCCGAAGAAAGAAUGCCAUAUCCAAAGAUACUGCGAAGCCACCGCUUCUAAUAUGACAGUGCACGCUUUGACAUGCCCCUUGUACUGACCCUACCAAGCAAAUGGACAGUUCUUCCACUCCCAAUGCAUACAAACUGUGCCGCCAAGCAUGCCUGGAAAGCCUCUAGCUGCGUUGGUCGCCAACACUCUCUCUGUAUCAGCGGCAUUUGGCGGCCUCAAGUACUCAGGGCCAAACACCUCGAUCACAGCCUGCCCAAACUACGGCGAAAGCGCGGGUGUCGUGGCGGCCAUGUCGAGACGGGGUUUGCUAUGGACGGCCGGGGGAUGAGGUGGCCGGAGAAUAGUGGCGGCACCGUCGGCGGGGCGGGGCGGGAGAGGGGGUGGAGGCGUUGGAAUUUCUAGGAGUACUUGUUUCCCCGACACGCGGGCCACGGGCGGACAAGGGCGUGCGGCGAGCGCGUCCGCGCGAUGUCCGUUUCCCCCUAACUCGGCGCAAGUUUGGGCCGGGGAUGGGUCGAAAACGGACGAAAUCCAGACAUUUGUUCGUUUGGGUCCGCGCGUUAGGCCGCGGUAUUCGUCCGUUCUAUCCCAAACGGACGCGCACGGACAAGAUGGGGUCGCAUGGUGGAGUUGGCCUAAUAUCUUACGUUUAAACACAAUUGUAUCUUUCAUCCAAGGGGAAUUUUUUUUUAAACAUAUUUCACCGUUAAUUUUUGUGUCAAAUUAUCAUACUGCCCCAUACUUUAACCUUAUCGUACUAUAGUUAUCAGCCUUAUCAUGGUAUAGUUAUCAUGUUGCUCAUACUAUAUUUAUAAUGCUGCUCAUGCCAAAGUUAUCAAGCCAAUCUUUAUUAUUUUUUGAUAUGGCAUAAAUAAGAAAGGUUCAAAUAACAUUGCUUAUCUACAAUAGACAACAACAAAAGGUGGCUAAGUUGGCUAUUUGGCUCAAUAGCUAUUGCUUAGACGUGGGUUCGAAUCCUCUUUCAAGCACUUUUAUUUUCUUUUCUUGUUAUGCAACGAAAAAUAAGAAAGAACCACUAGUGAUUCACUACGGUUUUUGAAAGAAGGAAAAAAACUCAAUGCAACCGAGUAUGGGAUGAUAGCGAUCAGAUAGGAACGAGUCGUGUGGAUCUGUCGCUAACUUUCGAUCUACUGAAAGAUUAAAAUUUGAAUUUAAACUCAAAUUCAUUUAGAAAAAACAGAAAAUGAUGCGUCCUUAUUAUGCAGAGGAUGGUCGCAUGAUCAUUGUGUUUAUAUCCACUUGAUGCUUAAUUUUGAGUUAAUAAAUUCCAUCCUUUGUCCAAAACAACCUAGCCUCUCUCUUUAUGUUAUCAAGUACAAUCGCAUCCAAAGAUGUAAAAUUGCAUAACAAAUAUGGUAGCAUUUCCUUCGUUCCAAAUCUCCAAAAACAUAAGCAUAAGAAGUCAAGCGAAGCCCUUUUUUGGUCGGAAAUUGGUGUUGACCGGCCAUUUCAUCCCACCAAGUGUGGGUGUCGGUGAAAAGUUUCCAAUUUCUGGGUCGGGGUCAUCUCCUCCAAGGCAAUCUUUGAUCAUGCACCAAAUCCUCUUUAUCUACUCGCACUUGCCAGAGGCAAACAACUAUCAAGGAAAAGAAGAAAAAGAAGGUGGAUUGAUGUGCCGACCGACCUCAAGCUUGGUGGCCUUGAUAUGUUGCACCUCGACACAUUGGUUUUGACGAGUUUUGUCUUCGGUGACAAUGGAAAAGAAAGUGAGUUGCCACUAUGGACCAUGAAAGGAAUAAAUUUUCCUGAUAAGUUUUGUGUUCCAAAUUUCAAGGGCUAAGAGGUAGUGGAUCGUAUGACAGAGGCGGAAAGCUACCAAGACCUUCAAGACUAUAAAUUUCUGCCAAAAUUCAAUAAGGCAACUUAGGCUCUAACUACGUGCCCUAACAUUUCACAAUCUCAAUGCAUAAAGUGUAUUCAUCUAAAUAUUGUAAUGAUAUGUUGUCAUUUGUUGGAAGCAAUAUAAUCGUGGAAGUGGAAGGCGCAAUCCUUGUAUCCACUCAAGGCUCAAGAAAAUCGUGUUACACUUUUCCUUCCACCAGCACCGUACUUGACGCAUUACUCCCGCUCUGCUGGCAAACCGAGGAUUUGCGUCGCUCCAAGACCGUAUGCAACAUAGCUUCCACGGAGACUCAACCGUCGACGAGACGACCACCGAUGCCGAGCUGGUCCAAAGGGGUGCAGGGUAGCAAGCCUUCUCUAUGUGGGUCACGAUGGCAGAACCGCACGCUGGAGCGGCGCCAACAUGCGGAAUGAGCGGCAUUACCGGUGGGUCAGGAGUGGCGUAAGGACAACUCUAAGGCAUGACCCGAAAUGAACAUUUGUUUUGUCCGGAUUUCGGGCAUUUGGGUAGGACAAUGGGCGACGUUCAUCCUCAUUUGUGUGUGCGCUGGCAAUGCACACCGAGCGCACGGACGCAUCUCGGUCGCGUCUUGUCUGAGUCGAAUGAAAAAAUCACAAAUUUGAAACGCAAACGUAGAUCCAUGCCAGCGAUCCUAGUUCAUGCCAGCAAUAGAGCCAAUGACCAGCAAGCAAACGUGAGCCAGCAACAAAGCCAGCAGCCGGCAUACUAGCCAGCCCUCCAAAAGAACAAGAUUUGCAUGCUAGCAACAAAGCCAGCGCCGACACACUAACCAUCCUUAAAAAAGAACGACCAUAGUGGUUGCACGACCGAGGCCUCCUAAGUCUAUACCAUCUUAGUCGAACAUCUCAUUUUACCGGUUCGCGAACCAACUCUUUCUUCUGGGGGACAUGUUUGUCAAGUACACAUUCAUGAUCUCAAGAGCCACCUCUUUUGCUUUGCUGUCGGCAAUGGUGGCCACAAUCGUGAGCAUCUUCGCUUGGGCAGCCUCCUUCAUGUCAAGUUUCCUCCUCUUGGCGGCCUCCUCUAUUACAAGCUUCUCCAUUUAGAGCUCCAAGUAUAUUUUCAUGUGGUCCUCCUUUCCUUUCCUCCUCCUCUCCCCUCACACUUUUUUUUGAGUCAUCAUGACUUGUAAAGUUUCUUGCAAGGCGAAGGAUGCCGCAUCACACUUCUCGUCUAUCUUCAAACUGGUUUUGCCCUUAGACCUCUUGGGCAUAACUUCUUCAUUCCCAGCCGCGGACGCCUUCCCUUUCUUCUUCUUCUUCUUUUUAUUCUUCAUUAGAGCGGCAUAUUGAUAUCUGAACUUGAGACAAUCUUUGAUGACUGACCAAUAAUGGGUGAGAGUGAACGAUUUGUUCUUGUGGCGGGCCUUAAAGGCCUCCAAAGAUUGGAAUGCCUACACAAUCAAAAACACGACCACAAGCAAAAUUACACAUAAUGGAAACAUGUUCAUGGCAAGAAAAUGCACAAUAGGAGAGGCCAUACUGUCGGGGUGUAAGGGUGGAAUUCACAGUUGAGUGCCUGUGCAAUAGAUGCUUAUUUUCCACGUAUGCAUAACCUAGAGUAAUGUGGUAAUGUGUGGAACAAUGUGUAUCUUGCUAUUCGAGUUAUAUAUUCUUUUGGAUAAAUGUAUUGUUGUAGGUCCGUUGACGAAAAGUAUUGGUCCAAGUUAGCAAAAUCAGGAACUUGGAUGCGUCAACAACGCACACCAAGACAAGAUUCAAAUAUAUCUUAUCCAUGAAUCUAGUAGCAUAUAAAAUCAGCAGAUUAUAGUAUUGUUUUACAGGCGUAACAACCACCAAAAGAGCACUAACAACAGUAGCUCUUCACGGUCAUUCGAGCAAACACCACUGCCCUUUUCCAUCAAGCGCAUACAACCGCGCCGACGAUCACCCCAGGCAGGUUUUGAGUUUCUCUCCGCUGCCGAGCUGAGAGUUUGCGCCGUUCCGUAGGAACAACCCGGCUGUGCUUUUGCAUUUCUCAUCUAACCACCACCGACGAAGAGAUACCCUCGCCUGCGCCCGUCGGAGGGGGUUGGGUUGAAGCUAGUGCUUGCUUAGCGGCAGUACUAUUGUUUGGUUCCACAAUCAAUAUGUAUAAAAAUAUCAGUGGCGGAUGGUAGUAGGGACCCGUCACUCGAUAACUCAAAUAAGGACAUAUACAAUGGUUGAUAAGAUGGUUCUAUCGUAAAUAUUGCAUGUAAUUUAGAGAUAACAAAAAAAUAAAUCUUACAAUGAUUCACCUCUUAACUUUAGUUUUUUUUUAUCUUCAAUAACUAGCAUUUUCUAAAAAUGGUAAGACAUAUAUACCUCCUGUUCUCUUCUAAAUAAUAGAAGACAAAUCUUUUUUUAUGAAUUCUUUCUCCCCUACCUCAUUAUUUAUCCUACAUGACAUCAUUAAGAUAACAUUAUUGUACAUACCCUAGUAGUGGCGGCCGAAAAAUACAUCCGUCAUUUUUAUUUUUGGACAAAUUUACUGCUGGACUGCAAAUACCAGUAGUGACGGGUGCUUAUCGAUUUCGUUUUCAGGCAGCAUCACCGCGGCCCUUUGUAUUUGGCGCAGAUCGCUUAAAAAAACCCAGAUAAAGGAAAAGAAAAGGGUGGCCGGCACUGGGGACCCACGAGAUCCAUUCCCCUCCCCACGAAACCUUCUUCCUGUCUCUCUCGAUCCCGUCACUCCUCCUCACCGCCGCCAUGAAAGUCGCUGAUUCCCUUCACUACUUCAACCCUCCUUGCCAGAUCCGUCGUUUGUCGCCCCUGUCACCCACCUGUGACCCCUCCCCGUGCCUAGGGUUUUGGAUGGACUUCGCGUCGGACGUCGGCGAGACACCGACGACCUUCGCUGGUCCUCUCCAUCGCCUACCACGGCAUCUCGCUCGUCCACGAGCCUGGCGGUGGUUGAGUAGUGGUACGUCAUGGCGGAUAUGGAUAUGGCUCCGAGGUGAAUCUCUUGUGUUUUCUUAAUAUACUUUUACCCCGUAUAUGUCAUACUAUUUGAAUUGUUUAUAAGCCAUUGUUAAUGCGUUGGAAACCCUUGAGCGGAUUUAUUUUUAGAUCCGUAUAUGUUUGUCUGCUCUAGUGCACCCCGUCCAAUAGCACUCUAGACUAGCUUAUGUGCAAGAAAUAUGACAUCGAUCGGUUGGGGUCAUUGCUAUGGCGAUAGCACUCUACAUUUCUUUCAUAAAUUUCUUCAGUUACAUCUUCCUUGGAAAAUUCAAGACAGAGUUCUACACCAAUGAUUUUUUCUAGAAGAAAGAAUGAAAAAAGCACAUAAAAUGAUUGCACUUAUACAAUGACGGAGGCAGAAAUAUUUUUUAGGUCUGGCCAGAUUUAUGAAGAAGAAAACAUGCAUGUAUAAUGCAAUUAUGCAAGCUAACUAGAAUAUUAGAAAUUUACUUUGUGUUUAGCAAGUACAACCAAAAUCCAAAACUAAUUGAUUAAUUUCAACAAUAAGGAAACCCUGGAAUUGGAGCUUAUUUAGGCAACGAAAAUAAUUUUUUCUUCAAAGAUUCGUAGUUCAGUUUCAAUUCUAAAUUAUCUUCAAAUAUUUAAUUGCACUUCUUUUGUAUUAUUUUGUGACCUCUUGCCCUUGCGUCCUUGCCUGGCCCAAUUCAAUGGCCGGUUGCCGCCGCUCUCUGCUUGCUGCGUCCGCGACCUGCUCGAUGCCGUCUCCGUGUACAAUUAGGUCUUCACAUGAAUUUCCACUUUGCAGGAUUUUUUAACCAACGAACAGACUAGUUGGCCGUCUAGAUAGUGUGUUCGUGUUUUUUUAGUAUAAAGUGUAUUCUUGUUUUGAUUCGUCCGUUGAGUGUAAUCACAAGACGGAUGCAAGAGGGCCACCAACAAGUUAUCAAUUAAUUAAAUUUUACAAAUACGAGUACUGUACAUAUACUAGUAGGUUUAUUGACAGAAACUUUUAGGUAUGGCAGCCGCCAAGUGUAUUCUUGUAUUAAUUAAGUACAUGAUGUUACAGUAAGUGUAUUCUUGUAUUAAUUAAGUACAUGAUGUUACAUUUCUAACACACUCAAAAGCAAACACAAACCGGACAUUCAUAAUCUAUGAGAGUAUCAAUUACUUGUGAUUUUAAGUAAGUACAAGGACCUAUAUGCAAAAGUACACAAGGCUACAUUUCUAACAUACCCAAAAGGAAAAGCAAACCGGAUAUUCAUAAUCUAUUGAAAUUUAUUCUCCCAAAUCGAUAUAUAAUUUGUGUAUGUUUUAGUUUAUAUAAAUCAGAUUUAAAUUAAUCAUAUUUUAAGUUCAUUUUUUUUUAAAUAUGAACUAAAAAAACAGAUAAUAUUUAUGCAUACGGCUUGGUCGUCUGAUAGUUAUGCCACGUGACAUUUGCUGGACAAUAAAUAAUAUAUGUAUGCCGAUGGCCGACCAUUAGCUAGGACCGUCGGCAAAGUUUGAACGGUGUCAACCUGCCUUUCUAUCACCGGGCCACCGGGUCCACCUGUAUGCCGACAGUUGUUGUAGGCAUAGACGUAGGUAUGCCAAUGACAUUUAUAUACCGAUGGACUUUUGUGCACCACCGGCAUAUCUCCAUGUAUGCUGACGGAUCAAGUCGGUAUAGUUUUGGCCUAAGGCAUAUUAAAUUAUUCUUCUAGAAAGUUUGUAUUUGAAUAUCUAAAAGCUUUUAUAUUUAGGAAUGGGAGUACAAAAAGACUAUAUGAUAUGCCCGGCAGCUCACGGCACUUAGACUAUUCAAGAUAUAUCUGAAAAGUCCUGCACCCUCUUGAUCAGCAGCCACUCAUUUUUUUUCUUUUUCGUUUUUUAUAGACAUGAGCAGCCACUCAUAAUUUUGUCCAUCAUCGUCUUUCCUUGCCCCGUCAAUUGGGAUACUAUUGGAGUUCCCAAUAGCCAAUACCGUUGGCCCCAGCAUAUGCCAUUCAUUCUUACCCAGAUUAUUCUCUCACAGCACAUGCCUAAACACCUAGUCAGUUUGCUCCCUUCUGUUUGUUGCUGACACAUAUUUCAAGGUUCAUUCCACGAUGGCUAUGGCCUGCUUGUCCUCGUUCUUCGUUGGGCUGUGGUGGCUGCCACUGAUGAUGCUCGUGGUGGCCGGGCAGGAGCGGUGGGGAGACUGCUCGGACCAGAAGUGCGGCAACGUCAACAUCUCCGAGCCCUUCUGGCUGUACGACCAAAAUACGGGAAGAUCAUGCAGUUCUGAUCCCUACCCGGACUUCGAUGUCGCUUGUACCAACAACAGUUACCCGUCUCUGCGGAGCACCAUACCCUUCAACAAGGGCUUCAAAAUCCUCAACAUCUCCUACGAGGAGCGCAGCUUCUACGCGGUUGAUCUGGGCAAGCUCAACGUGCUGCAGGCCCGCAACAGCUGCCUUACCCCGUUCUACAACACCUCAGUCAAGCUCACCCGGCCGUUUAGGAUCGCCUCCGUCAACCUGAACCUCGUCCUGUACAACUGCACGGAGAAGGACGGAGCGGCGGCCGCGGCACGUCGGCACAGAGAGCUGGUGCAGACGAACGUGAGCUGCGAGAACCAGUGGGUGGUGUUUGCCCGCGCGGGAGUACCCCACGACGCGACAGGGAACUACAGCAAUUACGCUCUGAAGGGCUGCCCCGCCGUCGUGGUGCCGGUGCCGAGCUCGUCGGCCAGGGCGAACGCGAGCGACUACGAGCAGCUCUUCAACGAUGGCUUCCUCUUGACAUGGAAUCCCCCGUCUCAGCACCCUCCCCUUCCAAGUAAGUUCACUCGUCAAAUCACCACUUCUCUUUGCUUUGAAGUAGUUAACUAAUGCUCAACCACGAAUAGUUACUGGAAUUCAUGAUUUCCAUUACUUUAAUAACUUAUUAUGUCAAGAAAGCCGAAACUUAAAACAUGCUUUAUAAAUUAUUAAAUAUAUGACCUUUUAAAAAAUUCACUAUAGGUCAUAUACAGAGCAAAAUAAGUGAAUCUAUACUUUAAAAUAUGAUUACAUAUAUCCGUAUAUAGUUCAUAGUGAAAUCUGUAAAAGGUUUUAUAUUUAAAAACGGAUGGAGUGAUAUUGAAGGUGUACCAGGAAGAAAGUUUACGAGUCUGAUUUCUGUUCACUGGACGAUACGGACACUGUUAUUAGUCAAGUAGACCCAUCCAAUUAACUCAACUAUGGUCGACAAGAGCGCGCACUAGCCGGCACUGCCACUGAUCGACAUGAUGAGCCUGACCGAGACAGGGGAUGGAAUUCGCGUGUGUGGACGAUGGUUGCCCAGCCACAAAGCAGUCAAAUAUUCCUGCACACACGACUCGGUCAUUGGCUCCCCCACUCCUCGUAUAAGGUCCUGUUUGGAUUCAUAGUUUAGAGUUAGUUUAAGAGCAUGGUUAAUAGUAUAGCCAACUGCUGGCCAUAAGCCAUCUUAUAACCCACCUUAUAGCUAGCUUGUACAAUAGUUAGCUAUAAAAGAGUACUACUUUUAUCAUAUAUGGCCCACCUUUCAUUCUCACAAAGCACCUAGGAGCACGUGUUAGAGCUGGCUCUUCACGAAGAGCCCGCUUCCCUUCUCUCUCCUCUUCUUUCUCAUCCAAUUCAGAAAAAUAUAGUAUUUUAAUCCUUACAGCCUGCUGACUGUACCUUAUUGUACUUCCUCUAAGCUAGUUGGGGUUCAACUAGCCCUAAAUUAUUCAAAUAUAAGGGUUAGAUUGGAGCUAGUUGCAUCUAACCCACUUAAAAAAACCUAUCCCACUCAAAAGGUGCUAAUUGAAGCUAGUUCUCAUGUGAUUCAUUAAAAAACUAUUUUUCUCUCUCUUUCACCAGCCAAGAGAUGCUAAUUGGAGCUAGUUCUUAUGGGGUCCAUUAAAAUUUUACUUUUCUCUUUCCAUAAAGUACAUCUAUUGUCAAUCUAACCCUUCCAUCCAAACACCUAUCUGGCUAGAGUUAGUUUAGGGUUAGUCAUGAGCUAGAAACUAACUCUAACCACUAGCUAAGCUAGAGUAUCCAAACAGGGCCAUAGAUGUGCAGUUUAUGGACUUGAUGCCAAAAAAAAUUUCGACCAAAGUCCUCCUCGAUGUUCCCAUGGCUUGGGACGCCUUGCCACUUCCUAUCCUUCCUCAUCAUUUGCACGAGGCCAACACCAUCGUUUGCGGCAGCCUGUGAACCCGAGCGAUGCGGCAACGUGGGUGUCUCAGUCCCGUUCGGGGUAGUCUCGGGGUCUGAUGAGAAGCGGUGCGCCCAGAUCGGAUUCCAGGUGACCUGCACGGACGGCAUGCCGUAUCUCGGUUACUACCAGAGCAAAUACUGGCUUCAGAACCUCGACAUCUUCUACAACAACAGUUCCUUGCUCGUCUCCGACCUCCACAAGUUCGGAGACUUCAAUGUCCCGAAGGAGAAAGGCUGCCAUGUCCCAAAAGCCAACACCACCACGAAAAUCGGGCAUCAGUUCUCGAUCAGCUCCCUGAACCAGAACCUCGUUUUCUAUAACUGCACGAGGGCACCAGCGGCCCGAGCGGGGUUGGUGGACACGAUGUGCCGGAACAACACGUUUGUCCGUGCCGGAGGGCGUUACAAUGCUAGGGGCGUGAUUGCCGGCAGCUACGCUUUACCUGGCUGCAAUGUCACCACCGUGUCGGUGCUCGGGGUGACUGAGAAGGUGAAUGCCAGCAACUACCUGGAGCUCAUCAGCGAUGGCUUCCUCCUGAUGUGGCAGCCGCCAAGUGUUGAUAAUGGUAAGCUCACUUAUCCUCGUCAGUCGUCAAAUACUUCCUCUGUAUAAAAAUAAUUAUAGUUGAGAAGAACCAGACUAGUUCUCUCCAACUAUAAUUAUUUAAUAAUGCAGGGAGUACUUCUCAGCAGCAACUAGGCGUCGGACACUAAAUGAGUGUCCAGGAUUGGUGAAGCGGCUCCUCUGCUGUGCGUUGUGUGCCGUUGGGCUACUGAUAUGUGGGUUAUUGAUGGGCAUAUAUGUCAGUGGUGGAACGCAGGGAUGUCGAACGUUAGAGGAUCCUCUUUCUAGGAUUGGACACUUCGACGCAACAAUUUUUCCCACUUAGAUGAUCAAAAUCACCUAUCGUCGGCGUAUAAUCCCCGGUUUCAAACAAACUGGAGCAUAGUUGAAGAUUUGAUUAGAAACGACAACACAUUUAAAAUGACUACUAAGAUAUGGAUUCCCCUAACAAAAAMGGUGAGACAUGCGAGACCUGUGACCGCCGGUCAUUGCUUGUGGCAAUAUGGCAGCGUGAUUGGGCAGGCCCUACCGAGGCAUGAGGAACUGGCCCACCUGCGUCUCUAGCAUCAGCCAGUAGUCAAAAUGGCAUUUUUCCCCAUGGAGCCGGGUACCCUUCGGGAUUUACCCGCUAAGAAACCGUGAUGGGGUUCAAAAUCCCCCUAUAGGUAUAACGGGGCGGGUACCUGCGAAGCAAGCGGGGCGGGGAUGGGGAUAAAAUUGGCUCCGUGGAGCCUCCAUGGAUACCCGGGACCCCACAUGUGUCAAAUUCCUAGCAGGAAUGGGCAUUAGCGGGGAUCGGGGCAGGGACGGUGGGGUGCCCCCCGGUGAUCCCGGUCCCCGUUACCAUUUUGAGCGAGUAGUGGUACUUCAACGUGAUCACGGAGUUCGCGUGCCUAUGCCCCGAUGGCAUGUUGCGGUUACAUGUGCUUGUAAGACUCCAAAUUAAUUUCGUCAAAAUAUAAAUUACAGGACAUGGAAGUAAACUAGUGAAAAAUAGCGAUAGUUAUCUCCCAUGAUCAAUAGUACACUUGGUCAAGCUUUAGUCCACAGGCAGCGGCCACAUCGUGUCCCACCCCAUGUGGCUGACAGAAUCUUAUACCUCAUUUUCGUUCAACUGGAUAAUUGUCUCUUAUGAAAGCCCCAUCUGCUGCUGAAUAAUCAACCCGUUGAUUUACGCAAGAAUCUUUUGCUCACUUAUAGAGCGUGUACAGACACAAUGUAUAAAUAGUGUCCCUAAACGCCCGUAGACUGGUCAGGUCAUUGUUUAGGCGUGUCAGUUUAAACCCCUUAUAUUUGCAUGCAACUACCCACACCACCUAUUUUGACCUUUUAUUUUUUCAAACAUUUCAACGAGCACCGUGUGGGCGGCACCACCAGAGCACGAUGAAGGCACGCAAGCCAGCGCCUCGCCCGGUGACCAUGCCCCUGCCCCUGCCCCGCGCCGCACCAGGGCACACACGCCUACCCGCGCCACACGGCGCCCACGACCCACGCCCGCACGCCUGCUUCCGCCACGCACCUUGCGUCCGUGCCCGCGACGAUCCUGACAGGCAUGAGGCGUGCGAGGUCGUCGGGUGCCUCCCUCGAUGUGUGGCUGCCGGUUGUAGUUAGGCGGGCCGUGUGAGACUAGUAGUAGUAUGACAGAUUCUGCGUGAAACAAGGCUUGCAACUCCUUAUUACAUCAUCUAGAGUAGUUUGCAAGAGCAAGCAGAUGGAUCCGUUUCACGUCUCUGCAGCUGCCAUGUUCUGCUCAGCCAUGCUUCUGCUCAUCCUCCUCUCUGGCACCACCACAAGCGCCCGAAACGCCACAAGACCGUCGUUGUCCUCCACGUCCUGCGAGCCGGCGACGUGCGGUGGCCUGCGCAUCGCAUACCCGUUCUGGCUCGACGGCACCCACCCGCCGGAGUGCGGCUACCGAGCCUUCCAGGUCAUGUGCGACCGCGACGGCACGGCGUCCCUCAAGAACUCCAUCUGGAGGUACCAGAUCCUGGAGAUCUCUUAGGAAGACAGCACCUUCAGGGUCGCCAACUGGGAUAUCUCGGACGGCACCUGCGACAUCGAGGUCCACCUGAACAUCUCCUCCGACCUCGGCCUCGCGCCCUUCAGCAUCAGCCCCACCAACCAGGAGCUCUUCUUCCUCUACAACUGCAACGACCUGCACGCGCGGCCGGCGCCGCCUACGUGGGCGCCCGUGAACUGCACCAAGGGGUUGAACUCGUUCGCGUUGCUCGCCGGCGGGUACAUGCCCGACGACAAAUGGGCACCGGUGCCUGGGAACUGCACGGUGUCCAUGAUGCCAGUGCUGGGGUACCCCGGGGCGACCGGGGCGGACUACUGGCGGCUGACGAAGGCCGGGUUUCUACUUGAUUAUUACACGGCCGGCAACUGCACGGCGUGCGAGGAGACCGGUGGACGUUGCCGGAUUAACACCCACUACGAUAUCUUCGAGUGCCACUGCACUGAUGACGUGUCGAAGGUCAUCUGUGGUGAGCUUCACAAGUACCAUAGUCGUUACUCUUAUCAUAGUGAUUUAUAGCAAAAAAGAACACAUCAUGAGUCUACCUGCUAAUUACUCCUUCUGUCCUAAAAUAAGUGGAGCGAUUUUAGCUGUUGCAUCGACAAGGCCCUCCUCAUAAAAUAAGUGGAUCCAACAGAGUACGUGAAAUCGAGCUUCACAUGGACAUCUCCUCUGAUCUUGCCCUCCUCAUCAGCGCUGCCAAGUGCCAACCAUGAGCUCUUCUUCCUCCACAGCGGCGCCCUGCAUGCGCUGCCGCCGGCGCCUCCGCUUACAUGGGCACCCAGGAACCACGCUAUCGGGGCAUACAAACAGAAGGACAUUUGACUGAUGCAGGGAACUGUACGUCGCUGAUGAUGUCAGUGCUGGGGUACGAGGGGGCGGCUGAUGUAGUUAGGUUUGUCCUUGAGUGCAUGGCCAGCGGAUGCAAGGUUGGCAUGGAGAAUUUUGCCAGACCACUUUCGUUUGAUCGUAAAAAAGGAUACACCACUUCAGUUCUGUAGAUUAUAAGUAGCCUUUGACUUUGGCGCACUAAGUAGAGGGGAUUUACAGGAAAAAUAAACACAACAUGCACAUACCUACAAGUUUUAAAAGGGUUCCUUUUAUUUCCUACUGGUAUGGCUUUUGUGCUGUCCAUUUUACUCUGUUUUUCAGUUAGGCCUCCUUUGGUUAAGGAGGAUUGGGGAGGUUUUGAGAGGAAAAUCCCCGGAAGGGCCAGAAACCCCACAGAUCCUCGGGCGCCCAUUUGGUAGGAGCGGUUUGCUUAGCCCAAUCCCCUCCGUUCCCCUUCAAUCCCUUCCUAUCCAUGUGUUUCAAAACCCUCCUCGAGGGACUAGUGGAAGCAAAGCCCCGGAGAUUUGAGAGGAUUGGGUGGAACAAAGGGAUUCACCCAAUCCCCUGAAAUCCCUCCCUCUCAAAACCUCCUCAAUCCCCCUAACCAAACGAGGCCUUAGGGGGGUAUGAUCGUUGUUUUAAGGUGUUGUGUAGCAGUAUUUUAAGCUGCUGUGUCUAAGUCGCAGCGUUGAUUAUGGCGGAAGGAAAAGGUUUGGGUUGAGGUUGUAAUACCAGAUUGAACCUUUUGGGUCGAUCACAGAACUAUGUCUUGUCAGUUCCAUUUAUGGAAUUGGGGACAGAAGCUCCUUAAUUCUCAGGAAAUGCAUGCACGUACCUGCUAAUUACUACACUAUGGAUAUGAAUAUGCCUGACUAGUAUAAACUCAACCGAACGCUUGCCGCGGGCAUAGUUCUGUAGAAUGAGCAAACACUCUUCAGUUUUUCCACACUGUGUCUCAUGCUGCUGGUAAAUAGGAUACUCGCAGGAAAAAAUAACAGUGCACGCAUGUUCCUGCUAAUUUCCAUGUAGAUUGAAAUGUACCAUCCAAUGUAUAUCAGUUUAUGUGAUCUCUCAUAUUGGCUACUGAAUUUACACAGGCCUACAAUUUGUCCAUCCUGUAUUUGGUCCCUCAUAUUAGCUACUAUAUCAAAAGGAAAUCAGAUACAUAACCCAUGUUCUAUUGUUCUUCACUAUCUUGCAAUUUAUUUUUCUUUCGGGCACAAUACUGAUGAUCCAUAUACGAUGUUAUUCUUUUUCUUUUGAAAGACAACCAAUGCAGUACCGUUGGUCAACAUUACUUUUACUAAUAAAUGUUAUAUAUGUUAUAUUCCAGGUAGCAACCGGACUAGCAAGAAGAUUACGCUAAUAGGUAUGGUCAAACUUUUAUCAAUUACUAAAAUGUAAUGAAUUAAAUAUUAUUAGUUCACUACCAGUGAUUUCUAUGUUGAAAUGGUACCUUAAAAUAAAUCAUCCAUGUAAUCAUUGAAAAUUGAUUCUGGGAUUAAAAAUUGAAAACAAGCUUCUCUCACUUGAGAAAUUUAAACUAUUGAUGGUCUUGGAAAUCAAAUCACUGUAUUACAAGUCGUACGCUAGAAAGAAAGUAACAUUGAUCUGUUUUAAUCUCAGUUGUAACAUCAGCGGCUGGAGCCUUGCUCUUUACAUGUAUUUAUGUCCUGUUAUGGCGCAAAAAAGGGAAAAGACUAUGGCUUCACCUUUGCAAGAAGACUAGCAGCAACACCGAGAAGAAUUAUGAGGCCAUGUUAGUAUCGUACGGAUCCCUAGCUCCAAAAAGAUACAUGUAUUCAGAGGUAAUGAAGAUAACAUCUUCUCGCAACGAUCAGCUUGGAAAAGGUGGUUACGGUGUGGUUUUUAAAGGAAGACUACACGAUGAUCGUCUGGUUGCUGUGAAAUUCUUGCAUGACUGCAAAGGAAAUGGAGACGAGUUUGUGAAUGAAGUUAUGAGCAUUGGGAGGACCUCUCAUGUUAAUGUUGUUAGCUUAUAUGGGUUUUGUUUGGAGGGAUCAAAGCGAGCUCUUAUAUAUGAGUACAUGCCCAACGGUUCCUUGGAUAAGUACAUUUAUUCAGAGCACCCGAAAGAAAUUUUAGGAUGGGAGAGGCUUUAUGUGAUAGCAAUCGGGAUUGCUCGUGGCCUGGAAUACUUGCACCAUAGCUGUAAUACUCGUAUCGUCCAUUUUGAUAUCAAGCCCCAAAAUAUCCUUCUAGAUAAAGAUUUCAGCCCAAAGAUUGCUGAUUUUGGUCUAGCUAAGCUGUGUCAUACGAAGGAGAGCAAGCUUUCAAUGACUGGAGCUAGAGGAACAAUUGGAUUCAUCGCCCCAGAAGUUCACUCUCGAACCUUCGGGGUGGUUUCAACAAAGUCGGAUGUUUAUAGUUAUGGAAUGAUGCUGCUGGAGAUGGUUGGGGGUAGGAGAAACGUAAAAUCAAUUGUUGCGAAAUCCAGCGAAAAGUAUUUUCCAGACUGGAUUUAUGAUCACUUUGAGCAAGAUGAUGGAUUACAAGCAUGUGAAGUCACAAGAGAAAUUGAGGAAAUCGCAAGAAAGAUGACCAUGAUUGGCUUAUGGUGCGUACAAAUACUGCCUGCAUAUCGCCCUACCAUAACCAAAGUUCUAGAAAUGUUCGAGAGAAGCACAGAUGACAUGGACAUGCCACCCAAGCAAAACUUCUCUGGGUUGCUGUAAGAUAUUUCUCCCAUAUUUUUCACAUUGUUUUUCUAUGCGACUAUUAUUAUGCAAUAACUUAAUCUAUGCGCUUAUCUCUCAUUCCAGUGCAAAUUCAGCUCACAAUAUGGAUGUACAAAGUUCUUCUACCAGACCUGAGGAGAUCAGCCUUGUGCACUAAAAUAUCCUACAACGAUUGCCAACGCUGUGAGCAGAUGAGCGAUGUGAAUACCAACAACGGACACUCAUCUCCAACUCUUUGAGAAGGUGCUAUAUACUAGAGUAAAUUUAGAACUUGAACAAGCGCAACAGAAUUCGGCAUUGUAGUAGAACUGUAGAACAUAUUGCAUGUAUGCAUUGCCUAGAGCAGAGAGCAUCCGCAUGCCAGUGUCCUAAGUUACGAACCGCACAAGGAAUAAAAUUUAUUCCAAUGAGUUGUGUGUUCCAACUCCUAAAAGGCAUCGGAGGCAGACAUACCAACGCCUCCUUGACUGUAAAUUUUCCCCAAAACUGAAUAUACGCGAUUUGCGCUCUGACUACAGCCCCUAGAAUUUCAGAAUCUGUAUUCAUACAGUGUGUACCCAUCUAAAUAUUGUGACGAUAUCUGUCAAUUCAUACCACAAGCAGAUUAAUCGUGGAAGCAGCUGCCGUAGAUUGUAUCCACUCAAUCAAGCAGCUGCCAUACUUUUCUUUGACGCGCCGCCGGAUAGCCGAGGGUUUGCACCGCUUCUCAGGAAACAUUGCUUCUGCGGCCCCUGGUUAGACGCCGUAGACGCUGCCAAUGCCGAGCGGGUCCGUAGCUGUUGGUCGGCGAUUUCACCAGUUGCGGUGGCAAGAGACCAGGCUCUUCUCUGCACGGGCCAUGACGACAGGCAGCAAGGGAGCGACCGCGGCGGGAAUUGGGGGCACACGGCGGCCAGCCAGCGGCGGCGCAACGUCGAUCCACGUCUGACGCCUAAAAAGCAACGUGGAUGGCAGGCUGCAAUGCUGCAUACGACCCAGGAAGCAACCAUGCCCAGUUUGAUCUCGCAGCCCAAAUCUGCCCUUACCUUCCCGUUUCCUCAUUUUUCUUGGAAGAUUGCAUUUUGAUUAUAUUUCCAUUCAAAAAGAAUGGUUCCUCCAAGGCUCUGGUCCGCAGAUGUACACAUUCGUACCAUUUAAAACACGAUGAAAGGUUAUCGGACACAAGGUCAUCAACUAGAAAGCUGUGUCAUCUAGUACUGUGCGUAGAACCAUCGUGGUUUUCACUAGAGAUAACUACAAGACAAACCUAGAACUCCUCACGGUCAUGUACCAACCCAAAACCAGAUCAAAGAUCAGACUCAAUUGGUAAUCAUCCACUACAAGUCUCCACUCAUCGAUGAAAUGGAGGUACCGGGAUCCACUGAUUCAGAUAUUGUCAUGGAGAUGGCACUCACUAAAAAAAAAUGAACCUCAAACUAAUUUUGUUUGCUGCACUGAAGUUUUCAGAAAAUAUUUAAAAAAAACUAUUUUGGUUGACCUUUGUAAAUUAAAAAGCUAAAAAAAAAAAAYUCAUGUGAAUUUUCUUGUUGUUCUUGGUUUUUAAUACUUACUCUCAUGUCUCAUAUAUUACCAUGUGGUAUUAUAUACUUACUCUCAUGUCUCAUAUAUUACAAUGUGGUAUUAUAUACAUUACUUUAUUAUUUUUAGUAUGUUCAUAUUUACAAGUGAGCCAUAGAUUUAUUGUAUUUGUGAAGUACAUACAUAUUUUUACGUAAAAAAGGAGUAUGCUCAAAAUAUGAUACAUACUGCCAAAAAUCUUGUAUAUAUACUACCUAAACAUUAUAUAGUACAUACUCCGCAUAUAUCAAAACGUACAAAACAAAAACGGAAGUAAUUACAUCCAAUAGUAGGGAAAAUUUGUUGAUAUAUAUAUAUUGGAUAUGUAUCCAUGGGCCGGCUAUAAGCCAUGUAGCCCCGCACUUGACACCCGGUUUAUAGGACAUAUGUAACACAUGCAGGCUAUAAGGCGUGUAAUCCAACACUUAGCACCGGGCUUAUAGGCCAUAUGAGCCACAGACAGGCUAUAAGCCAUGUAGCUUAGCACCUGGCACCCAACUUAUAGGCCAUAUGAGCCACAUGAGGGCUAUAUAAGCCGCGCAGCGCAUGAACCGACACACGGCUUAUAGGCCAUAUCAGCCAUAGGAGACGGUAUAUAAACCGUCUACCUCAGUCAUCGGGCACCUGGUUUAGGAUAUAUAUAAAUCGUGCGUCUCCAUGAUGGUACUAUGCUUACAAAUUAACAGUGCAAUCUGUGGUGGCACACGACUUAUGUAGUAAUUGUGUUAUCCACGCUGGCACUAUGGCCUAUGUAUAAACCAAUGCACAAGACAGUGGCGCUCGACUUAUAUAGAUGGCGACACGUGCCUGUUAACAACAGGUUACCGUGAGACCCUUGAAAAACUCGGUUUAUAUAUAAAUCACAUCUUUUCACUCCGGCUCUCGGCUUAUACCAUAGAGGCCAGUUCAUUGUAAAGUGUGAUCAAGCCAAGAGCUUUACUCGCCUUAUACAUAAACCAAGUUCAAAUCGGUGUAAGCCGAGUGUAUUAGGUAUAUGGCUUAUAAGUUUCUUCAGUAGUGGUUGUGGUAUCUUAAAGAGGAACGUUCCGCAGUCAUUAUUCUAGGACGUAGCCAUAUCGAUAAAUCUUGUUAACGAAUAUCGUGCUUCGGGUAUUUCCUGCAAGGCACACUGUGGAAAAGUAUGCUCCCGCCCGACAGCUCACGGCAUCCAAGACUAAGACAAUUCACAGUCUUUCAUUAUAUCGGCAUAUCUGAAAAGUCUUGCAUCCGCUUGAUUUGCAGCCACUCAUAGUUUUGUCCCGGGUCUUUCUUCGCCCCGUCAAUUGGGUAAUCAAGGAAUAAUUUGAAUGGGUGGACGUACGAAGACUGCCAGUGACUCCAUUGCCCCGUAUACUCUCAUUCAUUCUGCAGACACAGUAUUCUUUCUCGUAUCUCCCCACAGCCCAUGCAUGACCAUCGAUUCAGUUGGCACUCCUUGAACGUUGUUGCUGCAACAAAUUGCUAGUCUUAUGAACGGAUGGCUUCAAGGUGCUGUUUCUUAGUCUUCGUCUGGGUUUGGCUGCUGCCACUGGCGCUUGUGGCGGCCGAUCAGCAGGAAGGGGAAGGCUGCUUGGACAAGAGGUGCGGCAGCCUCACAGUCUCCCAUCCAUUCUGGAUCUCUGACAAUCAUGAGGGAAGAUCGUGUGGACCCCUUGGAUUUUUUGGUCAAUUGCAACAACGGCAAUCCAGUUCUCAAGAGCUAUGGAUUAAUUGGCUUUGCAAUAAUGGAUAUCUCCUACGAGAAACAGAGUAUGCGUGUCGUUGAUAUACAGAAAGAGGAAGACUUCAAAUCCUCCAGCGGCUGCCAUUUCCCGUUAUGGAACACCUCCGGCAAACUGUUGCCUCCGUUUAAGGUCAGCAACUGCAACCUGAACCUCAUCUUCUACAACUGCACCAAGACGUUGGCGCAUCGGGACAGGGCGCUGGUGGAGAUGAGAUGCGUAGACGGGACCAACACGUUUGUUCGCGCCGGAGGGCGUUUCAAUGAGACGGGGAACUACGGCGACUACGCCUUGGAGGGCUGCAAUGCGACCGUCGUGCCGGUGAUGAGCUCGUCGGGCAAGGCGAACGCGAGCGACUACGAGCGGCUCAUCAGCGGUGGCUUCCUCUUGACAUGGGAAUGGGAUGAUCCGAAACCUCUCCCUGCACCUGUACCUCUCCCUACGCCUGUACUAACACGUAAGUUCACACGCCGACUCAUCUUUUAAUUAAGUUUGUAGCUAAGCUAAGACGUUCAGUGCCUGUUGUGUGCUACGUUCAAAAUCUUCGUCUGUGACAAACAUCAGUAGGUACGUACGUAGCCAUGUGCAUCUUUAGAAGUUCGUUAACAAGUUGAGCUGGGGUGUUCCCUAACUUCUCAGCACUGCCUAAUCUCAACUCUCAACUUCUUUCUGCCUAGUCAGAAAACUGAACUUCUGCCCAGUGAAAAAUAGGGCCUUUUUGAAAUUUGGCCUAAUGUGCAUGUAUUGAUUUUUCUGGGGCAAUCUUGGCCCCACUCACCGUGUUCUAGGCCGUUGUUAAGGGUCCAGCUACUCGCACAGCCCAAUAAUACAUGGAUAUUUUUUAUUUUCUCAAAAUUAUUUUCCGAAUUUCAAUUCAAAAAAUAUAUAUUGUCCAAAUUCUUUUGAAUUAUAUGGUAUAUCCAAAACCAUUUUAAUAUUUCAUGAAAAACGAUUGAAUAUUUGGGUACGAUUAUCUUUAUAUUAUAAGUAAAUAUUUUAGUUGUUCAUGUAUAUCGAAAGAGAUGUUUACGUAUUUUAGAAAAAAAAUUAAUGUAUUUUAAAACAAACUUCCAUAUGUUUGAAAAAGAAGUGUGCACGUACAUUAGAAAAUGAUAAUUUGUUUUCCCCAAAAUUAAAGAAAAAUGGAUAACUAGAGUUUGGAAAAUAAGGUGGUUAUGCUUUACAAAGAAAACAGAAAUUAAUAUAAAAAUAAAUAAAAACCAAAGAACUAAAAUUAAGUAAAAAAAAUCUAAAGGAAGCGAAACAGAAUAGGGGAGAACAUAAUAAUAAAACAAGCACAUCAAAGAAUAAAAUAUGGAAAAACAACCCAAUGAUUGGGUGCCUGAGUGCAUCCGGUAUUUUGGUGGGGCAUCCCUACACUCCCAUUCGGAGGGAAAUUAGCAUUUCCAUGUAUUUCAGGCCUAUGGGGGCAAUGGUCCAACAUGGGUUUCUUGAUUGUAGCAAGAAAAUAAGGUGGUUAUGCUUUACAAAGAAAAUAGAAAUUAAUAUAAAAAUAAAUAAAAACCAAAGAUACUGUUGGAACAUCACUUCCAUGGGCCCAUCCAACAACCUGCAUGCGCGCACAUUUUUUAGGCCUUUUUGUGGUACUGCACACCUCAUGUAGACUUCCUAUACGUACGAAGCAAGCAGGACUGGCAUGGAGCCGGCGUGCAUUUUGUCCCACCUCGGCUGGCUAGGAGAACGAGUAGAGGAAGCUUGAUUAUAAAAGGCUAGGUUGCAAAAUGUGCCAGGCAGUCAGGCACGCACGGCGUCGAACAAACAUUUCGGUAUAAUACGGUAGAAACCGAAUACCAAACCGAUUUAUCGGUUGACCGAAUUUUCGGUUUCCCAAUUUUUUUGAGCCAUUUUCGGUUAGCAUUUUUUCUAACCAAAAUUCAAAAAUAUCGAAAUGUAUUAACCGAAUUUUCGGUUUAUACUGAAUGCCCAGGCCUACUGGUGUCAGUAAAAUUUCUCCGUGUCACGUAUAAACAUCGUAAGGGAUAUAACCUAUACAAACAUGGAGUUUAUUUGACCGUCGAUAAUAACCAAAUUUCACGGGAAAGGAGAGAGGUGGUUUCAGUGCAAGAUGAGAUGCUAUCCGAUGACUCCCCCAAUACAACAACGGAAAAUAGACUGUCUAUAACCAGCGGUUUUCACCCUAGUGCACCGUGGUUAUUUCUACCGACAGAACUUAAAUCAAAGAUCUUUCAAAAAAUAAUUAAGUUAUAUCAAAGAAAUGACCGGAGUUGGUCAAACAUCCCAGCCGGUCGUUUAACUUAUUAUCCUAGUGCUUCUCCUUGGGUUGUUUUGUUUGUUGAGUUUUGACAACGCAGACAGCCAAAUUUGUGCUGGCAUUUUUGGCCAAAUCCAUUUCAUUUCCAGGCAUGGCAUGCAUAUUGAUUGAACUAGCCCUUCAGUUUUUUUUUGGGUCAAUUACCUUUCGAGUCAAGUCAAAUAUAUGUCACAAUUGAGGAGUCCGUGUUUACUUAUGAUGCCCAAUUGGUGGCAUUGAAUAGUAGACUAUAUAUGGUGGUUCACCGGUGGUUGUCUGGGUCCUCCCGAACAACUAUCCGUUUGGAAGAUAAAGUAUUCCCAUUUCUGUAACUUCAUCCAUCAAUAACCUUUAGAAUCAGUAUCACUUGCCUGACUUUCUAGGCUGUGGCUUUUAUUGGGGAUUAGUCAAAAACCAAACGCGUCGGGCAGCACCGUUGUAUCUCUGACUUUCUGAAUCAUCAUUCGACAUUGCCUUUCUUUCCAACUAGCUCGCCAUUUCUAACUAUGUUGUCUCCUCAUAUCAGCUAGCCUAGCUAUGCAUCCAACCUCUCUGCUCUUCAUCUUGGUCUCGUUGUUCCUCCUUCGCCACCGUGCAAACGGAGAUUGCGAACCAUUGAAAUGCGGGAACCUUCUCCCAUGGUGGCUCCCACUUACUCCACGAUGAUCUCAUCGGAUGAACCACGAUGUCAAGGAUUCAAUCAAUCCCGUAUACAAUUCCCUUUGUCUGUCGGUAUAGAACUUGUCCGAGAUUCGAUCGUAGUUAUACCUAUACCUUGUUCAAUCUCGUUACCGGUAAGUCUCUUUACUCGUUCCGUAGCACGUCAUCGUGUGACUAACUCCUUUAGUCACAUUGAGCUCAUGAUGAUGUUCUAUCGAGUGGGCCCAGAGAUACCUCUCCGUCACACGGAGUGACAAAUCCCGAUCACGAUUCGUGUACCAACCCAACAGACACUUUCAGAGGUACCUGUAGUGCACAUUUAUAGUCACCCAGUUAAGUUGUGAUGUUUGAUACACCCAAAGCACUCCUACGGUAUACGGGAGUUGCACAAUCUCACGGUCAAAGGAAAAAGACACUUGACAUUAGAAAAACAUUAGCAUACGAAUAAUACGAUCUAGUGCUACGCUUAGGAUUGGGUCUUGUCCAUCACAUCAUUCUCCCAAUGAUGUGAUUCCGUUAUCAAUGACAUCCAAUGCCCAUGACCAGGAAACCAUGAUCAUCUAUUGACUAAUGAGUUAGCCAACUAGAGGCUUGCUAGGGACACAUUGUGAUCUAUUUAUUCACACAUGUAUUACUGUUUCCUGUUAAUACAAUUAUAGCAUGAACAAUACACGAUUAUCAUGAACAAGGAAAUAUGAUAAUAACCAUUUUAUUAUUGCCUCUAGGGCAUAUUUCCAACACGGUGAUCAUGGUCACAGGCUCCGACUCUGACAUUGUUAAUCUUAAGUUCCUUUUACUCUGCUUUGAGGAAAUGUGUGGACUUAAGAUUAACUUUGAUAAGAGUGAGGUUGUGGUCCUGGGCUACUCCGAGUCGGAGCAGCAGAGGAUCGCGGACAACCUUAAUUGCAAGAUGGCUAUCUUCCCCAUCUCUUAUUUGGGGAUGCCUCUAGCUGACUCCAGGAUUUUGGUUAGUGGGUUUGAUCCGCUUGUGGGAUGAGUAGCGUCCCGUGCGGAGCCCUGGUGCGGUCGGUUCACUUAUAAGGGUAGCAAGUCUGUCCUCAUUAGUUCUAACCUUGCGAGCAUCCCCAUGUAUAUGAUGGGGAUGUAUAUCUUGCCCGAAGGUGUGCAUAGCGCCUUUGAUAAGGAGCUGGCUAGGUUCUUCUGAUAGGCAGGGGAUGGUAGACCAAAAUAUCACAUGGUAAAAUGGGCUGAUAUUUGCCUACCAAAGGACCGAGGUGGCUUGGGCAUCCCAGCGUCCCGCCACAUGAACGUUGCCCUGAUGCUUCGUUGGGUGUGGCGGAUCUUGCAGGGAGACGGGGGUUUGUGGCUUCAACUAAUGAGGCCAAGUACCUGCGGGGCAGGCCCCUCUUGGCAUGCUAUCUCGCAGCUCGGUCGCGGUUCUGGAAAUAAGCGCGUAGGUAUGAGCUCGGCUCGGCUCAUUCCCGCAACCCGCAUCGUGACGAGGCGUGGCGAGGCGGGCGGCGGAGGAGGAGUGCGCGAGGGCACCUUCUCUUCUCACUCUCCAAUAGCAUGUGGAAGAGAGACCCUUAUAAAGGGGUCCAACUUCUCCUCCACUAGCGGGGUGGGACUAAACUUCCCACCACCACCAUGUCAUGCCACCACCUACAUGGGCCCUUGGAGAUUUUCUGAAAUUCUUCUAUGGGCCUAAGGCCCACUACUAAUUUCAACAAUAUGGUGGUUCACCGGUGGUUGUCUGGGUCCUCCCCACCAACUAUCCAUUUGGAAGAUAGAGUAUUCCCAUUUCUGUAACUUCAUCCAUAAAUAACCUUUAGAAUCAGUACCACUUGCCUGAAGUAUCAGAUGUUGUGCUUCACAGAUUUUUUGUUAACUCUCUCUAGUGGGCAUGGAAAACGUUGUGUCGUUUACUGGGGAUUAGUCAAAAACCAAACGCGUCGGGCAGCACCGUUGUAUCUCUGACUUUCUGAAUCAUCAUUCGACAUUGCCUUUCUUCCCAACUAGCUCCCCAUUUCGAACUAUGUUGUCUCCAAUUCCUAUAGUGGCCACCCGGCCUUCGAGAUAAGGUGUAUGCCCAAUUCCUGCAACCCGCAGCGCGUUGUGACGAGGCGAGGCGGGCGGCGGAGGAGGAGGAGCGCGCGUGUAUGUCUAUCUUGUUCUCAAGCUCAUACAUGUGUGGAAACAUCCUCCCUUAUAAGGAAGUCCAACUCCCACUAAACUAGCAAUGUGGGACUAAACAUUUCCACCUCUUGCCUUGCACAAAUGGGUUGCGUGGGCCUCUAGGAUUUAUUAGGAAUUUUCUAAAAUUAUAUAUUGGGUUGGCCCAUAAGUAAAUAAAAUUCCAGCAAUCCCCCACCAAAUACCAAAGGCACACAAAAUUUGCCUUUGGUUCCAAAACACUAUUUUAUAUACCGAUACUGCAGUGGAGACUGUUAAGUUGAACUUCCACCUAUAACUCUAUGCUACACUAGUAAGCAACUUGAACAGUGGACUAGGCCUUGAACUGUAAGUUUUCUGCGAAUCUAGCUUCACACAGAUCCUUGACCGAUACUAGGCUACCGUGGGACUUCCCCGCGGAUGGAGCUUAUGCGUCAUACCCCGAGACCUUUCAUGAGUAUACUAAAGAGCACCCUACUCUCAUAGAUUGCGACGUUUAACAAUCUGACUCAUAGAGGUAUGUUCUUCAAAAGAUGUUCUACAGGACAACAUCUCUACUUAACUAAGCCACUUAGAACAUAUUAAGAUGUAUAUCAACCUGCCAUGCAGUUUAGGAAAGUAUUGCAUCUUCAUGGAGUGGUAUUAUUAAUGAUAAGGAAAGUUUCCUCUCACUUGACCAACAGCUUGUCUUCCACAUCUAAUUCAUGGGAUCUCCCAUCACAAAGAAUAGGUUACCACUGUGAACAACUCAAAUUGUGGGUCUCAUACCCAUCUCCCUCGAUGCAUUAUCUAACACAUUAUGUGAUAGACCCUUAGUAAAAGGAUCUGCCAGAUUUUUAGAUGUUUUGAUAUAAUCCAAUGCAAUAACUCCGGAGUUUCUCAUUUUCCUGACAGAUUUUAACCUUCUCUGAAUGUGUCUUGAUGACUUCAUGUUAUCCUUUGAGAUGCUCACUUUCGUGAUCACAGUUUGAUUGUCGCAGUUCAUAAGGAUACCCGAUACAGGUUUCUCGACAACCGGCAAGUCACUCAAGAGCCGGGGAAGCCAAUCUGCUUCGACUAUAGCUGUAUCUAGUGAUGUGAGUUCUGCUUCCAUUGUUGACCUUGUUAAGAUCGUUUUCUUGCAAGACUUCCAAGAAACAGCGCCACCUCCAGGAGUGAAUACAUAUCCGCUCGUGGCCUUUAUCUCAUCAGCAUCAGAGAUCCAGUUUGAAUCACUAUACUCUUCAUGCACCUUUGGGUGUCUAGUAUAGUGAAUUCCAUAAUUUGAGUGCCUUUCAAAUAACGCAAAACUCUCUCUAGAGCUUUCCAAUGCACAUCUCCUGGUUUUGAGACAAACCGACUCAGUUUGCUAACAGCAAAAGAGAUGUCAGGUCUUGUAGCACUGGCUAAGUACAUAAGCGAGCCAAUAUCUGAGAAUAUUUCAAUUGGUCUCUAGCAAUCCUUCGGUUCUUUCGAAGCAGCACGCUCGCAUCGUAUGGUGUGGGAGAGGACUUGUAGUCACCAUACCCAAAGCGACUCAAGAUCUUUUCCACAUAAUGAGACUGAAGCAACGUAAUCCCACCAUCUUCGUCUCUCAACAACUUGAUGUUCCGAAUGACAUCAGCCACUCCUAAAUCCUUCAUCUCAAAACAGUGAGAUAGGAAAUCCUUGACCUCUUUAAUAACAUUCAGAUUUGUUUUGAAAAUUAGUACGUCAUCAACAUACAAGCAAAGGAUAACUCCCUCACCCCCACCAUGGCGAUAGUACACACAUUUAUCAGCUUCAUUUACUACAAAGCCUGUAGUUGUUAGAGUUCUUUCAAACUUCUCAUGCCACUGCUUGGGUGCUUGCUUAAGUCCAUAUAAAGACUUCAGCAACUUGCAUACUUUCUCUUCCUAACCAUCUACUACAAACACAUCUCGUUGUUCCAUGUAAAUUUCCUCAUCCAACUCUCCAUUUAGAAAAAGCAGUCUUAACAUCCAUUUGAUGAACGAGAAUAGUGGUCAGUCGAGCCACGGGUGAGGAAGUAUCAAAGAAGUCUUCACCUUCCUUUUGGGUAUAACCCUUAGCCACGAGCCGUGCCUUGUACUUUUCGAUAGUACCAUCAGGCCUAAGCUUCUUCUUGAAUACCCAUUUGCAACCUAUAGGUUUGCACCCAUAAGGAUGAUCAGUGAUGUCCCAAGUUUCAUUUGCCAAGAUGGAAUCCAUCUCACUACAGACUGCUUCCUUCCAGUAGUCAGCAUCUUCAAACGCAUAGGCCUCUGAAAUAGAACUGAGAGUGUCAUCUAUGAGAUACACAAGAAAAUAAUCACCAAAGGACUUUGCAGUCCUCUGUCUCUUGCUCCUGGUAGGAACUUCAUUGUUCUCCUCCACAAUAUUUUCAAUGUGUUCCAUCGAAAUGAUAGGUUCAGUAAUUGUGACUAAUUCAUGGUUUGAUGAAUUAGGCAUCUCCUGAUUAGAUGAGGUAGCUAUAUCCUUUAUGGGAAAGAUAUCUUCGAAUAAAGUCGCAUCAUUCGACUCCAUGAUUGUACCGACAUGCAUGUCAGAUACCUUAGAUUUUACAACCAAGAAUCUAUAUCCAAUGCUAUGAAAAGCAUAUCCCAGAAAAACACAAUCCACAGUUUUUGGUCCUAGCUUGUGCUUCUUUGGGAUUGCCACAUUGACUUUCGCCAAACAACCCCAGGUUCGUAGAUAAGAGAGUUUUAACCUUUUCUUUUCCCAUUCCUCGAAUGGAGUUAUCUCUUUGUUCUUUGUGGGAACUCGAUUCAGGACAUGACAUGCGGUCAAUAUCGCCUCCCCCAACCAUACCUUGGAGAGACCCGAUGUGUCUAACAUGGCGUUAACCAAAUUAGUUAGAGUACGGUUCUUUCUUUCGGCUAUCCCAUUUGUUUGAGGUGAAUAGGGAGGCGUCCUCUCAUGGAUUAUACCAUGUUCCGCACAGAAAGAACCAAAUUCAUUUGAGAAAUACUCUCCACCACGAUCGGACCUAAGCCUCUUGAUCUUUCGAUCAAGUUGGUUUUCUGCUUCAGCUCUAUAGAUCUUGAAAAAGUUCAAAGCCUCAUCCUUAGAGUUCAGAAGAUACACUUGGCUGUAUCUAGUGGAGUCAUCAAUUAGUGUCAUGCAAUAUUUCUUUCUACCUGUUGUUAAAAUGCCAUUCAUUUCACAUAGAUCUGAAUGUAUGAGCUCUAGUGGUGCAAGAUUUCUCAUUCCAGCAGUCGUAUGAGACUUACGAGGUUGUUUGCUUGCACGCAAACUUGACACUUAGAUCCCUUGACGGUGGUAAAGCUAGGGAUUAAGUUCAAUUUGACUAGUCGCGACAUGCAACCAAAAUUAACAUGACAUAGACGUGAAUGCCAUACAUUUGAUUCACUAUUGUUGUAAAUAUGAUUAACAACUUUAUUGCACACGUCUGCCAAGGAUAAACAGAACAGGCCUCCUGACUUGUAGCCUUUACCAACAAAAGUUCCAUACUUGGAUAUUACAAAUUUAUUAGACUCAAAGACAAGCUUGUGGCCAUCUCUACACAAAAGAGAUCCGCUAACAAGAUUUUUAUUCACGGAGGGGACAUAAUGUACGUUCUUCAGCCGCACGACCUUCCCCGAAGUAAACUUCAGAUCGACUGUGCGAACACCACAAACAGAAGCACUUGAAUCGUUGCCCAUCAGCACGGUGGAAGUCCGUGCAUACUGAUAAGAUGAAAACAUGGAAAUAUCACCGCAUACAUGCACAUUAGCACCCGUGUCAAUCAACCAAUCGGGGAAAUGACAUACUGAAAGGAUAGUGGGAAAUAUACCAUACCCAGCAUCCUCCACUUCAGUGUCACCAAUGACAACAUUAGCGGACUUGCCGCCUUUCCCAUGUUGACGCUUGUCAUAACGAUUAGGGCAGUUAGGUGCCCAAUGAUCAGGAUCUCCGCACACAUGACAAACACCUUUCUUCUUGUCAUUCUUCUUCUUGAAGUUGGUGUGCUGUACAUCCUUGUUCUUCUCAUCAAACUUUGCUUUACCAUCAAACUUGCCCUUGUUCUUGAAAUUGUGGGGCUGGAAGUUUUUCUUCUGUACCAGAUUGACACUAGAACAUCCCUCAAAGCCUCGAGCACGUGUGUCUUUUGCUCUCGCUUUUUCUUCCACACCAAGAGUACCUAUGAGAUCUGGAACGAAAAACUCAUGUCUCUUAUGCUUCAGUAAGGUAGCAAAGUUCCUCCACGAAGGAGGAAGUUUAGUGAUGAUGCCUCCGGCAACAAACUUCUCCGGUAGCAUGCAAUUGAAGUGCUCAAGUUCUCUUGUAAAUGACUGUAUUUCGUGAGCUUGCUCAACCACGGAGCACUCUUCAGUCAUCCUGUAGUCAUAGAAUUGUUCCAUGAUGUACAACUCAGUGCCAGCAUCCGAGACCCCAAACUUGGCCUCGAGUGCAUCCCACAUAUCUUUUCCAUUAUCAAUUGACGCAUAAGCAUCAACUAUGUUCUCACCAAGAGCGCUCAAGAGAACAACCUUAAACAAGAUAUCCAUUUUCUGAAAAGCUUGCUCCUGUUGAGCAUCAUGAUCUCCUUCAGAUUUGCCAAGAGUGGCGUCAUAGCAGCUCAUGGUUUGAAACCAUAAAACAGCUGUCACGCGUCACCUCUUAUAGUGGACACCCUCAAACAAAGGAGGUCUCAUGGAAGCAGCAAAACCACUCGGGGUAAAUUGCCUAUAAUAAGGUUUUUGGAUUGUUGGAAAUAUGAGCAAUUUACCAUAGGAUUUUAUUAAAAGAAAAGCUAGGGAAAACAUGACUAUCAUAAAAUAGAUGAAACUAGACAUGGAUUAUAAAGAUGAGACGACGAAAGACAUGUGCACAUAUGAUCUAGAAGAGAACAUAUGUAGAGCCGUACUAUAUACAGAAGGCAUCAUAUGGAGUGAUGAGCAGAAACGGGACAUAUCUAGAAGUGAAACUAUAGCAAAAAGUUAUGGUAGGAACUCAACAAAAAAGAACAUGAGUACGUACUGUGUUACAACAGCAGUAGGGUUGGUGUUGGCGUUGUCGUUGGCCAUGUUACCGAAGAGGUGGUCGACGUCGGGGAAGUAGUCGUCGUCCGAAAAGAGGUCGUCGUUGUCCGUGAUGGAAGCCGGCAGUCGCGCUAAGCGCUCCCCAAAAACCUUAUCGUCCUUCUCCCGUACAGGACCUGAAGAGACGUAGUUUCGGAGGCCUACUAUCCCGACCUACGGUGCACGCCGCAAGACGGGAUGGGGAAGAACGUAGCAGCAGCACAGAGAAAGGAACCGGUGGCGAGAGGAAAGUUCUGAUGCGUCUUCUCAGGAAAGGAGCGACCUCUCUUUUAUAGCCGCAGGAGAAGGAGCCGAGAGACUAGCGAUGGGAGCCGAGGAGAGCGAGGGAUACGAAACGAACGGACAACAGUGUUCGCUUUCAAUAUCCACUACAGAAAAAUAUGUACAGCUUCUCCGAGUCAUCUUUCGUAUACCAAUCGUGUGUGGCAAAAAUUUAGUUCGGCUCGUUCCCGCAACCCGCGGCGUGACGAGGCGGGCUGCGGAGGAGGAGCGUGCGUGUAUGUCUCUCUUGUUCUCAAGCUCAUACAUGUGUGGAAACAUCCUCCUUUAUAAGGAGGUCCAACUAUCAUUAAACUAGCAAUAUGGGACUAAACAUUUCCACCUCUUGCCUUGCACAAAUGGGCUGCGUGGGCAUCUAGGAUUUAUUAGGAAUUUUCUGAAAUUAUAUAUUAGGCUGGCCCAUAAGUAAACAAAAUUCCAGCAACACACUGCCAGGUCGCUGUAGAACAUUUUUUUUAAGAUCUAGGUAUAUGAUUAUUACGCCCAAAGAAUUGCAAAUGUACUAGCAAAGUUUAUCCUCAUUUUUGGAAAUAAGCAAGGAGAAAUAGGCAUCAGACUUAGCAGUAUGUCAAGAUGUUAAAUGCACCGGUAUGAGCAUGCAUAAAUCAACGACAAAGGGACUACUAAUUCCUGAGUUGAAGGGUGCAUCAAAUUGUGUGCUUAGAUAUUAACUUAUAUGUAUGAGUCGGCCUCCAGGUAAAUAAUAAAGCUACCUUUUGCAAUUUCUAUAAUAUCUUUUUCGCAAUUCCUAUUCUCAGAAGAAAAUGAAAAACUAGUUGAAAUUCCUAUUUUCUCCGACAGCAGUCCGCCUGUCACUUCCUCAAGUUUGCACACUCCCAACCAUCUGAUAUUCCGUAGCAACAAGAUGUUUCAUGUCCUAGCAGCCAUGGCCACUUUUCACCAUAGUUCUAGCAGCUAGCUCAACCACUCAGCGCCAUAAGUAGAACCUGCAAACCUGCGUCUGUACAGUUACCUUACAAUUGCUCUCAGCCAUGACAGUAUGGUCAUUGGUCAGUACUGAGUACUCAGAAGGCCUUUACAUGAUAACAAGUUUCAUUUGGGCAUACAACUUGCAUUAUAGCUCUUUACAGUGUUGCAAUAUACAUUUUCUUUAUGUAUUUCUGUGGCAAAAAGAUUAUAUACUAUGCCUGCUAUAUAUUUUUUUAGAAAAAAAMUGAUAUAGUACUAGGUAUUGAUUUUGUAAACUAAAUAUUAUGUGAUCUUCCAGGUGGCAAGAGGGGUGGUACAAAGAUACUACUAAUAGGUAUAUGCCAACACUUACUCCAGCUUUUCACAUGUUAUCAUUGAGUGUUAGUAGUUCCUCAGUAGUGAUUUCUAAGAUACAUAUUAUUUAAAGUUUGACUCUAUAAUUAAAUUGCAACAAAUGGUCCCAAUUUGUGCAUAAUAGAAGUCAACUGGGAGCAAUAAACUACUAUCUUUAUCUUUUUCCUACUUUUGUUGCCUUGUACUCUUUCAACCCGUUCCUCGAGCCCACUGCAGCCCGGGUCGUGCAACAAUAGGCUCCUCUUUGCUGGGACAGAGCUUAGUAGAGCGUUAAAUAAACAUGAACAUGCGUUUGUUAGCCUUGAAAGCCAGCACCGUCAGCAACCUUGGGACGGUGACAUACAUCAUGCUAGGGGAGGAGGGAUGUGCAGAUCAGAGGGGUAUAGCUCUUGACGAGAGGUGGCCUCCUGGACGGCGACAGCGGGUGCUAUUAGCCCUCCCGAUCAAGCAGGAAGUCCACAAUGGUGGAGAGGUACAGAACAACAUCAUGUCCCAAAUUGGGAGCUAUGUGUGGAGAUAGGGAGAAGUUAGAGAGAGAGGAGAGCAGCCUGACUGAUGAGGUCCAUGUCCAUGUGUGACAAAGUCCACAUAACCAUCCACGUAGGCACCUAACUAGUGUGUCCGGUGAUGUUUGUUUGCUGUCAAAACUCAUCAACCGGAUAGUUUGGAUUGCUUGUGAGACAUUAGAACAUAACCUGUGAUUUUGUSGGGGGGAAAUGUAAGCAAGUGCGAUCAUGUGAAAACUUAACCCCCAAACAUAUGCCUUUGCACUGGUUUUGAGCAAUUAACCUGAAUUGCAGACUAUUGAUGUCCUUAGAGAUCUAAAAUUUUAAAUAUCCAUAUUAUAACUCUUGGUACAAAGACAAUAACUUCUGCUUCAAUCUCAGCUUUCACAUCAGCAGCUGCAACACUGCUCUUUUCAUGUAUUUAUGUGCUGAUAUGGUAUAUGACGGGGAAAAGAAACGGGUUUCUCUUCUGGAAAAAGAAUAGCAGCAAAACUGAAAGGCAUUACGAGGCCAUGAUAGUAUCGUAUGGAUCACUCGCUCCAAAAAGAUACAUAUACUCAGAGGUAAUGAAAAUAACGUCUUCACGCAAUAAGCAGCUUGGUCAAGGUGGUUAUGGCGUAGUUUUUGAAGGAAAACUACGUGAUGGUCGGUUUGUUGCUGUGAAAUUCUUGCAUGACUGCAAAGGAAACGGGGAGGAGUUUGUGAAUGAGGUUGUGAGCAUUGGCAGGACCUCUCAUGUGAAUAUUGUUAGCUUGUUUGGAUUUUGUUUGGAGGGAUCAAAACGUGCUCUUAUAUAUGAGUACGUGUGCAAUGGUUCCCUAGACAGUUACAUCUACUCAGAGAACCCAAAAGAAAUUUUAGGAUGGGAGAGGCUCUAUGGAAUAGCGAUUGGGAUAGCUCGCGGACUAGAGUAUUUGCACCACAGCUGCAAUACACGGAUCGUCCAUUUUGAUAUUAAGCCUGAAAAUAUCCUUCUAGACCAGGAUUUUUGCCCAAAGAUUGCCGAUUUUGGUCUAGCUAAACUGUGUCGUACCAAGGAGAGCAAGCUUUCAAUGAUUGGUGCAAGAGGAACAAUUGGAUUCAUAGCUCCAGAAGUUCACUCACGAAACUUCGGAGUUGUUUCAACAAAGUCAGAUGUUUACAGUUAUGGAAUGAUGUUGCUAGAGAUGGUUGGAGGCAGGAAAAAUGUCAAAUCAGUAGCGGAAAAAUCCAGCGAAAAGUAUUUCCCGGAUUGGAUUCAUGACCACUUUGCUCAAGAUGAUGGAUUAGAAGCAUGUGAAGUUACAAGUGACAUUGUGGAAAUUGCAAGAAAGAUGACCUUAAUUGGCUUGUGGUGCAUACAAGUAUUACCUGUUUAUCGUCCUACUAUAACCAAAGUUCUAGAAAUGUUUGAGAGAAGCUUAGAUGACAUGGCCAUGCCACCCAAGCAGAACUUCUGUGAAUUACUGUAAGAUACUUCUCCCAUUUUAUUUUAUUUAGAAAGAAAUAUACUUCUCCCAUAUUUGUGUUCCUUUGUUUUUCUGUACAAUCGUCAUUAUGCCAUAACUUGAUGUGCAUGUUUACCUCUCAUUCCAGUGAAACUUCAGCUCACAAUAUGGAUGUACAAAGUGCAAGUUCUACCAGAUCUGAGGAGACAACCUUUGUGAAUUCAAAAGUCCAACAACAAUUGCCAAAUUUUUGAGCAGAUAAGCCCUAGAAUACUAAAAAAACUAGGUUCAUUUCCAAUUCAUUGAGAAGGUGAUUGUACUAGAUUACGUUAUGAAAUCGAACAAGCGCAACUAAACUCGACAUUGUAUCAUACAGUGUAUUCCAUGUAUACAUGACCUAGAUUCAAGAAUAUCGGCAUUCCAUAUAACAUAUGGGAUAAAAAAACCUUUGAGAAAGAAAAAGGAAUAAAAAGUGUUCAAUGAGUUUUGUGUUCCAGUUACGGACCAAUAAGUUUUGGGCGAUGCUCUGCGCCGGCGCGCCGGCCGAAUAGCUUGUGCUAAAAAGUUGAGAGGGUUACGACAAAAACUGGAUGCACUUCGUGUACAAACUGGAGCAUCUCCUUCGAAGUAUCACAGUUUCGGACGAAAACCCAUCUGCUAGAAAGAUAUUUUAUUUUUUUACUUAUUUCAACUUCAGACAUUUUAUGCAUUUUGUGCAUUCAAUAUAAACCAUUCAAAACCACAUCCUAAAUUUUGACCCUUUAUAACUUCAUUUGCUAUUUUUCAUGCAUUUAAUGAUUUUUUGACCUAAAUGACCUUGAAAUUGAAAAGCCCGACAAAUGAGCUCUGAAAAGGUUGAAACAUGGCAUCGUAUCAUCAUUUCUCCCACAUAGCAUGUGCUAAAAAGUUGAGAGGGUUACGUUAAAAACUGGAUGCACUUCGUGUACAAAAUGAACAAUCUCUUUCGAAGUAUCAGGACUUCGAACGAAAACUCACCUAUUGCAAAGGGAUUUCAGUUUUUUUGAACUUAUUUGAACUCCAUACUUUUUGUGUGUUUAAAAUACACCAUUUAAAGCCACAUCAUAAAUUUUUAAUAUUUUCUGACUUCAUUUGGUAUUUUUCAUGCAUUUACUUACUUUUUUGAGCUAAUUGAUCCUGAAAUUGAAAAGCACUACAAAUGAACUCUGAAAACGGUUGAAAGUUGGCAUGGUAUCAUAGUUUCACCCACAUGGCAUGUGCUAAAAACGUUGAGAGAGUUACGAUAAAAACUGGAUGCACUUCGUGUACAAACUGGAUCAUCCUUCGAAGUAUCAAGGUUUCAGACGAAAACCCAUCUGCUACAAAGGCAUUUUAUGAAAAUGAUUUUAAUUCCAGACUUUUUAUGCAUUCAAUAUGCACCAUACUAUAACAUGUUAAAAUCUACAGAAAGUACUAACUAAAAAUAAUAAAAAACAACAAUUAAAUGACUAAAACAACUAUAUAAGCAAAACAAUAUUAUUUUAGUUAAAAUCCAAAUUUAGGUUAUUCUAAAAAUAACCAAAUAAAUCUUACUGUGAUAACAAUCUAACAGAUGACUAGGAGAAAAAACGAAUUAAAUUAAAAACUAUUUGUAAACUCAAGUUAUUCACAAUUUGGGUUUGAAGCAAAUUGGAACAAAUUCAAAUUUAAACCAUUCANUCUACCCUUUAGUCCCGGUUCAAGACACGAACCAGGACUAAAGCCUCCAAACCCUUUAGUCCCGGUUCGAGACACGAACCGGGACUAAAGGUCCCUUUUGAACCGGGACUAAUGCCCGACCGGCGCCCUUGCCGUUCGAACCGGGACUAAUGCUAACAUUAAUCCCGGUUCGUAAUGGAACCGAGACUAAUGUGUAAAUUGAGCUGGGACGGAAGUCCCUUUUUCUACUAGUGGAGGGUCCCGGAUCUGCGCUUGGCUGGGCCGGAGGUGGCCGGAGGAGGGAGAUCAGCCGCCGGCAGCGUCGGUCCUACACGAGCGCGAGCUGCGCGGAGGGUGCGGGGCUUCGCCGGUUCGCUACCGGCACGUAGACUUUGGUUAGUGGUGUACCGGCAGUCCAAAUAAGACUAUACUGUAGGUGGGGUUGGGGGAAAUUAGCCGAUGCUGAGGAGUGGGUGGUGUUUGCCCGCGAGGGAGUACGUCACGACGCGACCGGGAAGUAUGUCGGCCACGCUCUGAAAGGCUGCGCCGCCGUCGUGGUGCCGGUGCCGGGCUCGUCAGCCAGGGUGAACGCAAGUGACUACGAGCAGCUCUUCAGCGAUGGGCUCCUCUUGACAUGGGAUAAUCCCCCGCUUCAUCCUUCUAUCCUUCCACGUAAGUUCACUCGUCAAAUCACCACUUCUAAAUUUCAGAUUAUUUGAACAUCUGACUAGCUCCCGAUAAAAAAGACAAAUUUGAAGUCUUUGCUUUUUACUAUUCAUAUACUGUUCUAACCCAAUUUAGUUUUUUUUGCUGAGAAUUACUCAUAUGUCCAAAUGAUUUAAAUUUUAAAAUUCACCUCGUGUAUCAAAUUAUCUAUCAAACAAAAGAAUAUUAGAUUUUUUUUUUUUGAUUUUUUGUAUUUUCUAUUGACCAGGUGCAAAUGAGCCUGGGCUUAGAAAUGAAUAUUAAGCUGAAAUGCCAAUUCUUAAAUGUGAAACACUGAUAGAUAAAUUUUGUACCAUGGCAUUGCUGCGUUGAGAUCACACAGGAGCAAUGCUACACAUACGUAGGAGCUGUUUGAUUUUAGGCCUAGCAUUGACACACUUUACCACACUUUUUUGCCAAGCUUACCUAAUGUUAGUUUAAUAAAAUGAGAGUCAUAAGUUGGCAAGACUAAAAAAAACUUACCACAUUUUCCGUGUUAAUGUGAUGUGGUUUUUUUUAUAUAUGUGGCUUGUCAAAUAUGUGACUCGAACCAAAUACAUUCAUCUAAGUUCAUCAAACUUGUCUAACGUUAGGUGUGACAACUUUUGAAAAACUUAGUUUCAAAUCAAACAGCCCCGUAAUCUUACGUUUAGAUUUUGCAUAAAAGAUGAUGUGGGGUUGUUAAUUGGGUUAGGAUUAGCAGCUGAGGCCCACACCGGUUAAAAUCAGGGGAAGAGAAUUGUAUGUAAGGUUAAGUAAGCCUACUAGCAACUUUCGUAGGAUCCCUCGAAAAAAAGAGCACCUUCCGUGUCUGUAGAUCAGUGGAGCAACUCGUUCAUGUCGUUGUUAUCUGUACAGCUUCACAGCACACUCAGUCCUUCCGUGCCUGUCCAGAUGGGCAGAACUAAUUAUUUACCUUGGCCGUUCCCCAUCCCCAUCUAGCUUGCCACUGCAUACAAUCCAUCACCACAUGUCCAGCCUGUCCAGAUGUACCCAGCCAGCUUGUUGUUGUCCCUGUCUGUAUGUUUCGCUUGUAUCGCAGACGUUUUUUUUUUUUAAACAGAGAUAAAAGUUUUGCCUCAUUGAUUAAUAAAAAAAAAAACUAGUCGAGUUAAUUUUAAAAAAAACGGACAAAAAUCAAUACAAACACAUCACAUACUAACUACUCACGUGACAAGGAACCCCCACAACCGCACAUACAUCGCUAGUCUCUUGAAGAGCACAACAUACAGACAGGGGGAAGCAAUGGGCGACGGCGGGCGGACGGGCACGGGCACUGGUCUCUUCUAGCUGCGAACAGGUUGGUUCCGUGCUUGCGUGGAUAAAUGGUGGGUACAAUCCUUAACGGCUAAUGAGGACAUCAGUUGAGUUUAAGUGUCAUGCCGUGUCUAGGCUAUUUACGCUAUCAAAUUUGUCACACCAAAGUCAUUGUCUGGUUGUAAUGGUGAGUAUCAUAUACUAGUAUCAUGCAUAUGAUACUAACAGAAGAGCUCAUUUAUUACCAUGCAUGACACAUAGUAGCACAACAUUUAAUAUGAUACGGUACUAUCAUAAAUAUGAUACUCAACCCUCUCUUUCUUCAUUUAAUUUCAUGCCACCUCAUCAAAUAUACCUAGUUGGCAUGCAUGAUACUACUUAUGAUACUCCAAUUACGACCAGCCUUAAACAAUGUUGCACUCCAUUCAAUUCAUCUCAAAGAUGUUGCAGAGGAGCUAUUGGCCCCUCUUCCCUCGUCUCGGAUCCAAACAGGUGACAUCCCUCACAUAGAAGGGCUACCUCUGUCCCUCGGAAGAUAUCCGUGCAGCCAAACAUAUCCUUAGGAAUGUUGAUUGAUUACUCGACCAGUCAAAGUCUUUUGAAGAACAGUCAGAGUCUUUUCGUCCUCCCAGGACGUGUCGACUCACACGCAUUGCCCACGGAAUAGAGGAUACAAUAUUCAUUCUCCAGCUAGCUAGUGUUCUUCUCUGUUAGUUCAGUCUCCUGACAGCCUUCACCGAGACAAAUUCCAAAUCUUGGUCGCGUUGCGAUGCAUGGCCGAUUCCUCAUCUUGGUCUGGGCCUGGUGUCUACCGCUGAUGGUUGCAGUCACGGGCACGACGGCCGAGGAUCAGCAAGGGGAAGGCUGUUCGGCGAAGAGGUGCGGCAACAUCACCAUCUCCGACCCGUUCUGGCUCCCUGAUGAGGAGACGGGAAGAUCAUGUGGUUUGCCUGGAGCCUCAGACUUCCAGCUGAGAUGCUUAAACAGCAGCUAUCCAGUUCUACGGAGCUCUGUGCCUUACAGCCCCGGCUUUAAAAUCAUCAAUAUUUCCGUUGGAGAACGCAGCUUGCGCGUAGUAGAUCUAGGCAAGUUGCAAUUAUUUCACACCUCCAAGAGCUGCCUGCCGUUCUGGAACACCUCCGUCAAACUUGGCCGCCCGUUUCGGAUCGACCCCGUCAGCCAUAACCUCAUAUUGUACAACUGCACUGAGGAGGCUGCGGCACGCCGGGGAACAGAGCUGGUGAAGACGGUGAUGAGAUGCGCGAACGCUACCAACACGUUUGUUCGCACGGAAGUGCCAUACGACCCCACCGGGAACUACGCCAGCUAUGCUUUGGAAGGCUGCGAUGCAAUCGUCGUGCCUGUGCUGGCGGGCUCGCCGUCCGGCAAGACGAACGCCGACAACUAUGAGCGGCUCAUCGACGAUGGAUUCCUCCUAACAUGGGAUCUCGACCCUCUCCCUCCACGUAAGUUCAUCCCCUCAAAUCAUCUUUUAAUCAUGUUAGAUACUAGUACUCAUCCCGCAAAAGAAAAUAAAUAAAUCAUAUUAGUAUUAUUCACCGGGGAUUAGGCUCACUGAACUAUGAACUCCACAAGUCUGGUCCACGCAAUAUUGCCAUUCUGGACUACUUGUUCACUUACGACAGCCCAGUGGCAAACAUACUUUAUGAAACUCAGAAUAGUGGGCCAAUAUUUAUUUUACCGGGGUAAUUUCAACUGCCGCCCAUCCUGCCCCCGACUGCCGUUCGCCCAUCCUAGCCACCGCCGCCACCGCCUGACCCGUCCUGGCGGCCUCGUUCUACCCAUCUUGAUCAGAUCAACCGGAGCUAGCUUCCUCCUGGAUGGAUUCCGCGACCGGAGCUAGUUAUGUAGCUAGUCUCCUAGAUGGUUUCCGCGUCCGGCGCUUCGUACGAGCCGUCCUGAAUGCCGACGUCUUCGCAUUUGGUUGCUUCGCGCGUUUUUUUGCAGUGUUUUGAAUAGCGGGUAAAGGCAAAUAGCAGCAGCCCUCCAAAUCAGGCUAUAGCCCGCUAUAACGGGCUAUUUCGUAACUUUAGCGGGCUAUGCCACAUAACCACACAUGCUCAAACAAAGACUUAGCCAUGUGACAUGGGAGGAGUCCGUUAAGAGAGACCUGAAGGUUUGGAAUAUCGACAAAGACUUAGCCAUGGACAGGGGUGCGUGGAAGUUAGCUAUCCACGUUCCAGAGCCAUGACUUGGCUUCGAGAUCUUAUGGGUUUCAACUCUAGCCUACCACAACUUGUUUGGGACUGAAAGGCUUGGUUGUUGUUGUUGUUGUUGUAUAGUUUAAGUUUAAGGGGUCUGUUCGGCCGCAGCUUAAUCCGACCCUUAAAACACAUUCUUCGCGAAUUCAAAACCACGUUUUAGUUACAUUUUGUGGGGUCUGCUAAAGAUGCUCUAAAAAUAUGAUAAGCUUGCAUAUUGCUUCGAUACACUCCCUAGAAAACUUUACAAAUUUCGAUGCAAAUUAAAGACAUAGAUUAGUUGAUACCCCUUCAAUAAAAAAGAUUAGAUUGUAGUAAUCUCUUUUUUCAUGCGUUGGGUGAAUAGGGAUUAAAUUAGAAUUAGUUGGCCAUGAAUGUACGAGAAUCCUCUUUUGACUAGCUUUAAGAUUCGUGUAAACUUACAAGGAGUGUACAGAAGCAAAACUCGACAUACUUCUAUAUUUAAGUUAACACCGUCAUUUUAAUGCAAUGAAAUAUAAAGAAUUGUUCUAAUAUGUCAAGAAAAUGUUGAAUGUUCAUCUAAAAUUUAUUUUGAAGUCAUGCAUGAACCUACAUUUUAUACUGAUAAGACUAUGUCCAUAUAUUUGAAAAUAAUUGUUCAUAACUAUAAGAAAAUGUUUGAAAAUAAUUUUCUAUCUAAGUAUUCAUUUAUUUGGAAACAAAGGUUCAUGACUUUUAAAACAAGUGCAUGUAUAAAUCAGAAAUUUGCUUAUAUAGCAUCAAUGAUGGCUUCAUAUUUACAUGGGAUAGGCCAGCCUUUAUUUGGAUUUCUCUUAUCGAACCAAGCAACCAAUCAUGUUACUCGCUGCUGGUAAUAGCUGAACUAACCGGUGCUCAUGAUUUGCAUUCGUACUAACAAGUUAUCAUGUCAAGAAACUAGAAAUACCGACUCUUAUAUGGAACAAAAUUGCUGAAAGAGAAUUAUAGGACAAAAACUUACCAUAGUGUUGCUGUCUGCGGAGCACACAGACUCAGAUAUUUGGUGCACGGUUAGUAGCCACAUGACCUGGCGCCUCCUUAGACAAGAAGCCGUCUCCCUUGGUUUCUGCUGAACCGUUUAUUUUCCUCUGAGAAAUCGUUGCUGAACCAGUCGAUUCAUUUGGACUUCGCCUGACACGGUCUCACACCCAUAUUCUUGGCUUUUCCGACAAAGAGACCGGAGUGCGGUGAGUUGGGCGACUCGACUCUGCAAAUUGAAUUACUCCUAGUUAAUUCUUCCUUCUUUUUGACGAACGAAAGUGUAAUUUGCUAGUUUGUGGGAUAAUCGAACCAAGCAAUCACUAGUAUGUUACUACUAAUAGGAGUACUCGUUAACUAAGGAUAAGAUGAGGCUAUGUCCAAGAUAGGCCAUGAAAGAAGUUUACCAGUCUGUGCUUUCUGUUUACUGGUCGAUUCACGAGUACGCGUCUAUUGUGGGAGAUAUCACACCUUUCUCUUUUUUUAAAAGACGCAACCUAGUGGCCAAGAUGAUAUAGAACCUUCUUUUCUACCCCACGGAAGGAGAAUGUUAUACAGUGACCAGUAACCUGCCCAGUGUGGAACUUGUACCUAGAUUAGAAUCUAGCUAGAUAGAAGACAAGAGCAUGAUCGUAUGACGAUAGCACUGGGAAGUGAGAAGAACAGGAGAGCGAUGGUGGAGUCGACCGCCCUCUGACUUCCCCGCCGUUUCCGCAUGGAGCUCGCUGAUCCGCCGCCCCCGGCGGCGCCCUCCCUCUGUUUCCCCUGGACGGCCUGGCGCUGGGCUGACUGGGCUGACUGGGUGAAGGACUCCGACGAUGAGGACGCCGCCGGCUCUCAGGCGGGUGGGGAGGGCCCGGUUGAGCUGCCGGUAUCCCUGGCUCCCCCGCAGCUGGGCCUCUUCCUGGACGCUGCGUGCCCUGCUCGGCGGCGGUCGGGGAAGACGGCCUGGCGGCGGGAGGUGGCGCCCAGGUCCGGUCGGGUGCCCCUUCGGGUCCCCCCGGGCCUUGCUCUGGUGGCUUCCCCUCGCCCCUCGACGGCCCUCGCCGGCGUGCUGCCCGAAUUGUCCUCCGCGGUGGCUGCUGGUGGAGGUGCCCGAGGAGGGCCGCCUGACGCUGGUGCCCUGCCCCCUCCCCGGCGGCGGCGCCAGGGCCAGCGGCGGGAGCGCCCCGAGCACGAUGCCCCAUCCCGUGCCCUAGCGGUGCGGGCCGGCGUGCUGGCAGGUGGGUCGCGAAACCAACCUCUGGGCCACACUGCCGUGGAUCUGGGUCCUUUCCGGCCCGAGAGCACGCGUGGGCCGACCGCCGAGUCCGGCGCGUGCUGGACAGAGUUAACCUUCGGUGGGCUUCGGCCCAGAGACGGCUGGCCCAUCCGAGCAGCGGCCCAGGCCGGUGUCGGUCUCCAGGUCGGGCACGUACGGGUUACCCCCCCCCCCSGACCCGAGUACCUGCGCCGCCACCCCGCUCCUCCGACUCGCGCCCGAGCUCCUGCGCGCCGUCUCUGGCUCCCGUGCGCGGUNNACACGAUGUGCAUCAACUGCGGGUGCGCCGGACACUACAGCUCGGAGUGUGAGGCUCCUCCACGGUGACCCCACGACUCUUGCCUAUCUUCGGGUAUGCCACUGAGCCGGGGUAGCUUCUACUUCGUGGAUGCGGAGAUUGAGGAGGUAGCUGCUCUACCACACCUAGCGAUGGUCACCUUGGAGCCCGAGCAGCCUAUCCGGAUGGCCUGGUGAUCUCGUCUGACCUCAUCCGGGAUGAGCUUGCGGCAUACAUUGGCGACUUUCGCGGCUCUGAGUUCGCCUGGGAGGUGACUGAGACGACUCCCCUGGUCUUCUCGGUCCCUUUCCCUCGGCCGAGCUACUCUAGGUCUACUCGCAUGGUCCUAUUCGUUGUCCCCUCACCCAGUUCAUGAUCAGCGUCCAGGCGGCCACGUCAGAGCCUGACCCCGUCCCUCCCUUGGAGAAGGUCUAGGUCCGCGUUUAUGGCCUCCCGAAGGGGGGGGGGGUAGUGCGGCUCCACGGGGUGGCAAGCUCACUGAUAUUCUGAAAGCUAUCUCCGAACCCGUGGGCAAACUGAUCACCGCGGACCUGGCAUCUUUUGAGGAUGAUGGCCCCGCCCACAUUGAGAUUCUCUACCCAGGUCCGGCUGAGAUCGACGGUCUGUCUUUGGUCUUCUACUUUGGUUCCAAGGGCAGGCGCCUCACCUUCGAGCUCGAGUCCCCGACUCCGGUGGUUCAGCUAGUUCCGGUCUCGUCUGGGCCGGAGCCUGGUGACGGGGGGCUUUACGAGGAGGGGGGCUCGUCGGAGGAGGGGUCUUCUUCUGAGGGGGACGAUGAUACGCUCGGGGCUCGCCCGAGCCGUCAGACGAUCGCCGCAACCCCGCCCCUUCGGUUGCUGGUCAGUCGGGGCUCGCAGGAGGCUCCACGGUGGGUACUUUGGCUCCGGUGGUGGCGGUAGGCACGGAGAUCACUCUCCCUACCUCCCCUAUCCCGGUGGUCGCUGCUGAGGAGGAGGUGAGUGUGGGUAUGGAGGUCUGCCCUGCUUCGUCCUCGCGCUCGCUAGGGGUGGUUUGCUACUCGCGCUCUCCGGGUUCCCCCCUUUCCGAACCUUGUGUACCCCGGAUCCGCGCCCUCCGGUGGCCCUCGACCCUGGUUGGGUGCGUGAGUCCCCUCCCGUGCCCUGCUCUCGGCCUCGGGAGGGCGCUUCCCCUGUCGUGGCGGCACGUCAGAGCGCGCGGAUCAGCCAGUCCCGGACCCUUCAGGACGGCUGCGUCCCGACGAUCCCUAAGCUGGCGGCCCGGCAUGCUGCGGCCCGUGAUCUGUUCCCAGGUACGCCUCCCCUCCUACCCCCUUCUGGCUGUGGAUCUCGGUUUUCUGUUCUCUCUAGCGAUUUGGUGCCCCUUUUGGCUGUUGUGGUUGCGGACAGUGGUAUUGUGUUUCCGGGGGGAGAAAGGUCCCCCUCUUGAGCAGAUCUCCGCCCUAUGUGCGACAGAGAGGCUUGAGGGGGCGUUAGCGGAAGCGCGCUGCGGCGCGCUCCAACUCCCCCUCUCCCCCGGUGCACGCCGGACCUGGUCAUAGAGAGACCAGGGAUGGUGGCGCACCUCCGGCAGCGGUUGUAGUUGGACCUAUGCCGCCCAUAGGUGGGCUCCCCUCUGUCUGGGAGCCCAGGGGGCGGCCGCCCACCCGUCUCAACCCCACUGAGACCCGCGGUGAGGAGCGUGUGUCAGGCCCCAGAGCUCCCUCCUCUGGCCCGGCGAGCUCCGAUGUCCCCUCUUCUCGGGGACGUCGGGGUCGGCCAUCUAAGGCUCUCCCCCGCCCCGCGGUUGACGGGCGGGCUAGAUCGGCCCCGCUUGCGGGGCCUAGGAAUCCAUACGAGGUUGUUAAAUGAAGCUCCUAUGUUGGAACAUUAGGGGCUUCGGCCUCCCUGGUCGGCGGCGGCAGCUUAUUGAGUAUUUGCGUCAGGAAGAGAUUGACAUAGUGGGUCUGUAAGAAACGAUUCGACAUGACUUUAGCAUGCUCGAGCUUCAGAGGCUCUCCCACCACCAAUUCUCUUGGCAGUGGCUCCCUGCAUCGGGCCACUCUGGGGGAAUCGUGCUUGGUGUUCGGGAGGAGGCGUUCUCGGUGGAGGACAUGGACCGGGGGGAGUUCUUUGUGAGCAUGGCCAUCACCGACCGACGUGCCCACCUCAGCUGGGAGGUGAUUAUCGUCUAUGGCCCGGCGGACCAUGCCCGCUCGGCUGAAUUCCUCGCCGAGCUAAAGAAUAAGGUGGAAAGGUGCACCACCCCUGUGGUGGUGGCCGGUGAUUUUAAUCUUAUUAGGUGGGCUUCUGAUAAAAGCUCUCCGAAUGUAGAUCGACCCCGGAUGCGUCUUUUCAAUGACUGCAUUGCGUACUUGGCGCUACGUGAAAUAGCUCGCGUAGGGGCCAGGUUCACGUGGUCGAACAAGCAGGCGGACCCCAUCCGGAGUGUUCUAGAUCGGGUCUUUGUGUUGCCCCAAUGGGAAGUGAUGUUCCCCCUGUGCGGGCUUAGGGCGAUCACACAGAUUGGCUCAGACCAUACGCCUCUGCUCUUCUCGUCGGGGGAAGGUUCCACCCCUAGAUCACGACGCCGUCGCUUUGAGACUUUUUGGCUGGAUCAGCCUGGUUUCCGCGAGUUGGUCCGCGACGGGUGGCAUCGGGCUGUCGCUUCCCCACCGCGUGUCUACUGUGCGGUGGACAUUUGGCAACACUGUGCAAAGAUGGCGCGCCAGGCCAUGAAGGGCUGGGGUGCUAACUUGGGUGCUGAUCUCCGGGCCCGUAAAGGGGCCCUGCUAGGCCAGAUUAUGACCCUAGAUGACUUGGCGGACGGAACGGGUCUGUCCCGGGAUGACUGGACCCGGAGAUACUCCCUCGGUGCCGAGCUCAUGGGCAUUUUUCAGAUCCGAGGAACUGUUCUGGCAACGUCGAGGUGGCCAGAACUAGCUCCUCAAGGGGGAUGCAAACACCGCGUACUUCCAAGCCAUCGCCAACGGCCGUAGGCGGAAAUGUGUUAUCCCUUUCCUCCGGGAUGGGGAUGCUCUUCUGGAAAGCCCAGAAGACAUCUCAUCCCAUAUUUACUCCUUCUAUAAGGAGUUAUUCUCGGUUGAUCUGCGAGGAGGCUCCUCUCUUUGUGAGGACUUCUGGCCGCUAGCUGAUCAGGUGUCCGACGUGGAGAAUGCGGAACUCACUCUCCCAUUUUCCUUGGAGGAAAUUGGCCAGGCAAUCGCUUCUAUGAAGGCGUGCUCGGUCCCGGGGCCAGACGGCCUCCCCGUGGUUUUUUUCCAGCGAUUCUGGGAGACCGUGCGCCCGGUUAUCUUGCCCAUGUUCCAUGAAUUAUAUAUAGGCACACUGGACAUGGGCAGGAUUAACUUUGGAGUCAUUGCUCUCAUCCCCAAACUACUUGGGGCCGCAGAGAUUCGGCAAUUCCGGCCUAUUACGGUGAUUAACGUGUUGGCGCGUAUUUUUGCUAAAGUCUGCGCUACUCGCCUGUCCCCUGUGGCCGAACGGAUUGCUCACCCCCUUCAGUUCGCAUUCCUAAAGGGCAGGAAGAUUCAUGACGGGAUUCUUGCCCUUCACGAGAUUGUCCAUGAGGUGGCGUCCAAGGGACUAAAGGGGGUCUUUCUCAAAUUGGACUUCCAGAAGGCGUAUGACCGUCUUGAUUGGUCCUUCUUGAGGUUAGUGAUGCAACGACGCGGAUUUGACAAGAGGUGGUGCUCUUGAAUCAUGCAGCUGGUUCGAUCUGGUAGCACCGCGAUUAAUAUCAAUGGUGUAGUAGGCCCCUUUUUCGGGCAUCCAGGGGGGUAAAUCAAGGAGACCCUAUCUCCCCCCUGCUUUUUAAUCUCGCCAUGGGUUUAUGGUAUAGUCUAAUAUUUCCGGACAACAAAGGGCCCAAGGUUAAAGAAUCUGUCUCAAAAUAGAGAGGCACAUUGUGGCUGUCUGAUUCCAUCGGCAAUUGAGUUGUGACGAUGAAACAUGCCCUAUGUAUUGAUCUGUUGCGAAACGAGUAAAGUUAAAAGCAUAUGAUGAGAUCAAGGGGGAGAAUGUUAGGUUGAUAUCUCAUUCAAUGGGCCCAACGGCCCAUUGGAACCUUGACCCACGCCCUGAUUGGGGGCGUCCAGCCCAAGUAAGGCUGGUGGGCCCCUGUCGCGCAGUGUUAUAAAGAGGAGGUGGGGACCGUGGCACAAGGGACGAGGUUCGCCGCCGCCACUGGUUCCCCACUCUCUAACCCUAAUCCGAUCUAGAGGGAUGCACUGAAGCGAUGGGAAGUCCACCGCCGCCACUAUCACAUAUCUCUUCUUCCCCACCGUCGUCACCACCUCACAAUGGACGACCGAAGGAAGCUCAUCGAGUUCAUCACAAGGUAAUGAUCUAUUACUAUUACCGAACACAUCUAGCCUUGACGAUCCACGGAAUCUAUCAUCAAUGUCCUGCGAGCAGGCGGCGUGCGGUGGCCUCCGCGUCGCGUAUCCGUUCUGGCUCGGCGGCACCCAGCCGCCGGAGUGCGGCUACCGCGCCUUCCAGGUCACGUGCGACAGCAACGGCAUAGCCUCACUCAGGAAGGACGUACCAGAUCAUGGAGAUCAAUUACGGAGACGACAAGGGCGCCUUUCAGGUCGCCAACCCCGAUCUCUCCGACGGCACCUGCGAGAUCGUGCUCAAAGUGAACGCCUCCUCCGACCUCGGCCUCGCGCCCUUCGCCAUCAGCGCGGCCAACCAGGAGCUCUUCUUCCUCUACAACUGCACCGACUUGAAGGCGAGGCCGGCGCCCCGUACGUGGGAGCCCGUGAACUGCACGAAUGGGUCCAACGUGUCCACGUUCAACUCGUUCGCGUUGCUCGCCGGCGGGUACAAGCCCGACGACAAGUGGGCACCGGUGCCGGGGAACUGUAGGGCAUCGAUGAUGCCAGUGCUGGGGUACCCGGGGGCGACUGGGCGGACUACCGGCGGCUGAUGAAGUGUAGUGUACGCUUUAGGUCUGCUGCACCGACUGUUAGUUCCGAUACGUUACGUGGAUGGAUCGGCGACGACACCGGUUUUAGAUAUGAGGAGUGAGAGCAUUCCACAUUAUCGCGUUUUGUAGGUGUGAGUGGGGGUUUCGGGUGACUUGAUGUAUGUUCUUGUCAGACCUUUAUUAAACAAGUAACAAUGAUGGAUGUAUGCAUCGAUUGAUGCAGAGUCCGGGGGUCUUAACCUCCUUUUCCAAAAAAAAAACCACGGCCGGCAACUGCAUGGCGUGCGAGGAGACCGGUGGACGUUGCCGGAUUAACACCGACUACGAUAUCUUGGAGUGCCAUGUGCUGACUACGUGUCGAAGGUCAUCUGUGGUGAGCGUCACAAGAAUAACAGAGCACGCUCGUUCUUUUAAUCCUGCAAUGUUCUUUCAAUAUUGAAUGUUCAUAUUUUUUUUAGAAAAGGAGGAUGAUGCCCGGCCUCUGCAUCAGGGAGAUGCAUGCGGUCAUUUUAUUGAUUGUUCUCGAGGACCUUACAAUGUAUUACAACAAUAUGUCUGAAUGCGUCAUCUUCGCAACAUCUGUCGCUACUCCUAUCCAUAUGAUGAAGGGGUUGUGUGUUGCAUAAGAUGUCAUAUUGAGCCGCUCGAUACACAGCGACAUGACCUCAUCAUUCAUGUCCCCUCGGGCUCGGGGCUUCAAGCAUGCAAGAAACUUCUUAUACCCAACAUAAAACCCACCUAUUUUGAUCAAAGGUGUCCUGGUACCAUAGUUGCAAGCGAAUGAAUAAUUUGUUUCAACAACAUCAAUUUAAGACACUAGAUAUGGGAUAGGAAGCUCACGGUAGUUCAUUGGGUUUUGACCUCCUUAGUGGUUUCCCAUGCGUAAUAUACUUUUCAUAAAUUGCUUUAACUUUAUCUUCUUUAACUUCAACCUUCUACUUCUUUCCCUUGGGUUUGACAACUAGCACUUUAGCCAUCCUCUUCUUCCUAGUGUUCUUGUCGUGUGUGCUAGGGCCACUGCCGACAUCAAUGGGCUGCUCGUCCACGACGCCCAUUGUUUGAGCUGCAACAAGAAGACAUGUAAGUAUUGUGUGGGGGACAGGGUAAGCUAGGAGGGAUUUUAUGAGAAUUUGAUGCAAUCACACAAACACAAUAAUAACAUAGACWAAAAAAAAAGAUAGCAAACAUGAAACAAGGUGCUCWAAAAAAAGAGAAAUGAUGACGAAGGUAGGAAGCAUACCUGGGAUAGUAGGGCUGCCAUCAUCAUGUGAGACAGGGAACACAGGGAUGUUGGGGUAGAGACCGCUGCAUGUUUUGUUAUUAUUUGUAGGCUCGUCGAUGCCAUGCAUCAAGUUGAAGUCUUCAUAACCCUUUGGGAACAGAUCACAUGAAGGCUCGUCAUCCCAAACACCGGCUGUUGCACUCCUGGGUGCACCAUGGAAUAGAGGGGGGCUCUGAGGUGGCACGUGUACUUCCACCUCCAUACUCACUCUUUGUUGCUCACGAGUUUGACCAGCAUCUUCUGCAACUUCUGGGUUUUUCUCCAGCUCCCCAACAACUUCAUCUUUGCUCAUCACUGCAACCGUACCUUCAGCUUGAUCACCAAUGCAUGAAGUUGCAGCUUGAGCAUCCUUCUCUUUCUCACGCGCCUCGUCCAUGGGAGGUGUUGCAGCUUCAGCUUCAUCUUGAGCAUCCUUCUCUUUCUCACGAGCCCCGUCCAUGGUAGGUGUUGCAGCUUCAUCUUGAGCAUCCUUAGCUUUCUCAUGAGCUUAAUCCAUGGUAUUAGCGAUGGCAUCUCCCACGUCACGAAGCAUAGCGGCCAUCCGGCUGGAUUGCAAUCGCUUUAAAAUUUGCCCAAACUUGCGUAUUGCAUCAUCAACCUCGGUUGAGAAAUUUUCGUUGUGCUUGUCAUACAAUGUUUGGAACCGAGCUGGUACCUACAAGAAAGGCACGUGUUUCAAAAAUUAGCCAUUUUACAUGUAUCUUUAAAACAAAAAAUAAUGCAUGCAACUUUUGUAGAAAAAGGUACCUUUAGAUCAUCCAUGCUAGGGAACGGUUGUUGAAGCCAAUCAUCGAACGAUGAGGAUAAAUUUGGUUGGACCUCAACAUUUUCUUAAGCUUGAGGUACUUCAUUUUGGCUUCCUUGGCCAUUAGCUGCUUCAGCACCAGGGCCCUGCCCGGUGGCUGCUUCACGAUCAACUUCUGGACCAAUAACCUCAAUGUGUGAGAUGAAGCACCGCUCCACCAUUCCUCCAACCAGCACUUGCUCCAAAACGAUGCCCCCAGGAGGGAGGGCGAUAAAACGCCAUCAUCGUCCGAUCCAGGAAGACCCAGAUCUAGGGUUUCCCCCGGAGCAUCCAAAGCCUGAUGACGCAAACAGCAAUGCCCCAGCAGAACAUUGCAUUGAAUGUUCAUAUGCAAUGAUAAUCUCUUUCUUUUGGAAAGAGGACCAACGUCGUAUUAUUGGGUGACCCCGUUUUUACUCAUAAAUGUUAUGUUACAUUACAGGAAGCAAGAAGAAAGAGCACAAGAUUCUGCUAAUAGGUAUGCUAAUUUUUUGGCCAUUUUUAGAUGUACGGAUAUACAUAUCAGUAGCUCACUAAUAUUGAUUAUCUACAUUACAAUAAGAACUUCAAAAAUUAUCUGUCUAUAGUCAUUGAAAAUUUAUUGUAAAAAAAAUCGGAAACAAGCAGCUCUAAGCUUGUGCAUAAUAACGAGAACGAUCAAUUUAUGGCAUUUAGCUUGUUGCUAUUUUUGCCACCAUGUACUCUUGCAGAAAGAGAAAUUUAAACUAGAGAUGGCCUGGAAAUCAUUAUAACUAUAUUAUAAAUUCUGGUUUAUAAAAAUAAAUAAUAUGUGCUUUCAUCUCAGGAAUGACAUCAGCGGCUGCAACCUUUCUCCUUGCAUGUCUUUUAUGUGCUGAUAUGGUAUAGAAAGGGCAAGAGACUAUGGUUUCUCCUUUGCAAGAAGACUAGUAGAAACACUCAGAAGAAUUACGAGGCCAUGAUAGAAUCAUAUGGAUCCCUAGCUCCAAAAAGAUACAUGUACUCAGAGGUAAUGAAGAUAACAUCUUCUCACAGCGAUCUUCUUGGAAAAGGAGGUUAUGGUGUCGUUUUAAAAGGAAGACUACAUGAUGGUCGUCUAGUUGCUAUGAAAUUCUUGCAUGAUUGCAAAGGAAACGGGGAUGAGUUUGUGAAUGAAGUUAUGAGCAUUGGAAGGACAUCACAUGUUAAUAUUGUUAGUUUAUUUGGGUUUUGUUUGGAGGGAUCAAAACGUGCUCUUAUAUAUGAGUACAUGUCCAACAGUUCCUUGGAUAAGUACAUUUACUCAGAGAGCCCCAAAGCAAUUUUAGGAUGGGAGAGGCUCUAUGCGAUAGCAAUUGGGAUUGAUCGUGGCCUCGAAUACUUGCACCAUAGCUGUAAUACACGUAUC